GAUAGGAGAGGGAUUUUUGGGUGAAGUUCAUGACAUACAUGAAGCGCGUAAUCAAGGGUAUAAAAUUAUUAAAAAACUAAGGCAUACAUGUUUGUUGGAGAGUUGCGGUUCAAGAGAAAAAAGGGUUAAGACACAUGAUGUGGUCUGCGACAUGGCUUUAUGGUUAUAUGGUGAAUGUGGGAAGAAAAAGAACAAAAUUGUAGUAUACGAUGAUGUUUUUAGGCUGAAGGAAGCUACAGAAAUUUUAGAACUGAAAGAGACGGAGAAGAUGUCAUUUUGGUAUCCGAAUGUUGAGAAGUUCCUUGAAACAUUGGUGUGUCCCAAUCUCAAGACUUUAUUUGUGGAGGGAUGUCAUAAGUUGACGAAAUUUUCGAGUGGAUUCUUUCAAUUUAUGCCUCUAAUAAGAGUUUUGAAUUUGGCAGGGAAUGAUAAUUUAAGUGAGUUACCUACUGGGAUUGGUGAAUUGAAUGGCUUGAGAUAUCUUAAUUUGGAACCCACAAGAAUAAGAGAGUUGCCCAUUGAGCUAAAAAAUUUGAAAAAUUUGAUGAUUCUACGUUUGAAUUCUAUGCAAUUCUCUGUAACUAUCCCACAAGACUUGAUAUCAAAUCUCAUAUCUUUACAGUUGUUCGACAUUUGGAACACCAAUAUUUUAAGUGGAGUUGAAACCUUGCUUGAGGAGUUGGAGUCCUUGAAUGACAUCAAUGAGAUAGGAAUCACCAUAUCUAGUGCUCUUUCAUUGAACAAAUUAAAGAGAAGCCACAAAUUACAGAGGUGUAUAAGGCUUCUACAGUUACAUAAAUGGGGGGAUGUAAUCACACUUGAACUAUCAUCUUUGUUUUUAAAAAGAAUGGAGCAUUUGAUUCAGCUUGAAGUAGACCAUUGUGAUGAUGUGAAAGUAAGUAUGGAAAGAGAAAUGAAACAAAAUGAUGUUAUUGGUCUCUCAAACUACAAUGUUGCAAGGGAGCAAUACAUUUACAGCCUCCGUUACAUAAGAAUAAAAAAUUGUUCAAAAUUGUUAGACUUAACAUGGGUUGUUUAUGCUUCAUGUCUAGAAGAACUUUAUGUUGAAGAUUGUGAAUCAAUAGAACUAGUACUACACCAUGAUCACGGAGCUUAUGAUAUUGUGGAAAAAUUGGACAUAUUCUCAAGGCUCAAAUGCCUCAAGCUCAAUAGACUGCCAAGAUUGAAGAGCAUCUACCAGCAUCCUCUGCUCUUUCCCUCGCUUGAAAUCAUCAAGGUGUAUGAUUGCAAAAGCUUAAGGAGCCUCCCAUUCGAUUCCAACACUUUGAACAACAAUCUUAAGAAAAUUAAAGGAGAGACAAGUUGGUGGAAUCAGUUGAAGUGGAAAGAUGAAACCAUCAAGGACUGUUUUACUCCAUACUUCCAAGUCCAUGAGGCUGAAGCAUAUUUUGCAGAGGAGUCUGAAACUGGCAGCAUAGAUGAUGAUAUGCAGGAACAGUUGGUAUCAAAUUAAUUUCUAUCCAUCUUUCAGGUAUUAAUUAAUUUUUAUGUUAUAUAGAUUACUUCCAUAAUUUUCUGCCUAGUCCUAAUAACUUUCAAUCUAUUUUUUUCCCUUUUAUUUUCAUUCUCUUCUAUAUUGCUUUGAGUCUUUCGAGAUCCAAACAAAGCCAAAUCUACACCCCUUUCUAUAUCAUGGUCCUGCCCCCAAGAUCUUGGAUGGGUAAUUCAAUUCUAGUUGUCCCUUGUGAAAUAAUUGUUAUAAAAGGUUCGCCCAGAUGGCACUUUGAAGGAGGUCUAUUGUUUAAAAAUGGGAUGACAUUCCCUGUUGGUUACUUGAGAACAUGAAAAUAAUGCAGAGUUUUAAACUAUAUUAUUUAUUUGUCUUAAUUUUUGUGAUGGAUUUCAAUCUAUAAAUAGAAACAGAUCAACUUCGUUUCAACUUAGCUCCAUAUAUUUCAAGCUGAAAAACAGGGUUUCACAACUACUAUAGUUGUAGAUAUUCCAUUAAAGAAUUUUUGCCUUGUUUGAUGUGUUUACCAGGACCAACUUCACUUACAAGGGUAAUAUCUCUUCUAUUGUUAAGUUACCUCUAUCUGGUUGGCUCUGAUCACUUUUUGCUUUUCUAUUUUCGUUUUUUCAUUUCUCUUUUUGUUGCAUUCAGGGUUGGGGCUUGUUCUAGAAGUUCUGGCAACAGCCGGGUUUUCAUCUUCUUUAUAUAGACUGUGUUGCUGAUUGGAGAUGUCCUGCUCUUUUUCCUUCUACUUGGAAUCUGGGUUUGGUCUGAGGUCUCUGGUAUGUUUCAUCAGGGAGGCGCAAAUGCUGAUUCUCAGAGCAUUGAUAUUUCAUGGUGCUGAGACUGCUGAAAAGGUUGGUGUACUUAUGAUGGUUGCAGCAUCCUCUUUGUUUCUGGAUCUCAGGGACUGGAUUCUGUGGGCAGCCUUUGGCUUUUGAUGUUGGGUGGAUUUUGUUUUGUUAAUUUGUUGAGGCCGGUGCAGUGUGGUGGGUCUGAAGCUGCUAGUAUGCUGCUGCUGGGUCAAUGCGGAUGUGAUAUGGGAAUGCUUUUGGAUCUUAGGGCUUCAGCAGGUUGAUUAUGUUUCCUCUGCUUACAAAUAUUUUAUCACCAGAUCCUACGUGGAGAUGGGAUGGAUUGUUGUAAUAGUGAUGGUGUGUGUAUGUGAUAUAAUCCUAUGAACAUAGCCACAUGCUUUGGUUCAUAUACCAGAGCACCGCUUACUUCCUUGAGUUUGAUAUCCCACUGUCAAGUGUUAUGUUACGAAAACAAGUUUCACCGGUCGUGGAUUGAAAUGUUUUGUGAGAAAAACUGGUUGAUUUUAACAUUUGAGGUUGUUAAUGGUGGAAGUAUAAGCAGAGUUCUGAGGACUCAAAAUGUGAUCACUUUUUCUCAAGCAUAUUUCUUCCCCAAUAAAAAGGUUUAUUUGUGCAAUGGUUUUGGCACCAACUGAUGAAUGAAAGAGAGCUUUCAUUCCGGAGCAUUUAGAUCUCCAAACAGCAACCUGACUGAACAUGACCACAAAAUUCCUCCGGCGCCACCAAUUUCCUCCACCUGCGACUCUUCAAAUCCAACAUGUACGCCACAUGGGCUUCACCAAAGCUUCUGCACCCAAUCACUAACAGCUUCCCCUCCCAUGUUGUCAUGUAAGCUGUGUGGCGAAUCUCAGCUGGCAAUCUGUCUACUGUCUGCCAUCUGGAGUCCUGCAGUGUCACCACCUCACCCGCAUGACACAUGUACAUCCCCAUGUCACCACCGUCCACGCAGGUCCUCGGGCACGUGCUGUCUUCCAGGAAAUCCUCCUCUGCCUUGUCCCACUCCCAGUUGGCAAAAUCGAAGGCUUCCGCGCUCCUCUCGAACCUGCCUUGCAUCUCUGUGCAGUACCCGCCCAUGACAUGAAACUUACCACGGUGGAAUACUCCUUUGCAUUCAUCGCUCUCCCUUGCCAUGUCAGGCAGUGGGGCCCACUAAUCCUUUGCCACGUCAUACACUAGCGCUGACUUCAAUGCAUUCUUCCAAACCCUACAAACCGCGGCGAUGGUGGAGAAGUUUUCAUAAGAAACGCGAAUUAAACAUUGGCGGGCAACGUCGUCCGGGAGACCCGGAAUAAAGUCCAUGAACAAAAAAAAAACAGCAAGACUGUGGUGCUAUUAAUGGAGAGAAACCCAACCAGAGAGCAAAGAUGGGGGAUUGAAAUAAAUUGAGAGAGCAGCUAGCUACAGAGGAAGAAGAAGGAAGAAGAAGAUGAUGAAGAGAGAAACAGUUGAAUAUAAGAUGAUGAUGAUGAGGAGGAGGAUUGGCUUUUAUAGAGCUUGCCAAGAAGACUGUAAUACAGGUUUAAAAAAGGUUAGUUUCUAUGUCUUGUUAUUUAUUUGCCAACAAGACUGUAAUACAGGUUUAAAAAACGCUAAAUUCAAAAAUUAAAACAAAAAUUGAUACCUAAUCUAUUAAAAUUUUAUUUUAAAAUUUUUGUUACUUGUUUUGUUAGAACUAUCUAAUAUAUUUUUUCAAUUUUUAAAAAUUAAAAUUAAAUUUAUUUUUUAAAUUUUCUUUUUGCUAUAUUCUACAUUCGAAUGCCAAAAUAAUAAUAAUAAUAAAGAAAGAAAAAUGAUAUGAAAUUCAUAAAACCUUAUCAACUCAAAUAAGAGCAUUAUCGUUCCUAAGGUCAGAUUUUUAUUGAAAACUUAUAGGAGAAAAAUAAUAUGAAAAAUAGUUUUUUUUUUUUUUUUGUAUUUGAUUUUAUGAUAGAAAAUUAUGAAGAAAAUUAAAUAUAAUUAAAAUUAGUUAUAUUUAUAUAUUUUAAAUUAUUUAAUCAUUAAACUAAGGGAAAUGAGUUUAAAUAAUAAUAAUAAUAAUAUAUAAAUUAUUUAUUAAUUGAAUUUUUUUUUAAUUUUCAUUCACUUUUUAUCUUCUUUUUUUUUUCUAUUUUUUUUCUAUUAUAUUUUUCCUCAAUUUUCUCUAAAAGCAAACACAGCCGACAAAAAAUGUUUUGACUUUCAUUAAAAUUUGAAGUCUUAGUAAUACUUUCACAUUUAUUUUAAUUCAAAUUAGAAGCCAAUACAAGCAUAAUUGGAGUGUGUUUGGAAUAUUUUCCUAUUUUUUACUUUAAUUAGAAGUUAAAAUUGAAUCAAACUCACAAUUUUUAAAGGAUAAUAUAUGUAAAAUAAAGUUUUCACAAUCGAACAACAUUUUUCUAAUUUCUAUAUUAAGCUUUUUUAAAAAAUAAUCAUAAGAUUUUUGAACAAAAAUAGUUAAAAAAAAAACCUCUUAUUGAAGUUAAAAAAAGAAACUGUUAUCUUCAUAGAAAUCCUACCAAAUAAGACUUUAAUCUUAUGGGAAAAGAAAAAAAAAAAAAAAAGAAGUGGGUCAGUGGCCACUAGAUAAUGCAUUAUGCCACCAUUUGACCCAACUUGAUUCUACCUUCAUGAUUUAUCCUUUGAAUUGUAGGAAGAUGAGUUUGGACAAAUCAAAUCAAUUUAUGUCCUAAUUGAUGCCAAAAAUAUCCAUAUAAUUCAAAUAAAUAUAAGUUUGAUAGUGAGACAAAAGGGUAUGGCGUUUUUUAUGGGUGUUGCCAGCAUUAUUAUAAUUUAUAGCUUUUUUUAAAGAAAAACUAAAUUAAAAUUAUCAAAAUAUAUUUUAUAUUUACAAAAGCUAAAAACAUAACCAAGAAAAAAUCUUUAUGCUUUAUAUUUUAAAAUUUAGUAAAAGCAAAAGCAUAUCCAAAUCAGCCCCACACAUAAAAGAAAGCUAAAAUUGAAAUUGACUAAUCAUUUUUUUACUGAGCUGGCAAACCUUUUUGACUUUUUUCUUUUACUGUGCCAAUGAGAAAAAUGAUUCAUAUUAAAAGUGAUAAAAUUAAUUAAUUAAUUUUAUAGCAUCCUUGCCCAGGAGUAGGAGUUUAUCGCAGGAGGCUUUGUUUCUUGGCUUGAAGCAUGCGUUGCUCACCACUUCCUUCAUGCGAUUCUCUGGCCUUUUAUGCUGGAGGUUGACUGGUACACAUCAGCCUGCCGCUUGCUACCUGAUUGGUGAUUGUGAAUGCUUUUGGGUCUUGCUGGUUGCUUGUGUUUCCUCUGGUUUUAUUGUAUUCCUCUGCUUACAAAUGAAAUAUCACUAUAUAUUCUGGGAAGAUAGGAUGGAACUGCAUUUUCAAAGUAUGGAACAUAGUUUACAAACUUGGAUUUUGUUCUUCCCUUGAAAUUUGAUCACUCAUUAAUGAAAUUUUUUCGUUCAUUUUUUUGGGAGAAAAAAUGGGGUUGAUUUCAACAUUUUAGACCAAUUUAUGCAUAGAACUAAUUUGUUAAUGGCAAUUUGCUGCUAAUUUUGCUGGGUUUGAAAUGUUCUGCUCUCUUUCUAUCCUGUUGGUGCUGUUGGUGUUGGCGUUUGCUUAAUUGGUGCUUGGUCUUGGUGCUUCUCAGAAUUUUUUUAGUAAUAUUAUUUGUAGGAUAUUCUUAGAAAAAGGUAAAUGGUAAUAGCAUCUGAUUUAUUUAUUUAUUAAAAAAAUAUUAUAAAUUGUAGAAGUUACAUGAAUAAUUCAAAAUUUGGCAAUAAAAAUACAAUUCAAUCCCACCAUGACCAAUCAGAAUUGUUUAAAGAAUAAUGUAAAGUAUAAUGUAGUGGUGAUGAAUGCAAGCAUAAAACCAUUGUGGAGCCAAGAUUCAAGGGGCAUAAAACCAUUGUGGAGCCAGGAUUCAAGCAUAAAACCAUUGUUGGUCUAGCUACAAGAUUGGGAAGGCAGUAAGCGAAAAGCUGGUUGCUGUACCUGGUCAAAUCGGCAAAGGACAUUUCAAUGAUGUAGCCGAGAUGCUGCCUCGUCCUCUAGUAGAUGAACUGCCCGUGGAGGAGACUGUUGGCCUAGAAUUGGCGUAUGGCAGAAGCUGUGGGUUUCUCAAAGAUCCACAAGUGGGAAUUAUGGGAUUAUAUGGAAUGGGGGGUGUGGGCAAAACCACCCUCUUGUGGAAAAUCCACAAUAACUUCCUCCCUACAUCCAGCGAUUUUGAUGUUGUGAUUUGGGAUGUGGUGUCAAAAAUUUAAAAAAUUCAGAAAGUUGUUUGGAAUAAAUUGCAACUCUCACGUGAUGGAUGGGAAAGUAGAAGCACUAAGGAGGAGAAGGCUGCCGAAAUAUUGAGAGUUUUGAAAACAAAGAAGUUCGUGUUUUUGGAUGACAUCUGGGAGCAACUUGAUCUCCUAGAAAUAGGGGUCCCCCAUCCCGACGCUCAAAAUAAGUCCAAGAUAGUUUUCACGACCCGAUCACAGGAUGUGUGCCACCAAAUGAAAGCACACAAGAGUAUAGGAGUGGCAUGUUUGUCGCCAGAAGUGGCUUGGACUUUGUUUCAGAAGGAAGUAGGAGAAGAAACAUUAAAGUCUCAUCCACAUAUACUGAGUCUUGCAAAGACUGUUGCUGAAGAGUGCAAAGGUUUACCUCUUACUUUGAUUACUCUUAGGCGAGCCUUGGCGGGUGAGAGAGAUCCCUCAAGUUGGGACAAGGUAAUACAAGAUUUGAGCAAAUUUCCAGCUGCAACUUCAGGUAUGGAAGAUGAAUUGUUUCAUAGAUUAAAAGUCAGUUAUGAUAGAUUGUUUGACAAUGCCAUCAAAUCUUGUUUUACAUAUUGUUCCUUAUUCUCUAAAGGUUGGUGGAUUUCAAAUGAAACCCUUGUGGAAUAUUGGAUGAUUGAGGGAUUUUUGGGUGAAGUUCAUGACAUACAUGAAGUGCAUAAUCAAGGGCAUAAAAUUAUUAAAAAAUUAAAGCAUGCAUGUUUAUUGGAGAGUUGCGGUUCAAGAAAACAAAACAUUAUGAUGCAUGAUGUGAUCCACGACAUGGCUUUAUGGUUAUCUUGUGAAUGUGGGGAGGAGAAGAACAAAAUUUUAGUAUACAAUGAUGUUUCUAAGUUGAAGGAACCUUAAGAAAUUCCAAAAUUGAAAGAGACAAAGAAGAUGUCAUUAUGGGAUGAGAAUGUUGAGGAGUUCCCUAAAACAUUGGUGUGUCCCAAUCUCAAGAUUAGUGGCUUGUGAUAAGUUGAAGAAAUUUCCAAGUGGAUUUUUUCAAUUUAUGCCUUCAAUAAGAGCUUUUGAUUUGUCAAAUAAUUAUAAUUUAAGCGAGUUACCUACUGGGAUCGGUAAAUUGGGUGCCUUGAGAUAUCUUAAUUUGUUAGCCACAAAAAUAAGAGAGUUUCCUAUUGAACUUACAAAUUUGAAAAACCUAAUGACUUUGCUUUUGGAGAAUAGGAAAUUCCUGGAAUUAAUUAUUCCACAAGAACUGAUAUCAAGUCUCAUAUCUUUAAAGUUGUUCAGCACAAUCGAUACCAAUAUUUCAAGUAGAGUUUCAGAAAGCUUGUUGGAUGAGUUGGAGUCCUUGAAUGGCAUCAGUGAGAUAUGUAUCACCAUAUGUACUACUCAUUCAUUCAACAAAUUAAAGAGUAGUCACAAAUUGCAAAUGUACAUAAGUCAAUUCGAGUUGGAUAAAUGUGGGGAUAUGAUCUCACUUGAACUACCGUCUUCAUUUUUUAAAAGAAUGGAGCAUUUGCGAUGGCUUUGUAUAUCUAAUUGCGAUGAAUUAAAGGACAUAAAAAUUGAAGGGGAAGGAGAAGGGACACAAAGGGAUGCGACUCUCCGAAACUACAUUGCUGUAAGGGAGAACUACUUUCGUGCCCUUUGUAACCUAUAUAUUUUUCAUUGUUCAAAAUUGUUGAACAUUACAUGGCUUGUUAGUGCUCCAUAUCUUGAGGAACUUACCGUUGGAGAUUGUGAAUCAAUAGGACAAUUGAUAUGUUAUGGAGUAGAGGAAAACUUGGACAUAUUCUCAAGGCUCAAAUACCUUAAGCUCAACGAGCUGCCAAAAUUGAAGAGCAUCUACCAAUAUUUGCUGCUCUUUUCCUCACUUGAAAUCUUGAAGGUGUAUGAUUGCAAAAGCUUAAGGAGCCUCCCAUUCGAUUCCAAUACUUAACAAUAAUCUAAAGAAAAUUAAAGGAGAGACAAGUUGGUGGAAUCAAUUGGAGUGAAUCGAUGAAACUAUCAAGUACUCUUUUACUCCAUAUUUCCGAAUCGACCAAGUUGAAGCGUACUUAACUGAGGAGUCCGAAACUGGUGGCAUAGAUGAUAUACAAGAGCAAUUGAUAUCAAAUUAAUUUCUUUCAGGUAUUAAUUAACUUUUAUGCUAUAUUUGAAAAAUAAUAUUUUUCCACACUCCCAUUCAUUUGUGGAAAUUUUUACUUUACCGAUGUCAAAGUGCAUCAAAGUCUCAACAUCAUAGUAACUUUCAAUGUUUGAUGUAUAUGGACUACUUCCAUAAUUUUCGGCCUAAUCUUAAUAAUUUUGGUGUGGUUAUAAUUUUUUUCUUUUUUAUUUUUCUUUUUCGUCCUUCUAAUCUUAAGCCUUCAUUUUGAUGACAGACAUAAUUUAGAAAGGAAAAAAAAUGUAAGAAAUCCAAAUCUAAAUCUAUAUAUAUAUUUUUUAUCUCUAUCUGAUUGGCUCUGAUCAGUUUUUGCCUUCUUUUUUUUUCAUUUCUCUUUUUGUUGCAUUCAAGGUUGGGGCUUGUUCUAGCAGUUCUAGCAACAGCCGGGUUUUGAUCGUUUUUAUAUAGACUGUGUUGUUGGAACUCCAUUUUGCUUGUAUCCAAUUAUUAGACAGGAAUCACAUGUUGAAUCAUAUGAAGAAAUUAUGCCAAACAUUUCUAUAGAAAGGGAACAUACAGAAUCUGAACUAACCUGAUUCCAUUUUGAGUGUUGAAUGAACAAGGUAUGGAUCUUCUAAGGCUGUGGAGGGCACCACCUCUUUCUGGAUUCUCUCUGACGAUGGGAGCAGGAGAGAAAACAAGUCUAUUAUUAUUUCAAAUGAUGUGAUUAGACUGAACAGACACUUAGCCUUUGGUUUUAUACCCUCUUGCCUUAGGGACCAUACCCUUUGGCUAUUGGGCCUCACGAGUCUUAGGCCCAUCAUCUAAGGCCCGUGAUGGCAAUGGGCUCUACACAUAAGGUGACCCAUACUAUGGAAAAUUGAUACAAAAUAAAUAUUAAAAGGCGAAUAGCUUAGUCAUGUAUCAUUGUUAAAUAUGUGUGAGUCCAUAUCUUAACAUGUGUUGCUGUUGUUUUUGCUGAUGGUUGAUGUCCUGCUCUUUUUCCUUCUACUUAGUAUUUGGGUUUGGUCUGAGGUCGAUCUAGGUAUGUUUGAUCAGAGAGGCAUAAAUGCUGAUUCUCGGAGCAUUGAUAUUUCAUGGUGCUGAGACUGCUGGGAAGGUUGGUGUACUUAUGAUGGUUGCAGCAUCCUUUUUGUUUCUAGAUCUCAGGAAUUGGAUUCUGUGGGCUGCUUUUGGCUUUUGAUGUUGGGUGGGUUUUGUUUUGUUAAUUUGUUGAGGCUGGUGCAGUGUGGUGGAUCUGAAGCUGCUAGUAUGCUGCUACUGGGUCAAUGUCAAUGUGAUAUGGGAAUGCUUUUGGGUCUUUGGGCUUCAGCUGGUUGCUUGUGUUUCCUCUGCUUACAAAUGUUUUAUCAUCAGAUCCUAUGUGGAGAUGGGAUGGAUUGUUUUAAUAGUGAGGGUGUGAGGGUGUGAUAUAAUCCUGUCAACAGAGCCACAUGCUUUGGUUCAUAUACCAGAGCACUGCAUUCUUGAGUUUGAUAUCAUAUCCCACUCCCAAAGUGUGUCGUGCAUAAUGUAAUGUAAACAAGUUUCAACUUUCACCCAUUGUGGAUUGAAAUGUUUAAUUUGGGAGAAAACUGGUUGAUUUGUAACAUUUGAGGGUGUUAAUGGUGAUUUUUCUUAUUAUUAAUUGUGAUUGAAAAGAAAGUUGAUGAACAAGGUGGAAGUAUAAGCAGAGAGUUCUGAGGACUCCUAAUGUGGUACAUUUUCUCAAGCAUAUUUCUUCCCCAAUAAAAAGGAAAACUUGGGUUCACUUGUGCGAUGGUUUUGGCACUUGGCACUAACUGAUGAAUGAAAGAGAGAUCCAGGUUUAUCACUGAUGAAUUGAAAUGUUUUGUUAUUGUUGCUUAGUUAAAAAAGUUGCGGUUCAGUUUGCUAAUCUAUUGAUAUCUGCUGCAGUGAUUCUGCUGCUGAUGAAUAUAAAAGACAAUCAGUAGGUGCAGGUGAUGCCAUCUCAUCUGCUCAAUCAUCUCAAGUAUUACAGCCUGCUCGCUCAGGGGCCAGGGGACGUGCUUCAAUGGCUGAUAUUGUGAGGAGGGGCAGGCCAGGGACCAGGAGACAUGUUUCAAUGGCUGAUGUUGUAGGGAUGGGCGGACCUGGUGCCAAUACUUCCAGCCUGCCAAUUACGUCAACUGGAACUUCUCCCCCUCUUGUUGGGGCAGUACCAGAACAAUGUGGUGUGCCCAAUACUUCCAGCCCGCUAAUUACAUUAGAUGAAACUUGUUUCCCACUUCUUGGAAGAACACCAAAACGAUCCUCUUACCGUGUCACUACUCCCUUUGUUCUGCCACCAGUGGAGGCAGAACCACACCAAGAUUUGCAUUCUCCAAAUCCUUGGUAUGUGUUGGAGGUAAGUCAUGAGCCUUGCACUACUGAUGAAUGGCCCACCACUGAUUAGCCAACAGCACAUAAUGGCUUAUCUGUUUUAGGUGGCUCACCUGCCUUAGAAACAGAGAUAUUCUAACGAGUUUUGGGUCAAAAUGGCCUAUUUAAAAAAAAAAAUGUAACAUCUAGCCAUUUUUUGAAACUUAUGUUCAAAGUGGUUUCUUUGGUGCUACGUAGGCGCCAUAUCAUUAAAAAAUAUUUUUUUUUUCAUCAUUUUAGUUAAAGCCACAGUUGACAAAUACGGCUUUAUAUUUGAACUAAAACCGCAGUUGGCAACUGCGGUUUUAGUUAAUUUUUUUUAAUUUAAAAUUUAAUAAAAAAUUAUUAAAUUACAAUUUAUGAUUGAAAUUUUAAAAAUAUACUUAAAUAAUAAAUUAUUUGUAUUUAAAUUUAAAAAUCUAGUUACACAUAGGUUCCCUGUGAGAUUAUAUAUGUUUUUUAUUUUCCACUAUAUUAAUGUUUAGUGAAUAUUUUUUGUGACUUUAAUUAAAUGAUUAAAAAUUAUAUUUUGUAGUAGACUUUUUGUAAUUAAUUUCAUUAACUAAUUUUGUAAAAAAAUCUAUACAUGACAACUAAUAUAUGAUUUCGAGUAAAUUUUAAAUUAAUUUUAUCAAACAACCUUAAUAUUUAAAGUAAAAAUUAAGUAAUAAGUUUUAAGUUAAUAAAUUAAAUAUAAUUUAAUUUAAAAUAAACUUAAAUCAUUAAGUAAUAAGUAUUAAGUUUUAUCAAACAUUAAAAAAAAAAAUUAUUAUCGUAAAACAAUUAGGUAUUCAAUUAAAAAACCCAAAAAAAAGAAAAAGAAAUUGUAAUCUUGAUGAAUUUUGUAGACUGUUUCAUAGUUGAUGGUGAUUCAAAUACAAAAGUACAGUAUCAAAAUCAAAAGAAAGUUGUGAGUUGUGAGCUGUGAGUGAGAUAUGCAUCUGAACCGCCAGCAAAAGAAAUUUAAAAUUGUUAAUAUAAAAAGAAAAAUGGACGCAGUGAUCAUGGGCGGUGUUUAUGUACUGGGUUUGAAAGUGUUGAACCUGAACCAAGAACCAACCAUUUAUAGUUGGAAAUUUUGAAUACUACAUCACCAAUCACCAUGCAUACGCUCCUCCUCCCUUCAAAGUCAUCAACUCGCUAACUUUUUCUAAUCUCAAAUUUAAACUUAUAUGUUAUAUAAGUUUAUUAUUUUAAGAUUAUUAAUUUAUUAAUAAAUAAAACAUUCAUUUAUAAUAUCUUAUAUUUAUUAAUUUAUGUUUAUUGAACUAAUACUAAAUUCUUAAGUUUAAAUAUAAAUAAUUUAUUAUUAAAGUAUAUAUUUUUAAUUUUAAUAAUAAAUUAUAAUUUAAUAGUUUUUAAUUAAAUUUGAAAGUAAAAAAAAUUAUAAUUGAAAUCUCAGUUACCAACUACGACUUAAAAGUAUAUUAUUAAUUCGAUAAAGAUAAAUUUAUCAUAAUACAAAUAAAUUAAUAUCUUAAAAAACAACAAAUUAAAUAUCUUAAAUUAAUAAAUUAUACAAUUUUAUAUAUUAUUUAUAUGUUAUAUAAAUUUAUUAUUUUAGGAUUAUUAAUUUAUUAAUAAAUAAAAUAUUCAUUUAUAAUAUCUUCUAUUUAUCAAUUUAUGUUUGUUGAAGUAAUACUAGAUUUUGAAGUUUAAAUAUAAAUAAUUUAUUAUUUAAGUAUAUUUUUUAAAUUGUAAUUUAAUAGUUUUUAAUUAAAUUUGAAAGUAAAAAAAAAAAUUAUAAUUGAAAUCUCAGUUAUCAACUAUGACUUAAAAGUAUAUUAUUAUUUCGAUAAAGAUAAAUUUAUCAUAAUAUGAAAUAAAUUAAUAUCUUAAAAAACAACAAAUUAAAUAUCUUAAAUUAAUAAAUUAUAUAAUUUUAUAUAUUAUGCAUAUGUUAUAUAAGUUUAUUAUUUUAAGAUUAUUAAUUUAUUAACAAAUAAAAUAUUUAUUUAUAAUAUCUUUUAUUUAUCAAUUUAUAUUUGUUGAAGUAAUAUUAGAUUUUUAAAUUUAAAUAUAAAUAAUUUAUUAUUUAAGUAUAUUUUUUAAAUUUCAAUCAUAAAUUUUAAUUUAAUAAUUUUUAAUUAAAUUUUUAAUUAAAAAAAAUUAACUAAAGCCGCAGUUGUCAACUGCGGCUUUAGUUCAAAAAUGAAACCACAGUUACCAAUUACAGCUUUAGUUCAAAUAUGAAGCCGCAUUUGUCAAUUACGACUUUAACUAAAAUGAUGAAAAAAAAUAUUUUUUAAUGAUAUGACGUUUACGUGGCAUCAAAGAUGCCACUUUGAACAUAAGUUUCAAAAAGUGAUUAGAUAUUACAUUUUUUUUUUUUUUAAAUGGGCCAUUUUGACCCAAAACUCUAUUCUAACCCAUCUAACUUGUACAGUGAUACUGCUGAAAUGUCCCAGGACUGCCGGCCAGAUGAGGUCCAAGCAUCUGUAUCCAGUGAACAGUGGGCAGAGUAUAGCGCUGCAGGUGCGUCUUAUAGAGCUUGCCAACGAGACUGUAGUACAGGUUUAAAAAAGGUCAGGCGGUCUAGAAAGUUAAAAUGAAGGCGACCAUAGGUUGUGUCAAUACACAAGACCAUACAAACCGCCAUUGUUUCUAUAUUUUGUUAUUUAUUUUUAAUGUGAUUGGUUCCCUAGAAAAUCUGAUGUGACCCUGGUUCAUGAUGCCGAAAAUGGAAAUCAUGGGACUCCAUGUGGAUGGGUCUAUAUUUAUCACUCUUUUGAAAAUUCAUCACCCAUCAAAAUGAUCAAAUUUCAUAAUCUAAGCUUGAAAAUACAUCUUAUCAUUUGCCUUCUCACUCUCAAAAAUUCAAAAUAAAAAAUUCCACAUAAUCAAUACAUUUUGGAUUUUAAUUAUUUUAAUCCAUUCUAUCUUCAUUAUCUAAGUCCAACUUCUACUGUCAGUAAAAGUAAAACUUCAUUUCAGGAAGAGAGGAAUUGAUAAGUUUUAACAAAUAAGUGUAAAUACAUUUUCUAUUUUUAUUUAAUUUAAAAUUUUAUAUAACAUACCAAAAUUUUAAAAUGUUUAUAUUAAAAAUAUAAUGAUUUAAAACUAUUUAAAAAAUGAGAUAUCAAAAAAAUUAUUAUCUUAAAUUUAAAAAAUUAAUGUAAUUUUUUUUUAAAAAAAAACAUAAUAUAAAAAAAAUAUAUUGGAGGAGCAGAAUAAUUGAGAGAGAAGCAACAAAACGUUAAGUACAAAGUGGAGAAAUGCAACUAAUGAAAUUGGAAGUAACAAUGUCGUUUUGCAGGCACAUGAGGGUGGCCCAUUUCUCCCCUCUUUUUAUUUCUUUUCACACGCCAACUUGACUCAGCCCACAAUAAAUCCUUACUUAUCCCUUGUGUAAAUUGGAAGUAACGUUUUUCAAUUAUUUUUAUUUUUACUAAAUUCAUCAAGACAUUUGACAAAAUUUAGAAAUGAUUUUUGAAAUAUUAAAAAAUUACCUAAACUAUUUCCUAAAAAAAUUUAAUCAGUAAUUAUCCUAAAAAUAUUUUCAAAAACCAUUUUUAUUAAAGUAUUUCGAAUAAAAAGGUUGUCGAUCACAUGUAAAUUAAUAUUUAGAAGCCUUAUAAUAGAUGGUGUUGAAAUUUUCUCUCUUUUAAAAUUGACGUAUAAGAAUAAGAAAGUAUGACUGAAAGAAGAGAUUAGCUAAGUGACAUCAAGAAGCAUAACUCUUAGAAUAUCUUAAUUUUUUCGGCAAAAAAGCAAUUGAAUAUGAUAUAAUAUUGGUAGAAAUUAAUCAACCUUACUUGCCUAUUCAAGAAGUCAACUAUAUAUCAUUUAAAAAAUUAUCGCUCCCUUUGUAUUUAACAUGCUUAAACAUUAUAAAAAAUUAUCAAUUUAUUUAGAAAAUAUCAAUGCAUACAAGUGAACACUAAAUUGUUAUUAUAUAUUACUUCAAAGUCGUUUAAUUUAUUUUAAUUUUUAUAUAAAGAUUAAUUAAUUUGAAAACACGUAAAUUUCUAACCAAUCUUCUUUAUAUUUUACCUUCCUCACUAUUUUUUACUUUCCUAAUUUGGGGAAAGCCUUUUCUUAAAAAAUUUGGUUUUCCAAAUUUCAAAUUGAACCCACUUCAUUUGGGCAACAUUAAGUUAAUUGAUCCUAAUCAAUGCCAAAUACUAUGAAUCUAAAGUUCAAAUCAUAGCAACAUAGAGAGGGAGUUCAAUUUCAAUACAAAAUACAAAAAGUGUAAAACUAGAUAUUAAUAUUAAGACAUCAUACUAAUUAAACAAGUUUCAUUUUUGUCAAAAAAAAUAUAUCUAGUUCCCAAAAAUAUCAAGGAAAAAAAUAUAAAAAAUAUUUUUCUUCAUAUUUGGUUUUACUAUGAUAAAUUCGAGAUAAAAUCAAAUAUAAGAAAUUUUAAAUAUUUUAAAUUAUUUAAUCUUUAUAUAAAAAUAAAGUUAAAAUAAGUGAAAUGACUUCAAAAUAAUAUAUAAAAAAUAAAAUUAAUUUAUUAGUUUUAAUCCUAUUUUUUAUUUUCAUUGGUUUUUUGUCUUUCGAUUUUUUUCUUCUUUAUUUUCUUUUUCUCAUAUUUUUCCUCAUUCAAACAUACCAAAAAAAAAAAUUGUUUUAACUUUCAUUCAAAUUCAAAGUCUUAAUAAUACUUUCACAUUUAUUUUUAUUCAAAUUAGAAGAAAAUACAAAUAUUUGGAAUGCCUUUGAAAUAGUUUCCUAUUUUUCACUUUAACUAAAAGUUAAAAUUGAAUCAAAAUCAUAAUUUUUAAAAGAUAAUAUAUGAAAGAGUUCUUAGCAUAAAUCAAAAUAAAGUUUUUACAAGGAACAACAAUUUUUUUAAUUUCUAUAUUAAAUUUCUUGUUAAGUGGUCAUAAGUUUUUUAAACGAAAAUAGUAAAAAAAAAAAAAAAACAUAUGAUUGAUACCAAGAUAAAUUAUGAAUCCUUUAAAGUGAUCCACUACACUUUUUUGGGGUGGAAAUUCAGUCAUUAAUACAUGUACUUGAUCUGGGGGUGCCCUACAAUUCAAGUCAAUGAAUUUGGACAAAUCAAAUCAAUUUUUUUCCCAAUUGAUACCAAGGAAUAUCCAUAUGAUUCAAACAAUAUUUAUAUUGUUUGUUUGGAUUUUGCCUAAAGUAUUCAUGAAUGUGUCCAAAUAAUAUGCUUAUCAAUGGCACUACUAAUUUUUGCUUCCCCCUUUUCUUUUUUUUUUCAUUUUUUGUUUGUUUUGAAUUGGUACUUCCUUUCUCAUUCAUUCUACAUUCUUUUUUUAAAAAACAUUUGUCUCUUUUGCAUACAUCCUAAAAAGCCCAAAGUGUCUUUUUUUUAUUUAUUAUUAUUAUUAUUAUUUUUUAAAAAAGAACUUAAUAAAAUCUUUCGCUUCUAUAUAUCUUAAAAUGAAAAUAAAAAAUAAAAUUUUAUUAUUAAAGUUUUAUUUUGAUUUAUAGAUAAAGUUAUUUCAUAUUUUAUAAAUCUCUUCCUAUAUUCAUUUUGUUCUUUGCAAAUUAUAAUUUCACUCACUUCAACUUUGAAAUAAAAUCAAAAUAAAAAUAAAAAAUUAUAGCAAAUUAUGUUUAAUUUAAUCCGCUUUUCAAUUGGAAAAUACUAAUAGUGCAACCCAUAUCUGUCUAAACUUAGUGCAUAUAAUAUUACUUUUCAAUGGACUUGAAAACUAUUUAAAAACCGACAACUCCAAAGUCAAUUAUCUCAAUUAUGGAGUGUCAUGGUUCCAAAAGAUAAAAGCAAGUGUGAAGAUCCUUAAAAUGUUUUUGAGUGUAAUGGUGUUUCCAAAAGAUAUAAGCAAAAAUGAAAAUAUCGGAAUCACGGAUAUAUCAAUAUUUCGAUUUUACGAAUAUGUCAGAUAUAUCGGAGAUAUAUUGGUAAAUAUUUUGACAUAAAAUAUCGAUAGACCUAAAAUUAACCAAAAUUUAUAAAAAUAUAAAAUAAAACUUUUAGAAAUGAAAUUAAAAGUACAAUAGACAUUUUAAAAUUAUUUUGUUAAAUAAAUUAAUGUGUGUAUAUAUAUAUAUAUAUACGUGUCAACAAAAAAUAUAAAUUUGAUAAGUGUAUAUUGAUUAUUAAAUUAUAUCAAAUAUUAUUUGAUGAUUAUAUUGUGAUAUUUGAUUAUAAUAUAUUUCGGUGGAUAUUUUGACACAAAAUGUCUGUAAACCUAAAAUUGAUCAAAACUUACAAAAAUAUAAAAUAAAACUCUUAGAAAUGAAAUUAAAAGCAUAAUAAACAUUUUAAAGUUAUUUUUUUUUAAUAAAUUGAUAUAUAUAUAAUAUUGUACAUGUUAAUAAAAAAUAUAAAUUUGAUAAGUGUACAUUGAUUAUUAAAUUAUAUAAAAUAAUAUUUGAUGAUAAUAUUGUGAUGUAUGAUUAUAAUAUGUUUAAUUUUAAAAUCUAUUUAAUAUUAAAAUUAUGAUAUAUUAUAAAAUAAAUGAUGAUAAAUGUAUAAAUUUUUAAUAUAUUAAUAAUAUUAAAAAUACUCUGAAUAAAAUUAUGUUAUAUUUUUACUAAUCAAUUAAAUGAAAAAAUUUCAUUCAAUUAUAAAAUAGUGAUAAUUAAUUGUUAUUUAAAGUGUUUUUUUUUUAAUAUUUUAUUUAUAUCCGAACUUUCGAUAUAUAUUUCUUUAGUGCAUAUUAUAUAUCAAAGGGCAAGUUUGCUCUAGUGGAGCUAGGAGUUGGGGAUGCAUGUUGAACCUUCGAAUCCCCCAACAGCAACAAAAAAAAAAAAAACUCAAUUUUGAGCUUUGACCGCGUUGACCGCCCACGUUGACCAAUCGUUGACCACCGAUAAAUCCAUGCUAUAUAUCGUUUCACCACCCGCCGACACACCGAUAUUUCAACGAUAUUUUCUUCCCUAGAUAUAAGCAAGUAUGAUUUUCCUUAAAAUGUUUUUCACAUUUUUUUUGACAUAAUUAUUUAAGUUGCCUACCAAUAAAUCUUUUUCUGAUUUUUGUAUGAAUUGAAUAUUAUUAUUUUUCUAAAAUAAGAAGUAUGUUUAAUAAUUAAUUUUUCUAAGUAAUAAUAAUGACCAACAACCUUUUAGACCUAGUUUUUCAAUCAACUUAUUUAUUUCCUAGGUAUAAAACAUGGAGAAGUAAAAUACAUGUAUUGAUGGAUCAAUUAGAGGGAGGGUUAAACCUACUAAGACACUACCCACCUCACUGGAGAAUGGAAAAUUAAAUGGUUAUAAAUACAUCAUCAUUUCCCUUUUUCCAUAAAAAUGUUGCUCCAUGUCCUCUUAUCAAUUUCACUUCAAUUAUCCUCAAAAAAAUCACUUCACAACUUCAAAGAUUUGUUAGUAAAAUUGUAAAAGUACUAACAUGUCACUUGAGUAAAAAAGACAUGAUUACUAUGCAAAAAAUGAAACAUAUGCCAUAUUUAUCAUCUAAAUUAUGUACUUUUUGAAUAGUAAUUACAUGUUACACUAGGUAGAAUCAUGUUAACAUAUUAAAUGGAUUAGAAUCGUGUUAUCUUGUUUAAUGAAUGUUAAUAGGUUUAAUAGGUUAGAAUCAAAUUAAUGGGGGUUACCUAUAUCAAUUCAUAUAGAGGUCAACUUAACCUAUUUAUUAAAUUAGUUAUGUCUAUAUCAAGUCAUUUUAACAUGAUGUUUAAACAAAUCAUAUUCCAAUUAAGUAAACUUUCACUAGUUUUUAUCUUGACACAAUACAAAUCCAACAUAAUAUGACCCAUUGUCACCCUAGUUAAGGAGCAUAAGAGUGUUGCAUCAAGGAAGUGGAAGAAGAGCAUAGUGAUAUAAAACUUUAGGGAGUGGAAGCAUUUAAUCAAGUAAAGUUGUGUAACUUUUAUUUUCAUAAGUAGUGAAUUAUUCAAUUGUCAAGAGACCAACCAUAGUUUUUUUUUUUUAUACCUAGGGAUUUCUAGGUGCUUUCCACAUAAAAUUCUAUGUUGAAAUGUGUAAUUGGAAAUCUCAUGCAUGAGAUUGAUAAGAUAUUGAUGAUAAUUGAGUUGGAAUAAAACAAUUUAACUUUGAGGGGUUAAUUGCUUGGACUACCUAUUUACCCCUCCUUCAAGAAGUUCCAUAUAAGGGUCUCCAAUGGGCGGGCCGGGCCAUGGAAAAAUGUUAGGCCCGCGGCCCGGCCUAUGAGUCCGCGGGCUAGCGGGCUGGGGGCGGGCUGGGCCAACGGGCCGGGCUGGGGGCGGGCUGGGCGGGCCGGGCCGCGGGCCGAGCCUUGGGCUUUUUUAAAUAAGCCAAAAUGGCUUUAGAAAGGAAGAGAGAGGGAGGGAUUCGAACCCCUCCCCUCAUGCUUUAAUAUAAAGGCUCUAACCAACUGAGCCACAUUUAUUUUGUGUUAACUAAAUGAGUUAGUUAUAUAUAUAUAAAAUAAAGUAUAUUAUUUUUUUAAAAAAAAUUAACGGCUCCAACGGUCAUGUGACCGUUGGAGCUCCAGCCCAGCUCCCAGCUGCCAUGUGACCGUUGGGCAACGGUCACAUGGCCAAUUUUUUUUUUUUUUUUUUUUCUAAAGCCUUCCUAUAAAUACAUCUUCUCCCUUUUCAUUUUUUCAUCAAAUUCUCUCUAUUUCUCUCACAUUCUACAAUAUUUCAAAUUCUUUUAUUUUUCCCUCAAAUUAUACAAUAUUGUUGGUGGUGCAAAACAAGCAUUGGUGGCUCCAAGAGUUCAAAUUUGCUAGGAAUUUCUGCAUCGGUUCUCUAAUUGAGUAACAUACUUCACUCCUACUACUUUAUUUUUUUGUUACAUUUUUUUUAUAUUUAUUACUUUAUUAUUUUUGGCAUAAUAUUUUAUCAAUAAUUAUAAUAUGACAAGUGCUUCUUCUUCAUCUAGUCCAUGUGAUGAAAUAUCAUCAAACAAAAAAUUUACUUCAAAUAUAUGGAAUUUUUUUGAUAGAGUAGAAAUAAUUUUAGAAAAUAAUAAAAAAGAAAUAAAAGCAAAAUAUAAAAUUUGUAAUAAAUUUCUUACUGGUGGCUCAAAUGCAGGCACAAGUCAUUUAAAAAGACAUCACGAAAAUUGUAAAACUAAAAAUAAUGUAGAUAUUAAAAAUUAUAUGCAAUUAGGUAAAAAUGAAAGUGGAAAUUUAAAAACAUUUUCUUAUGAUGAAUCUAACUGUCGUGAAGAAAUGAUUGAUUAUAUAAUAAGAGCAGAACAACCUUUCAACAUGAUGAAAACUCAUGAUUUUGUAGGAACAAUUCAACGAGGUAUUAAUCCUCAAUUUAAAGGUUGGUCUGGAAAUACAGUUAAAAGAGAUAUUAUGAAAAAAUUUUAUACACAAAAAGAAAUUUAAAUUUUUUUUUUUUGCAAAUUUUGAAGGAAAUAUUUGUUUAACAUCUGAUAUUUGGACAUCUUUAACUCACACUGGUUUUUUAUGUAUAACUGCUCACUACAUUGAUAAUGAAUGAAAAUUAAAUAAAAGAAUAAUUUCAUUUAAAUUAAUAAAUGCUCCACAUAGUGGUAAAAAUAUAGCAUCUUUAAUAAAUGAUGAAAUUAUAGAUUUAGGCAUUCGUGAUAAAAUAUUGACAAUAACAUUAGAUAAUGCUGCUAAUAAUGAUACAACAAUACAUAGACUAAAACGAUAUUGGCAAGUAAAAGAAGAUCAUGCUAAAAUAUUUCAUGUGCGUUGUUGUGCACAUAUUUUAAAUUUAAUUGUAAAGGAUGGAUUAAAAAAUGUUGAUGAUACAUUGGAAAAAAUUAGAGGCAUUGCAUAUAGUAUUAAUAGUUCUCAAGCAAAACAUGAAUUAUUUUUUGAUUGUUGCAAAAUGUUAAAUAUGAAAAGAAAAAAUAUAAAUUUGGAUAUGGCCAUUAGAUGGAAUUCCACAUAUAAACUUUUACAAAAUAUUACAAAAUAUAGAAAAGUAGUCGAAUUAUAUGAAAUAUAAUUACUUAACAAUGAUUGUGAAGCAGAUAUUUAUGCAUUAAGUGAUUAUGAUUGGCAUGUUGCAGAUCUUUUAAGAGAUCUUUUUGAAAUUUUUGAUACUUCAACAAACAUUUUUUGUGGUGUAUAUUAUCCAACUUCAAAUCGAGUUAUUAUGCAAAUAACUAAUAUUUUUAUUGUACUUCAAAAAUAUUUAAGUUUUGAAAUAUUUAAUGAUACAAUAUUUGCAAUGAUAGAAAAAUUUAGAAAAUAUUGGGGGGAAAUACCUUUAAUUUUUUAUAUUGCUUUAAUUGUGGACCCUAGAUUGAAAUUUGAAGCUUUGGAUGAAUGGUUAACAAUUAUUUAUUUUAAUGACCAAAUAAAAAUUGAAGAAAUUAAAAAUGAAAUAAAUUCAUUAUUACAUAAUUUAUAUAACUAUUAUAAAGAAAAAUAUGGUAAUGAUAUUAAUACUAAUAAAUUACCACCUACAUCUACAAACUCCUCAUCUUUUUAUAAAGGAGCUCUAGAAAUGUUGAAAAGUCGAAAAAAGACAACAAAUAGUUCUCCAAAUAAUACAUCUGAUUUAGAUAAAUAUCUUAAUACUGAUAUAAUUCCAUUUGAAGAUCAAGAAGAUUUUGAUAUUUUAAUAUGGUGGAAAUCACAUCAACACAAAUAUCCUGUGCUUUCUAUAAUUGCUCGUGAUGUACUAACAGUUCCUGUGAGUACAGUUGCAUCAGAAGCUGCUUUUAGUGCAGGUGGAAGAGUUAUUAGUAAAAAACGAUGCAACUUAGCGCCAGACGUUAUUGAAGCAGGGAUAUGUGUAAAAGAUUGGGAAAUAGUAGAUAAAAGGAUGUACGAUUCCAUUUGAGAAACAGAGAUGUUUGCCAAUAUGGAAUCUUUAAAACUAUCAAGAUCUUCAUGGAUGCAUGAUAGUUCGCCAUCACCGCCAGAAAAUAAUGACUAAAUGUAUAUUAUAUUUUUAUUUUUAUUUUUUGUGGUUGAAAAAUACAGAUGAUUGACAAAUAAAUAGGUGCCAACCUAGUUGGGAUGUAUUUAUUUUAUAGUGAUGUAAACUUUUCCCACAUUUUUAAAUGUAAUUAUACAUUCAAUGAAUAAAAUUUUGAAAUGAAUAUUUUUUUUAAUACUUUUUAUUUUUGUAUUUUUUUUUUUAAAGGGGCGGGCCUAUGGGCCGAGCCUAAAUUUAGGCCCGCGGCCUGGCCCGGCCCGCCCAUAAACGGGCUCGGGCCUGCGCGGGCCGCGGGCCGCGGGCUUUUUGGAGACCCUUAGUUCCAUAUCAAGAAAAAAAUUAUUUCAACAUAUAUAUAGAUAUUUUAUAUUUUCUAAUUUUAAAUUAAUUUUUAUGUUGGGAAAUUGAAUGAGGGAAUAGUUGGCUCAAUUUUCAAGCUUGGCAACAAAAUUUGUUGUUAACAUGUUAUUUUACCUUAUUUUAUACAUUUUUUUUGGAAUAAAAAUAUAUAAUCAACUACUCUUGUAUGAUUGAUUUAGAUGUUAGAAAAGGUUAUAACCAUUAAUUCUAUUAAUUGACCAACAAUUUUUUAUAAACUUUAAGUUGCUAGCAUUCAUAUAUUAUCCUAAAAUUAUUAAUUAUAAUUUUAUUUAAGUUGAACCACAAAUCUUGGGUAAAUGAUGAAGUAUUUGUUAACAAGAUACUUGUUUAAUUAUAUUGGAAGUUUUUAGUUUGAGGAGUUGUUGUUGAAUUCAAAUUCCUAGAAGCUAGCUUUGAGGACUAGAUAGUUGUCUUGAUUUUUGUUAUAAGUUUGAUUUUUAUAUUGUUUUCAAACAUGAUGUGUAAAAUGUAUUAAUGGUAAUGAUGUUGAAACAUAGCUAAUGCUACUAGAAGAAUGUUGUAUAGAGUGCCUUUGGUGAGUUGGAUCAGGGGGACAAGCUCCAUGACAAGCUCAAUUUAUUACAAAGGAUUCCUUCACAACCUCUCUUUGUAUGUUAUUAAGUCGUAAGUAGAAUUAUUAAAGUUAUAUAAACAAGUGGCAAUCUUGAUACGUCAUAAUGACACCAUUCGAAAAUUAUAUAAAUCUUAGCAGGUCUAAAGGUAUUUGUAAAACACAUUUGUAUUGCCUAAUUAUGGUCUUAUUGGAGAAUGAGUUAUUAUCAAUUUCAUGGAACAAAACUUUCAUUAGUCAAUAUUAGUUGAAGGUGAAAUCUUACUCAUAAAAUUUUUCAUUUAAAUUUAAAAGUUAAAAUUAUAAAGUAGAAAGUUAAAAGAACCAUUGAGCAUAGUUUAAAAUUUGAAUAUAAUGUGUUUAUCAAGCCCAAUAUUUAUUAUUUAUUAUUAAAAAUAUAAUUUCAUAUUUAAGAUAAUUUAGCACAUUUGAACAAUGCUUUGAGAAUAAGAUCGGAGCAUCUAAUUUGACUAAUUGGAUAGCAAAUCAAACUAAUCCAAUCUUAUUUUUCAUAUUUUUUCCACCUUCAAUUCUAUGAUAAAUAUGAACAAAAGUCUUUAUAUGAUUAUAACAAUAUAAACACUAAAAUAAUGAGUUUAACAUUAAAUAACAAAAAUUUUAUUUUAGUCUUCGACAUAUUGUUAUAUAAGUUAUAUAUAUAUAUUUAUAUAUAUGUGUGUGUGUGUGUUAGUAAAAUAAGAAAUAUUAUUAUAUUUAAAAUAUUAAAUAAUAAAAUCACAAUAUUUUGUUAUUAAUAAUAUUUAAUUAAUACAUUCUAAUUAAAUCUAAAAUAAAAACUUUACACAAAUUAGUAUAAAACCAAAUAUGUUCACCAUAAACCAACCCCUGUAAAAAUACUUAAAUAUACAAAAGUCAAAGUAAAUAAAUGAGAAAUAAUGUUAAAAGAUAUAUAUAUAUAUAUAUAUAUAUAUAUAUAUAAAGAAUCAUUGUCUAGUAUUUUAAUUUUUUUUAUAUUUUUAACUCCAUAUAUUAUUUUAAAUUUUAAUAAUAUAUGAAUUAUAUCUGCAUAUUGCCAUGCUGAUAUCAUGUUUCAAUUACUUGAACCAUCAAUUCAAUUAAGAAAGUCUAAUGCAAUAAUUUUCAAUUCAAUAACUAAUUAAUAAGAUUUUCAAAAUAUUGUAUUUGAAAACUCACCACAAAAAAUGAAUAUAAAAGAUCAUGAAAUUCUUGCAAAGAAAACUUACUUCAUGAAAAUAUGGAAACCCCAAACCUUAAUUUCUUCAAUAAUACAAAUCAAAAUUCUUAUGUUUAGGCAUCUUAGGAGAGAACCAAUAAUCUCAUCCACAAAUCAAGCAUAGUCAAUAGUCAAUUCUUAUGUUUAGAAGUAAUAAUCUCAUCCACAAAUCAAGCAUAGUCAAUAGUCAAUUCUUAUGUUUAGAAGUAAUAUAUACAUACAUACAUAUAUACAUAUAUACAUACAUAUAUAUAUAUAUACACACCGUGUAUAGAUGAUGUAUCUUUUGGAAAGUCAUGUAUAUAUUUAAAUGUUGUAAUGUAAAUCUUGCAUAAUAUAGUUUGACCAUUCAUCCAUUCAUUCAUCCAUCUUAUACUCUUGCAAAGAAAAGUAACUUCAUGAAAAUAUGGAAACCUCAAACCUUAAUUUCUUCAAUAAUGCUUAUUAAAAUUUUUGUAGUAAAAAGUUGUGUAAUUGAGGACACUAAUGAUGCAAGGUUAUAACUAGUCACUCCUAACCAGACUUAUUCUUAUACAUAUUCCCAUCUUCAUCUCAAGUCUGGAAGUUUACCUUUCUAUUUUAAGAAAAUUAAUUAUUCUUUUUAUUUUACAUAUAUUGAAAAAGGUAAAAGAAAAAAUAAGAUUGAGCGAUAUGAACCACUAUAAAACUUGAAUCAAUCUCGACAUAUAUGUGAGAAGAUAAUUUAAAAGUGUAUUUAACAGUGUUUAAUUUUGAAGUGUUUUUAAUUUUAAUAAAAGUAUUUUUUUAGAAGUGAUUUUGAGAUAAUUACCUAUUAAAAGUGCGUUUGAUAAUGAUUUUAAAAUAGUGUUUUUAGUUUUUUAAUACUUGAAAAAUAAAAAUUUUCAAGUGUUAGAAAGAAUAAAAAUAUUUUUUAAAAUUAUUGUUAGACGCACUUUAAAACCCCGUUUAGUAGUGAUUUUAGGAAGUGUUUUUAAACUUUUUAACACUUUAAAAUUUGUAUUAUUUAAGUGUUAGAAAUGCUAGAAACGUUUUCUAAAAUCAUCAUAAAAUGUAUUCUAAGAGUGUGUGUGAUAGUGAUUCUUGGAAACGUUUUUAACAUUUUUAAUACUUAAAUGAUAAUAAUUUUCAAAUGUUAAAAGGUUAUAAACACUUCUUAGAAUCACUACCAAAUAGGUUUUAAGUGUUUUUUCAAAAAACACCACAAAUGAUUUUUUUUAUUUGUUUAAAAGUGUCUUCUAAAUUUUAUUAAAUACUUUAUUUAGAAAAAAAAAUUAAGCUAGAAGUGCUUUUUAAAAACACUAUUAAAUGGACCAUAAAUCUUAAAAUAAAAUCCCAAAUCACCCCUUGAUUUAAUUAUAAGUAAUUUUAAGAGAAUCAUUUAUUAAAUAUUUAUUUCAAAAAGCACCACAAAUGAUUUUUUAUUUGUUUAAAACUAUUUACUAAAUUUUAUUAAAUACUUAUUUUUGUUCAAAAAUAUUUUUUAAGGAAGAAGUGUUUUUUUAAAAAUAAUAUCAAAUGGACGUGUAAAUCUUAAAAUAAAAUCCCUUGAUUUAAUUAUACUUUUCAAAUCCAUCCAUAAGCCUAGGCAUCCUUGAAAUACCCACCCCUGUUAUAAUACAAAAGCAAACCACCACUAAGGAUAUUUAAACAACAUUUUAAAGACAAUCGGAACCUAUCAAUGAGACUUUGUCUCAUAAUACAAAUUUCGUUAUGUUCACAUGAAGAAAGGGACAAAUAAUACAUAAAAACUAAAAAUCAUAUUGUGGACCCCGUAUUUCGGCUCAAUGCGUUUUUCACUCGAUGGCGAACUCGAUUUUAAUUUGAAAAAUGAUUUUUAUUGAUUAAGAAAAUGACUUGGAGUCGCCACUUAUUUUUGUUUUAUUUUUAAAGGGGUAAACAAAAUAAGAAAGAAAACCCUAAGUGUGACUCCUUAUUUUAGAAAAGGCGGUCUGUGAAAAACCGGAUCGGGCUCGGGGGUCAGGUUACUUAUCGGGAAGGUACGGUACGAACCGUAGCACCCCUCUAAGUCCCUAAAGUCGGGUCUCUACUAAUAAAGUGAAGCUGAUGUGGCAUAACAAUUGAUUAAUUAAGCAUGGAUACCAAACAAUGAUCAAAUGUGUGAAAGUGAGAGAUGAUCAAUAAACACAAUCGGGGUACGGGACGUACCUUAGUCGUAAGCUGAGCGCUAUCAUAAGAGACAAGGUUAGUGCACAAAUACAAAAUAAUCGCAUGCAGAUCAUAGAGUGAGGCAAGCUAAUCAAGUAUGACAAUCAAGCAAUCAAUGAGAAAAUCACAUAUGUUGGGUCCCACCAAAACCCAAUUGAUCCUGCCUGAAUUAAUCUCACGAAUCCCAUUAUUUCGGAAUCAUGAAGAUUCAUCACUCUUGCUUGUGUAAAAAUCAAAAGAAAUAAAACAUUAUUUAAGAAUCGAAGUGGAAUUAAAACUGUUCGAGAGAAAAACUGGGUUUUUGAGAUUUAGUUGGAAAUUGGAGUCUCGAAAAUUAUUUGAAGAUUGGAGUCUUGAUAACUAAAUUUAAGAAUUGGAAUUUCGGAUAUUAAAUUUGAAAGAAAUUAGAAUUUUGGAAAUCGGAAAUUAAGUUCAGGAAUUGGAAUUUUGAAGAAUUGUUUAAAAUGGGAUUUCAAAAUAAAAUACUAAAAUAAUAAUAAUUAAAUAGAUUCAUGUGAGUACUGGAAUUUUGGAAUUAGAAAUUAAAUCGGAAGUCAAAAAUUUUAAUGAAUUAUUUAAAAUGGAAUUUUAAAGUAAAUAAAUAAAAUUAUAACUAAAUAGAUUAAUGCGAAUUUUGGAAUUUUCAGGAAUUAGAAAUUAAAAUCGGGAGUCGGAAAUUUUAAUAAAUUGUUUAAAAUGGAAUUUUAAAGUAAAUAAAUAAAAUAAUAAUUAAAUAGAUUAAUGUGAAUUUUGGAAUUUUCAGGAAUUAGAAAUUAAAAUCGGGAGUCGGAAAUUUUAAUGAAUUGUUUAAAAUGGAAUUUUAAAGUAAAUAAAUAAAAUAAUAAUUAAAUAGAUUAAUAUGAAUGUUGGAAUUUUGGAAUUAGAAAUUAAAACGGAAGUCGGAAAUUUUAAUGAAUUUAUUUAAAAUGGAAUUUUAAAGUAAAUAAAUAAAAUUAUAAUUAAAUAGAUUAAUGUGAAUGUUGGAAUUUUGGAAUUAGAAAUUAAAACGGAAGUCGAAAAUUUUAAUGAAUUUAUUUAAAAUGGAAUUUUAAAGUAAAUAAAUAAAAUUAUAACUAAAUAGAUUAAUGUGAAUUUUGGAAUUUUCAGGAAUUAGAAAUUAAAAUCGGAAUUUUGAGAAGUUAUUUAAAAGUCGAGUUUUUAUUUUUCUUAUUUUUUAUUUUUCUUUAUAUAUAAACAAAUAAGUAAAUAAAUUAAAAUGAUUAUAAUUAAAUAAAUUGAGGUGAGAAUUAAAGUUUCGGAAAUUGGAGUUUUGAGAUUAUUUGAAGAUUGUAUAUAUUGUGAGUAGGAUUGGGGAGUUGGAAUUUAGAAAAUUUAUUGAGGAAUUAGUGCUUUUUAGAAAUGUAAAUUAUAUAUAUAUAAAAGGCAAAUGGGUUAACUUAAAGUGGGUGGGCUUGAAAUAGGCAUGGGCCAAGGUAAAGUGGGUGGACAGAAGCUUGGACUUGGGCUUCAGCUUUAGCCCAUGUCCACUAGCAUGAAGCCCAAGCUUUUAAUCUUUAACAAAAUUUGCCUUCACGCCUGGGUGCCACCUUCCAUCUAGGAACCUCCAUCAUGGACGCCGCAGUUGCCGGAGUUGGGACUGUCCCCGACGUCGGCGACAUGGAGGCCUUCGUCGUGAGUGCGGGUGACGACACGGAAGACGCUGCACUCGCCGUCCGCGAGGAGGGCGCCAUCAGCGCUGGCGUCGCGGGGGCCACGCGUGGCUGUCAUUGGCGCAUUCUGCUGGGAGCUCCGUCAUUUGAGUAGCCUUCACGACCAGCAUUCAUCCCCAGCCCAACUAUCUUGGCUUCCAAGUCCAGUUUUUUAUGCAUGGUGAUUGGUAGGCAUGAAAUGGGUGGAGAGUUUGGAGGGAAAAUGGGUAAAGAUGAUGCAAACAAGAAAAACACUACUACAAGUGUCAAAAGAAAACAGAGCCCAACAGAUCUCAAUAAUAAAAAAAGCCAAAGAAAAGAGAACGAACAUGUUAGGACCCUUUCAAAGCAACCUAAAAAAAAAGGAAAACAUUCAGAAUAGUCGUACGACCCUCUACCCAUUCACAGUCAACCUAAUGCCCGGAAAUGAUCAAUAGAAAACUGAAGAAAAUAACGAAUAGAGGGAAACGAGAUGGUUGCCGCGUUCAUACCUGGAUUUCUCCCGUAAGCCAAAAAAAUGGUUUCCCCCUUCCUUUCUUCUCUAGCUCCGGCAGCUUGCCUUCCCGCCCAAGCUCUCUAAAACUCCCUCCAGAUCCCCUCUCUCAUGGAUCUUCUCUUUUCUUCUUUGCCUUUUUCCCCAGAUCCGGAAAUCUAGCACCUGCUCCCCUGUUCCCUGCUCCCUACAGCCGCCUAAGGAUAGUUCCUUCUCCCUCCUUCCACUUCCAGCCGUCCUCGGGUGGAUAAAGAAAGCAGAAAAGAAGAAGAAAAAAAAUGAAUAAAAAUAAAAACCGGCCCAUGCCCCUAGCUGAGGGGGUCUACACAUAUACAAUAGAAAGCUUGGAAUCAAGAGGGAAGAGAGUAGGAAGUUACGAAGUGGUGGAGCCUUGGUAAAAUAAAAUUAACAACGGCAUUAUCAUGUGCGGGUCUCAGCGCUGGAUGGACCGAAUUUUGCUUCUCCCAAAACUCUUUCAAUAUUAUAAUUAGAGCCCGCUUGAUGCUUAGAAAAAUACAUUUGCAAGUGAUCUCCAUCUGUCAAUCAAUUAAUCUAUACAAUAUUAAAAAUUCACUUCUUGUUGAUUUAGGAAAAUCACUUUGUUGGGGGUGGCCUGUCUCCGAUGUUACUCAAGUUUCAACUCUGGACUUUUCAAAUUAACAAAGUGCAGUGAUUCAUCUUUCUUCUUUGUUCCAUUUUUGGCUGAAUUGUAAUCCUUUUGUCUGUAACUUACGGAAAGCUAUGGAGUUUCUGAGCUCAAUCGUGGGUCUGGUCCCCUGCUUCUAUGAUCACACCUCCAAGCAUACGGUCUACAUUCGUGAUCUGAGAAAAAAUAUCGAAGCCUUGAUGAAAGAAAUGGUGGUUCUGAACAACUUGUAUGAAGAUGUGAAGGCAAGGGUUGAACGUGCAGAGCAACAACAGAUGAAGCGCAGAAAGGAAGUGGGUGGGUGGAUCCGUGAAGUAGAAGACAUGGAGAAAGAAGUUCACGAAAUUCUGCAAAGAGGAGAUCAAGAAAUCCAGAAGAGUUGUCUCGGAUGCUGUCCCAGGAAUUGUUGGUCUAGCUACAGGAUUGGAAAGGCGGCAAGUGAAAAGCUGGUUGCUGUAUCUGGUCAAAUCGGCAAAGGACAUUUCGAUGUUGGUGCCGAGAUGUUGCCUCGUCCUCCAGUUGAUGAACUGCCCAUGGAGGCGACUGUGGGCCCACAAUUGGCGUAUGAAAAGAGCUGUAGGUUUCUCAAAGAUCCACAAGUGGGAAUUAUGGGAUUGUAUGGAAUGGGGGGUGUUGGCAAAACCACCCUCUUGAAGAAAAUCAACAAUGAAUUCCUCACAACAUCCAAUGACUUUGAGGUUGUGACUUGGGCUGUGGUGUCAAAAUCGCCCGACAUUGAAAAAAUUCAACAAGUUAUUUGGAAUAAAUUGGAAAUCCCACGUGAUAAAUGGGAAACUAGAAGCAGUAGGGAGGAGAAGGCUGCAGAAAUAUUGAGAGUUUUGAAAAGAAAAAGGUUCAUCAUGUUGUUGGAUGACAUUUGGGAGGGACUUGAUCUCCUAGAAAUGGGGGUCCCGCGUCCAGAUACUGAAAAUAAGUCCAAGAUAGUUUUGACGACCCGUUCACUGGAUGUCUGCCGCCAAAUGAAAGCUCAGAAGAGUAUAGAAGUGGAAUGUUGGGAGUCAGAAGAUGCCUGGACUUUGUUCCAGAGGGAGGUAGGAGAAGAAAUAUUAAAAUCUCAUCCGCAUAUACUGAUGCUUGCAAAGGAUGUUGCUGAAGAGUGCAAAGGUUUACCUCUCGCUCUUGUCACUCUUGGGCGGGCCAUGGCGGCUGAGAAAGAUCCCUCAAACUGGGACAAGGUAAUACAAGAUCUACGCAAAUCUCCAGCUGAAAUCACAGGUAUGGAAGAUAAAUUGUUUCAUCGAUUGAAACUCAGUUAUGAUAGGUUGCCUGACAAUGCCAGCAAAUCUUGUUUUAUAUAUCAUUCCAUGUUCCGAGAGGACUGGGAGGUUUUUAAUAUUCUUCUUGUAGAACUUUGGAUAGGGGAGGGGUUCUUGGGUGAAGUUCAUGACAUACAUGAAGCACGCGAUCAAGGGGGGAAAAUUAUUAAAACUUUAAAGCAUGCAUGUUUAUUGGAGAGUAGUGGUUCAAAAGAAGGAAGGGUUAAGAUGCACGAUGUGAUCCGGGACAUGGCUUUGUGGUUAUAUGGUGAACAUGGGGUGAAAAAGAACAAAAUUCUAGUAUACAAUAAAGUUGCCAGGCUUGAUGAAGAUCAAGAAACUUCCAAAUUGAGAGAAACAGAGAAGAUAUCAUUAUGGGAUAUGGAUGUUGGGAAGUUCCCAGAAACAUUGGUGUGCCCCAAUCUUAAGACUUUAUUUGUGAAAAAAUGUCAUAAUUUGAAGAAAUUUCCAAGUGGAUUCUUUCAAUUCAUGCUUCUACUAAGAGUUCUGGAUUUGUCAGACAAUGAUAAUUUAAGCGAGUUGCCUACUGGGAUUGGUAAAUUGGGUGCCUUGAGAUAUCUUAAUCUGUCACACACAAGAAUAAGGGAGUUGCCCAUUGAACUAAAGAAUUUGAAAAAUCUGAUGAUUUUGAUUAUGGAUGGUAUGAAAUCCCUUGAAAUUAUUCCACAAGAUAUGAUAUCAAGCCUUAUAUCCUUGAAGUUGUUCUCCAUUUACGAAUCCAAUAUUACAAGUGGAGUUGAAGAAACUGUACUGGAGGAGUUGGAGUCCUUGAAUGACAUCAGUGAGAUAUCAAUCACCAUAUGCAAUGCUCUUUCAUUCAACAAACUAAAGAGUAGUCAUAAAUUACAAAGGUGCAUACGUCAUCUACAUUUACAUAAAGGGGGGGAUGUGAUCUCACUUGACCUAUCAUCUUCAUUUUUUAAAAGAACGGAGCAUUUGAAGCAGCUUUAUAUAAGCCAUUGCAAUAAAUUGAAAGAAGUGAAAAUUAAUGUGGAAAGACAAGGGAUACACAAUGAUUUGACUCUUCCAAACAAAAUUGCAGCAAGGGAGGAAUACUUCCACACCCUUCGUGCUGUGUUUGUAGAACAUUGUUCAAAAUUGUUAGACUUAACAUGGCUUGUUUAUGCUCCAUAUCUUGAAAGACUUUACGUUGAAGAUUGUGAAUUGAUAGAAGAAGUGAUACGUGAUGAUAGUGAAGUCUGUGAAAUUAAGGAAAAAUUGGACAUAUUCUCAAGGCUCAAGUCCCUCAAGCUCAAUAGGUUGCCAAGAUUGAAGAGCAUCUACCAGCAUCCACUACUCUUUCCCUCUCUUGAAAUCAUCAAGGUGUAUGAAUGCAAAGGCUUAAGGAGUCUCCCGUUUGAUUCCAACACUUCAAAUAAUAGUCUGAAGAAAAUUAAAGGAGAGACAAGUUGGUGGAAUCAGUUGAAGUGGAACAAUGAAACUUGCAAGCACUCUUUUACUCCGUAUUUCCAAAUCCAUGAAGCUGAAGCAUAUUCAACUGACACUGAGGAGUCUGAAACUGGCAGCAUAGAUGAUGUGCAAGAACAACCGGUAUCAAAUUAACUUCUAUCAAUCUUUCAGGUAUUAAUUAACUUUUAUACUAUAUUUGGAAAAUCAUUUUCUUUCCUUAAUCCCAUUCUUUUGUGGAAUUUUUUACUCUAUAUAUCUAUGCCAAAGUGCAUCAAAGUCUCAACAUCAUAAUAACUUUCAAUGUUUGAUCUAUCAAGUUUGCCCCCUUUUGAAGUAACUGUUAUAAAGUUUGCCCAGAAGGGACUUUGAAGGAGGUCUUUUAUUUAAACAUCUAAUGACAUUUCCUUUUGGUUACUUGAGAACUUGAAAAUGUGCAGAGUUCUCAACUAUAUUGUUUAUUGUGUCUUAAUUUUUUCGGUUCAUUUCAAUCUAUAAACAGAAAGAGAGAAUACCUAAUUUCAACUUAAUUCCUUAUAUUUCAAGUUGAAACAACAGGUGUUUCACAACAACUGUAGGUAAAGAUAUUCCAUUAAGAAUUCUCGCUUUGUUUAAUGUAUUUACCAGGACCAACUAUAUGUAAUUUCUCUUCUUUUGUUGAGUUGCCUCUAUCUGGUUGACUCUCAGUUGUUCUUUUUUUUCUUUUCUUUUUUCUAUUGCAUUCAGAGUUGGGGCUUGUUCUAGAAGUUCUGACAACAGCUGGGAUUCAAUUAGCUCUAUCUAGUGGAGCCUUGAGGUUUUUGGUUGGAUGCAGAGCAGGGUCUUGUUCUACCCCUUCUUACUCAGUUGGGAUCUGAGCUUCAUCGGCUGCUUCCGUUGUCCUGCUCUUUUUCCUUCUAAUUGGUAUAGACGUGAGCUGGAUUAUGUUUGCUUGCUGGUCUGAGUUUCUGAUAUGUUUUGUGGCGGUGUGCUGAUUCUCAGAGUAUCGUUAUUCAUGGUGCUCAGUCUGCUGGGAAAGUUGGUUAAUGUCCAGAUGCAGGGGCUCAUCUCGGCAGGCUUUGGCUGGGAUCCAUGUGUUUGCUGGAAUUGGAUUCUGUGGGUUGCCUUUGGCUUUUGAUGUAGGCUGGGUUUGUUUUCUUUGUUGAGGUCAGUGGAGUAUGGUGGCUCAGAAGCUGCUAGUAAUCUGCCUGUUGUAUGCCGACGCUGGAAUCUUCAUGGUGGUUGCUCUGGUGGGUCAAUAUGAUAUGGGAAUGCUUUUGCCUUUUUGAGUCCUUGGGCGUCAGCUGGUUGCUUGUGUUUCCUCUGCACUUUAGCUCAUAUACCAGAGUGCAUACUUCCUUGAGUUCCAUAUCCCACUGCCAAGUGUGUUGUCCAUGAUGUAAUGUAAAGCAGUUAAUUUGUAUACCUGGCCUUAAGUUCCUCUCUAGAAAACUUUGAACGCCCUUUAUGAAUGAAAUGUUGUGAGAAAAACUGGAGUUGAUUUUCACAUUUGAGGUCGUUAAUGGUGAUUUUUCUUAAUGUAAUUGUGAUGGAAAAGAAAUUUGAUCAAGGAGUCGAAAUCAUAAGCAGAGUCGAUCUUAUUCAACAUUGCAUUAUAAUUUGGUACCCCUCACAGAUCGCUCUAAAUAGCAUUGAAAAGUACUUUCAUUUUCCUUCAGUGGAGGCUUCUUUUUCUUUGCUGGUUAAUAUUCAUAGCUUCAGUGCUUGAUGAAAUUUCAUUACUUUACAUUGUUCACUCUUGUCCCUCCUGCUCUAAUAAGAAUGAUUUGUUCAAGGAAUUUGAAAAUACUUGAACAAAAAAAGAAAAGAAUAGGAGAGAAAGGAAAAGAAAUUCAGAAAGCAAACACUUGGUAGUUUCCAUUUCAAUUAACCGAUCUUUGAAACUAAGAUGUAAUUCUUGGUACAAUAAAAGAAGACAUGCAACAUCUUAAGAAGAUUCAUCUAAUGGAACACACCAUCCUAUGAUAGGAAACUGAGACUAAACAGUAAUUUUUGGUAGAAUAGAUAUCGCAUGCCAAAAAGAAUGUUUUGUAGCUUUGGAUGCUUCAAAAUUCUUGUACGUAUAGCCCACAGACCUUUCGAGAUCAUACUUGUUUCUUUAGGCCUGUUUGAACAUACGGCUCUCGCGGAAGAUCUUACAAGUUUAAGAGUUCAUAUUGUCCAUGAAAUCACAGGAAAAGAAAAGGAUGUAUAAUCAAGUUCAUGAAAAAUAAAGAGAUGGCUUAUUAAAUUUCACAAGUAUGGGACAUCUAAAACACUUUGAGUUUCCAUUUAUGGGGCAAUUCCCAUCAAGUCCAAUGAUUGACCACCAAUGACUCGAAAAUCGAAACAUAGAAUGUGUUGCAUAUAAUUGAUGUUGCCUAAUUCUAAUAUUUCUCAUUUAUAUUAAUUUAUUCUCAUUCCUAUCCUAAUAAAAUUUUUUAAAUAAAAUAGGAUGGAUAUGAGAAUUUCUCAUACCCGUCUUAUACCAUUUAUUUAUUAAUUUUUAGUUUUUAAAAAAUUGAAAAUAAAUAUAUUUUAUAAAUAAAUAAAUAUUAACCUUGCAUGGUGCCCGCCCGCGAGCCAAGCCAAGGUGGCACGGGGCCUUGCUUGGUGCCCGCCCGCGAGCCAAGCCUAGGUGGCACGGGGCCUAUAAAUUUUGUAACUUAUUUUAUUUAAAAAUAUAUUUAUAAAAUUAUUUUAUAUGUUAAAAAAAGAAGAAUAUGAAAAACCAUAAAUUAAAUUAUUUUUAAAUUUAAUUAUAUGGGUUGGAAAGUGGUGGGUUAGGAGCCUAGGACAAGGCAUAUCUUGAACCUUGCCCCUAACCAACCCUAGUUUUUUUUUUUUAAAAAAAAAAAAAAAAAAUUCUUGAACUUGUAUAUGAUCUAUUUAUCUUCAUUUAAAUCUAUCUUAUUAAAGAUGAGUAUAGGAAAAAACCUGUCUCAUUGUCAUGUUAAUCAUAAAUUAUUUUAAUUUAAAUUUAGACACCAACAAAUAUUUAAAUUAAAUUAAAAAUGCUUAUGCAAUCAAGGGCUUUUUAGUUGCAGAAAAAUUGUGUACCUUCCUUGACAUUCUAGAUCCAGUUCUUGCUGGUUUUGGAGGAUCCAUUUGAGGAACAAUUUAAAUUUAUUCACAAAUACAAUUAUUCAAAAAGGCAUCAUGUUGAACACAAGCAAAAUAAGUAAAAAUAUUAAUAGAAAUGGAUGGAAGCAGAGUGCCUUUGGUGAGGUGGAUCACUAGCAAGCUCCAUUAACUACCAAGGAUUGCUUCACAACCUCUUAGUAUAUUAUUAAGUCAAAAGUAAAAUUAUUAAAGUUGAAUAAAUAGGUGGCAAUUUUGAUAAGCCAGAAUAACACCAUUCGAAAAUUAUAUGAAUUUUAGUAGGUUUGAAUAAGGUGUAAUCAUAUCCGUAUAAUAAUUAUGUCAACUCAUUUGCUAAAUGGACUGUAUUGGAACUUGAUUACUCGACUUAUCUAACUCACUUAACUUGUUUAAAUACAUGUAUGAGAUGUAUUUGCAUUGUCUAAUUAUAGUUCCUAUUGGAGAAUCAACUACUAUCAAUUUCACAGGAUGAAAUUAUAAUUAGUCAAUAUUACUUGAAAGUGAAAUCUCUUAUUCAAAAAUAUCUCAUUAAAUUUGAAAAGCUAAAAUUAUCAAGUAGAAGGUUAAAGGAACCAUUGAGCAUAUUUUAAAAUUCGAAUAUAAUGUAUUUAUUGUUGUAAUUCAAGCCUAAUAUUUAUUAUUUAUUAUUAAAAAUAUAAUUUUAUGUCUAAUUUUUAUAUUUAAGAUAAUUUAGCACAUUUGAACAAUAUUUUGAGAAUAAGAUUGAAGCAUCUAAUUUGACUAAUUGGAUAACAGAUUGGACUAAUCUGAUCUUAUUUUUCAUAUUUAUCCACCUUCCAUUCUGGGAUAAACAUGAACAAAAGUCUUCAUACGAUUAUAACAAUAUAACAAAAUAAUGAGUAUAAUAUUAAAUCUAAAAUAAAAACUUUACACAAAUUGGUAUAAAACCAAGUAUGAUAAUCCUAAACCAACCCCCGUAGAAAAAGACUUAAAUAUAUAAAAGACUACUAAAUAAAUGAGAAAUGAUGUAACAAGAUAUAUAUUAAAAAUAAUAAUAUUUUAAUAUUUUAAUUAUUUUUAUAAUUUUAACUUGUUAUAUUAUUUUAAAUUUGAACAAUAUAUGAACUAGAUAUCCAUGUUGUCAUGCCGAUAUCAUGUUUCAAUCACUUGAAUCAUCAAUUCAAUCAAGAAAUUGUAAUGCAAUAAUUUACCAACUCAAUGACUAAUAAGAUUUUGAGAACAUUGUAUUUGAAAGCUCAUAUGCAUAAAAUGAAUAUAAAAGAUUAUGAACUCUUGCAAAAAAUGAUGUUAUGGAAACCCAAACCUUAAUUUCUUCAAUAAUGCUUAUAAAAAAUCUAAGGUUGUGUAAUUGAGAAUGCUAAUGACCCAAGGUUAGAACCGGUUGCUCCUAACCAGACUUGUUCUUAUUUUUUAAACAUAUUCCCAUCUUCAUCUCAAAUCUAUAGGAAUUUACUUUCCUAUUUUAAGAAAAUUAAUUUUUAUUUUUAUUUUACAUAUAUUGAAAAAGGCAAAAGAAAAAUUAAGGUGAAGUAACAUGAAUCACUAUAAAACUAGAAUGAAUAUAUAUAUUUAUAUAAAAGAAGGCAAUUUAAAAUGUGUGUUUGACCGAUUUUUUUAAGUGUUUUUAAUAGAAGUAUUUUUUCUAAAGGUACUUUUGGAAGAAUUAACUAUCAAAUGUUUUUUUAAGAGACAUUACAAGUGAUUUUUCAUCUAUUUAAAAGUGUUUUUAAAAUUUUAUUAAAUACUUAAUUUUUUUUCAAAAACACUUUUUAAACUAAAAAUACCUUUUUAAAAAUAUUAUCAAAAAUGGAAUCAAAAUCUUAAAACAAAAUCUCAAAUCUACCCUUUAUUUAAUUAUAUUUUUCCAACCCAUCCUAUUGGGCCUAGACAUUACAAGUGAUUGGUCGUGUUUUUUAAAUUUUAUCAAAUGCUUAAUUAUUUUUCAAAAACAUUUUUUAAACUAAAACAUUUUCAAAAAAUAUUUUUUAAAAAUAUUAUCAAAUGGAAUCAAAGUCUUAAAACAAAAUCUCAAAUCUACCCUUGAUUUAAUUAUAUAUAAUACCCACCCCGAUUAUAAUACAAAAGCAAACCACCACCAAAGACAUUUAAACGACAUUUUAAAUACAAUUGAAACCUAUCAAUGAGACUUUGUCUCAUAAUACAAAUUUCGUUAUGUUCACAUGUAGAAAGGGACAUGUAAACAUAUACAACAGAAAGCGUGGAAUCAAGAGGGAAGAGAGUAGAAAGUUACGAAGUGGGAGCCUCGGCUAAAAUUAAUAAUGGCAUUAUAAUGUGCGUGUCUCAUCGCUGGAUGGACCAAAUUUUGCUUCUCCCAAAGAUAUUUGAAUGUUAUAAUUAGAGCCCACUUGAUGCUUAGAAAAAUAUAUUUGCAUGUGGUCUCCAUCUGUCAAUCUAUUAAUCUAUACAAUAUUAAAAAUCCACUUGAUGUUAAUUUAGGAAAAUUAUUUUAUUUUGUUGGUGAUGACCUGUCUCCCAUGUUACUCAAGUUUCAACUCUGGACUUUUCAAAUUCACACAGUGCAGUGCAGUGAUUCAUCUUUCUUCUCUGCUCCAUCUUUGGCUGAAUUCUAAUCCUAUUUUCUGUAACUUCCGGAAAGCUAUGGAGUUCCUGAGCUCAAUCUUGGGUCUUGUUCCAUGCUUAUAUAUGUGAUCACACCUCCAAGCAUACGGUCUACAUUCGUGAUCUGAAGAAAAAUCUCCAAGCCUUGAGCAAGGAAAUGGUGGAUCUCAAGCUGUAAUUCGAGGAAUGACCAAUUCAGUGCUUUCAUGUUCCAAUCUGAAUGAUUUACAGUAUAAUAUAGUGGUGAUGAAGACAAGCAUGAAACCAUGAGGACAGAGUGUGGAGCCAAGGGUCAAGUGGCAUCUAUACGCAUCUUGUUGUGAGAAGGAAGAAAUUAAAGAAAUGGUGGGGCCUAUACAAAAGAUAUGCUCAUAUCUCUUUUCGAAAAGAAAAGACAGAAUAAUUGAGCGACCCAGCUUUACGCAUCAUUCAACCAACUUUCCCCUUUGAAAAAUCUUAUAAUGGCGUAUUGCAUCAGGUUCUUUGAAUUACCAAACCCCUGUCUCUUCUCUCUUCAUUGCAAACCCUCAUCCCUUUUCCUCUUUGGCUAAAUUUUGGUCUCCGCUGGUGGUGGCGUGUCUCCCAUGUUACUCAAGUUUUAGCUCUGGAGUUUUUAAUUAACAAAUGCUGUGAUUCAUCUUUCUUCUUAGUUUGUUCCAUCUUUGGCUGAAUUCUAAUCCUUUUUUCUGUAACUUCCGGAAAGCUAUGGAGUUCGUGAGCUCAAUCGUGGGUUUGGUCCCCUGCUUCUAUGAUCACACCUCCAAGCACACGGUCUACAUUCGUGAUCUGAGAAAAAAUCUCCAAGCCUUGAGCAAAGAAAUGGUGGAUCUGAACAACUUGUAUGAAGAUGUGAAGGAAAGGGUAGAACGUGCAGAGCAACAACAGAUGAAGCGCAGAAAGGAAGUGGGUGGGUGGAUCCGUGAAGUAGAAGCCAUGGAGAAAGAAGUCCACGAAAUUCGGCAAAGAGGAGAUCAAGAAAUCCAGAAGAGUUGUCUCGGAUGCUGUCCCAGGAAUUGUUGGUCUAGCUACAGGAUUGGAAAGGCAGUAAGUGAAAAGCUGGUUGCUGUAUCUGGUCAAAUCGGCAAAGGACAUUUCGAUGUUGUAGCCGAGAUGUUGCCUCGUCCUCCAGUUGAUGAACUGCCAAUGGAGGCGACUGUGGGCCCACAAUUGGCGUAUGAAAAGAGCUGUAGGUUUCUCAAAGAUCCACAAGUGGGAAUUAUGGUAUUGUAUGGAAUGGGGGGUGUUGGCAAAACCACCCUUUUGAAGAAAAUCAACAAUGAAUUCCUUGCAACAUCCAAUGACUUUGAGGUUGUGAUUUGGGCAGUGGUGUCAAAAUCGCCCGACAUUGAAAAAAUUCAGCAAGUUAUUUGGAAUAAAUUGGAAAUCCCACGUGAUAAAUGGGAAACUAGAAGCAGUAGGGAGGAGAAGGCUGCAGAAAUAUUGAGAGUUCUGAAAAGAAAAAGGUUCAUCUUGUUGUUGGAUGACAUUUGGGAGGGACUUGAUCUCCUAGAAAUGGGGGUCCCGCGUCCAGAUACUGAAAAUAAGUCCAAGAUAGUUUUGACGACCCGAUCACAGGAUGUCUGCCACCAAAUGAAAGCUCAGAAGAGUAUAGAAGUGGAAUGUUUGGAGUCAGAAGAUGCCUGGACUUUGUUCCGGAAGGAGGUAGGAGAAGAAAUAUUAAAUUCUCAUCCGGAUAUACCGAUGCUUGCAAAGGUUGUUGCUGAAGAGUGCAGAGGUUUACCUCUCGCUCUUGUCACUCUUGGGCGGGCCAUGGCAGCUGAGAAAGAUCCCUCAAACUGGGACAAGGUAAUACAAGAUCUACGCAAAUCUCCAGCUGAAAUCACAGGUAUGGAAGAUAAAUUGUUUCAUCGAUUGAAACUCAGUUAUGAUAGGUUGCCUGACAAUGCCAGCAAAUCUUGUUUUAUAUAUCAGUCCAUCUUCCGAGAGGACUGGGAGAGUUAUAAUUUUGAACUUAUAGAACUUUGGAUAGGGGAGGGGUUGUUGGGUGAAGUUCAUGACAUACAUGAAGCACGCGAUCAAGGGGAGAAAAUUAUUAAAACUUUAAAGCAUGCAUGUUUAUUGGAGAGUUGUGGUUCAAGAGAAAGAAGGGUUAAGAUGCAUGAUGUGAUCCGGGACAUGGCUUUGUGGUUAUAUGGUGAACAUGGGGUGAAAAAGAACAAAAUUCUAGUAUACAAUAAGGUUGCUAGGCUUGAUGAAGAUCAAGAAACUUCCAAAUUGAAAGAAACAGAGAAGAUAUCAUUAUGGGAUAUGGAUGUUGGGAAGUUCCCAGAAACAUUGGUGUGCCCCAAUCUUAAGACUUUAUUUGUGAAAAACUGUUAUAAUUUGAAGAAAUUUCCAAAUGGAUUCUUUCAAUUCAUGCUUCUACUUAGAGUUUUGGAUUUGUCAGACAAUGAUAAUUUAAGCGAGUUGCCAACUGGGAUUGGUAAAUUGGGUGCCUUGAGGUAUCUUAAUUUGUCAGUCACAAGAAUAAGGGAGUUGCCCAUUGAACUAAAGAAUUUGAAAAAUCUGAUGAUUUUGAUUAUGAAUGGUAUGAAAUCCCUUGAAAUUAUUCCACAAGAUAUGAUAUCAAGCCUUAUAUCCUUGAAGUUGUUCUCCAUUUUCGAAUCCAAUAUUACAAGUGGAGUUGAAGAAACUGUACUGGAGGAGUUGGAGUCCUUGAAUGACAUCAGUGAGAUAUCAAUCACCAUAUGCAAUGCUCUUUCAUUCAACAAACUAAAGAGUAGUCGUAAAUUACAAAGGUGCAUACGUAAUCUAUUUUUACAUAAAUGGGGGGAUGUGAUCUCACUUGAACUAUCAUCUUCAUUUUUUAAAAGAACGGAGCAUUUGAGGGUGCUUUAUAUAAGCCAUUGCGAUAAAUUGAAAGAAGUGAAAAUUAAUGUGGAAAGAGAAGGGAUACACAAUGAUAUGACUCUUCCAAACAAAAUUGCAGCAAGGGAGGAAUAUUUCCACACCCUUCGUAAGGUGCUUAUAGAACAUUGUUCAAAAUUGUUAGACUUAACAUGGCUUGUUUAUGCUCCAUAUCUUGAACAUCUUCGUGUUGAAGAUUGUGAAUCAAUAGAAGAAGUGAUACAUGAUGAUAGUGAAGUCGGUGAAAUGAAGGAAAAAUUGGACAUAUUCUCAAGGCUCAAAUACCUCAAGCUCAAUAGGCUGCCAAGAUUGAAGAGCAUCUAUCAGCAUCUGCUACUCUUUCCCUCUCUUGAAAUCAUCAAGGUGUAUGAAUGCAAAGGCUUAAGGAGUCUCCCAUUUGAUUCCGACACUUCAAAUAAUAGUCUGAAGAAAAUUAAAGGAGAGACAAGUUGGUGGAAUCAGUUGAAGUGGAACAAUGAAACUUGCAAGCACUCUUUUACUCCGUAUUUCCAAAUCCAUGAAGCUGAAGCAUAUUCAACUGACACUGAGGAGUCUGAAACUGGCAGCAUAGAUGAUGUGCAAGAACAACCGGUAUCAAAUUAACUUCUAUCAAUCUUUCAGGUAUUAAUUAACUUUUAUACUAUAUUUGGAAAAUCAUUUUCUUUCCUUAAUCCCAUUCUUUUGUGGAAUUUUUUACUCUAUAUAUCUAUGCCAAAGUGCAUCAAAGUCUCAACAUCAUAAUAACUUUCAAUGUUUGAUCUAUCAAGUUUGCCCCCUUUUGAAGUAACUGUUAUAAAGUUUGCCCAGAAGGGACUUUGAAGGAGGUCUUUUAUUUAAACAUCUAAUGACAUUUCCUUUUGGUUACUUGAGAACUUGAAAAUGUGCAGAGUUCUCAACUAUAUUGUUUAUUGUGUCUUAAUUUUUUCGGUUCAUUUCAAUCUAUAAACAGAAAGAGAGAAUACCUAAUUUCAACUUAAUUCCUUAUAUUUCAAGUUGAAACAACAGGUGUUUCACAACAACUGUAGGUAAAGAUAUUCCAUUAAGAAUUCUCGCUUUGUUUAAUGUAUUUACCAGGACCAACUAUAUGUAAUUUCUCUUCUUUUGUUGAGUUGCCUCUAUCUGGUUGACUCUCAGUUGUUUUUUUUUUCUUUUCUUUUUUCUAUUGCAUUCAGAGUUGGGGCUUGUUCUAGAAGUUCUGAGAACAGCUGGGAUUCAAUUAGCUCUAUCCAGUGGAGCCUUGAGUUUUUUGGUUGGAUGCAGAGCAGGGUCUUGUUCUACCCCUUCUUACUCAGUUGGGAUCUGAGCUUCUUUGGCUGCUUCCGUUUCGUCCUGCUCUUUUUCCUUCUAAUUGGUAUAGACGUGAGCUGGAUUAUGUUUGCUUGCUGGUCUGAGUUUCUGAUAUGCUUAGUGGUGGUGUGCUGAUUCUCAGAGCAUCGCUAUUCAUGGUGCUCAGUCUGCUGGGAAAGUUGCUUAAUGUCCAGAUGCAGGGGCUCAUCUCGGCAGGCUUUGGUUGGGAUCCAUGUGUUUGCUGGAAUUGGAUUCUGUGGGUUGCCCUUGGCUUUUGAUGUAGGCUGGGUUUGUUUUCUUUGUUGAGGCCGGUGGAGUAUGGUGGCUCAGAAGCUGCUAGUAAUCUGUCUGUUGUAUGCUGACGCUGGAAUCUUCAUGGUGGUUGCUCUGGUGGGUCAAUAUGAUAUGGGAAUGCUUUUGCCUUUUUGAGUCCUUGGGCGUCAGCUGGUUGUUUGUGUUUCCUCUGCGCUUUAGUUCAUAUACCAGAGUGCAUACUUCCUUGAGUUCCAUAUCCCACUGCCAAGUGUGUUGUCCAUGAUGUAAUGUAAAGCAGUUAAUUUGUAUACCUGGCCUUAAGUUCCUCUCUAGAAAACUUUGAACGCCCUUUAUGAAUGAAAUGUUGUGAGAAAAACUGGAGUUGAUUUUCACAUUUGAGGUCAUUAAUGGUGAUUUUUCUUAAUGUAAUUGUGAUGGAAAAGAAAUUUGAUCAAGGAGUCGAAACCAUAAGCAGAGUCGAUCUUAUUCAACAUUGCAUUAUAAUUUGGUACCCCUCACAGAUCGCUCCAAAUAGCAUUGAAAAGUACUUUCAUUUUCCUUCAGUGGAGGCUUCUUUUUCUUUGCUGGUUAAUAUUCAUAGCUUCAGUGCUUGAUGAAAUUUCGUUACUUGACAUUGUUCACUAUUGUCCCUCCUGCUCUAAUCACAAACAAAUGCCCCAAUAAAUAAGAAUGAUUUGUUCAAGAAAUUUGAAAAUACUUGAACAAUAAAAGAAAAGAAUAGGAGAGAAAGGAAAAGAAAUUCAGAAAGCAAACACUUGGUAGUUUCCAUUUCAAUUAACCGAUCUUUGAAACUAAAAUGUAAUUCUUGGUAGAAUAAAAGAAGACAUGCAACAUCUUAAGAAGAUUCAUCUAAUGGAACAUACCAUGCUACAAUUGGAAACUGAGACUAAAUAGUUGUUUUGGUAGAAUAGAUAUCGCAUGCCAAAAAGAAAGUCUUGUAGCUUUGACUGCUUCAAAAUUCUUGUACAUAUAGCCCACAAACCUUUCGAGAUCAUACUUGUUUAUUCAAGCCUGUUUGAACAUACGGCUCUAGCGGAAGAUCUUACAACUUUAGGAGUCCAUAGUGUCCAUGAAAUCACAGGAAAAGAAAAGGAUGUAUAGUCAAGUUCAUGAAAAAUAAAGAGAUGGUUUAUUAAAGUUCACGAGUUUGGGACAUCUAAAACACUUUAAUUGUGUUUGGUUGAGUCUCCAUUUAUGGGGCAAUUCCCAUCAAGUCUAAUGAUUGACCACCAAUGACUUGAAAAUUGAAGCAUUGGAUGUGCCGCAUGUAGUUGAUGUUGCAUUAUUGAGGGUGGUUAUAUUAUAAAUUAAAUAGGCAUGCUAAGAGCAUGAGUUACAGAUUACCCGAUCCUGACUUGUCUCAUUUAUAUUAAUCUAUUCUCAUUCCUAUCCUAACAAAAAAUUUUAAAUGAGGAUGGAUGGAUAUGAGAAUUUCUCAUACCCGCCUUAUAUCAUUUAUUUAUUUAUUUUAGUUUUUUAACAAUUAAAAAUAAAAAUAUUUUAUAAAUAAAUAAAUUUUAUAACUUAUUUUAUUUAAAUAUAUAUAUAUAUAUAUAUAUAUAUAAUUAUUUUAUGUGUUCAAAAGAAGAAAAUGAAAACCAAUAAAUUAAAUUAUUUUUAAAUUUAAUUAUACAGCUUGGAAAGUGGUGGGUUAGUACAAGGCAUAUCUUGAACCCUGCCCCUAACCAACCCUAGUUUUAAAACAAAAACAAAAAUGUUGAAUUUGUAUCUAAUCAAUUUAUCUUCAUCUAAACUUGUCUCCCUAAACGUAAGUAUUUGAAAAAAUUUGUCUCAUUAUCAUCUUUAAUCAUAAAUUUUUUUUAAUUUAAAUUUAGAUACCAACAAACAUUUAAAUUAAAUUAAAAAUUCUUAUGCAAACAAGGGCUUUUCAGUUGCAGAAAAAUUGUGUACCUUCCUUGACAUUCUAGAUCCAGUUCUUGCAUUUUUUUGGAGGAUCCACAUAAGGAACAAUUUAAAUUUAUUCACAAAUACAAUUAUUCAAAAAGGCAUCAUACUGAACACAAGCAAAAUAACUACAAAUGUUAAUAGAAAUGGAUGGAAGCAUACAGGUGUAGAGAAUAUAAAAAAAAGAUUAUGAAGCCAAAAAUAAAAUAAAAAUAAAUAAAAAUAAAUAAAAGUAUAUGGUGGUUUAUUAUUGUUCAGGCCUAAUAAUUGAUUGUACAUGUCAAUGGGCCUAAUAUUAUUGCUCCGGCCUUUAUUCUAGAUGUCCAGGCCCUGUCAUUGCCUGAGUGUGAGGUCAUGGCUCGUUCUCUGUAUAGGUAGGUUCAUCCCUUGUCCAUUUGUAUACUUUUGAUCCAUGUGGUCAAGCCAACUUGGCUGUUGGGUACUUCAGGUGCGAUACCUUCUAUCCUACUUCUUACCCAAUUGAGUGAUUUAUCUUAGACGUCAUGGGGUCAUACACCUCUAAAACUUGAGUUGGUGGACUACCUUUCCCAGUUCUGAUCUCUCAGAUUCUUUCAUGGGCUUGAGUUCUAGCAUGAGCUUCUCGUUCUCCCCUACCCUGGUCCUAUAGUACUAUUUAUUUUUCAAACUUGCCCCUAGAUUUUUUUUAGUAUAAAAAGUACUAUUUUGUUGAAUUUAAAAAAACUCAUAGGAACAUAACCUUUCAAUAAGCUUAAACCUCUAUCUCUCAAAACUUUCAAAAUCCUUCUUGAAAGUCUCUUUUGGCUAAACAAAUAUUUGAGACUCACAUUGUAUAUGCUUUAAUAAGGGCUUUGAGGGACUCGCUAAAAAUAUAGGUGACAAUUUUGAUAUGAUACAAUAACACAACUUGAAAAUGUUAUAAAUUUUAAUAGAUUCAGAUUAGGUAUAACAUAUUCAUAUUGUAAUCAUAUCAACUCAUAUGACCCAUUUAAUAAAAAUGUACGAUUAUCCAACCCCAUAUAGCUUGUUUACUAAUUCAUGCCAAACAAACCAAUUUAUCUAAUCGUAUCAAAAUGAUGUUUAACUCAUAUAAAAUUAUUAAUAUUAUAUAUUUCAAAAUUAUAUAAAAAAAAUACUUAUUAGUUAUAAAUAUGAUAUAGUUAAAAAAUGAAGUAACUAAGUAAAAUUUUAUACAUUUCAUUGUAAAUAUUAAAAUUAUUUUAUCAUUAGAACAUUAGAUAGAAUUAUAAACAAGCGUAAAAUUAAAAUUUUAAUGUAUUUUUAUAUUAUAAACAUUUUCUAAUUUAAAUUUUAUAAUUAAAUUAGUUAAAAUUUUAAAAACAUAAAAUGUAUUUCAAAUAAUACAUUUAUAAAUUUUAAAUAGGUUAAACAUGCUAAAAUUGUAUUAACAUGUUAAAGAGUUAUAAUCAUAUUAAUAUGUUAAACGAGUUAAAAUAGGCUAACCAUGUUAGAAUUGUAUUAGUAAGUUACACAAGUUCAAGUUGUGUUAACAUAUUAAACGGAUUAGAAUCAUGUUAAUGGGUUCAACGACUAUUAAUAUGUUUCAUAUGUUAGAAUUGUAAUAACAGGUUAUCUAUGUCAAUUUAUACAAAGAUUAACUUAACCCGUCUAUUAAAUUAGUUUUGUUUGAAUUUGGUCAUUUUAAUACAAUUCUUAAAUAAAUUGUAUUCCUAUUGAGUAAAUUUUCACUAUUUUUUAUCUUAACAUUAUACAAAUCCAACACGUAUGAUAUCACCUAUUGUCACCCCUAACUAAGGAGCAUAUGAGUGUUGCACUGAGGAACCAGAAGAAGAGUGUAAAUACUAUUUAUAAAAAACUUUUGGAAGUGGAAGCAUUCUAUCAAGUAAAGUUGUGUUAACUUUUUUUCAUAGUUAGUGGAUUAUUCAAUGGUCAAGAGACCAACUAUGGUUUUUUACGCCUAAGGAUUUCCAGGUAGGUUCCACAUUAAAUUCUAUAUCUAAUUGUAUAAUUAGAAAGAUCGUGCAUGAGAUUGAUAACAUAUUAAUCAUAAUUGAAUCAUAAUAAAAUAAUUUAACUUUGGGGUUAAUUGAUUGAACUAUGUAUGUAUGGAUAUUUUAUAUUUUUUUAACUUUAAAUUAAUUAUUAUGUUGGGAAAUGGAAUAAGGGAAUAGUUGGCUCCAUUUUCAAUCUUGGUAACAUAAUUUGUUGUUGACAUGUUAUUUUAUCUUAUUUUAUAUAUUUUGUAGGAUAAAAAUAUAUAAUCAAGUGCUCUUGUAUGAUUGAUUUAGAUGUUAGAAAAAGUUACAAAACAUUAAUUCUAUUUGACUGAUGACAAAAACUUUUAAUUGCCAACAAUUUUUUUUAUAAACUUUAAGUUGCUAGCAUUCAUAUGUUAUUCUAAAGUUAUUAAUUAUAAUUUUAUAUAAGUUGAAUCACAAUUCUUGGGUAAAUGAAGAAGUAUUUAUUGACAAGAUACUUGUUUAUAUUGGAAGUUUUUAGUUUGAUUUGUUAUUGAAUUCAAAUUCUUAGUAGCUAGCUUUGAAUAUUAUCUAGUUGCAUUGGUUUUUGUUGUAAGUUCGAUUUUUAUAUUGUUUCCACACAUGAUGUUUAUUAAUUGAGAAUGCUAAUGAUUCGAGGUUAGAAUCGGUCACUCCUUACUAAACUUAUUCUUUUAGGCUAUGUUUGGUUGGCCGAAUAUAAUAUAUAAUAGAAUAAGAGAAAUGAUAUUAUAUCAUAUUCCAUCUUUAGUUGAAGAUGAGAUAUGAUAAAUUAUUUCAUUGCUUAUUAUAUACUAUGUUUAACUAAAUAUGAGAUAUGAUAAGUGAUGAUAUAUUACUCACUUUUUUUUUAAUCUCUUAUACAUGAAAUAUGUUAAUUUUAUGCUAAGAUAUAAGAAAUGCAUAUCUCAUAUAUCAUAAAUUUAUUUUUUAUCAAUUUUUUUAUAUAUUUAUUUUGUAAAAUAAUUUUUUUUUAUUAUAAAAUUAAAUUUAUAGUUAAAAAAGAAAAACUAAAAAAAUAUUUAUAAAUAGCAUUAACAUAUGAUAUAUAGAUUACUUUUUAUGUAUUAAAUAACAUAACAUAACAUAAACAUUUUUUAUUUGUAAAAUUUAAAUAUUUUAAUCAUGACUAUUUUUAAACAUAAAAGAAAUUUCAUUUUUUUUAAAUGGAAAAUAUUGGAAUGUGAUAUAAUUUUUAUUUUAAACAUUGAAAAUAAUAUAUAUAUAUAUAUAUUUAUUAUUUUUAUUCAUUUCAUAAAUUAAAUAUAAAUAUAAUAUAAUAUAUCUAAUUAGAUAUGUCACAUUAGAAUAUCAUAUUCAUAGGAUAUAUAUAUUUAAGGAUAUCAUAUCCUAUUAAAAAUUAUAUUUUAGGAUAUCAUUCUUUUUACCACAAGAGAGCAACAAUUGCUUUUAAUCGGUAAAAUUUGUAUGUGUACUAAAGUUGCACUGCCUAAUGUAAAGUGUUGGCUCCGCCACUGUGUUGCACCUCAAGCCACCACCAAGUCUCCUCAUGAUGCCCUUGUAAGCCUUGAUUAUCACAUUACCUUGGUGUCACAUUCUCCAAGUCAAGGUGUUAAUACUCUUCUAUGUUUACAAACAUAAUUUGGUCACCAUUUAUUAACUUAUAAGUCUCUAUAACCAUAAAAAAAAAUUUAAACAUACUAUUAGAACAAGGCUCUAUAUUUUGGGUUUUGAUAUCCAAUGAAAUAUGAUAUUUUAAGAAAUACAUAUUUUAUUAAGUUCUAUCCCGCCAAUGAAAUGUAACUUUAAAUGUAUUCUCAUUUUUAUUCUGCAUCUUUAUCCGAAAUCCAGGAGUUUACUUUUUUGUUUUAAGGUAAUUCAUUUUUUAUUUUAUUUUAUGUGUAUUAAAAAAAUAAAAGAAAAAAUAAGGAGUAACAUCAAUCAUUAUAAAGCCUGAAUCAAUCCCAAACAUUCAUAAGAAGACAAUUUAAGUCUUAAAAUAAAAUCCCAAAGCUACUUCUGACUAGACUACGCGUUUUGAUGACAUUUCACUUGAAAAUAAUGCAGAGUUUUCACUUAUAUUAUAUACUGUCUGAAUUUUAUUUUUGAUUCAUUUCGAUCUAUAAACAGAAACGGAAUACCCAGUUUUGAAGUAUCAACUUCAUUCCAACUUAUAUUUCAAGUUAAAUAAUAGAUAUUCCAUUCAGAAUUCUUGCAUUGUAUGAUGUGUUUACGAGGGUAAUUUCUCUUCUCUUGUUCAGUUGGCUCUGAUCAGUUUUUCCUUUUGUCCUUUUAUUGCAUUUAGAGUUGGGGCUUGUUCUAGCAGUUCUGGCAACAGCCGGGUUGAUCUUCUUCACAUAGAUUGGGGUACUUCUGUUUUUUCUGAUUGGAGAUGUGCUGCUCUUUCUCCUCGUACUUGGUAUUCGGGUGAGAGGUGGAUUAUGUUUGCUUGCUUGCUGGUCUGAGUUUCUGAUAUGUUUUGUCACGGUGGCAUGAGUGCUGAUUCUCAGAGCAUUGAUAUUUUCAUGGUGCUGAGACUGCUGGGAAGGUUGUAGCAUCCUUUUCGUUUCUGGCUGGAAUUGGAUUCUGUGUGUUGGCUUUGCUCUCUGGUUUCUUCACCUAAUUCAACAGAGCCACAUGCUUUGGUCCAUAUAUCAGACUGCUGCACCUAAUUCAGGGAUGAUGAAGUGAUCUUAUUCAACGUUGCAUUCUAAUUCCUCUCAUUUUCAUAUCUAUUUUCUACCUUGCUAUAUUCAAUAUCCAUUCUGUGAGUUGAAUGACCCAUGUUUUUAUUUUUCUAAGAAAUUCUCUAUCAUUUCAUCAUAACAUCCAGAGGAAACAUAGACAGGAAUUUCUCAUUUUUCAUUCGAGAGCAUUUAGAUCUUCCAACACCAACCUCACUGAACAUGACCGCAAAAUUCCUUCGAUUUUGGACUUAAAAUUAUGUUAGUACCCAUUGGACAAUCCAUUAGGUCACAGUUUGACCUAACUUGAUUCUUUCUUACCCAUGUCUUUUCCUUUGAAUUUUGGGGUGCCCUAUAAUUCAAGUCAAUGAAUUUGGACAAAUCAAAUCAAUUUUUUUCCCAAUUGAUGCCAAGGAAUAUCCAUAUGAUUCAAACAAUAUUUACAUUGUUUGUUUGAAUUUUGCCUAAAGUAUUCAUGAUUGUGUCCAAACAAAAUGCGUAUUAAUGACAUUAGUAAUGACACAAGUGCUUGGUUUUGACAUUUUCAAUAUUUGCAUUCCCAUUACUAAUUUUUGUUUCCCCCUUUCUUUUUCUUUUUUUUCAUUUUUUGUUUGUUUUGAACUGGUGCUUCCUUCCUCAUUCAUUCUACUUUUGUUUUUUGAAAAACAUUUGUCUCUUUUGCACACAUCCUAAAAAGCCCAAAAGCAUUUUUUUUUUAACUUAAGCUUUUUUUUCAAUUUAUCUUAAAAUGAAAAUAAAAAAUACAAUUUUCUUAUUGAAGUGUUAUUUUGAUUUAUAGAUAAAGUUAUUUCAUAUUUUAUAAAUCUUUUACUCUAUUUAUUUUGUUCUUUGCAAAUUAUAAUUUGGCUCACUUCAACUUUGAAACAAAAUCAGAAUAAAAAAAAAUUAUAGCAAAUUAUGUUUUAAUCUGCUUUCCAAGUGGAAAAUACAAAUAAUGCAACCCGUAUCUGCAUAAAAUUAGUGCAUGAAACAUUACUUUUCAAUGGACUUGAAAAAAUAUUUUAAAACCAACAACUCCAAAAGUCAAUGGUCUCAAUAAUGUAGUGCAAUAGGUUUCCAAAAGAUGAAGGGUGUGAAGAUCCCUAAAAUGUUUUUGAGAGUAAGUGUUUCCAAAAGAUAUAAGCAAGUACGAAUUUCUUUAAAAUGUUUUUCAAUUGUUUUUUUACAUGGUUAUUUAAGUUGCCUAAUAAUAAAUCGUUUUCUAAUUUUUGUAUGAAUUAAAUAUUAUUAUUUUUCUAAAAUAAGAAGUAUGUUUAAUAAUUAAUUUAUCUAAGUAAUAAUAAUGACCAACAACCUUUUAGACCUAGUCUUUCAAUCGACUGAUUUAUUUUCUAGGUAUAAAUUAUCGGGAAGUAAAAUACAUGUAUUGAUGGAUUAAUUAAAGGGAGAGUUAAACCUGAGUUUCGACCCAAAAUAGUGUGUUUUAAAAAAAAAUUCCAAAAAAUAAAGUUGUUUUCAAAAUAAUGUCCGAUCUAAUGUGUCUGUGCCACAUAAGCUGUCACAUCAUAAAACCGUAGUUGGUGACUACGGUUUUAUUUUUCUAAAGUGGUUAGAAACCGUAGUUACCAACCACGGUUUUAACUUUAAGUUUAAAGCCGUAGUUGGUGACUACGGCUCUGAUUUUUUUUAAAAAUGGUCAAAGCCGUAGUCACCAACUGCGGUUUUAACUUUAUAUAUAUUUAUAUAUAACUUUAAUUUUUUUAAUAAAAAUAUUAUAUUAUUUUGAUUUUAAAUAUACUUAUUUCAUUAUUUUAAAAAUAAUAAUAUACGAAAUUAAAUAAUUGAUAUUUUUAAUUUGAUAUAAAAAUAUAUUUUUAAAUUUUAUUAAAACGCACUAUAUUUAAUAUAAAUAUAAUUAAUUAAUUAAAAUAAAAUAUAAUAAAUUAUAUUUAUUUAAAAUAAAUAAAUUAUAAAUACCUAUUUAUAAAAAUAAAAAAUAAUAUAAAUUAUUAUAUUAAUUAAUAAUUUUUAUAUAUUAUAUAUAAAUUUUAUAUAAUACCCCCCCACACACACACACACACACACACACACACACACACACACACACACACACACACACACACACACACACACACACACACACACACACACACACACACACACACACAUAUAUAUAUAUAUAUAUAUAUAUUUAAAAGUUUAAUUUAAGUUUAAAAUUUAUCACAUUUUUAUUUAAAUAUAUAAAUAAAUUUUAUUAAAACAAUUGACACUAUAUUUAAUAUAAAUAUAAUUAUUUAAUUAAAAUAAAAUAUAAAUAAAAUAUAAUAAAUUAUGUUUAUUUAAAAUAAAUAAAUUAUAAAUGCCUAUUUGGAGAAAAAAAUAAUAUAAAUUAUUAUAUUAAUUAAUAAUUUUUUUAUAUAUUAUAUGUAAGUAGUAUAUAAUAUCACACACACACACAUAUAUAUAUAUAUAUAUAUAUAAAAGUUUAAUUUAAUUUUAAAAUUUGGCAUAUUUAUUUAAAUAUAUAAAUAAAUUAUUAUCAUAUCGAUAUAAUAUUAUGAACUUAAAUUAAAAUAUGAUAAAUUUUAAACUUAAUUGAACUUAUAUACAUGUGACAUUAUAUACCACUUACAUAUAGUAUAUAAAAAAUUAUUAAUUAAUAUAAUAAUUUAUAUUAUUUGUUUUUUAAUAAGUUUUCAUAAUUUAUUAUAUUUUAUUUAUAUUUAAAUAUAAUUAACUAAAUAUAUUUAUAUUAAAUAUAGAUUAUAUUAUUUUAAUAAAAUUUUAAAAUAUAUUUAUAUCAAAUUAAAAAUAUUAAUUAUUUAAUUUCAUAUAUUAUUAUUAUUAAAAUAAUGAAAUAAGUAUAUUUAAAAUCAAAAUAAUAUAAUAUUUUUAUUAAAAAAAUUAAAAUUAUAUAUAAAUAUAUAAAGUUAAAACCGCAGUUGGUAACUACGGUUUCUAACCACUUUAGAAAAAUAAAACCGUAGUCACCAACUACGGUUUUAUGACGUGGCAGCUUAUGUGGCACAGACACAUUAGAUCGGGCAUUAUUUUGAAAACAACUUUAUUUUUUGGAAUUUUUUUUAAAAACACACUAUUUUGGGUCAAAGCUCGUUAAACCUUCUAAGACACUACCCAUCUCACUUGAGAAUGGAAAAUUGAAAGGCUACAAAUACAUCCUUAUUUCCCUCUUUCUAUAAAAAUGGUCUUCCAUAUCCUCUUAUCAAUUUCACUUCAAUUAUCCUUAAAAAAAUCACUUCACAACUUCAAAGAUUUGUGAGUAAAAUUAUAAAAGUACUAACAUGUCACUUGAGUAAAAAAGACAUGAUUAAUAUCCAAAAAAAUAAAACAUAUACCAUUGUAAACCCUAAAAUUUGUUCUAAUUUUAUUUUUAUAUUAAUUUCGAACCAAAUUUUAUAUUUAGAUUUCAAAUCCCAAUUACAUGUGUUUUUUUUUUCCCACUCAUUAUUUAAUAAUUUUUAUUAUUUUGUAUAUUAUAUUAUUUUAUUUUAUUACUAUUACUUUUAAUUUAAUUUUAUUAUUAUUAUUAUUAUAUUUUGUUUUAUUUUUAUUUAUUUUUAAUUUUCUUUUCUCAUCUCUCCUAUUUCCUCUUUUCUCUCUCCUCUCUUCCUACCCCUCACCACCGGCCACCCCUUUCUCUCUCUCCCAUUUUCUCCUCCAUUUUCCUCUCUCCUCUCUCCUCUCUUCCUACCCCUCACCGUGGGCCCCACCACUCCCCCAUUCUUCUCUCUCUCACCCCCAAUUCUUCCCAUAGGGCCGGCCCCCACCAUUCUUUUUUCUUUUCCCCCCGCUUUUUCCCCCCAUUUUUUUCCCCUUUUUCCCCACUUUUCUUCUUCCCACGGCCGGCCCCUGGAUUUUUUUUUUCUUUCUUCCCCCUUCCCCCUCAUUUCUUUCUCUCACCCCCGCAUUUUUCUUUUCCUGCGGCUCCAUUUCACUCUCUGGCUCCACUUCGCAAAAUGGGCAGCUCGCUCCCCUCCCAAAUUUUUUUUUCUCUCUUCGUUUUUUUCCUUUUUGUUUCUCUCCCGGGGACGCAUUGAUGGCGAUCCAUUUCUUUUCCACCUACAUUUCUUUUCCACCCAUUUUCUCUGCCAAAAAAAAAAACGCCCAUGGCUCCCAGAUUCGUCUAUUUUCUCCAUUUUUUUUUGUUUUGGUAUUAUUAUUAUUAUUAUUAUUAUUAUUAUUAUUAUUAUUAUUAAUUUUUUUUUCAUAAUUUUUCUUAAUUUGAUUUUGAUAGUAAUUAUCGUUGAAAUUGGGUUUGUGUAUUUAUAUUUGCUUGUGGGCUUAUGUUUGGGCUUUGUUAAUUAAUAUGAAAUUUGAGUUAAUUUAUUGUUGAUGGAUUAAUUUGAAAUUUGUUAAUUUGAUUUUAUGGUUAUAUUACAUUAGUAAUUAAUUUGGGAUAUUUGGAUUUAUCAAUUGCAUAUUGUUUAUUUGGAUUUGGGUCUAUUGUUAAUUUGUUAUUUGUUUAAGCUUAUUGGAUUGAGUUUAAAUUUUAUUUCCCUUGACCAUGUAUAUUUUUUUAUGUGGGUCUGUUAAUUGAUAUGAAUUUUGGGGCCUAAAAUAUGGGUGAAAUUUGUUGGAUUAUUUGAAUAUUUGAUAGGAGCCUGACCAAUUUGAAUUAUUUAAUUUGAACAUGGGACAAUUGUGAUGUACAUUAAAUUAGGCUAAGAUUAUGAAAUAUUAAAUUUAGGUCUAGUAGAAUUUAUUUUAAUUUGUCCAAUCUUAGUGUGGACCCGCAUUUUUCACGUGCGUCCCCACUCGACCGGCGAGACUCGCUUUUUUAUUUGUGAGAAAUUGAUUUUUGAAAAAAAGUUGGAGUCGCCACUUAUUUUUAUUUUUAUUUUUGAAGGGAAAAUAAAACAAGAAAUAAAACCCUAAAAAAAUGACUCCAUAAUUUUUGGAAAAGCAUGUCUUUGAAAAACCCGAGUCUAAGUCCGGGGGUCAGGUUACCUAUUAGGAAGGUACCUUUGAAAGGUAGCACCCCUCUAAGCCCUAUAAAGGUCUCUACUGACAAAGUUAAGGGAAGUGUGACCAUUAAUCAGUUAAUUACGGAUACCUAAGUAGACUAGAUGAUUUCAAAAAAAUAACAUGCCGAAUAUGAUCAAAUUGCCAUAAAAGAGAGUUAGGGUGCAUACCUGGACGACUUCUCAAAGCGCUAUCAUAAAACAUGAAAGUUAGUAUUGAGAUGCAUCACACAACAUGCAUUUUAUCAAAGAUAAUCAAACAAUCAUCAAAUGUAUAUCAAGACAAUCAAAUAGGAUAGCACGUAUGGACAUAGUACGCAAUGACAAUCAUAUUCAUAUGGUUUAGAAAGUGGGUAUUAGGGAAUGUACCUGGAUAGCAUAUAUAACUUACAAUGCGCUUCCAUGAAACAUGGUUAGUGAACGAUGAACAAAUAUAAUUAAGCGAAUAUCAAAGAAUAGAGUAAACCAAUCAUGAAGUCAAGUAUGUGGGGCCCCACCCAAAGCCCGUUUAUUUUAGCAUGAAUUAAUUCCAUAAAUUCCAUUAUUCGGAAUUACGGAAUUUAUUCUUUGCUUAUUUUAAAACAUUUUAAAAUCAUGAAAGUUAUGAAAAUUGCAUGCCGAAGAGAUUGACAACAAAUUUUAUUGAAAAAUAGGAUUUUUGAGACCUAAAAAUUCUAAGGAUAAUAAACUAUGAAAUCAAAACAAGAUUUUUAUUUUGAAAAUCAAUUUUUAAAGAUGUGCAUGAUGAUGGGUAUAAAGACUUGCGAGUUUUGAAGAGGGGUAUAAGAAGGUGAGCCUGUAAGUCAAAAUUAGGCAAGAGUGAGAUCUUAAGCUUGGGGUCUUGAGCGGAUCACUGAACCACACCUCUGAAUCUGAAAUUUCUGAUUCUAUCUCCCUUGGGAUUGGCUUUUCAUAGUCUCGGUUAAGCACAGGGGAACCAUACCAUACCAGUGGUCUCUUCCAUAGUACUUCAUCUCAAGUAUUGAAAUGCAUCGAGCGUCUCAUUUAUUUCAAAUGGGUCAAUGUCAGCAACCUCAAGACCAGCAUUUCUUGCAGUAAUUUGGAUUGCAAUAGCUGGACCUACACCAAUGAUGCUAGGCUCCACACCAAAAGAAUCCUUCACGGUAUCGAGAUUUUCAUGAAAACCGGGUUGUCUAAGCCACUGAGAAAGAGUGUACAAAAGUGGUAUCUGACAUUCCUGUCUUUCGAAACAAGAUUAAUUCCCACCAGAUCAGCAAGUUCAUUGAUUCGGCAUUGCCAUGUGACUGUCAUAAAAGUCUUCAGAUGCACAAUGAAAAGACGGAAGGCUAUAGUGGAGUAAGAGCCUAUUCCAAACACGUGGAAUUUCUACCAAAUACCAAACUGUGCAUAGUUUCAGAAAUUUGAUUAGUCUAUCCAGUAAACUUGAAGAUGGGAAAAGCAAAGACACAGAUGGACACCCAACAACCUGCGGUGGCAGACAAAACAGCCUAUAAUCUUUGCAUUUAGCUUCGUCUUGCUGAUUAAACCAAAGGAAAUCUGCAUGGGCACACCGCGGGUUUGACAUUCCUACCAAGCUUGCCAAAUAGACCACAUGAUAAGCAAGUCAACACAUGAGAGGAAUGGUUCAAAUAUUUGCUUCUUCCAGAAUGCUGAUAUUGGAUUAAAGCUGACUAUAAUUCCGAAACUGAAUGCAAACACUGUACAAUGGAGUUCAUGUAUUAGGUGCUCCUCAGAUUGAAACUGGCAUUAUAACCCACAAUUUCCACUCACUACAAGGAAAAAGGUAUAUGGUGACAUUUAUAACGAGUCACCAUAAAUAUAAGAUGUCACUACAACAUAGCGUCACCUUCUCCACUGACACCAUAGAGGGUACCAAUUGGUGACGUAUUUGGAAGUGACACCAAAGUAGAUAAAUGGUGACCCAUUCAGAAGUGACACCCUAUAUUUCUAGUGAUGAUAGGGUGUCACAUUAAAUACAUCAUCUUUGAGUUAUGAUGUCACAUUAAAUGCAUCACCUUUGAGUUAUGGUAUCACAUCAUUGUAAAUUAUUGUGGAAUAUAUGAUUGGUUUUAGUUGUUGAUUUUUGUAAUGCUUAUGAAUUAAUAAGAUUAACCUGUUUAUAUUUUGUCCAUAAAUAUAACAAUCAUAUUAUAUUUAACUCAUUUUUCUGUAAUGUUUCUGGAAUAACUCAUAAUACAUUGAUCAUCUAAUAAUAUUUGUAUAUCAAAUGUUCACAAAAGGAUAGUACGUCCAACAUAUCAAACCCAUCAAAACUAAAAAAGAAGAGUGAAUACAUACCAAAACAUGAUUUAGAAAUGUUAAAGAUCCCAAGAUUNNNNNNNNNNNNNNNNNNNNNNNNNNNNNNNNNNNNNNNNNNNNNNNNNNNNNNNNNNNNNNNNNNNNNNNNNNNNNNNNNNNNNNNNNNNNNNNNNNNNUCACCUUUGAGUUUAUGGUAUCACAUCAUUGUAAAUUAUUGUGGAAUAUAUGAUUGGUUUUAGUUGUUGAUUUUUGUAAUGCUUAUGAAUUAAUAAGAUUAACCUGUUUAUAUUUUGUCCAUAAAUAUAACAAUCAUAUUAUAUUUAACUCAUUUUUCUGUAAUGUUUCUGGAAUAACUCAUAAUACAUUGAUCAUCUAAUAAUAUUUGUAUAUCAAAUGUUCACAAAAGGAUAGUACGUCCAACAUAUCAAACCCAUCAAAACUAAAAAAGAAGAGUGAAUACAUACCAAAACAUGAUUUAGAAAUGUUAAAGAUCCCAAGAUUCAUGUAUACCUCCAUUUCAUAAGCAUAAAACCGGUUAACCAUAAAAUGACAUAGAAGUCCCAUCUAAAAAUCUAAAUUUCUCAAUUGCAAUUAAAGUAACGUUUAUGUCCUACAACGUAUGACAUAAGAGUUGCAUUUAAAAACCCAAAAUCUCGUUGUCUUCUUCUUUCUUUUUAUUCUCCAUUUCACCCUCCCAAGAGUGUAUACCUGCAUUUCAAAAUUUAAUGAGUUUUAGAGAUUUUUAUUGAAGAAAACAAACAUGGAUCUAUGUUAUCAUAAAUGAACAAAUAUAAGAAUUAAUUUUUUUUUUCAAAUAGAAACAUUAUUCAAAGAAUAAGCAUUACUAUACAAUACCUAUGGAAAAAUUCAUGUAGUAGCUAAGGGACUCACCAUGCAUGGUGAUCAUGAUGCAUCAACAUGAUUCAUGAUUAGUUGUAGCACAAAAGUAGCCCAUUCUCCUCUAAUUUCAUCGAAUUCUACUUGAGAAUAUGUUUUUUUUAUUACCAAACUGAAAUCAAAUAAGAAAAUAACAUUAAAAUGCAUAACAUUUGGAAGCCUAAAACUAUGUACAAUUCAUUAAAUAAGUAAUACCUUUGAAGCAAUAAUUGUAGGAUAAAAAAUUAUCUCUUUAAUGAAUCUCAUAACAAAGUAGCCACAUUCGAACCCUCCUUCUUGUCUUGGACACUAAUCGAUCAAUUAUAAAAUAACAUUAGUACUCACAUAUAUAAAUGGUGCAAAUGCAUAAGCUAAUGUGUAAAGAAAAAUUUUUGGAUGUCACCNNNNNNNNNNNNNNNNNNNNNNNNNNNNNNNNNNNNNNNNNNNNNNNNNNNNNNNNNNNNNNNNNNNNNNNNNNNNNNNNNNNNNNNNNNNNNNNNNNNNAAAAUAGAAAUUCCUAAUAAUAAAAAAUAUAAAAUUUCUAUUUCUAUUAACAAAAUAUAAAAACUUUCCAAAACUCAAUUACUUAAAUAUAAAAAUAAAAUCAAAUAAAAUAUCUAGCUAAUUGGAUUUUAGAAACUAAAUAAACUAUAAAUAAACUAAAUAUAAAAACUAAAUAAAAUAUCCAUGCCCAUGAAUUAAUUGAAGAUGAUAGAAAGACACAGAGAGAACAUGGCUAUGGUUAUGAUUUCCAUCUUAUCAUUUCCCGUCAAUACCACACAUGCCCAUUUUAAGGAUGGACACUACUUUUGUUGCUGGACUUGGAAAGGGAACUUCAAAAUUGAAAACAUAAAUAAACCCUUAUGUAAAAAAAAAACAUUAAAAUAUAAUUGAACAUUAAAAUAUUUGCUCUUUUUCAUCACUUUCAUUUGAAUAUUAAUAAUCUCUUAUUGAGAUAGAUACUUACAAUUUAACAAAAUAGAAAUUCCUAAUAAUAAAAAAUAUAAAAAUUUCUAUUUCUAUUAACAAAAUAUAAAAACUUUCCAAAACUCAAAUACUUAAAUAUAAAAAAAAAAUCAAAUAAAAUAUCUAACUAAUUGGAUUUUAGAAACUAAAUAAACUAAAUAUAAAAACUAAAUAAAAUAUCUAUGCCCAUGAAUUAAUUGAAGAGGAUAGAAAGACACAGAGAGAACAUGGCUAUGGUUAUGAUUUCCAUCUUAUCAUCUCCCGUCAAUACCACACAUGCCUUCCUGGAUUGGUCCUUUUGGGGUUGGAUACUCUCAACGAAAUUCUAUAUCUCAUUCCCACUUAGAUACAAACAGAAAAAUGAUUCUUUUUUUUUUUCUCUCUCGUUUUUUAGAAAGGAUGAAAAUUAUGUGAUAGUAUAUCUUAAAAAAAUUAUGUACAUGUCAUUGUCACACAAAUACAUGUUAAAAAUCAUUCAUUUUUUCCUGUUUUUCACUUUUUUUUUAAGGACUUGAUCAUGUGUUUGGUUUAGAUUUAAAAAAUCAAUUAAUCUAUAGUUUUUUCUUCCAUGCUAGAAGAUUAAACCUAAAUUUUUCUUCCCUACAACUCAAGAAAACACAAUUCACAAAAACCAUAAUACAAAGAUGUUGAAACAAUUAAUAUAAUGACAUUAAUAAAAGAAAAAAAAUUGAUAGAUCCAAGAGAUUUUGGGUUACCUGGGAGUCCACAAAGUGAAGAAUGUCGGUUUUGAGCGUGUUGACUAUGGAUGGGUGAGAGAAAAGGUUGAAGAAGAUCAUGAUUUUAUAUAUAGGAUUUAUAUAUUGAGAUUUUUUGGAUUGUGGGUGAGAUAUGGAAACAAUGGGAUUUUUAUAUAGUAUCCAUCAUUAUUAAUUCUAAAAGUGGGCUCAUUAAGUUAUAAUACUUAAAAAAAAUUAUUUUAUAUGAUGUCACUUCCCAAAAAAUGACACUAUAAAUAUAAAAUUAAUAUCAUCUAACUAUCUCAAUUGAAGAUUUUUUAUAUGAUGUGUCACCUUUAUUAAUUAUAAACCCUAUGGUGUCAUUAUUUUAAAAGUGACACCGUAAAUAGUGACACCAUAAACUAUUUUUGUAGUAGUGACUUAAUCAAUAUAAUUCUGACCAUCCAUACUGACAUUACUCAUGUUUCUUGAGCCAAUGCCUAAUUCCAGAGCAGAUCAACAGAGACCUUGGCAUGGUUUUAAACUUCAGCCAAAUGAGAUGCGUGGGACAAUAGCUUGACUUAUGGAUUGUGGCAGGUCAGCAGCCUGACCCAUGGUUUGUGGUGGGACACCACCAUCUGGCAGUCCAAUGGAUUCCAGAGGAAUAAUAGGCUGCUGAGUGGCCUGUGGUGAGGCACCCACAUUGUCACUUAUGGGGCCUUACGCAUCGAUGGCAAGCCCGGUGGCGAUAGUACUGUGCAUCCCCGAAGCUGCCACUGCAAUUCCAUGCAUGGCAGCCAUGCUGAAACUCGCGUAGAUAGCAACGACAAUGGCAAAUAUCGGAAUGAUGUCAGACACGUAUCCCAUUAGGAAUGACUUUGCAUAAUAAUAAUCUGAAGAAGUCAGCUGCGUCGUCCAUCUACCAGUUCGUGAGUGAAGUUUUGCUCAGAAACCCAUUUGCAAUCUUCACAUUUUGCUUCAUCUCUGACGGAACCUUGAUGCUAUCGCUGAAGACGCGGAGACUGAUGACGGUAGACUAGGACUGGUUGGACUGGUCUUGAAGGUGCAUGACGAGUAGAGAGGUUGGGAUAGAUGAACAUGGCUGGAUGAUGUAUGACGAAUAAGGAGUGGUGAAAUGGGUAUGAAAGAGUUUGAAGAGAGAGAAAAGGUGGUAAUGUGGAAUGGGUUUGAUGGGUGCAUGCAUGGGGCAUGAAGAUGAUGGUUAGUAUGGAAGUGGGGGUAUGAUGAGCGAAAGAGAGAGAUGAGAUGGGUGCAUGGUGGUGUAGAAAGAAAGGUGAUCAUACAAAUGGGCAUAGGUAUGGCAGCCAAUGGGUAUCACCAAGUAUGGUGGUGAAGAGAGGGAACGAGUGAGGACAAAUAUGCAUGGAUAUGAGAUGACAUGGGUAUUGUGGUGUGGCGGAAUAGUGAUAAUAUGAGGAAUAGGUUUUAUGGGCAUAGCAGAGAGGUAAUGGCAUGGAGUGAUAAUGGGAACGUGAGUAUGGUUAUAGGAAGUAGUGACGAUACUGCCAUCAUGAAAGGUAAAUAAAAUCCUCUGCAGAGCCAUCUACAGAAGGCUAUUCAGACAAUCUCAUGUAACUCCGCUUUGUCAAUCCUUACCUGGUCUGGUAUACACUUUCCAUGGAGGUUAAAGAAAUCAAUAUGGUGACAUUGCCUUGGUCUUCUCUCUUUCUCAAUACCAAGCACCGAUAGAGACACCCUUAUUUGGAGAAAUUUUGAGGAUCCAGUAGUACAAGGACACGCGCGAGUCAAUUACAGCUUGAGUGCAGCAAACUUUCCAUCUUAAGAAAACCCCUCCUCACAAUUACUUUCUCUUUUGAUGCUGUCAUUACAUCUUAUGUUGUUUUCCCUUAAACUCUCCCAUUUUAAUAUCCGAAGACUGAGAACCAAUCUCCUGUGAUACCCUUCCCCUUCAUACGAAAAUGGAAGAUCUGAUGCCAGAUACGUAUGGAUGCCAAGAACAGGGGAUGAACAAAAAAAAAACAGAGCAAGGAUAAAAGGAAGCAAAAUCAACCCAUCCAAGCCUCAUUUCAUGUAUUUAUCAAUGGGCUCAGAUGCAAGAGUGGGUCAAAACAGUUUUUCUAAUGAGUUUUAAAACCAAAUCAAGACAUAAACACCAAUAUUUCACAUAAAAUCCUAGAGGCAGAGGACACAAAACCAGUAAGAAAAUAAGCAUGGAUCAAGUGAAAAUCCUCACCAAACACAUUCAGACACCAAGAUAGAAAACCCGUUAAUAUUCAGAUAACCCAAACAAAAAAAAACAUGAACGUGAAAGAGACCAAAACUUAUGAAAAUGAUACCUGAACCUUCCUCUUUUCAGUUAGCCUCUCUUCUCUCCAAGAGCUACUCUCUGUAUAGCUUGUAGAAAAAUCUCCUUGACUACGGCAAUGGAGACUUUUUUUUCCUUCUAGCUUCUCCCAAAACUCUUAUCUCAAUUACCUUUCAUGUCUUCCUCUCUUCCAUCCCAAAAAGAAUCAAAAUCCCUUCUUCUUUCGGUGUAGCUGCCUUUUCCCUCCAGAGAAUCCUUUCCUUCUCAAUGGUCCCGUUGACUCUACCAACAUGGAAAGACAACUCACCAGCCCGGAGAGCCUCAAUCAUCCACGUCAGUCAAGCAUCAUCAGGACUCUCCCUCCUGAACAUAGUCUUCAUUCCGUCCAAAUACCCAUUGAACCUUUCCUUUUUCCAUGCCAAAAUAGCUUUGGUAAUUUUCUUUCUUCAUUCAUUUCCUUCCAUCAGAAGCACAAUCAGCACAUGCAUGGGUGCAUACUUGCUUUCUUUCUCAGUUCAUUUCCUUCCAUACGUCCUCUCCUCUUCCAACCUUCUUGGAUCUAUCCUUCAACACAUGCAUAUCUUUGCCAAUACAUGUUUUCAACCUUCCCUUUUCUCUCCAGUGAUGAUUCCUUUGGUGAAUUUCUCCACAAAAAUAUAAAGAAAAUUAGACUUAAUGAAUGAAUCCCAAGGUGUUUUAGAAAAUUAUAAAAUAAACAAACAAAUUAAAUUAACAAAAUAAUUAAGUAAAUAAUGAUAAUAAUAAUAAUAAUAAUAAUAAUAAUAAUAAUAAUAAUAAUAAUAAGAACUCAUUUCAUGCAAUUAUAAAAUAAAAUAAAUAAACAAAAAUACAAAUAAUAAUAAUGAUGAAAUAGUAUAAAUAUAUCAAAAACUCACUUAAUCUUAAAAGCAAUCAAUAAAAUAAAUAAAUAAAUAAAACAAGAAAACAAAUCUAAGUGAAACUAAACCUUGAAAAGUGUUUAAGUGGGCCUAAGGCGGUACCUAAUGGGCCAAGUGUGUCUAAUGGGCCUAAGGUGCACUAAGUGAACCUAAAGUGAUGCCUAAUGGGCCUAAGGUGCACUAAGUGAACCUAAGGUGUCUAAAUGGACCUAGGGCGAUGCCUAAUGGGCCAAGUGUACCUAAAUAAGCCUAAAGUGUCUAAAUGGGCCUAGGAUGGUGCCUAAUGGGCUUAAAGGGCCUAAGUGGGCCUAUGGUGGUGCUUAAGUGUAUCUAAGUCUAAAUGGGCUACCAGGAGUUGCAAUAGAGUUCGAUAAAUCCCUCAACCAUAGUCCCCAAGGUGGCUUAGAGUAGAUAGGCUACACGAGUAUUAAUGGGCCACCAGGGAAUUGCUGUAAACGACAUGUGCGAGGAAGACAAAAUAGAGGGUCUACACUUAGGUUUGGUUGAUUGUAUUUGUAUUUUUUGUUAUUAAUUUGGAUGUUCUAGUUUAAGACCUAUAGUAAUUUGGGCUCAUUUUAAUUGGCGAAAUUUAUGGGACUAAUUUUUUGAUAAGUGAACACAAAUAUAUUAAACGAGGCAAAAAGCCACAAGGCAUACAGGACGUAUACACAGUAGCCAAACCAACAACCAACACGCACCACCCCUUAGGGAGCGGCGAGCCAUUCCAAAAAUCCUAUAAGCGAAGAGGACUCCUCUCCCAUAUACACCCUAGCCCAGCUCCACAAGUUACAAACAAAAGAAUUCUUUAGCUUCUGAAUAGCUAGAGAGCCCCCUCUGAAAGCUAAUCUAUUUCUCUCCUUCCAAACCGUCCAAAAAAUACACAGCGGAAUGGAAGUCCAAAUCCUUUUCCUCUUUCUCCCCACAAAAGGGCCCCUCCAACUGACUAACAUAUCUUUGACUUUCUCUGGGAACACCCAAUUAGCCCCAAACAAGGCCAAGACUAUCUCCCAGAGAGCCCUUACAACUGUACAGUGUAAAAGUAUAUGAUUUACAUUUUCCUCUUCACAACCACAUAAAAAACACCUGUUAGGAAACUGCCAUCCCCGUCUUUGAAGCUUGUCCAAAGUUAAAACUUGCUCCCAAGACACCUCCCAAGCAAAAAAAGCAACUUUGGUUGGGACCUUGUCCACCCAAAUGCUCUUUUUCGGGAAGGUAAUGACAUUAGACCCUGACAAGAGCUUGUAGGCAUCUCUAAUCCGAAAAAGGCCGUGACUAUCUCCUUUCCAAAUCACUGCGUCCUCUUCAAGAGAAGUCCUCAAAUCCCUCAACAAAUGCAGCAGCUCACCUAAAGCGUCCAGCUCCCAAUCAUUAAAGUUUCUAAAGAGUCUUAUAUUCCAACCUCCUUGGUCGAGGCUAGAAUCCCACAUUUCAUUUACCGAGGCGUUCCUUUGGACAGCCAAUUCAAACAACUGAGGAAAACUUUGGGCCAGCACCUCAUUAUCACACCAAUGGUCAGUCCAGAAACUCAUCUUAGUCCCCUUUCCCACUUUGAACUUAAUAUUAUCCCAACACCAAGACGACUCCUUCAAGAUAUCCCUCCAAACCCCCACCCCAAACGUUCCGCGGGCCUCCUUUGUUCUCCAACCAAAACCCAAUUGACCAUACUUCACCCCAACCACCUGUCUCCAGAAAACAUCUUCCUCAAUGGCGAACCGCCAAAUCCAUUUCCCCAACAGAGCCUUAUUCAAAAAAUCAAUCUUCCGAAUACCUAGGCCCCCACUCUCCUUUUAGGUACACACCACCGCCCAAUUGAUUAGAUGAAUCUUUCUUUCCAUCCUUCCCCUUCCCCAAAGAAAGUCCCUUUGAAGCUUUUCAAGCCUUUUAACAACUAGCUUAGGCAUGCGGAAAAGAGACAAUUGGUAAAUCGGCAUGCUGGCCAAAGUGCUUUUGAUGAGGGUAAUCCUCCCACCCUUUGACAAAUAUUGUCUUUUCCACAGUGCAAGCCUUCUUCUCAUUCUUGCUUCAACCCCAUCCCACAUAGCCAUGGCCUUAUGCUUGGCUCCCAACGGCAGCCCCAAAUAAACCGAAGGGAGGGUCCCCACUUUACACCCUAACUCCACCGCCAACAUCUCAAUGUCUUCCACCUCUCCAACCGGGAUUACUUCACUUUUAGCAAGAUUUAUUCUAAGACCAGAGGCUGCCUCAAACCACACCAAAAUCCAGCUUAGGUAAGUAAUGUGAUCUUGCCUCGCUUCACAAAAUAUAAUCGUAUCAUCAGCAAAGAGUAAAUGGGACACAUUUAUCUCCAUCCCCCCCCUCCCUUGGAUGCUACAACCUGAAGUGAAGCCCCCAUCAACAGCCCUUCUCAACAUAGCGCUUAGAACUUCCAUGCCCAGCACAAAAAGGUAGGGGGAGAGUGGAUCACCUUGGCGUAACCCCCUAGAGUUGGAGAAAUAACCAGCCGGCACCCCAUUGACCAGAAUAGAAAAGCUUGCCGUUGAAAUACACCACCAAAUCCAUUUCAACCACCGGUCCCCAAAGCCCAUUUUCCGCAUGACCUUCAUGAGGAAAUUCCAAUUAAUACUAUCAUAGGUUUUUUCAAUAUCCAGUUUACAUAUCACCCCUUUCUCCUUGCGUUUAAGCCAAUAGUCAAUUACCUCAUUGGCUAUGAGUGAAGCAUCUAAAAUCUGUCUUCCCUUCACAAAGGCAUUUUGGUCCGGCGAAACCACCUUGUCUAACACCUCCUUAAUUCUAUUGGACAGCACUUUGGCCAAGAGCUUAUACACACCCCCAAGCAGGCUGAUUGGUCUGAAAUCCCCCAAGUCCUCAGCCCCCCCUUUCUUAGGAAUAAGGACAAGAAAAGUAGAGUUAAGACUCUUGGCAAACGACUUGUCUUCAUAAAACUCAUUGAACACGUCCACAAUUUCCUCUUUCACGAACUCCCAACAGAACUGCCAAAAGGCCACUGUGAACCCAUCCGGGCCUGGGGCCUUAUCACCAUUCAUCCCCAUCAGAGCCAAGUGAAUCUCUGCCUCAGUAAAAAGCUGCUCCAAACCUUCAGCUUCAGCAUGGUUUAANNNNNNNNNNNNNNNNNNNNNNNNNNNNNNNNNNNNNNNNNNNNNNNNNNNNNNNNNNNNNNNNNNNNNNNNNNNNNNNNNNNNNNNNNNNNNNNNNNNNNNNNNNNNNNNNNNNNNNNNNNNNNNNNNNNNNNNNNNNNNNNNNNNNNNNNNNNNNNNNNNNNNNNNNNNNNNNNNNNNNNNNNNNNNNNNNNNNNNNNNNNNNNNNNNNNNNNNNNNNNNNNNNNNNNNNNNNNNNNNNNNNNNNNNNNNNNNNNNNNNNNNNNNNNNNNNNNNNNNNNNNNNNNNNNNNNNNNNNNNNNNNNNNNNNNNNNNNNNNNNNNNNNNNNNNNNNNNNNNNNNNNNNNNNNNNNNNNNNNNNNNNNNNNNNNNNNNNNNNNNNNNNNNNNNNNNNNNNNNNNNNNNNNNNNNNNNNNNNNNNNNNNNNNNNNNNNNNNNNNNNNNNNNNNNNNNNNNNNNNNNNNNNNNNNNNNNNNNNNNNNNNNNNNNNNNNNNNNNNNNNNNNNNNNNNNNNNNNNNNNNNNNNNNNNNNNNNNNNNNNNNNNNNNNNNNNNNNNNNNNNNNNNNNNNNNNNNNNNNNNNNNNNNNNNNNNNNNNNNNNNNNNNNNNNNNNNNNNNNNNNNNNNNNNNNNNNNNNNNNNNNNNNNNNNNNNNNNNNNNNNNNNNNNNNNNNNNNNNNNNNNNNNNNNNNNNNNNNNNNNNNNNNNNNNNNNNNNNNNNNNNNNNNNNNNNNNNNNNNNNNNNNNNNNNNNNNNNNNNNNNNNNNNNNNNNNNNNNNNNNNNNNNNNNNNNNNNNNNNNNNNNNNNNNNNNNNNNNNNNNNNNNNNNNNNNNNNNNNNNNNNNNNNNNNNNNNNNNNNNNNNNNNNNNNNNNNNNNNNNNNNNNNNNNNNNNNNNNNNNNNNNNNNNNNNNNNNNNNNNNNNNNNNNNNNNNNNNNNNNNNNNNNNNNNNNNNNNNNNNNNNNNNNNNNNNNNNNNNNNNNNNNNNNNNNNNNNNNNNNNNNNNNNNNNNNNNNNNNNNNNNNNNNNNNNNNNNNNNNNNNNNNNNNNNNNNNNNNNNNNNNNNNNNNNNNNNNNNNNNNNNNNNNNNNNNNNNNNNNNNNNNNNNNNNNNNNNNNNNNNNNNNNNNNNNNNNNNNNNNNNNNNNNNNNNNNNNNNNNNNNNNNNNNNNNNNNNNNNNNNNNNNNNNNNNNNNNNNNNNNNNNNNNNNNNNNNNNNNNNNNNNNNNNNNNNNNNNNNNNNNNNNNNNNNNNNNNNNNNNNNNNNNNNNNNNNNNNNNNNNNNNNNNNNNNNNNNNNNNNNNNNNNNNNNNNNNNNNNNNNNNNNNNNNNNNNNNNNNNNNNNNNNNNNNNNNNNNNNNNNNNNNNNNNNNNNNNNNNNNNNNNNNNNNNNNNNNNNNNNNNNNNNNNNNNNNNNNNNNNNNNNNNNNNNNNNNNNNNNNNNNNNNNNNNNNNNNNNNNNNNNNNNNNNNNNNNNNNNNNNNNNNNNNNNNNNNNNNNNNNNNNNNNNNNNNNNNNNNNNNNNNNNNNNNNNNNNNNNNNNNNNNNNNNNNNNNNNNNNNNNNNNNNNNNNNNNNNNNNNNNNNNNNNNNNNNNNNNNNNNNNNNNNNNNNNNNNNNNNNNNNNNNNNNNNNNNNNNAAUGUGAUCUUGCCUCGCUUCACAAAAUAUGAUCGUAUCAUCAGCAAAAAGUAAAUGGGACACAUUUAUCUCCAUUCCCCCCUCCCUUGGAUGUUACAACCUGAAGUGAAGCCCCCAUCAACAGACUUUCUCAACAUAGCGCUUAGAACUUCCAUACCCAGCACAAAGAGGUAGGGGGAGAGUGGAUCUCCUUGGCGUAACCCCCUAGAGUUGGAGAAAUAACCAGCCGGCACCCCAUUGACCAAAAUAGAAAAGCUUGCCGUUGAGAUACACCACCAAAUCCAUUUCAUCCACCGGUCCCCAAAGCCCAUCUUCCGCAUGACCUUCAUGAGGAAGUUCCAAUUAAUACUAUCAUAGGCUUUUUCGAUAUCCAGUUUACAUAUCAUCCCUUUCUCCUUGCGUUUAAGCCAAUAGUCAAUUACCUCAUUGGCUAUGAGUGAGGCAUCUAAAAUCUGUCUUCCCUUCACAAAGGCAUUUUGGUUCGGCGAAACCACCUUGUCUAGCACCUCCUUAAUUCUGUUGGACAGCACUUUAGCCAAGAGCUUAUACACACCCCCAAGCAGGCUGAUGGGUCUGAAAUCCCCCAAGUCCUCAACCCCCCCUUUCUUAGGAAUGAGGACAAGAAAAGUAGAGUUAAGGCUCUUGGCAAACGACUUGUCUUCAUAAAACUCCUUGAACACGUCCACAAUUUCCUCUUUCACGAACUCCCAACAGAACUACCAAAAGGCCACUGUGAACCCAUCCGGGCCUGGGGCCUUAUCACCAUUCAUCCCCAUUAGAGCCAAAUGAAUCUCUGCCUCAGUAAAUGGCUGCUCCAAACCUUCAGCUUCAGCAUGGUUUAAACUUUUAAGCUACAACCCUUCUAUAUCAGAUUUCCAAGAUUGGUCCUCUAACAACAACUGUUGAAAGGCAUUCACAACCCCCUCUCUCACCUCCCUCUCCUCCUCCAGCCACCUCCCAUUGAUUUUAAUCUUGUCCAUAGAGUUAUUUCUUCUAUGAGCAUUAGCCAUCCGGUGAAAGAAACCCGUAUUCUUAUCACCUUCCCUCAGCCACAACUCCCUAGAAGAUUGUCUCCAAUGCGUUUCUUCCAUAAGAACCCAAUUUUUGAAGGCCUCCUUAGCCUCUGUUUUCAGCUCUGACUCCCUUUCAGUUAGACUCCUGUCACUCUCCACCAUAUCCCAAAAUGCUACUUGUUGCAAGGCUAGAUUUUUGUUGACUUCCAACCUACCAAACACAUCCCUGUUCCAAGAUUUGAUUUUAUCCUUCAGAAACUUCAAUUUUGAAGCCACUCUGAAACUAGCCCUCCCCCUCCCCCCCGCCUCCUGCCACCAUCCCCGAAGGAGAUCCUUAAAUCCCUCAACUUUGAGCCACAUGUUUUCAAACCUAAAAGGGGAGGGGCCCUUUCUUAAUCCCCCACCUUUCAGUAAAAUGGGGAAAUGGUCAAAAACGGGUCUGGGCAGCCUGCACUGAAGGACCCCACUGAAACAGUCCAGCCAAUCUUGGGUCACUAAAAACCGGUCCAGUCUAGCCCAAGCUUGGUUAUUCUUUCCCCUACUCCAGGAAGCCACCCCCCCAUGCAAAGGCAUAUCCAAAAGCUCUAACUCAUCCGUCACCUGGGCAAAUCUUCUCAUGGCGCCAGUCAGCCUCCCCUGAUUACUCCUUUCCCCAAGGUUUAGAGUGACGUUAAAAUCACCCCCAACACACCAAAGGUCAUCCCAGAUUCCCCUAAUCGCCCCAAGCUCCCCCCAUAAGGUGUCCUUGUCUUCUUUGGAAAACGGCCCAUACACACCCAUAAAAAUCCAGGUCUUCCCAUCCUCAACAUUCCUAAUUCUGCAAGAAAUUGUGAAUUGACCCAUUUCCAUCUCAAGGAUUUCCAAGGUUCUUUUGUCCUAGCAAAUUAGAAUCCCUCCUGCGGCUCCCUGAGCAUCCAAAGCACCCCAAUCCAGGAACCUCCCUGACCCCAAACUCCUCACCAUACCCUCAUUCAUGGAUUGAAUUUUCGUUUCCUGGAUACAAAACAAAUCAACUUUCUACUUUCUAAUCAAAGCUUUAAUCACUUUCCUCUUGGAGCUAUCAUUGACCUCGCGUACAUUCCAGCUCAAGAGCCUUAUUUUCAUUGGACUUCCAUAAUUUGGCACCCUCUUCCUUGCACAGUACCCUUUCUCUUCUUUCCCCCCUCAUAGUUGACUGAGCAUUCAAGUCUUCUCAAUUCUCUUUCAAAUUUCGAUUUCUCCAACAUAGCUUUGCUGUGAAUUCUUUCUCUUCUCUUCCUCAUUUUAACCAUGAACUCCAGAAUGUCUUUCUCUAAUCCCUCUGUCGAGAAUCCCAGGAAUUGACUGAACCUAGUCAAAUCACUUUCUUCCCAUCUUUCUUCCACCCAUGCACCCUCUUCUUGAGAAAUAGGUCGGGCUAGGCACAGAGCCUUUCUAUCAUCCUCCAUGCUAUCGUUACUGAUCUUUACCAAGUCCCAACACUUCCCCACUAACUGCUCUGAAUGCCCAAUUUCCUUGCAACAACAAUCCCCCUUGGUUGACUCCACAAAAAGCCCAGAACGGUCGAAAGACUCCUUUCUUGGAGUCCGACCAAAAGAAGAAAAGAAAGGAGAAGAAGGGUCCAGAGCCACCAUUCCAGAGGGGGACGGAACAUUAACAUACCUUGCGUCUUCCUCCAACAAAGCACUAUCGGUCCUGGAGAUCCCCCCCCACUGUGUCUCAACUCCACGUCGUAGCCCCCACUGAUCAUCCUUCCCCCAACAAUUAGAGAUAUCCACGUCUGGGCCCCUCAACGGGCUUCGAAUGCGCUCCACAGCAGAGGAACCCUUCUCCGUCUGGGCCUUAGAAGAACCAGGAGGAGAUGGACUUUGAGAUGCAGGCCCAUCCCCUCUAAGCAAACACAAAGGCCCGACCUUUUCCUUGGGCUUCCCAUUCCCAUUCCCAUAAAACACCAGCCCAGGCGGACUUGGCCCAGUGGAAAUAUAAGCCUUAGGCCCUCUAGAAGAUGUUGCUUGGCCUAACAAUCCCAGCCCACCCGAUGCAUGGGGUCCGCCUGGAGGCCCGUCUUCGCUCCGCUUUGGAUCCGAGGACUGACCCGACCCACUGGACUGACGUUGCGUCCCAUCCGCAAUCAGCAGGCAGUCCCCGAGCCUUGAGUCCUCCAUCACCCCCAACACGCGCACCCCCGCGCGUGCACUCACGUCACCCCCUUCCUUCGCAACUGUCACGAUGACCUUCCCUCUCUUUUCAGUCGCCGGAAAUUUGAUGACUGGCCUGAUUUCCCACCAUAAGUUUACCGCAUAACAAAACCCAUCAACCCAAACCUCCACUAGGCUGGGAGGAGACUCGCCGUUCCGCUUCACCAAGAGGCGUGCCCACUGUAAUUCCUCCAUGUUUUCCGUUUGCUGAUCAAUCGCAAGGAGACCCCCACACGCCUCCCCAAUCUUCCUCAGAAUAUCCCAUUCCCACAAGGAUACAGGUAGCCCUACUACCCGUACCCAAGCUUCAUUGCUCCUUUCUCCUUUCAAGCAACCCGUCUCCGGACUCCACUUCUCUAAACGGAGAGCUACCCCCCCCCCCCCCCCCCCCCAAAAAAAAGGCUCCCCAAUUUAAAGGGUGGGUAGCCUCUGGGGGGGGUUUAAAAACAAUUUAAAACUUUACCCUUUUCUUUUUUAGACGGCCCAAAUUUCCUUUUUAACCCCAAAAUUUUGGCAAAUGGGGAACCCCACCCCUGGAAAUGGUCCCCUUUCCUGGAUUUGGGUUUCAAAUUCCAAAAAAAAAAGGGGGCAAUUUGGGAAAAUUUCUCCCCCCCCNNNNNNNNNNNNNNNNNNNNNNNNNNNNNNNNNNNNNNNNNNNNNNNNNNNNNNNNNNNNNNNNNNNNNNNNNNNNNNNNNNNNNNNNNNNNNNNNNNNNCCCCCCCCAAGCAAAAUGCUUCCCAUCUUAGAGGCUUGCUCAGCCUCUGCCGGGAUCUCAAACUCCAUUAAAACCUUACCCCUCUCCAUUUUAGCCAGCCCUAAAUUCCCUUUUAACCUCCAGAUUCUCGCUAACUGGGAUCCCCACCCUCUGAGAUCGUCCCCCUUCGCUGCAUUGUGAUUCCAAGUCCCAACAAUACAGUGGCCAAGUUUGGAUAAAUUCCUCCCCACCUCCUCCUUGGUAACAUCUACCCUAACUGCUUCUCUCUCCUUUUCCUUCGCCACUUUGGUCGCUUCCACAUAUGACUUCACCAUAUUCGGCUUCGACCGAGACACAUCUACCUUCUGGUUAUUAGGGUAACUUUCUUCGCAACCCAAGCUCCGCAAUAUGUCCACCAUUGAAGCCCAUCCGCCCUUUACUCCUCUUCCUUUGGGAAUAAAGACGCUAAACCUCUUUCUCUCCAAAUCCGCAACCCCCAAACGGAGAAAGCAGCCCCCUCUGUUGUAGUCGCGCUACAGAGAGUACAUCCUCCCAUUCUCCUUCCACUCUCUUACCCACUUACCCAUUCUUCCGUCCUCAAUACUCAGAUUCANNNNNNNNNNNNNNNNNNNNNNNNNNNNNNNNNNNNNNNNNNNNNNNNNNNNNNNNNNNNNNNNNNNNNNNNNNNNNNNNNNNNNNNNNNNNNNNNNNNNACCCAUUCUUCCGUCCUCAAUACUCAGAUUCAGACAUUCAAAGACUAUCCCGAGGCUCACCGGACCUAGUCUGACCCAUGACGAGAUCCCACCUUUCCUUUCCACAAUCGUGGCAUGCAAUCUGCCUCUCCUCUCCUCCACCUCGACCUCGAACCUUUUCGAUUCCACGCCGAAACCACCCCUCUUAACAUUCUUCCCAGACCUCACAUGGCUCUCGCCUUCUACAAUUUCCGUCGAACCCUCAUCGCCACCGCUCUCUCUCUCGCGAUCUUUCUCUCUCUAACCCUCUCUCUCUCCUCCAUUAUAUGAAAUUUAAAUAAUUUAUGGGACUAAUUUGAAAUUGGAAUUUGGGUUUAAAUAUUUGUUUGGGAUUUUGCACAUCUUUGGAUAUUUACAUUUGUACUAUCUUUGUUUUUUUCAUAGACCCAUUCUGCAAUUUUGUUGACUGGGUACGAAUUGAUGAUACGUGGAGCUUGUGGGACCCAUUCUACAAUCUUGUUGGCUGGGUACGAACUGAUGACACGUGGAGUUUGUGGUAAGUUUAUUUUGACACAUAUUUUAUUUCUCACUUUUAUUUGGUUUUAUUUUUAUUAGUUCUUGUAAAUAUUUGUUUGUAUAUAUUUAUCGACUGUGUACAGAAUUGAACAUCGAACAAACUAUAAAUUUUGUUUAAGUGAGAGGAAGAAUUCAGUAAAUGUGUUUUGAUAAAACAAUAAUUUUAAAAUAUUAUUUUUAAUAAAAGAAAGUUUUUUUAUUGUUAUUUAUAAAAAUUCAGAAAAAUCCAAAAGAAUUGUUUUUAAUAGAAUUUGAAAAAUUGUUUUUAAUAACAUUGUCCAAAAAUUUAUUUGCUUAAUAAAAAUUGUUCAAAAAUUGUUUUGUAAUUAAAGUUGUCCCAGAAAUUAAUUUUUAAUAAAAUUGUCCAAAAAUAUUCUUUUAAAUGAAUUCCUUUUCCUUAAUUAAAAUGAGAUUAAAAGUAUUUUGAGAAAUAGAGGAUUUAAUUUUUUGUAUUUUGUUUAUUUAUUUAUUUAAAUGAAAAUGAAUCAAGAUACUUUUGUAAAUAAAAUUGUAAAAAUUCAUUAUUAAUCUUUGUGCCCAAAUUGAAAUUUUGUAAUAAAUUUUAUUGAUACCAUAAAUGUAAAUAACUUUUCUUGAAAGUUAAAUACAAAUCAAAUCAAAUCAAAUCAAAUCACUUGAAGAAAAUGUUUUUGCAAAUAAAUAAAUUGAAAUCAUCCAUUCAAAAUUGUUUUUUUAAAUAAAAUCCUUCGAAAUUUUCAGACAGUUAAUUUUAUUUAUUUAUUUAUUAUUAUUAUUAUUAUUAUUAUUUUAAUAUUUUUUUAUUAGUUCAAUAAAUCAAUUUGCAUAAUUCUAUUAUCAUUUGUUUUGUACAUUCUUGUCAUUUUAUUUUGUUAUCACCUUUGUGUAUAUUGAUUUAUGUUAUUAAUUUCGGCAUCCAUGAUUAAUUAGUUAAUUGUCAUAAUUCCCUCAAUUAGUUUAGUAGAAACCGUAUGUAUAUGGGCUUAGAAGGGUGCUACGGCUCACCACCGUACCUUCCCAAUAGGUAACCUGACCCCCGAACCCAAACUCAAUUUUCUACAGACCUGUUCUUUUUUCCUUCAAGAGUUACACUUAGGGGGUGUUUGGUACACGGGAAUAGGGAGUGGGAAUAGACAUCUCAUUCCUUUUCUCCCUUAUUCCUAUGUUUGGAUAAAUGUUAAGAAAGGCGGAAAUGAAAUAAAAAAUUAUUCUGGCAGAAAUCAAAUCCAACUUAUGAGUCGGAUUUGCAUUCAUUAAAAGUAGGUGGUAUUCUGAUUCAUUAAACCUAUUUGAUAAUAUAAAAUAACUUAAAUUACUAUUUUACCCUCUUAUCUUGUUCUUCAAACCCGAUGUUUAUCUUCUUUGUAAAGGUAGAGAUCCAUUCAUCAUCCACUUCUUAUCUUCUUUGCAAAGCUAGAGACCCACUCAUCAUCCAAUUCUCUGCAACAAGUGAUUCUUCCAAAUUGAAUCAAUUAAACCUUCCAUAAUAUUUGAAAAAAAAAAAUCAAUUUCUAAUUUAUAGGGUUUUGGAUGUUCAUUUUGAUUGUUGGAUCUAGGAUUCGUCAUUGUUUGCUGCAACUAGGUUCUGAAAACUCCCUUCUACAUCUUCGAUCAGGUUUACCUUAUUUUCUCUUUCUUAUUCUACUUCUUUAUAUGUGUUUCUUCUUCUCUAUAAAUCGAUUAAUUUUUUUUUAUUAAUUUACGUUUGGAAUCUUUGAUGUUUCUUUAUCUUGUAUUAAUGGAAACUAGAGAGAAAAAUUGAAAUGGUUGGAAAAAGAUUUUUUGAUUCCACGUGUUUACAAUAUUGAAAAUUUUUAAUGGUUAGGAAAAAAAUAAAAAGAAAAAAACAAGCAAAAACAAAACUUUUGGUUUUUUUUUUCCCCUUUGUUUAUUAUUAUCGGCGUCUUCCUUUCCUAGUUAAAUAAAAAGAUUCUAUAGCUUUUUUUGCAUGACAAAUUAUUUAAAAUUUUGAUAAAAAAAUACAAUAUUUAAAAUAUUUUAAGGUUAUGGAUUUUAUCAGAUAUGAUACUUGUUGAAAAUUAUAAUAAAUUUGAAUUCUUUUAUUUCCUCUUUUGAAAAUAGGAAAAACAUUUGCUAGCUUUGAGAAUUUAAAUAUUAUAAUAAAUAAUUUUUUUUUGAAAAAUAUAAUUUUAUAACUACUUAAGCAUGACAAAUUAUUCAAUUUUUUAAUAAAAAUAAUAAUUGAAUAUUUGUGCAUUAGGGUUAUACGAUUUUUUAUGGUUAAUUUUUUAUUUAUUGAGUAUAUAUAUAUUUUUUAGUCUUAUUAUUUAAUAACAAAAAACCUCUCAAAUUUUAUUUUUUUAAAAUAAAAGUAAAAAUAAAAAAAUAUUUUAAAUUAUAUGUAAGGAUAUUAUUGUAAAUUUAUUUCUUUUUCAUUUCCAUUCCUAUUAUUAUCAAACAUUGGAAUGGAAACAAAUAAUCAUUCUAAUCUUGCAUUCCUAAGUUCAUCCAAAUACUAGAAAUAGAAUCAUCAAAUUCAUUCCAUUCCACUAAGAAAUAGGAAAGGAAACAAAAUAUUAUUUCUAUUCCCUAUUCCGACGUACCAAACACCCCCUUAGGGUUUUUAUUUCUUAUUUUGUUUUUCCCUUUUAAAAAAAAGAAUAAAAUAAGUGGCGACUCCAAGUCUUUUUCUAAAAAUCAAAUUUUCACUAAACAAAAAAAAAAAAAAAGCGAGUCACGUCGUCGAGUGGGAACGCACGUGAAAAUGCGGGGUCCAUAACCAUAUUUAUCAUCUAAAUUAUGUGCUUCUUGAAUAGUAAUUACAUGUUACACAAGAUAGAAUCAUGUUAACAUAUUAAACGGAUUAGAAUCAUGCUAUCUGGUUUAACGAAUGUUAAUAAGUAUAAUAGGUUAGAAUCGAAUUAACGGGGGUUACCUAUGUUAAUUCAUAUAAAGGUCAACUUAGCCUAUUUAUUAAAUUAGUUAUGUUUAUAUCAAGUUAUUUUAACAUGAUGUUUAAACAAACCAUAUUCCAUUUGAGUAAAUUUUCACUAGUUUUUAUCUUGACAUAAUACAAAUCCAACAUAAUAUGACCCAUUAUCACCCUAAUUAAGGAGCAUAUGAGUGUUGCAUUAAGGAAGUGGAAGAAGAGCAUAGAUACUAAUGAUAUCAAAUUUUAGGGAGUGGAAGCAUUUAAUCAAGUAAUGUUGUGCAACUUUUUUUUCAUAAGUAGUGGAUUAUUCAAUUGUCAAGAGACCAACCAUAAUUUUUUUUACACCUAGGGAUUUCUAGGUGGUUUCCACAUUAAAUUCUAUGUUGAAUUGUGUAAUUGGAAAUCUCAUGCAUGAGAUUGAUAAGAUAUUGAUGAUAAUUGAGUUGGAAUAAAAUAAUUUAACUUUGAGGGGUUAAUUGCUUGGACUACCUAUUUACCCCUCCUGUAAGAAGUUCCAUAUCAACAAAAAAGUUCUUUCAAUAUGUAUAUAGAUAUUUUAUAUUUUCUAAUUUUAAAUUUAUUUUUAAAUUGGGAAAUUGAGUGGGGAAAUAGUUGGCUCAAUUUUCAAGUUUGGAAACAAAAUUUGUUGUUAACAUGUUAUUUUACCUUAUUUUAUACAUUUUUUUUAAUAAAAAUAUAUAAUCAAGUGCUCUUGUAUGAUUGAUUUAGAUGUUAGCAAAGGUUACAAUCAUUAAUUCUAUUAAUUGACCAACAAUUUUUUAUAAACUUUAAGUUGCUAGCAUUCAUAUAUCAUCCUAAAAUUAUUAAUUAUAAUUUUAUUUAAGUUGAACCACAAAUCUUGGGUAAAUGAAGAAAAAUUCGUUAACAAGAUACUUGUUUAUAUUGGAAGUUUUUAGUUUGAUUUGUUGUUGUUGAAUUCAAAUUCUUAGAAGAUAGCUUUGAGGACUAGCUAGUUGCCUUGGUUUUUGUUAUAUGUUUGAUUUUUAUAUUGUUUUCAGACAUGAUGUGUAAAAUGGAUUAAUGGUAAUGAUGUUGAAACAUGGCUAAUACUAUUAGACCAAUGUUGAAGAGAGUGCCUUUGGCGGGCUGCAUCUGGAGCAAGCUCCAUGACAAGCUCCAUUUACUACAAAGUAUUGCUUCACAACCUAUUUGUAUAUUAUAAAGUUGUGAGUACAAUUAUUAAAGUUGUAUAAACAAGUGGCAAUCUUGAUAUGUCAGAAUGACACCAUUCGAAAAUUAUAUAAAUUUUAGUAGGUUCAAGUAAGGUGUAAUUAUAUCAUAGUAAUAAUCAUGUUAACUUGCAUAACUCAUUUAAAUUAUUGAAAUGCAUUUAUGAGAGGCAUUUGCAUUGCCUAAUUAUAGUUCUUAUUAGAGAAUGAGUUAUUAUCAAUUUCAUGGAACAAAACUUUCAUUAGUCAGUAUAAUUUGAAAGUGAAAUCUUACUCAUAAAAUUUUUCAAUUAAAUUUAAAAGUUAAAAUUAUAAAGUAGAGAGUUAAAAGAACCAUUGAGCAUAGUUUAAAAUUUGAAUAUAAUGUGUUUAUUGUUGUAAUUCAAGCCCAAUAUUUAUUAUUUAUUAUUAAAAAUAUAAUUUUAUAUCUAAUUUUUAUAUUUAAGAUAAUUUAGCACAUUUGAACAAUGCUUUGAGAAUAAGAUUGGAGCAUCUAAUUUGACUAAUUUGAUAGCAAAUCAAACUAAUCCAAUCUUAUUUUUCAUAUUUAUCCACCUUCAAUUCUAAGAUAAACAUGAACAAAAGUCUUUAUAUGAUUAUAACAAAAUAAACACUAAAAUAAUGAGUUUAACAUUAAAUAAUAAAAAUUUUAUUUCAGUCUUCAACAUAUUGUUAUAUAAGUUAUAUAUAUGUUAGUAAAAUAAGAAAUGUUAAUAUAUUUAAAAUAUUAAAUAAUAAAAUCACAAUUUUUUGUUAUUAUUAAUAUUUAAUUAAUAAAUUCUAAUUAAAUCUAAAAUAAAAACUUUACACAAAUUAGUAUAAAACCAAAUAUGAUCACCAUAAACCAACCCCUAUAAAAAGAAUUAAAUAUAUAAAAGUCAAAGUAAAUAAAUGAGAAUUAAUGUUAAAAGAUAUAAACAAGAAAAAAAAAUUCAUUGUCUAGUAGUUUAAUUAUUUAUAUAAUUUUAACUUCAUGUAUUAUUUUAAAUUUUAAUAAUAUAUGAAUUAUAUAUGCAUAUUGUCAUGUUGAUAUCAUGUUUCAAUUACUUGAACCAUCAUUUCAAUUAAGAAAGUCUAAUGCAAUAAUUUUUCAAUUCAAUAACUAAUUAAUAAGAUUUUCAAAAUAUUGUAUUUGAAAACUCAUCACAAAAAAUGAAUAUAAAAGAUCAUGAAGUUCUUGCAAAGAAAAUUGACUUCACUUAAAUAUGAAACCCCAAACCUUAAUUUCUUCAAUAAUACUAAUCAAAAUUCUUAUGUUUAAGCAUAUUAGGAGAGAACCAAUAAUCUCAUCCGCAAAUCAAGCAUAGUCAAUAAUCAAUUCUUAUGUUUAGGAGUAAUAUAUAUAUAUAUACCUUGUGUAGUUGAUGUAUCUUUUGAAAAGUCAUGUAUAUAUUUAAAUGUUGUAAUAUAUAUCUUGAAUAAUAUACUUUUGACCAUUCAUUCAUUCAUCCAUUCAUCUUAUACUCUUGUAAAUAAAAGUGACUUCAUGAAAAUAUAUAUGAAAACCUCAAACCUUAACUUCUUCGAUAAUGCCUAUUAAAAUUUUUGCAAUUGAAGGUUGUGUAACUGAGAAUGAUAAUGAUGUAAGGUUUAGAACUGGUCACUCCUAACCAAACUUAUUCUUAUACAAAUUCCCAUCUUCAUCUAAGUCUAGGAGUUAACUUUUCUAUUUUAAGAAAAUUAAUUAUUUUUAUUUUACAUGUAUUAAAAAAGGUAAAAUAAAAAAAAAAAAACAUUAAGAUUGAGCUAUAUGAUCAAUCUCUGUCAAACCUGAAUCAAUCACAAUAUAUAUGUAAGAAGAUAAUUUAAAAAUGUGUUUGAUAAUGUUUUAUUUUGAAGUGUUUUUAAUUUUAAUGAAAGAAUUUUUUAAAAAAAAUUAACUUUAAGAGAAGCAUUUAUUAAAUAUUUUUUUUUUCAAAAAGCACCAUAAAUGAUUUUUUUAUUUGUUUAAAACUAUUUAUUAAAUUUUAUUAAAUACUUAAUUUUUCUUUAAAAAUAUUUUUUAAGGUAGAAGUGCUUUUUUAAAAACAAUAUCAAAUGGACGUAAGUCUUAACAUAAAAUCCCAAAUCUACCCUUGAUUUAAUUAUACUUUUCAAAUCCAUCCUAUGAGCCUAGGCAUCCUUGAAAUACCCACCCCUAUUAUAAUACAAAAGCAAACCACCACUAAAGAUAUUUAAACAACAUUUUAAGGACAAUCGGAACAUAUCAAUGAGUCUUUGUCUCAUAAUACAAAUUUCGUUAUGUUCACAUGUAGAAACGGACAAAUGAUACGUAAAAACUAAAAAUCAUAUACAAUAGAAAGCUUGGAAUCAGGGAAGAGAGUAGAAAGUUACGAAGUGGUGGAGCCUUGGUAAAAUAAAAUUAACGGCAUUAUCAUGUGCGUGUCCCAUCGUUGGAUGGACCAAAUUUUGCUUCUCCCAAAGCUCUUUAAAUAUUAUAAUUAGAGUCCACUUGAUGCUUAGAAAAAUACAUUUGCAAGUGAUCUCCAUCUGUCAAUCAAUUAAUCUAUACAAUAUUAAAAAUUCACUUGUAGUUGAUUUAAGAAAAUCACUUUGUUGGUGGUGGCCUGUCUCCGAUGUUACCCAAGUUUCAACUCUGGACUUUUCAAAUUAACAAAGUGCAGUGAUUCAUCUUUCUUCUUUGUUCCAUCUUUGGCUGAAUUGUAAUCCUUUUGUCUGUAACUUACGGAAAGCUAUGGAGUUCCUGAGCUCAAUCGUGGGUCUGGUCCCCUGCUUCUAUGAUCACACCUCUAAGCAUACCGUCUACAUUCGUGAUCUGAAGAAAAAUCUCCAAGCCUUGAGCAAGGAAAUGGUGGAUCUCAACAACUUGUAUGAAGAUGUGAAGGAAAGGGUUGAAGGUGCAGAGCAACGACAGAUGAAGCGCAGAAAGGAAGUGGGUGGUGUUGAUGCCUCGCGUCCCUGACGAUCCACGCAGUUGCUGAAUGGAUGGACACGCGAUCUCAACCCACAAAGGUUCUUGAUUCAGUCGUUAUACCUGCAAAAGACAUCCGGACAGGGUGUCCGGACGCACCCUCCGAUGGUUUUGUUAGCCAUGGUUAGAGAGGGAGAUAUAAAUCAGUUGGCCUUUUACUAGGUAUCAGGAGAUUACCUUCCUCUUCGUGUGAAGGUUUAUAUAUAGUGUCAGGAGUACUGUUCCUCACAUUAAUGGUGAGGAGAUAUUUUAUGUUUGUCAUGAUGACAUUCGGAGGCAGCAUGGUCAUCGCCACCCUACUGGCGGCUGUCAGAAACCGUGGUAGGUGAUGCGGCUGUCAGAGAUCGUGGGAAGUGAUCAUGUAGAAUGAUCGUGGGAAGUGACUUGUUGUCACCUCAACCCGUCCUUUCACUCUGCAGGUGAUGGGACGUGGGCCAUGGAUGGUUGUCGUGAUAGCAUGUAAGACUCGCUAUACUUUAGUCAAUGAUCCGGACAAUCAUAUCCGGAUAGCCCAUGUUGGUUAUCCGGAUGUAUUCUGGAGCGGACGCAUUGAUGGAAGACGUCCGGAUGUCUAUGUUUUGUAAGCGUCGUUUGCCCUCCCUUGAGGCAGUCCGGAUGGGAAAAGCGCGUCAUGUGUGCUUUAUAGGAAGAUCUGGAUGAGGGUGACCCGGAUGACAAUGUGUGCCACGUGUCACUGUAAGAUGCGUGCCACGUGUCACUGCAAGAUGCGUGCCAUGUGUUCUCGGAGGGAGGGGUCCCUACAAUGCCCCACUUUUUAACUUGCCUAUUUUGCCUUAGAAAAAAUGGGCGGGUUAAAAAAUAAUUGGUUUUUGAAACCGAAGUCGACUUUUGGUCUGGUUGGGCCACGUGGCGAGUGGGGGUGCGGGAGCCAAAAAGGCAUUUAUGAUGAGCCGCAGACUCUGGGUAUUCCCAGGCAACAUGUCAUUUCAAUGAUGGCGUUGUUUGGGCGUUUGGUUUUCCGAGGGGCUGUCCCCCUAUAAAUAGCAGACUGUGCCUUCUGUUUGUAUUUUUCCUACUGCGUUUCUUCUGAGAGUUUUUGCUUCUUCUUCCUUCUGUGCUUUCCUUUGCUUUUCUGAGUACAAAACCCUGGAGUUUUUUUCUGCCGGUGAUUUUGUGUCGCGACAGCAACCUUUCUUCUCCACAUUUCCAUUUGGUAUGUGCAUUUUGCUCUUAUUUUCCCUUUGUUGUGCUUGUUUGUUCAUUGGCUUGAUUUCUGACUUGCUUUGGGCAAAUCACUUGCAACUGUGUGUUGAAUGUUGGUGUUUGUUGAUUUUCUGGAUUGCUGUGUGUAACUGUUGCGCUUUUUUGUAUGUAGGUUUCGGUAAAACUUGGGCUAAAAAAUGUCUUCGAAGCAAAAAGCUACUUCAUCUGUCCGCGCCGGCGACGCUUAUGGGAAAUCUACAGACAAACUGAGCGUAAAGGAGUUCCGGGAUCGAUUCUGCAUUCCAAAUGGCGUAAUUGUGGAAUUUUUGAAUGGGGAGGAUGUCGUACCUACUGAGAAAGUUGAACAAGGUACCGUCAUCUUCUCCAAGGAACAAUUCAACGCGGGGCUCCGGUUCCCUCUGCCGGCGUUGUUCAAGGAAUUCCUCCAUUUCACCCAGAUUCCACCCGUCUUCAUUCAUCCCAAUAUCGUCCGGGUGCUGAUGGGAUGCAGCAUCAUAAACAUGCUGUACAACCUCGACCUCACGGUGCUGGAGGUGUUUUUUGUCUAUUCGCUGAAGAAGGUGAAAACUGACAUCUUCAGCAUGUCCGCGCACCUGCCCUCCCUUCAAUUGGUGACGGAACUGCCAGACUCGACGAAGGGAGGGGCGAAGGGACACGUGGCGGUCCAGGGUGCAUGGGCGGGGUCAUCAGGGCGUCCGGGGAGGCCCUUCUCUCCAAACUACUCUUUAGCGAUUCCGGGUAAGUUUGCUUUGCGACUUUUGUCCGGAUUUUUACCUUGUUGUCUUUUUGUUGAUCUUUUCGGAUGGUAUUCUCAACCUUUGUUGCUGUCAAUGUAGGUCCGGAAAAAAGGGGCCACCUUGUGGACUGGGUGGAGAAGGAGUCCUUUGCCUGUCUCAGUAAGUUAUUUGAGAUAGACGCCAAGGAGAGGCACUACAAGACGCUGCUUACUGCGCAGAACCUGAUGGCGGUCGUCCGGGUGUGGUUCGGUAGGCCCAUAGGACGCCGGGUAGCUCCUCGACCCACUUCCCUUUGGCUUGUUCAAGCCUUUUCUUUAGGGCGGUGAUUAGGGUCUUGUUGGUGGCUUCUGCUUGCCCAUUACUUUGAGGAUAUCGCGGCGUGGAGUAUGAAUUCCGGAUGUUCAGUUCCGAACAGAAUUUCCUGAAGAUGAUGCUGUCAAAUUGUGGACCAUUGUCAGCUAUGAUGGUUUGGGGGAUUCCAAAACGGCAAACAAUGUUUUUCCAUACGAACUUGGUGACAUUUUUGUCUUUGAUGCUAGCAUAUGCUUCAGCUUCCACCCAUUUACUGAAAUAGUCUGUGGCAACGAGCAAAAAUUUCUUUUGGGCAGGUACAGCUGGGAGAGGUCCCACUAUGUCCAUGCCCCAUUGUGCGAAGGGCCAUGGGCCUGAGAUUGAUUUUAAUGUUGCUGAUGGCAUAUGUGGAAUGGGAGCAUACCUUUGACAUUUAUCACAUUUUUUGACAUAGGCUGCCCCAUCCUUCUUCAUUGUUGGCCAAUAAUAUCCUUGUGAAUGGGCUCGAUGUGCCAGAGAUCGUCCUCCUGAAUGAUUCCCGCAUAUUCCCUUAUGCAACUCAGUUAACACAUACUGGGCCUCUGAAUGCCCUAGGCACCGAAGGUAAGGUCCUGUGAAGGACCGCUUGUACAGGUGCCCCCCAAUCAGGGUGAAACGGGCAACUUGCACCCGGCCUUUGUGUGCCUGUUUGAGAUCUCCGGGUAGAGUGCCUGUCCGGAUAUAUUCUGCGAUGUCAUACGUCCAUUCUUGGUCGUCCGCUUGGGAUGCCUCAAUGGUACUGCAGGUGGAAAUUUCUGCGAUAGAGGGGUUGGGUUGCACAUGUAUAGGCAAUAGAAUAGCUUCUUUGAUGGGAAGGGAAGCAGCUAUUCCAGCUAAGGCGUCAGCGCGCCCAUUAUCAGUUCGCUUAAUUUUUUCUAUUGUCCAUUCAGUGAAUUGCUGCAAGGUGUCCCUUACUUUAGCUAAGUAUCGCGCCAUGCGUGCGUCUUUAGCCUCGUACUCCUUCUGGACAUGCCUUACCACGAGUUGUGAGUCACUGUAGAUCCAGAGUUUGGAGACGGAUAGAGCAAGGGCGAGGUCCAAUCCGGACAAGAUGACCUCAUAUUCUGUUUCGUUGUUAGAGGCAGAGAAUCCCAGCCGGAUGGCUUACUCCGAAUGUUCCCCAGUUGGGGAUUGUAGUAGGAGCCCAACUCCAGAGCCUGAUAAGCGUGAGGCUCCGUCAACUCGCAGAGUCCACCAUUCUUGUUUACUUGAUCCGUGGUGUUGGCUGGGUCUUCGGGAAUAUUCUAGCACGAAGUCAGCCAUUACUUGGCCUUUCAUGGACAAUCUGGGUUGGAAUUCGAUUCCAAACUCGCUCAAUUCAAUGACCCAUUGUAGCAUUCUCCCAGUUAAAUCUGGCUUGUGCAGAAUGUUGCGAAGGGGCUGGUCAGUUAGUACGAUUACUGGAUGAGCUUGGAAAUAAGGGCGGAGCUUCUGAGCAGCGCUUCGAAGGGCUAAGGUUGUUAGCUCCAUUUUUGAAUAUCUGGUUUCUACGUCUGCCAAUGCCCUGCUGACGUAGUAGAUAGGUUUCUGCUCCUUGGGUGAGGGGCAGCGGAAUAGAACGGCGCCGAUUGCCCAUUCUGAUACCGCCAGAUACAUGUACAAUUUUUCCUUCGGGAUGGGGCUGCUCAAGAUGAGUGGUUGCAUAAGACAAUGCUUAAUCUUUUCGAAAGCGUUUUGGCAACUGUCCGUCCAUCCGUGUGCUCCAGCUUUUCGUAUUGCCAAGAAGAAGGGUCGCAAUUCAUCAGUGAAGCGGGCUAUAAAACGCCCUAGUGCGACGAGUUUGCCUGUGAGCCGUUGUAGCUCCUUCUUGUUCCUGGGAGGGGGUAUUUCCAUGACUGCCUUGACUUGAUCCGGACUGACUUCUAUGCCCCUUUGGCUGACCAUAAAUCCCAGAAAUUUUCCAGCACUUACGCCAAAGGCGCAUUUAGAAGGAUUUAGCUUCAUGCCAUACUUUCGUAAGAGGUGAAAAACUUCUUGUAAGUGAAGGACAUGCUGCUCUCGGGUUUUGCUUUUAACCACGAUAUCAUCAAUAUAUACCUCUACUGUGUGGCCUAUCAGAGGUUUGAAGAUCUUUGUCAUCAGUCUCUGAUAAGUGGCGCCAACGUUUUUGAGUCCGAACGGCAUGACUUUGUAGCAAUAGAGUCCGUGUGGCGUUAUGAAUGCUGUCUUUUCCUCGUCAUCCGGGGACAUGGGAAUCUGGUGAUAUCCGGAGAAGGCAUCCAAGAAAGAGAGCAUCCCUUACCCGGAAGUGGAAUCCACAAUUUGAUCUAUUCGUGGCAAGGGAAAACUGUCUUUUGGACAUGCAUUGUUGAGAUUGGUGUAAUCUACACAAACUCGCCAUUUUCCUUCUUUUUUGGGUACCACCACUACGUUUGCCAACCAAUCCGGAUAAGAUACUUCUCUGAUGAAUCCGGCUUCGAGCAAUUUGUCAAUCUCAUUCCGGAUGACUUUUUGUCUAUCCGGGUGAAAGCGCCUAGUUUUCUGCCGGACAGGUUUGGCAGUUGAAAAGACGUUAAGUCUGUGAGAUGCAAUAGAGGGAUGAAUUCCCUUCAUAUCAGAAUGUGCCCAUGCGAAGAUGUCAUGAUUCUGUCUGAGAAUGUUUUGCAUGCUCUAAGUUUCUUCGGUUGUCAUGAGGGAACUGAUGUUCGUGAGGUGAGUGUUUUCCUCCGAAAUUUGGAUUGUUUGUAAGGGAUCUGCUGCCGGGGGAUCUUUGUCCGUCGGACCCAAUAAUUGCUAUUGGUCAUGUGUAUGGCUGGGUUCAGGGGGAGAUGCAUCCUCCUCGUUGGCCCUUGCUUCUCGUGCUAUCUGAUAGCAUUGGCGAGCGGCCAGCUGGCUACCAUAUAGGUCAAUUUGCCCUUCGUUGGUGAGAAAACUCACCAUUUGAUGAUAUGUGGAGGGGAUGGCUUUCAUGUAAUGUAGCCAUGUGCGCCCCAAGAUGAUAUUGAAGGGUGAUAACUCUUGUACCACCGAGAAUUGUACGUUGAGAGUGACUGGGCCAGCUUGGACCGGCAGUACAAUGUCUCCCGAGGACGUAGUUGAUGACCCGUUAAAUCCAGAUAGGAUUCGUCCAGGGUUUUCGAGGCCUGUAAGACUGUGUCCCAUGUGGCCAACGACUGAUGUUUGCACAAGAUCGGCCGAACUGCCUGGGUCAACCAAGAUACGUCGCACAUCGAAGUCCCCAAUUUCCAGGGACAAGAUGAGGGCGUCGCGAUGUGGUUGCAGUGUCCGGGUGGGAUCUACUGGUGGGAAAAUGAUUGUCCCAUCUAUGGGGCGAGGGCCCCCCCCAGUUAGCCCAGGCCGGAUGGAAUUGAUACGUUCGCAUAUUGAUGCGGCUCGCAACAAUUUUUGCCUCUUUCACCUAGAGUCGUACUCCUCGUCAGAUGGACCUCCGUUAAUAUAGUUUAUAACGGCCUUGGGGGCGGCUGGGGCCCUGGGGGCUCCAGGAUUGUGAUGUUGAGAUGCGUCCCUUCCUUCAUUAUCUGAUCGGAGGUAUUGCUUCAAAUGCCCUGUUUUUAUGAGCCUCUUGACCAGAUACUGGAAAGCUCGGCAUGUCUCUGUUGUAUGGCCAUGAUCCUUGUGGAAGGCACAUCUCCUACUACGAUCUCUUGUGGAUGGGUCCGUUCCAAUGGGUCUAGGCCACUUGAAGUCGGACAAGCCCUGGAUUAUUGGGAGAAGUUUCUCAUACGAUAUGGAAAGGGGUGUGAGAGGCGGCCUUUCCGGGCAACUUGGCCCUUCCUGCCUCCGGUCGGAUGGCUUUGGCCGGUCCGGAGGUUUAGCAUUUCUCUCUGCGUCACCUCUAGAUGGUCGUCCGACAACCAAAACUUGUUGGGUGGCUGCACGCACGUCAUCUUCAAGCAUUGAAUAUUUGUUGGCACGCCUGAAUAAGUCAUCCAUCGUUGUGGGAGGCUUUUUUGCCAGUGAUUCGAAAAAUGGAGUGCCUAGACAGAUGCUUCGCUUGAAGAUCUGUAGGACAGCAUCCAUACUGCAAGCCUCUACUUGAAGCACGGCUUGGCCAAACCACUUCACGAAUUCCCUCAAGGAUUCGUUAUCUUGCAUUUUUAUGUUCUGCAGGGUGCUGAUAUUUUGCUUGUGUCGAGCGGGGCACAAGUAUUGUCCCACAAAAGCUUCGGACAGGUCCCUGAAAUUGCCAACAGAGUUGGGAGGUAGGCGAUGAAACCAUGAGAGGGCCUGUCCUUGUAGGCUGGCGGGAAAUACUUUGCAUAGUAGUGCAUCGUUGCCAAUAUCGAGCGUCAUGCACUGUCGAUAAUGCAUGAUGUGAUCGAAAGGAUCGUUGGUUCCAUCGUAUGUGGAAAAUUUUGGUACGAGGAAUCCCCUUGGGGGCUCGUAAUGGAUGAUAUGAGAGCAGAAGGGCGUGGAGAGCAUGUCAUCCAGCCUUCUGCUGAUGGAGCCAAUGGGUGGCUCGUUUGGGAGGUUUCCCCCAGCCUGCUGUACCGCUGGGUGCGAAUGAACGUUCCGCAUCACGGGGGUGACUAUGGGGUCACGAUGCGGGUGUACGUUCUGCACCAUGGGGGUGGUCAUGGGGUCAGGGCGUGGUGCCCAAGUUGUGGCCAUUGGUGGCCUUGAUCUUCCAGGCUCUUGUGGGCUUAGUCUUGCGCGCAUCGAAUUUGACAACUGAGGUCUUCUAUCGCAUUGCCUUUUCGUUGAAAAAUGAGUAGAGUCUGAACUUUCCUCACGGGGAGCUCGGGGCAUAGGCGUGUGUGGCUCAUGAGGCCUCACGUUGCAUGCUCCUGGGAUAGCUCCUGUUGUUCCGGGAUAUAUUGAUUCUGGUUCUUGUUGAGGCCUUGAGUUUGCUACUUGGCCCCUUGAACGCUGACGUCGAGGAGGCCCUGAUGUUGAAGCCUGGAUGCGUAACACAGCGUUUUCCUCUCUCAAUCUUUCUGUCUCCUAGAUGAGAGCUUUUAGUUGUCGUUCGCUUGCCAACUGUCUCCUUUCGAUGGUUUGACGCCAUUCAAAAUUAUCAUCCCCUCCCCUACCAGAUGAACGGCUUCGGGAAGGUGUGGCCAUCUUUGCCAGUGACUGAAUCAAAAUGAAAAAGUAGUUCCCACAGACGGCGCCAAUGUUGAUGCCUCGCGUCCCUGACGAUCCACGCAGUUGCUGAAUGGAUGGACACGCGAUCUCAACCCACAAAGGUUCUUGAUUCAGUCGUUAUACCUGCAAAAGACAUCCGGACAGGGUGUCCGGACGCACCCUUCGAUGGUUUUGUUAGUCAUGGUUAGAGAGGGAGAUAUAAAUCAGUUGGCCUUUUACUAGGUAUCAGGAGAUUACCUUCCUCUUCGUGUGAAGGUUUAUAUAUAGUGCCAGGAGUACUGUUCCUCACAUUAAUGGUGAGGAGAUAUUUUAUGUUUGUCAUGAUGACAUUCGGAGGCAGCAUGGUCAUCGCCACCCUACUGGCGUCUGUCAGAAACCGUGGUAGGUGAUGCGGCUGUCAGAGAUCGUGGGAAGUGAUCAUGUAGAAUGAUUGUGGGAAGUGACUUGUUGUCACCUCAACCCGUCCUUUCACUCUGCAGGUGAUGGGACGUGGGCCAUGGCUGGUUGUCGUGAUAGCGUGUAAGACUCGCUAUACUUUAGUCAAUGAUCCGGACAAUCAUAUCCGGAUAGCCCAUGUUGGUUAUCCGGAUGUAUUCUGGAGCGGACGCAUUGAUGGAAGACGUCCGGAUGUCUAUGUUUUGUAAGCGUCGUUUGCCCUCCCUUGAGGCAGUCCGGAUGGGAAAAGCGCGUCAUGUGUGCUUUAUAGGAAGAUCCGGAUGAGGGUGACCCGGAUGACAAUGUGUGCCACGUGUCACUGUAAGAUGCGUGCCACGUGUCACUGCAAGAUGCGUGCCACGUGUUCUCGGAGGGAGGGGUCCCUAUAGGUGGGUGGAUCCGUGAAGUAAAAGACAUGGAGAAAGAAGUUCACGAAAUUCUGUAAAGAGGAGAUCAAGAAAUCCAGAAGAGUUGUCUCGGAUGCUGUCCCAGGAAUUGUUGGUCUAGCUACAGGAUUGGAAAGGCAGUAAGUGAAAAGCUGGUUGCUGUAUCUCGUCAAAUCGGCAAAGGACAUUUCGAUGUUGUAGCCGAGAUGUUGCCUCGUCCUCCAGUUGAUGAACUGCCAAUGGAGGCGACUGUGGGCCCACAAUUGGCGUAUGAAAAGAGCUGUAGGUUUCUCAAAGAUCCACAAGUGGGAAUUAUGGGAUUGUAUGGAAUGGGGGGUGUUGGCAAAACCACCCUCUUGAAGAAAAUCAACAAUGAAUUCCUCACAACAUCCAAUGACUUUGAGGUUGUGAUUUGGGCUGUGGUGUCAAAAUCGCCCGACAUUGAAAAAAUUCAGCAACUUAUUUGGAAUAAAUUGGAAAUCCCACGUGAUAAAUGGGAAACUAGAAGCAGUAGGGAGGAGAAGGCUGCAGAAAUAUUGAGAGUUCUAAAAAGAAAAAGGUUCAUCUUGUUGUUGGAUGACAUUUGGGAGGGACUUGAUCUCCUAGAAAUGGGGGUCCUGCGUCCAGAUACUGAAAAUAAGUCCAAGAUAGUUUUGACGACCCGAUCACAGGAUGUCUGCCACAAAAUGAAAGCUCAGAAGAGUAUAGAAGUGGAAUGUUUGGAGUUAGAAGAUGCCUGGACUUUGUUCCGGAAGGAGGUAGGAGAAGAGAUAUUAAAUUCUCAUCCGGAUAUACCGAUGCUUGCAAAGGUUGUUGCUGAAGAGUGCAGAGGUUUACCUCUCGCUCUUGUCACUCUUGGGCGGGCCAUGGCAGCUGAGAAAGAUCCCUCAAACUGGGACAAGGUAAUACAAGAUCUACGCAAAUCUCCAGCUGAAAUCACAGGUAUGGAAGAUAAAUUGUUUCAUCGAUUGAAACUCAGUUAUGAUAGGUUGCCUGACAAUGCUAGCAAAUCUUGUUUUAUAUAUCAUUCCAUGUUCCGAGAGGACUGGGAGAUUUAUAAUUUUCAACUUAUAGAACUUUGGAUAGGGGGGGGGGGGGGGGGGGGUUCUGGGGGAAAAUUCUGGAUUUAAUUGAACCCCCCCUCCUGGGGAAAAAAAUUUUUAAAAUUUUAAAACUUGCUGGUUUUUUAAAAAGUCUGGGUUCAAAAAAAAAAAGGGUAAAAAANNNNNNNNNNNNNNNNNNNNNNNNNNNNNNNNNNNNNNNNNNNNNNNNNNNNNNNNNNNNNNNNNNNNNNNNNNNNNNNNNNNNNNNNNNNNNNNNNNNNUUAUAAUUUUCAAUUUAUAGAAUUUUGGAUAGGGGGGGGGGGGGGGGGGGUUCAUGGGUGAAGUUCAUGACUUACAUGAAGCACGCAAUCAAGGGAAGAAAAUUAUUAAAACUUUAAAACAUGCAUGUUUAUUAGAGAGCUGUGGUUCGAGAGAAAAUAGGGUUAAGAUACAUGAUGUGCUCCGCGACAUGGCUUUAUUGUUAUAUGGUGAACAUGGGGUGAAAAAGAACAAAAUUCUAGUAUACAAUAAGGUUACUAGGCUUGAUGAAGAUCAAGAAACUUCCAAAUUGAAAGAAACAGAGAAGAUAUCAUUAUGGGAUAUGGACGUUGGGAAGUUCCCAGAAACAUUGGUGUGCCCCAAUCUUAAGACUUUAUUUGUGAAAAAAUGUCAUAAUUUGAAGAAAUUUCCAAGUGGAUUCUUUCAAUUCAUGCUUCUACUAAGAGUUUUGGAUUUGUCAGACAAUGAUAAUUUAAGCGAGUUGCCUACUGGGAUUGGUAAAUUGGGUGCCUUGAGAUAUCUUAGUCUGUCACACACAAGAAUAAGGGAGUUGCCCAUUGAACUAAAGAAUUUGAAAAAUCUGAUGAUUUUGCUUAUGGAUGAUAUGAAAUCCCUUGAAAUUAUUCCACAAGAUGUGAUAUCAAGCCUUAUAUCCUUGAAGUUGUUCUCCAUUUACGAAUCCAAUAUUUCAAGUGGAGUUGACGAAACUGUACUGGAGGAGUUGGAGUCCUUGAAUGACAUCAGUGAGAUAUCAACCACCAUAUCCAAUGCUCUUUCAUUCAACAAACUAAAGAGUAGUCACAAAUUACAAAGGUGCAUUAGUUAUCUACAUUUACAUAAAUGGGGGGAUGUGAUCUCACUUGAGCUAUCAUCUUCAUUUUUUAAAAGAGUGGAGCAUUUGCGGGGGCUUCAUAUAAGCCAUUGCAAUAAAUUGGAAGACGUGAAAAUUAAUGUGGAAAGAGAAGGCACACACAAUGAUAUGACUCUUCCAAACAAAAUUGCAGCAAGGGAGGAAUACUUCCACACCCUUCGUAAUGUGCUUAUAGAACAUUGUUCAAAAUUGUUAGACUUAACAUGGCUUGUUUAUGCUCCAUAUCUUGAAAAACUUCACGUUGAAGAUUGUGAAUCGAUAGAAGAAGUGAUAUGUGAUGAUAGUGAAGUCUGUGAAAUGAAGGAAAAAUUGAACAUAUUCUCAAGGCUCAAAUACCUCACGCUCAAUAGGCUGCCAAGAUUGAAGAGCAUCUAUCAGCAUCCGCUACUCUUUCCCUCUCUUGAAACCAUCAAGGUGUGUGAAUGCAAAAGCUUAAGGAGCCUCUCGUUUGAUUCCAACACUUCAAAUAAUAGUCUGAAGAAAAUUAAAGGAGAGACAAGUUGGUGGAAUCAGUUGAAGUGGAACGAUGAAACUAUCAAACACUCUUUUACUCCCUAUUUCCAAAUCCACGAAGCUGAAGCAUAUUUAACGGACUCUGAGGAGUCUGAAACUGGCAGCAUAGAUGAUAUUCAGGAAUGACCGAUAUCAAAUUAAUUUCUAUCAAUCUUUCAGGUAUUUAUUAACUUUUAUACUAUAUUUGGAAAAUCAUUUUCUUUCCUUAAUCCCAUUCUUUUGUGGAAAUUUUUACUCUAUCUAAGCCAAAGUGCAUCAAGUCUCAACAUCAUAAUAACUCAGUGUUUGAUCUAUCAAGUUUGCCCCUUUUGAAGUAACCGUAAUAAAAUUUGCCCAGAAGGGAGUUUGAAGGAGGUCUUUUAUUUAAACAUCUAAUGACAUUUCCGUUUGGUUACUUGAAAAGUUAAAAACAUGCAGAGUUCCCAACUAUUUUAUUUAUCUUGUCUUAAUUUUUUCAAUUCAUUUCAAUCUAUAAACAGAAAGAGAAUUCCUAAUUUCAACUUAAUUCCUUAUAUUUCAAGUUGAAACAACAGCUGUUUCACAACAACUGUAGGUAAAGAUAUUCCAUUAAGAAUUCUCGCUUUGUUUAAUGUAUUUACCAGGACCAACUAUAUGUAAUUUCCCUUCUUUUGUUCAGUUGCCUCUAUCUGGUUGACUCUCAGUUGUUUUUUUUAUUUUCUUUUCUUUUCUUUUUUCUACUGCAUUCAGAGUUGGGGCUUGUUCUAGAAGUUCUGACAACAGCUGAGAUUCAAUUAGCUCUAUGUAGUGGGGCCUUGAGUUUUUUGGUUGGAUGCAGAGUAGGGUCUUGUUCUACCCGUUCUUACUCAGUUGGGAUCUGAGCUUCUUCGGCUGCUUCCGUUUCGUCCUGCUCUGAGCUGGAUUAUGUUUGCUUGCUGGUCUGAGUUUCUGAUAUGUUUUGUGGCGGUGUGCUGAUUCUCAGAGUAUCGUUAUUCAUGGUGCUCAGUCUGUUGGGAAAGUUGGUUAAUGUCCAGAUGCAGGGGCUCAUCUCGGCAGGCUUUGGUUGGGAUCCAUGUGUUUGCUGGAAUUGGAUUCUGUGGGUUGCCUUUGGCUUUUGAUGUAGGCUGGGUUUGUUUUCUUUGUUGAGGCCGGUGGAGUAUGGUGGCUCAGAAGCUGCUAGUAAUCUGUCUGUUGUAUGCUGAGGCUGGAAUCUUCAUGGUGGUUGCUCUGGUGGGUCAAUAUGAUAUGGGAAUGCUUUUGCCUUUUUCAGUCCUUGGGCGUCAGCUGGUUGCUUGUGUUUCCUCUGCGCUUUAGUUCAUAUACCAGAGUGCAUACUUCCUUGAGUUCCAUAUCCCACUGCCAAGUGUGUUGUCCAUGAUGUAAUGUAAAGCAGUUAAUUUGUAUACCUGGCCUUCAGUUCCUCUCUAGAAAACUUUGAACGCCCUUUAUGAAUGAAAUGUUGUGAGAAAAACUGGAGUUGAUUUUCACAUUUGAGGUCGUUAAUGGUGAUUUUCCUUAAUGUAAUUGUGAUCGAAAAGAAAUUUGAUCAAGGAGUCGAAACUUUAAGCAGAGUCGAUCUUAUUCAACAUUGCAUUAUAAUUUGGUACCCCUCACAUAUCUCUCCAAAUAUCAUUGAAAAGUACUUUCAUUUUCCUUCAGUGGAGGCUUCUUUUUCUUUGCUGGUUAAUAUUCAUAGCUUCAGUGGUUGAUGAAAUUUCGUUACUUGACAUUUUUCACUCUUGUCCCUCCUGCUCUAAUCACAAACAAAUGCCCCAAUAAAUAAGAAUGAUUUGUUUAAGAAAUUUGAAGAUACUUGAACGAUAAAAGAAAAGAAUAGGAGACAAAGGAAAGGAAAAGAAAUUCAGAAAGCAAACACUUGGUAGUUUCCAUUUCAAUUAACCGAUCUUUGAAACUAAAAUGUAAUUCUUGGUAGAAUAAAAGAAGACAUGCAACAUCUUUAGAAGAUUCAUCUAAUGGAACAUACCAUCCUAUGAUAGGAAACUGAGACUAAACAGUAAUUUUUGGUAGAAUAGAUAGCGCAUGCCAAAAAGAAUGUUUUGUAGCUUUGGAUGCUUCAAAAUUCUUGUACGUAUAGCCCACAGACCUUUCGAGAUCAUACUUGUUUCUUUAGGCCUGUUUGAACAUACGGCUCUCACGGAAGAUCUUACAACUUUAGGAGUUCAUAGUGUCCAUGAAAUCACAGGAAAAGAAAAGGAUGUAUAAUCAAGUUCAUGAAAAAUAAAGAGAUGGCUUAUUAAAUUUUACAAGUCUCUGGGACAUCUAAAACACUUUAAUUGUGUUUGGUUGAGUUUCCAUUUAGGGGCAAUUCUCAUCAAGUCUAAUGAUUGACCACCGGUGACUUGAAAAUUGAAGCAUUGGAUGUGCCGCAUGUAGUUGAUGUUGCAUUAUCUGAGGGUUGUUAUAUUAUAAAUAGGCAUGACAAGAGCACGAGUUAUUGACAAAUUACCCGAUCCUAACUUGUCUCAUUUAUAUUAAUCUAUUCUCGUCCCUAUCCUUACAAAAAAUUUUAAAUGAGGAAGGAUAGAUAUGAGAAUUUGUCAUACCUGCCUUAUACCAUUUAUUUAUUUUUUUUAGUUUUUUAACAAUUAAAAAUAAACAUAUUUUAUAAAUAAAUAAAUAUUAUAAAUUUUAUAACUUAUUUUAUUUAAAAACAUAUAUAUAUUUUAAUUAUUUUAUGUGUUCAAAAGAAGAAAAUGAAAAACAAUUAAUUAAAUUAUUUUUAAAUUUAGUUAUACAGGUUGGAAAGUGGUGGGUUAGUACAAGGCAUAUCUUGAACCGUGCCCCUAACCAACCCUAGUUUUAAAACAAAAAAAUGUUAAAUACGUAUCUAAUCAGUUUAUCUUCAUUUAAAUAUGUCUUAUUAAAGGUAAAUAUUUGAAAAAACUUGUCUCAUUAUUAUCCUUAAUCAUAAUUUAUUUUUAAUUUAAAUUUAUAUACCAACAAACAGUUAAAUUAAAUUAAAAAUUCUUAUGCAAACAAGGGCGAAAAAUUGUGUACCUUCCUUGACAUUCUAGAUCCAGUUCUUGCUGUUUUUGGAGGAUCCACUUGAGGAACAAUUUAAAUUUAUUCACAAAUACAAUUAUUCAAAAAGGCAUCAUACUGAACACAAGCAAAAUAACUACAAAUGUUAAUAGAAAUGGAUGGAAGCAUACAGGUGUGGAGAAUAUAAAAAAGGAUUUUGAAGCCAAAAAUAAAAAAUCAAAAUCAAAAUAAAUAAAAGUAUAUGGUGGUUUAUUAUUGCUCAGGCCUAAUAAUUGAUUGUACAUGUCAAUGGGCCUAAUAUUAUUGCUCCGGCCUUUAUUCUAGAUGUCCAGACCCUGUCACUGCCUGAGUGUGAGGUCAUGGCUUGUUCUCUGUAUAGGUAGGUUCAUACACCUCUAAAACUUGAGUUGGUGGACUACCUUUCCCAGUUCUGAUCUCUCAGAUUCUUUCAUGGGCUUGAGUUCUAGCAUGAGCUUCCCGUUCUCCCCUACCCUGUGUAGGGACCCUUCCCUCCGAGGACACGUGGCACGCAUCUUACAGUGACACGCGGCACACAUUGUCAUCCGGGUCACCCUCAUCCGGAUCUUCCUAUAAAGCACACAUGACGCGCUUUUCCCAUCCGGAUUGCCUCAAGGAAGAGCAAACGACGCUUACAAAGCAUAGACAUCCGGACGGCUUCCAUUAAUGCGUCCGCUCCACAAUACAUCCGGAUAACCAACAUGGGCUAUCCGGAUAUGAUUGUCCGGAUCAUUGACUAAAGUAUAGCGAGUCUUACACGCUAUCACGACAACCAGCCAUGGCCCACGUCCCAUCACCUGCAGAGUGAAAGGACGGGUUGAGGUGACAACAAGUCACUUCCCACGAUCAUUCUACAUGAUCACUUCCCACGAUCUCUGACAGCCGCAUCACCUACCACGGUUUCUGACAGCCGCCCGUAGGGUGGUGAUGACCCUGUUGCUAUCUAAUGUCAUCAUGACAACAUAAAAUAUCUCCUCACCAUUAAUGAGAGGAACAGUACUCUUGACACUAUAUAUAUAAACCUUCACACGAAGAGAAAGGUAAUCUCCUGAUACCUAGUAAAAGGCCAACUGAUUUAUAUCUCCCUCUCUAACCAUGGCUAACAAAACCAUCGAAGGGUGCGUUCGGACACCCUGUCCGGAUGUCUUUUGCAGGUAUAACGACUGAAUCAAGAACCUUUAUGGGUUGAGAUCGCGUAUCCGUCCAUUUGGCAACUACGUGGAACUCCAGGAGCGCGAGGUAUCAACAUUGGCGCCGUCUGUGGGAACUACUUUUUCAUUUUGAUUCAGUCACUGGCAAAGAUGGCCACACCUUCCCGAAGUCGUUCAUCUGGUAGGGGAGGGGAUGAUAAUUUUGAAUGGCGUCAAACCAUCGAAAGGAGACAGUUGGCAAGCGAACGACAACUAAAAGCUCUCCUCCAGGAGACAGAAAGAUUGAGAGAGGAAAACGCUGUGUUACGCAUCCAGGCUUCAACAUCAGGGCCUCCUCGACAUCAGCGUUCAAGGGGCCAAGUAGCAAACUCAAGGACUUAACAAGAACCAGAAUCAAUAUAUCCCGGAACAAUAGGAGCUAUCCCAGGAGCAUGCAACGUGAGGCCUCAUGAGCCACACACGCCUAUGCCCCGAGCUCCCCGUGAGGAAAGCUCAGACUCUACUCAUUUUUCAGCGAAAAGGCAACGCGAUAGAAGACCUCAGUUGUCAAAUUCGAUGCGCGCAAGACUAAGCCCACAAGAGCCUGGAAGAUCAAGGCCACCAAUGGCCACAACCUGGGCACCACGCCCUGACCCCAUGACCACCCCCAUGGUGCAGAACGUACACCCGCAUCGUGACCCCAUAGUCACCCCCGUGAUGCGGAACGUUCAUUCGCACCCAGCGGUACAGCAGGCUGGGGGAAACCUCCCAAACGAGCCACCCAUUGGCUCCAUCAGCAGAAGGCUGGAUGACAUGCUCUCCACGCCCUUCUGCUCUCAUAUCAUCCAUUACGAGCCCCCAAGGGGAUUCCUCGUACCAAAAUUUUCCACAUACGAUGGAACCAACGAUCCUUUCGAUCACAUCAUGUAUUAUCGACAGCUCAUGAAGCUCGAUAUUGGCAACGAUGCACUACUAUGCAAAGUAUUUCCCGCCAGCCUACAAGGACAGGCCCUCUCAUGGUUUCAUCGCCUACCUCCCAACUCUGUUGGCAAUUUCAGGGACCUGUCCGAAGCUUUUGUGGGACAAUACUUGUGCUCCGCUCGACACAAGCAAAAUAUCAGCACCCUGCAGAACAUAAAAAUGCAAGAUAACGAAUCCUUGAGGGAAUUCGUGAAGUGGUUUGGCCAAGCCGUGCUUCAAGUAGAGGCUUGCAAUAUGGAUGCUGUCCUACAGAUCUUCAAGCGAAGCAUCUGUCUAGGCACUCCAUUUUUCGAAUCACUGGCAAAAAAGCCUCCCACAACGAUGGAUGACUUAUUCAGGCAUGCCAACAAAUAUUCAAUGCUUGAAGAUGACGUGCGUGCAGCCACCCAACAAGUUUUGGUUGUCGGACGACCAUCUAGAGGUGACACAGAGAGAAAUGCUAAACCUCCGGACCGGCCAAAGCCAUCCAACCGGAGGCAGGAAGGGCCAAGUCGCCCGGAAAGGCCGCCUCUCACACCCCUUUCCAUAUCGUAUGAGAAACUUCUCCCAAUAAUCCAGGGCUUGUCCGACUUCAAGUGGCCUAGACCCAUUGGAACGGACCCAUCCACAAGAGAUCGUAGUAGGAGAUGUGCCUUCCACAAGGAUCAUGGCCAUACAACAGAGACAUGCCGAGCUUUCUAGUAUCUGGUCAAGAGGCUCAUAAAAACAGGGCAUUUGAAGCAAUAUCUCCGAUCAGAUAAUGAAGGAAGGGACGCAUCUCAACAUCACAAUCCUGGUCAAGAUGUCCUUUUUUGGGUUGAGAUCGCGUGUCCAUCCAUUCAGCAACUGCGUGGAUCGUCAGGGACGCGAGGCAUCAACAUUGGCGCCGUCUGUGGGAACUACUUUUUCAUUUUGAUUCAGUCACUGGCAAAGAUGGCCACACCUUCCGGAAGCCGUUCAUCUGGUAGGGGAGGGGAUGAUAAUUUUGAAUGGCGUCAAACCAUCGAAAGGAGACAGUUGGCAAGCGAACGACAACUAAAAGCUCUCCUCCAGGAGACAGAAAGAUUGAGAGAGGAAAACGUUGUGUUACGCAUCCAGGCUUCAACAUCAGGGCCUCCUCGACGUCAGCGUUCAAGGGGCCAAGUAGCAAACUCAAGGCCUCAACAAGAACCAGAAUCAAUAUAUCCCGGAACAACAGGAGCUAUCCCAGGAGCAUGCAACGUGAGGCCUCAUGAGCCACACACGCCUAUGCCCCGAGCUCCCCAUGAGGAAAGCUCAAACUCUACUCAUUUUUCAGCGAAAAGGCAACGCUAUAGAAGACCUCAGUUGUCAAAUUCGAUGCGUGCAAGACUAAGCCCACAAGAGCCUGGAAGAUCAAGGCCACCAAUGGCCACAACCUGGGCACCACGCCCUGACCCCAUGACCACCCCCAUGGUGCAGAACGUACACCCGCAUCGUGACCCCAUAGUCACCCCCGUGAUGCGGAACGUUCAUUCGCACCCAGCGGUACAGCAGGCUGGGGGAAACCUCCAAAAUGAGCCACCCAUUGGCUCCAUCAGCAGAAGGCUGGAUGACAUGCUCUCCACGCCCUUCUGCUCUCAUAUCAUCCAUUACGAGCCCCCAAGGGGAUUCCUCGUACCAAAAUUUUCCACAUACGAUGGAACCAACGAUCCUUUCGAUCACAUCAUGCAUUAUCGACAGCUCAUGAUGCUCGAUAUUGGCAACGAUGCACUACUAUGCAAAGUAUUUCCCGCCAGCCUACAAGGACAGGCCCUCUCAUGGUUUCAUCGCCUACCUCCCAACUCUGUUGGCAAUUUCAAGGACCUGUCCGAAGCUUUUGUGGGACAAUACUUGUGCUCCGCUCGACACAAGCAAAAUGUCAGCACCCUGCAGAACAUAAAAAUGCAAGAUAACGAAUCCUUGAGGGAAUUCGUGAAGCGGUUUGGCCAAGCCGUGCUUCAAGUAGAGGCUUGCAGUAUGGAUGCUGUCCUACAAAUCUUCAAGCGAAGCAUCUGUCCAGGCACUCCAUUUUUCGAAUCACUGGCUAAAAAGCCUCCUACAACGAUGAAUGACUUAUUCAAACGAGCCAACAAAUAUUCAAUGCUCGAAGAUGACGUGCGUGCAGCCACCCAGCAAGUUUUGGUUGCCGGACGACCGUCUAGAGGUGACGCUGAAAGAAAUGCCAAACCUCCGGACCGGCCAAGGCCGUCUGAUCGAAGGCAGGAGGGGCCGAGUCGCCCGGAUAGGCUGCCUCCCAUGCCUCUUUCCAUAUCAUAUGAAAAACUUCUCCCUAUGAUCCAAGGUCUGUCUGACUUCAGGUGGCCAAAACCCCAAGGAAUAGACCCAUCCACAAGGGAUCGUAGCAAGAGAUGUGUCUUCCACAAGGAACACGGUCACACGACAGAAACAUGCAGGAGCCUCCAGUAUCUGGUCGAGAAGCUCAUCAAGGCAGGACAUCUAAAGCAAUAUCUUCGCUCAGAUACUGAGGGAAAAGUCACUUCCCAACAUCACAACCCCGGGACCCCUAGGGCCCCAGCUGCCUCCAAGGUCGUUAUAAACUAUAUUAACGGAGGUCCAUCUGACGAGGAGUACGACUCUAGGCGAAAGAGGCAAAAAUUGUUGCGAGCCGCAUCAAUACGCGAACGCAUCAAUUCCAUCCUGCCUGGGCUAACUGGAGGGGGCCCUCGCCCCAUAGAUGGGACAAUCAUUUUCCCACCAGUGGAUCCCACCCGGACAUUGCAACCACAUCGCGACGCCCUCAUCUUGUCCCUGGAAAUAGGAGACUUCGAUGUGCGGCAUAUCUUAGUUGACCCAGGCAGUUCGGCCGACCUUGUACAAGCAUCGGUCGUUAGCCACAUGGGACAUAGUCUCGCAGGCCUUGAAAACCCUGGACGAAUCCUGUCCGGAUUCAACGGAUCAUCAACUACGUCCUUGGGAGACAUCGUACUGCCAGUCCAAGCUGGCCCAGUCACUCUCAACGUACAAUUCUCGGUGGUACAAGAGUUAUCACCCUUCAAUAUCAUCUUGGGACGCACAUGGCUUCACUACAUGAAAGUCAUCCCCUCCACAUGUCAUCAAAUGGUGAGUUUCCUCACCAACGAGGGGCAGAUUGACCUGUAUGGCAGCCAGUUAGCCGCUCGCCAAUGCCAUCAAAUAGCACGAGAAGCAGGGGCCAACCAGGAGGAUGCAUCUCCCCCUGAACCCAGCAUUACACAUGACCAAUAGCAAUUAUUGGGUCCGGCGGACAAAGAUCCCCCGGCAGCAGAUCCCUUACAAACAAUCUAAAUUUCGGAGGAAAACACUCACCUCAUGAACAUCAGUUCCCUCAUGACAACCGAAGAAACUCAGAGCAUGCAAAACAUUCUCAGACAGAAUCAUGACAUUUUCGCAUGGGCACAUUCUGAUAUGAAGGGAAUUCAUCCCUCUAUUGCAUCUCACAGGCUUAACGUCUUUUCAACUGCCAAACCCGUCCGGCAGAAAAUUAGGCGCUUUCACCCGGAUAGACAAAAAGUCAUCCGGAAUGAGAUUGACAAAUUGCUCAAAGCCGGAUUCAUCAGAGAAGUAUCUUAUCCGGAUUGGUUGGCAAACGUAGUGGUGGUACCCAAAAAAGAAGGAAAAUGGCGAGUUUGUGUAGAUUACACCAAUCUUAACAAUGCAUGUCCAAAAGACAGUUUUCCCUUGCCACGAAUAGAUCAAAUUGUGGAUUCCACUUCCGGGCAAGGGAUGCUCUCUUUCUUGGAUGCCUUCUCCGGAUAUCACCAGAUUCCCAUGUCCCCGGAUGACGAGGAAAAGACAGCAUUCAUAACGCCACACGACCUCUAUUGCUACAAAGUCAUGUCGUUCGGACUCAAAAACGCUGGCGCCACUUAUCAGAGACUGAUGACAAAGAUCUUCAAACCUCUAAUAGGCCACACAGUAGAGGUAUAUAUUGAUGAUAUCGUGGUUAAAAGCAAAACCCGAGAGCAGCAUGUCCUUCACUUACAAGAAGUUUUUCACCUCUUACGAAAGUAUGGCAUGAAGUUAAAUCCUUCUAAAUGCGCCUUUGGCGUAAGUGCUGGCAAAUUUCUGGGAUUUAUGGUCAGCCAAAGGGGCAUAGAAGUCAGCCCGGAUCAAGUCAAGGCAGUCAUGGAAACACCCCCUCCCAGGAACAAGAAGGAGCUACAACGGCUCACAGGCAAGCUCGUCGCACUAGGGCGUUUUAUAGCCCGCUUCACUGAUGAAUUGCGACCCUUCUUCUUGGCAAUACGAAAAGCUGGAGCACACGGAUGGACAGACAGUUGCCAAAACACUUUCGAAAAGAUUAAGCAUUGUCUCAUGCAACCACCCAUCUUGAGCAGCCCCAUCCCAAAGGAAAAAUUGUACAUGUAUCUGGCGGUAUCAGAAUGGGCAAUCAGCGCCGUUCUAUUCCGCUGCCCCUCACCCAAGGAGCAGAAACCUAUCUAUUACGUCAGCAGGGCAUUGGCUGACGUAGAAACCAGAUAUUCAAAAAUAGAGCUAACAGCCUUAGCCCUUCGAAGCGCUGCUCAGAAGCUCCGCCCUUAUUUCCAAGCUCAUCCAGUGAUCGUACUAACUGACCAGCCUCUUCGCAACAUUCUGCACAAGCCAGAUUUAACCGGGAGAAUGCUACAAUGGGCCAUUGAAUUAAGCGAGUUUGGAAUCGAAUUCCAACCCAAAUUGUCCAUGAAAGGCCAAGUAAUGGCUGACUUCGUGCUAGAAUAUUCCCGAAGACCCAGCCAACACCACGAAUCAAAUAAACAAGAAUGGUGGACUCUGCGAGUUGACGAAGCCUCACGCUCAUCAGGCUCGGGAGUUGGACUCCUACUACAGUCCCCAACUGGGGAACAUUUGGAGCAAGCCAUCCGGCUGGGAUUCUCUACCUCUAACAAUGAAGCAGAAUAUGAGGCCAUCUUGUCCGGAUUGGACCUCGCCUUUGCUCUAUCCGUCUCCAAACUCUGGAUCUACAGCGACUCACAACUCGUGGUAAGACAUGUCCAGAAGGAAUAUGAGGCUAAGGACGCACGCAUGACGCGAUACUUAGCUAAAGUAAGAAACACCUUGCAGCGAUUCACAGAAUGGACAAUCGAAAAAAUCAAGCGAGUUGACAAUAGGCGCGCUGACGCCUUGGCUGGCAUAGCUGCCUCCCUCCCUAUCAAAGAAGCCAUUCUAUUGCCUAUACAUGUGCAACCCAACCCCUCUGUCGCAGAAAUUUCCACCUGCAAUACCAUUGAGGCACCCCAAGCGGAUGGCCAAGAAUGGACGUAUGACAUCGCAGAAUAUAUCCGGAUAGGCACUCUACCCGGAGAUCUCAAACAGGCACACAAAGUCCGGGUGCAAGCUGCCCGUUUCACCCUGAUUGGGGGGCACCUGUACAAGCGGUCCUUCACAGGACCUUACCUUCGGUGCCUAGGGCAUUCAGAGGCCCAGUAUGUGUUAGCUGAGUUGCAUGAGGGAAUAUGCGGGAAUCAUUUAGGAGGACGAUCUCUGGCACAUCGAGCCCAUUCACAAGGAUAUUAUUGGCCAACAAUGAAGAAGGAUGCGGCAGCCUAUGUCAAAAAAUGUGAUAAAUGUCAAAGGUAUGCUCCCAUUCCACAUAUGCCGUCAGCAACAUUAAAAUCAAUCUCAGGCCCAUGGCCCUUCGCACAAUGGGGCAUGGACAUAGUGGGACCUCUCCCAGCUGCACCUGCCCAAAAGAAAUUUUUGCUCGUUGCCACAGAUUAUUUCAGUAAGUGGGUGGAAGCUGAAGCGUAUGCUAGCAUCAAAGACAAAGAUGUCACCAAGUUCGUAUGGAAAAACAUUGUUUGCCGUUUUUGAAUCCCCCAAACCAUCAUAGCUGACAAUGGUCCACAAUUUGACAGUAUUGCAUUCAGGAAUUUCUGUUCAGAGCUGAACAUCCGGAAUUCAUACUCCACACCACGAUAUCCUCAAAGUAAUGGGCAAGCAGAAGCCACAAACAAAACCCUAAUCACUGCCUUAAAGAAAAGGCUUGAACAAGCCAAAGGGAAGUGGGUAGAGGAACUACCUGGCGUCCUAUGGGCCUAUCGAACCACACUCGGACGACCAACAGGAAACACUCCUUUCGCCCUCGCAUAUGGAAUGGAUGCAGUUAUUCCUACUGAAAUAGGUCUUCCUACUAUCCGGACUGACGCAGCAAAGCAGAAUGAAGCAAACACGGAAUUAGGAAGAAAUUUGGAUUGGACGGAUGAAGUAAGAGAAAGUGCAGCCAUCCGGAUGGCAGACUAUCAACAAAGAGCAUCCGCCCACUACAAUCGUAAAGUAAGGCCCAGAAGCUUCAAAAAUGGUACGCUGGUCCUUAGAAAAGUUUUUGAAAACAUUGCUGAAAUGGGCGUAGGGAAAUUCCAAGCUAACUGGGAAGGACCCUAUAUAGUGACUAAGGCAAGUGAAAGUGAAGCCUAUCAUUUACAAAAGUUAGACGGAACUCCAUUACUUAGACUAUGGAAUGUGUCCAAUUUAAAACAGUACUACCAAUGAAAGAGCAAGACAAGUACAAAUGAAAAAAGAAGAAUUUUAUUUAUAUGUGUAAAUAUGUGUACAAAGAGGUCUCCGGACCACAAGAAAUACAGAAAAGAAGAUUACAAGAAAAAAUUGCAAAAAGAAAAGCUAUCAGGGAGCAGGCCUAAAGUUUCUUCUCUUCGCCCGGAGGAAUUGAAGAGACAUCUCGUUUUAUACCGUUCUUCUUCAUACAGCAACGAUAGCCGAAGAUGAAGGUAUCAUCCACUUGUUUUUGAUAAUCCGCUUCAAGCUUCUCCCUCUCUACAGCAAACUCCCGCUCAAGCUAUUCUUUUUGCGCUGUUAAGCGCAACUGCAAAUCUUCUUUCUGCUUCUUUUCAAUUGAAGCCUCGGUCUGGAGUUGCCUCACCUCCCCCCGCAGCCGGACCAUCUCAUCCUCUGCCUCAUGCAGGCGGGCCUCCAUUGAUUCCUCCCGGCUUUUCGCCUCAGCCAAAUCUGCCCGGAGGGCCUCAUUCUCCCCCCGAGCGGUGGAUAAGCUGGCUUCAGCCUCCUCCAGUCUCAGGCGCAACUAGUCUUCAGUAUCUUUGCGCCGAGUGGCGAAGGCCUUCAUAUAAUCAGUGGUCCGCAGCAGGUUAGUGAAAAGAUCGUAUUGAUUGGUCAUGCCACGGAGACCACUCACCAGCUGCAGGCAAACAGACAAACGAGAAAAGCAAAGUUAGAAAUCACACCGCAAACACACAUCCGAAUAACAAGAAAUCAAGAAGCACAAAAACAGCAUACCGAUUCCACCAUAUCAAACAUCUUGGCUGAGGGCAUGACAGUGGUCAAGCCGGGUGGAAUCUGUUUUAGCUUAUCUUCCAACUCCGCGUAGCUAAAAGGGCUAGCGGAGGUGCAAGAAGCAUCAUUAACAGGAUCCCCGCCUGAUGAGGCAACAAAAGGCGACUCUUGUUCCGGAUUCGGGGCCUCAACAUUUACGGCCGGAUGGGUCUCCCCGGGUGCAACCUCAGCCGGGACCAUCACCGGGACGGUUGGAGUCUCAGUUGCCAUCUCUACUUCGCCCCCCUCCGGAUGAGCGUCGUAGGCGGAUGAGCAACUAACUUCAAUCUCUUGCUGACGAUCUUGAAGCCGCCCGAUUAGUCCGGACCUCAGAUUGCGCGCCGAACGAGGCCUCUUUGAAGGUGGCCCCUUCACUAGAACAAAAGCUAGACGGUCCGGAUAGUCAGAAGGCUUACCCUGGCUUUCUGCCCCCGCUUCCUCCAUCGGGGCCGCACAAAUGGCUUCAACUGCAUCGACAUCCGGAUUAGGGGAGUCCGGAUGGUUGAUGGACGCAGCUUCCUCCGCCAAAUUAGUCAGACGGGCAACCGCUGCCAAGGAGGUACUUGAGUGGUUUAGCCCCGCGACGUGUCCGGAUCCGCUUGAGACAGAAUGAGGAGCAGGGUUCACUGGCUCCUCUAUUAUUACUUCCUCCUCAUGAGUAAUUGGCGGAAGAACAAAAACCUUGGGAGGAGUGGGCUCCUUCACUCCCUUCCCAUUCUUCACUAGCCUCCUCCUUUUCGCUGGAGCUUUAUUUGGAGGAGAGGUUGCGCCGCACUUCUGUCCGGGGAGCCUUCCGAAGGGUUCCUUCGUUUUUUUUCUUCUCCCGACUAUCCAGGAGUGCUCGGCGUUUUUCAGCGUCAGCCUCUUUAAACUCCUGGUAGAUCGGGAGAUCCUUCACAGUAUAAUGCUCCCUAGGUACUACCUCAUUUGGCAUUUUCCUGGGGAGAAUGUUGACGACAUACUCUUGGGACUCCCGGACGACUGCCAUCAGGUUUCGCGUAGUAAGCAGCGUCUUGUAGUGCCUCUCCUUGGCGUCUAUCUCAAAUAACUUACUGAGACAGGCAAAAGACACCUUUUCCACCCAGUCCACGAGGUGGCCCCUUUUUUCCGGACCUGCAUUGACAGCAACAAAGGUUGAGAAUACCAUCCGGAAAGAUCAACAAAAAGACAACAAGGUAAAAAUCCGGACAAAAGUCGCAAAGCCAACUCACCCAAAAUCGCUAAGGAGUAGUUUGGAGAGAAGGGCCUCCCCGGACGCCCUAAUGACCCCGCCCAUGCACCCCGGACCGCCACGUGUCCCUUCGCCCCUCCCUUCGUCGAGUCUGGCAGUUCCGUCACCAGUUGAAGGGAGGGCAGGUGCGCGGACAUGCUGAAGAUGUCAGUUUUCACCUUCUUCAGCGAAUAGACAAAAAACACCUCCAGCAGCGUGAGGUCGAGGUUGUACAGCAUGUUUAUGAUGCUACAUCCCAUCAGUACCCGGACGAUAUUGGGAUGAAUGAAAACGGGUGGAAUCUGGGUGAAAUGGAGGAAUUCCUUGAACAACGCCGGCAACGGGAACCGGAGCCCCACGUUGAAUUGUUCCUUUGAGAAGAUGACGGUAUCUUGUUCAGCUUUCUCGGUAGACACGACAUCUUCCCCAUCCAUAAAUUCAACAAUUACGCCAUUUGGGAUACAGAAUCGAUCCUGGAACUCCUUUACGCUCAGUUUGUCUGUAGAUUUCCCAUGAGCGUCGCCGGCGCGGACAGAUGAAGUAGCUUUCUGCUUCGAAGACAUUUUUUAGCCCGAGUUUUACCGAAACCUACAUACAAAAAAGUGCAACAGUCAAACACAGCCAACCAACCCCACAAACCCUAAAUAAUAACAACACUCAGAAAACCUUGCACCACCAAUGUACCCAUUCCAAAGUCCUUGACUCUACCCCAACAAGAAACCCCCAACCCACAAAAAUACAAGGGGGCAACGGAAACCCUUAAAACACCUAGUCACAAACAACACUCGCCCAAACAAACCAGCAACAAACCAACAAACACCAAAGCGCAGAAAAGAAAAGAACAAGGCACAAAGAAUACGUACCGAGUGUAAGAGAAGAGCAAGGAUUGCAAAACCGCAAGGCAAACACCGUCAAAAUGCAACAAAUCACCGUCAGGAAAUUCUGGAAGUUUCACUCAGAAGAAGCGAAGGUACGCACAAGGUUGAAGAAGAAAGUAAUCUCAGAAAAAACGCAGUAGGAAAAAAAGCAACAAUGGGCACAGUAUGCUAUUUAUAGGGAGACAAGCCCUAGGAAAGCCAAACGCCCAACAACGCCAUCAUUGAAACGACAUGCUGCCUGGGAAUACCCAGAGUCGGCGGCCCAUUAUAAAUGCCUUUCUUGGCUCCCGCACCCCCACUCACCACGUGGCUCAACCAGACCAAAAGUCGACUUCGGUUUCAAAAACCAAUCAUUUUUUAACCCGCCCAUUUUUUCUAAGGCAAAAUAGGCAAGUUAAAAAGGGGGGCAUUGUAGGGACCCUUCCCUCCGAGGACAUGUGGCACGCAUCUUACAGUGACACGUGGCACACAUUGUCAUCCGGGUCACCCUCAUUCGGAUCUUCCUAUAAAGCACACAUGACGCGUUUUUCCCAUCCGGACUGCCUCAAGGAAGAGCAAACGACGCUUACAAAGCAUAGACAUCCGAACGGCUUCCAUUAAUGCGUCCGCUCCACAAUACAUCCGGAUAACCAACAUGGGCUAUCCGGAUAUGAUUGUCCGGAUCAUUGACUAAAGUAUAGCGAGUCUUACACGCUAUCACGACAACCAGCCAUGGCCCAUGUCCCAUCACCUGCAGAGUGAAAGGACGGGUUGAGGUGACAACAAGUCACUUCCCACGAUCAUUCUACAUGAUCACUUCCCACGAUCUCUAACAGCCGCAUCACCUACCACGGUUUCUGAUAGCCGCCCGUAGGGUGGUGAUGACCCUGCUGCUAUCUAAUGUCAUCAUGACAACAUAAAAUAUCUCCUCACCAUUAAUGAGAGGAACAGUACUCCUGGCACUAUAUAUAUAAACCUUCACACGAAGAGAAAGGUAAUCUUCUGAUACCUAGUAAAAGGCCAACUGAUUUAUAUCUCCCUCUCUAACCAUGGCUAACAAAACCAUUGGAGGGUGCAUCCGGACACCCUGUCCGGAUGUCUUUUGCAGGUAUAACGACUGAAUCAAGAACCUUUAUGGGUUGAGAUCGCGUAUCCGUCCAUUUGGCAACUACGUGGAACUCCAGGAGCGCGAGGUAUCAACACCCUGGUCCUAUAGUACUAUUUUUUUUUAAAACUUGGCCCUAGAUUUUUUCUAGGGAGAAUUGUGUUUUGGGCCCAACUGGACCCAAAAAUUGAUAAAAGAUCCUCAUAAGUUUCAUAUUUAAACCCAACACCUAAAGAAAGUCUACAAAUUGAAAAGAAGGAUAUGAAACAUUUAAUUUUCCGAAAAUGCCCUUUAUUGUCAACAAGAAAAAAAAAACAACUAACUUCUCACUCUCAUUCAUUAUUUUUUUCCCUCUCUUUCAUCAUUCACCUUAUUUUUUUCUUGCACAUAUUAAUCGGUGGGACAUGUAAAUUAAUUCUUUUCUAGAAAGGUGUUACUAUUUUCAUCAAUUAUUUUUCUCCCAAAAACCAUGCCUAAUAAAUUAAAUAUUGGUAAUUAAUGGUUGAAAAGGAUUAUUACUAUAUUUUUAAAGUAAAAUUUUUUUAAAGACCUCAUAAAAUAUAUUUUUUUAAACUUACAAAAUAUAUAAUAAAUAAUUUUUAAACACCUUAAAAAAUAUUAUUAUUCUUUUUAUCCAAUAUAUAUAUAAAUAUCUUUAAGGUUGUAGACAAUUAUUUGAAUAUUUUCUCUAUUUUUUGGACAAUACAUUGAUAUUGUUUUAAUAUAUUAUUUUGUAACAUGAUCAUCUUUUAACUAAUGGUGAUAAUUAAUUUUUAAUUGAAUAAUGUAUUAUAACUUAAUAAUUUGAAAAAUAUUCAAAUGCCUUUUUAAAUCUAAAAUAGAUGUGGACUUGGCAUGAUUUAAAUUAUUAAAGUAUGAUGUCAUUAAGUCAAGCAAAUGUAUCAUAUUAAGAGAUGUGUAUGUAAAUUAUAUAAUAGUUUUCUCUUUUUUUUAUUUUUUUUCCUCGUACAUGAUAUCUUUUGUAUAAAGUUUUGUAGAUGAAAAAUAAUAAAAUCUUUUGUUAUGUAAAGAGGUAUAACAACACAUUAAAAUUGAAAAGAGAAUAUAAUGGAAUACAAAUUAGAUGAAAAUCACUUUAAAUAAGGAUAUAAUAGAAAACAUAUAAAUGUAAGAAAAAACAAGUUUAGAUGAAAUUUAAAAUAAAAAAUCAAAGAAAAUAAAUUAAAAGUAAUAAUAUAAAAAUCGUAGAAUCUUUAAAACUAUAAUUACAACAAAAAAAUUAUUUUAAAUUAACUUGAUAAUUUAAAUUAAUGAUUUUUUUAUAAAAAAAAAAUUGCAACUGUUACAAAGAUAAUUUUUUAUCCUUUUUAAUUCUAUUUAAAUAUGAUUUUUUUAAUAUCUGCUCAUUAUGUUUAUAAAGGUAAAAUAGUAAAAAAAUAUAUUUCAUUCGGUUUACUUGUAAUAAACAUUUUAAAUGUGAUUAAUUUUAAUUUUAUUUCCUAUGUUUUAAUUUUGGUAGAGAAGAUCUAAAUGACAUAGUUUGGUAAAAAAAUAUUCAUAAUUUUUCCUCAACAGUUAUUAUAUGUUGUUUAUAUUGUCUUAAGUUAUUUGAAACAAUGACAUUAAUGUGUUAUCCAUUUAUAUUAAUUUGAUUUCACAAAAAAAAAAAGGUAAUACCUAAAUAUUAUGGUUAAUUUUCCUUUAUAUAGGAUGUAAAUGUUGUAAGAAAAAAAUAUUGUUAAAACUACUUAAAUGAAAUAUGCAAUUACAAAUUUUGGAUGAUGAAAUUUAAAAUUUCAAAUUAAAACAAUUUUUAGGUGAAGGAAUGUGUGGGGAAAAGUGUUCAAUCCUUAGGUGACAAGAAAAAAAAAAAAGUUCAGAAUUGAUUAAAAUCUUGCAUAAAAGAUAACCUUGUACACCCUUGUAUAAUUAGUACAUUUACCCCAUACAGUUAAUACAUUGCCUUACACAGUGAGUGGAAUACUCUUUUAUAGUUAGUGUAACACCCUUAUAUAAUAGUGCAAAUUUCAUAAACAAUUUAUGGGUAACAAAAAAAAUAAAGAAAUGAUUCAAAAUCGACUAAAAUCUUUCACAAAUGGUAACCUUGUACACCCUUAUACACUUAGUAUAUUUCCCUUGUACACUUAAUACAUUUCCCUUGUACAGUUAGUGUAACAUCAUUGUACAAUGAUGCAAUAUAUCCCUCUUAAGUUGUGUGUCCACGUAGAUAUAUUAAUCUUAUUUCUAAUGGUUUGGCUAACAAAAUGGUGGAUGAAUUAUGAUUAAAUUUUUUUCCCCAAACAUUAUUACUAAGAAAAGUAUCGAAAUUUUCAUGUGAAAGUUAAAUAAAUUGCAUGACGUAGGUAUGCAAUCUAUGGGUGACAAGGAAAAUGAAAAAGUGAUUCAAAAUCGAUUAAAUUUUUUUAUAGAUGGUAGUCUUGUACACCCUUGUACACUUAGUACAUUUUCCUUGUACAAUCAGUUAAAUACCAUUGUACAAUAUAUCUAUCCUAAGUAAUAUGUCCAUGUAGGUGUGUUAACCAUAUUUCUAAUGGUUUAACUAAUAAAAAGAUGGAUGAAUUAGGGUUAGUUUUUUUUUUCCCAAACAUCAUUAUUGGGGAAAGUAUCGGAAUUUCCAUAUGGGAGUUAAAUAAAGUGCAUGACAUGAAUAUGCAAUUUGUGGGUGACAAGGAAAAUAAAGGAGUGGUUCAAAAUAGAUUGAAAUCUUUUAUAAAUGGUAAUCUUAUACACUGCUUGUACACUUAGUACAUUUCCCUUAUACAGUUAGUAAAUACUCUUGUAUAGUGACACAAAUUUCAUAUUCCCGUAGUGCAUAUAUGCCUAUAUUUGUAUUAAACAUGAUUCUAGUAGUUUGAUUAAAAAAAUGAUGAAAAACUUCAAUCCAAUUUUUUUAUGAACAUAUUACAUUUUUGUGAAAAAAAUAUACAAUUGACCAAUUCCUUUAUUUAAUUGUGAACAUAUUAUAUUUUAAAAAUAAAAAAAGAAUAAUUAAUAAAUGAAAUUUAAUUCUUUUUAUUAUCUUAGUAUUAAACAAGGUCUUCAAUUUUCAUUUUUAAAAAUAUUUUUCAUUUUUUUAAUUAAAUGUAUUUUCAAAAAGAGACAAUAUAGAAAAUAAAAAUAAUUUUUAAAAAUAAAAAAAUAAUAAAAACUAGAAAAAAUAUUUUAAAACCAAACUCAAACAUAAUCUAUAUAAUUUUUAACUACUUGUUUUUAUUUAAAAUGAGUAAACAUAUCAUUUAACCCUUCUGUAUGAGAAAAAAAAUCAAUCUCUACUAUACUAUGUAUUGAUAUAAUCCAUUUCUAAAUACGAAAACAUUUUAGUUGGAUAUUUAAAAUAAAAACUCUUCAUCUAUCCUCUUUCUCUCUUUUUCUUUUUUCUCAUUUCAAUAAAUUUUCAAUUAAUUCAAAUCAUUAAAAAAAUUCCUUAAUAAACAAAUUUGGAACAUUCAUAUAACUUAUUACAAAAGUCUAUGUUCAAAAAAUUAUUAAACUAUGGAAAUAAAAAGAUUAAAAAAAAAACUUUAAACUUUUUAUUUUAUAAUAAUAAAAAAAUAAACUUUAAAAUACUUUUUAGUAUAAAAGAAAAAAAAUAGUAAAUAUAUUUUUUUAAAUAGUGUUUUAAUCAUUAAAUUAUUUACUUGUAAAAUGUAAAAAAUAAUUUUUAUUCAUUUAAAUUAAUAUUUUUUUCAAAAGUAUGUUCCAAAAUAAUUUUUGAAUCAUUAAUAUAGUUUUUAUUUAUUUAUAAUUUAAAAAUAUAAAAUAAUGUUGAUUUUUCAAUUAUUUUUAAAGGAGUUUAAAAAAUAAUAAAAAAUAAAAAAAUGAUUAAAUAAAGGAGAAUUUUAUGGAUGAGGCAUGUAAAGAGUGGUGGUAUAAAGACAAAAUGAUGGGUGUAAGUAAAAAGGGGUAUUUUUGUUUAUUCCAACCUUAUAUCCUUACAAUCAAUUAUAAGUGUUUGAAGGAUCUUUUAUUAAUUUUUGGGCCUAGCCGGGCCCAAAACACAAUUCUCCCUUUUUUUUAGUAUAAAAAGUACUAUUUUGUUGAAUUUAAAAAAAACUCACAGGGAACAUAACGUUUCAAUAAUCCUUUAACCUCUAUCUCUCAAAACUUUCAAAAUCCAUCUUGAAAGUCUCUCUUGACUAAAACAAAUAUUUGAGACUCGCAUUGUAUAUGCUUUAAUAAGGGCUUUGAGGGACUUGCUAAAGAUAUAGGUGACAAUUUUGAGAUGAUACAAUAACACGACUUGAUAAUGAUAUAAAAUUUAAUAGAUUCAGAUUAGGUAUAACAUAUUUAUGUUGCAAUCAUAUCAACUCAUAUGACUCGUUUAAUAAAAUGUACAAUUAUCCAACCCCAUAUAGCUUGUUUACUAAUUCAUGUCAAACAAACCAAUUUAUUUAAUCGUAUCAAAAUAAUGUUUAACUCAUAUAAAAUUAUUAAUAUUAUAUAUUUCAAAUUUAUAAAAAAUAAAAAAAAUGCUUAUUAGUUAUAAAAAUGAUAUAGUUAAAAAAUGAAGUAACUAAGUAAAAUUUUAUACAUUUCAUUCUAAAGAUUAAAAUUAUUUUAUCAUUAGAACAUUAGAUAGGAUUAUAAACAAGCAUAAAAUUAAAAUUUUAAUGUAUUUUUAUAUUAUAAACAAUUUCUAAUUUAAAUUUUAUAAUUAAAUUAGUUAAAAUUUUAAAAACUUAAAAUGUAUUUUGAACAAUACAUUUAUAAAAUUAAAAUUUUAAAUAGGUUAAACAUGUUAAAAUCGUAUUAACAUGUUAAACGAGUUAGAAUCAUAUUAAGCUAACCAUGUUAGAAUUGUAUUAGUAUGUUACACAAGUUCAAAUUGUGUUGAUAUAUUAAACGAAUUAGAAUCAUGUUAAUGGGUUUAACGACUAUUAAUAGGUUUCAUAUGUUAGAAUUGUAAUAACAAGUUAUCUAUGUCAAUUUAUACAAAGGUUAACUUAACCUAUCUAUUAAAUUAGUUUUAUUUGAAUUAGGUCAUUUUAACACAAUUCUUAAAUAAAUUGUAUUCCUAUCGAGUAAAUUUUCACUAUUUGUAUCUCAACAUUAUACAAAUCCUACACUUACAAUAUCACCUAUUAUCACCCCUAACUAAGGAGCAUAUGAGUGUUGCAUCGAGGAAGCAGAAGAGUAUAAAGACUAUUUAUAUAAAACUUUAGGAAGUGGAAGCAUUCGAUCAAGUAAAGUUGUGUUAACUUUUUUUCAUAGUUAGUGGAUUAUUCAAUGGUCAAGUGACCAACUGUGAUUUUUUACGCCUAAGGAUUUCUAGGUGGGUUCCACAUUAAAUUCUAUAUCUAAUCGUAUAAUUAGAAAUAUCGUGCAUGAGAUUGAUAACAUAUUAAUCAUAAUUGAAUCGGAAUAAAAUAAUUUAACUUUGGGGUUAAUUGAUUGAACUACCUAUGUAUAUAUAUUUUAUAUUUUUUAACUUUAAAUUAAUUAUUAUGUUGGGAAAUGGAAUAAGGGAAUAGUUGGCUCCAUUUUCAAUCUUGGUAAUUGUAGACCCCCACUUUGGGAGGUAAUUGUUGUAGCAAAUUUUGCCAGGUGGAGCAACUUUAGGAGGCCGCGUGGUGCCUCUUGACAGGCUGCUGAAGGAUCAAGUAGUGGAUUUGAGAGGCAAACCAGGUGGUGACACCUGUAAAGUGAUUCUUCAGGCAGUUAUGAGAUAUUUUUGAGGACUGCCAGCUGCAUGGAGGUUAGAGGAGCAGAGGCUGCCAGCUGCAUGGGGGUAGUGGAGGCUUGCGGCUGCAGGAAAGAGGUGCUUUUCAGAGUUGGUUAGGAUAUACAAUCGAGGGGAGCUUUGACAGGGGGGUACUUUUCUGCUGCGAGAGAGGAGAGUAGAGGGGGAGAGUUGAGAAGAGGAAGCUAGGAAAAACAGAGGAGAGGGGAGAGCAGAGAGGAAAACCAGAGAGGAAAUUAAAAGAAAACAGAGGGAAGAAAGGGAGCAUCCUCAGGUAUGUUUGCUAGACCACAUUUUAAUUGCUAUUGGUAUCCUUUGGUUUGUUGUGACUAUUUGAUAAAGUAUCUCUGCUUUGUUCUUCAGUAGAAAUUUGUUUUAGAGUAAUCUGUUUCCUUUAUAUCUCUCAUUUGGAUAUUUGAGAUCUUAGUUCCCCUUGGUUUUUCCCAUCCAUGCAUAAACCUAUUAACUCCAAAAUGAAAUGGAGCUCGGGUCGGUGUUUUCUUUGGUUCAGUUACCACUUUGUUUUUGUGCUUGCUCCUUUGCUGUUUAUACUAUGUUCUCGAUGGCCAUUCCAUUGGUGAAACGACUACCACAGGGCCACCCCUCCAUUCAAGGCCGCCUCUGUACCCAAGAUGGAAGAACAAAGAUCGGUGGAAUUUAACAUGGACUGAUUGGUGAAUGUGUUUUGGAGGAGUGGAAAGGGAUUCACUACUAUUUGCAGUUCCAUAUGUGUGCAAGUCGUGGUAACAAGUGAGCCUGGAUCCUGUGUGCUGGAAACGUUUUGUUUUUCCUCACUUUGAACAGACGGUUAUGAAAAGGUUCAUGAAAGUGUAUCAAAGCAUGGGACUCUUCUCCGUCACUUUAUUCAUAAAUUCCAUACUUCAUUGUAGCAAUAGAUUGGCUACAGCCUUGAUGCUCCCUGAUUGCUGCACAAAAGAGGCAUUGGAGUACGCGGUUGAUGAGGGUCCUGCGCUGAAAGUUUUGAGAGGAUCUUGGCAGAGAGAAGAAGCUCCUGAAACUCAUAGAGAUGAGUCAAGGUUCAGAUUUUGUUCUCAGUAUCUCUGCUGGGGAAAGUUAGGCUAUCAUGCAAGGAUCGCUGAGGUGUCGAAAUGAUUUAGUGGGCCGAACCUCCAUUUUCUAUGAAGCCAGACGCACUGGGCAGCAAGCCAAAUGAAUAUUCGGGCUAUUCUCAUUGAUUUGGGCCUGGAAUCAUAGGCAAAGUCAAGUGAUAAGUCCGGGCCAUUCAGCAUACCCAUGACCCUAUACCCAUUAUACCUCCAUACCUAUGCCCAUUUGUAUGAUCACCUUUCUUUCUACACCACCAUGCAUCCAUCUCAUCUCUCUUUUUCGCUCAUCAUACCCUCACUUCCAUACUAACCCUCAUCUUCAUGCCCCAUGCAUGCACCCAUCAAACCCAUUCCACAUUACCACAUUUUCUCUCUCUUCAAACUCUUUCAUACCCAUUUCACCCCCCCUUUAUUCAUCAUCCAUCAUCCAGUCCUGUUCAUCUAUCCCAACCUCUCUGCUCGUUAUGCACCUUCAAGACCAGUCCAACCAGUCCUAGUCUGUCGUCAUUAGUCUUCGCGUCUUCAGCGAUAGCAUCAAGGUUCCGUCAGAGAUGAAGCAAAAUGUGAAGAUUGCAAAUGGGUUUCAGAGCAAAACUUCACUCAUAAACUGGUAGAUGGACGACGCAGAUGACUUCUUCAGAUUAUUAUGCAAAGUCAUUCCUAAUGGGAUACCGGGCAGUCCACUAGGAAGCAGUACUGGUACCAGUAUCUGGCAGAUCAAGCAAACAUCACCUCGCGGUUUGGGAUAAUUGGAUGGUUGUUCCAUUUAGUCUUCUGGACUAAGACGCUCAGUCCGCAUCCAUCAUUGCCGCGGUGUUGAAUCUCCGAAAUAUAGCAACAUGUUAAUCAGGGACGCUCAUCACUGACAUUGCAAUUAAGGACAACGUGCUGACCACUAUAUCAUUGUUUGGGCAUUGUGAAUCUUCCCAUGAAUUAUGGUUUUUGGGAUGGGAACAGGAUACAAACAGGCAGCUUUUUCAGUUUUCGGCAUCAAUUUCAGCCAUAUACGUAAGUGACUUGACCAGGGAGUUUGUCACAGCAGCUGCAGCAGUCUCAUAUUCCACAAUUACUUCUUGAAUAGUUGUGGCAUCAUCGCAUGUCUGAUCCGGGUUUUGGGCAGUCAAAGAUGGACCUUAUGGGAGACAACAUGCUUGAUUAGGCUUAGCUGAGGAAAAGCCUUCUCCAUGAAUUGCAGUAGAAUUCGUUUGCUUCAAGGCACCUGGAUCUAUCUUUAGAACAGAUCAUUCAAGCAAAGAUUGGUCAGAAUGCAUAUAGAGGACGGUCAAAUGAUUUAUUAGAGCUCAUAUCACAGGUGAAGCAUGAGAGUGCAUCCCCUUCAGAACAGUAGCUCCAUUUCCGCCAAGAACAGUCGCAUGCAAGGCCUCUUUGGGCACUUCAAUCCCCUUCUUAUUAUCCAAAACCUCAUGCUCGUUUCCAGCUAAUAAGUGCACCAGAUGAUAAGCGCGAAGGGGAGUCUGUUCCAUUAAAACCUGGUAUUCAUGCUGUUGAGAGAUUAAAUCAGAACACCAGGCCCUCGUCCUUGGUUGAGCUUUGCAGUCGCGAGAGCCCUCAUGCCUGCCAUUCCAUUUUGUUUCCUCCCUGUGUUUGGUUUCUGGAUCCUAAUGGAGAUGUAAGAAAGUUGUGGGUCUACUUACAUGGAGGAUAUGAGGAGAGACACUCACAUUUACUAGCACGUACAUCUCCAUGCUUCCGUGUCAUAAGAAGGUGAUGACUAUAUCAGCAAUAAUGGGUUUGACCUGGAUGAAAAUUCAAGGAACGGGACUUGAUGCAUUGCAUGCAAGAUAUGGAAUAGUGAUUGACUGCCAAGCGCUUUCUAGUAUCAGCAUCGUUCUCAAAUAAUGCCCCGUCUGUGUGAAAGAUGCAAGUGACAAGUGGAUUUAGGUUGACAUGCUGAUCUGGGCGAUGAAUAAUCCUGCCUCGAUUGGUCAUUUACUGAUUUCUGAUGAUGGUUUCUGAUGACUGUUUAGGAAGCCAAUUAAUCUCGGGUCAAGCUAUGAGUUUAGACAAAGGCUCGAUGCCGGCUCCAAUACACGUGAAAACCAUCCAUUGUGAUGCAGACGAGAGGCUCAAGGGCUUUGGUCAUGUUGAGUUUGCUACUCCGGAAGCAGCACAUAAGGCUUUCAAAAUGAAUGGUGGGGACCCCUCGAGAGACUCCAAGUACUCAGUCAUCAUCAUCAUAGCAUACUCAACACAUCACCAUCAUUUUCUCUCACCUCCCAUUCCAUCAAUCUUUUGGCUUAAAAAAAUAAUUUUCUAACAUCUUUUCUUGCAAAUAACUUUUUAAACAUCGGUUUUCAAAUAAUUUAAAUAUUUUCCAUCUUUCAUCCUUAGGUUUCCUUUAGGUUCCAAAAUUCUGUUAUUAAUAAAAUUUAGUGUCAUCUCUCUUCGGCAUGCAAUUUUCAUAAUUUUCCAGAUUUUAAAACGUUUUAAAAAUGAGUCUCAAAUUAAAUUUCGUAAUUCUCAAGUGAUGAGAUUUAUGGAAUUGAUUUGUGUAAAAUAAACGGGCUUUGGUGGGGGCCCCACAUAUGUGAAUUGAUGAUUGAUUGAUUGUUUGAUUGAUUUACUUAUCGUGCGUGUUUGAUCUAUUUUGUUCCUUGAUAUGCGCUUAAUUAUAUCUUGUUCAUUGCUCACUAACCCUGUUUCAUGAUAGCGCAUUCGAUAUUACUGUCCAAGUAUGCAUUCAUUCAUUCUGAUCGUUCGUUAUACAUAUCUUGAUUCUCAUACGUGCAUGAUCAUUUUGGGUAUUCGUUGAUUUAUUCAUCAAUUGCCAUGAUUGCUUCAUUUUAUUAGUAGAGACCCGUUUUUAGGGACUUAGAGGGGUGCUACGGUAUUUACCGUACCUUCCCGAUAAGUAACCUAACCCCCGAACCCGAUCCGGUUUUUCACAGACCACCUUUUCCAAAAUAUGGAGUCACACUUAGGGUUUUUUCUUUCUUAUUUUGUUUACCCUUUAAAAAUAAAACAAAAAUAAGUGGCGACUCCAAGUCAAUUUCUUUUUAAUAAAUAAAAAUCAUUUUCAAAUAAAAAUCGAGCUCGUCAUUCGAGUGGGAAACGCAUUGAGCCGAAAUACAGGGUCCACAGUAAUAUAAUUUGUUGUUGACAUGUUAUUUUAUCUUAUUUGAUAUAUUUUGUAGGAUAAAAAUAUAUAAUCAAGUGCUCUUGUAUGAUUGAUUUAGAUGUUAGAAAAUGUUUUACAAAACAUUAAUUCUAUUUGACUGAUGACAAAAACUUUUAAUUGCCCAACAAUUUUUUAUAAACUUUAAGUUGCUAGCAUUCAUUUGUUAUCAUAAAGUUAUUAAUUAUUAUUUUAUCUAAGUUGAACCAAAAUUCUUGGGUAAAUGAAGAAGUAUUUAUUGACAUACUUGUUUAUAUUAGAAGUUUUUAGUUUGAUUUGUUGUUAAAUUCAAAUUCUUAGUAGCUAGCUUUGAAUACUAGCUAAUUGCAUUGGUUUUUGUUGUAAGUUUGAUUUUUAUAUUGUUUUUAGGCAUGAUGUUUAUUAAUUGAAAAUGCUAAUGAUUCGAGAUUAGAAUCAGUUACUUCUUACUAAACUUAUUUUUUUAGGCUAUGUUUGGUAGACCAAAUAUAAUAUAUAAUAGAAUAAGAGAAAAAAUAUUAUAUCAUGUCUCAUCUUUAGUUGAUGAUGAGAUAUGAUAAGUUAUUUCAUUGCUUAUUAUAUCAUAUGUUUAACCAAAUAUGAGAUAUGAGAAGUGAUGAGAUAUAUUACUCACCUUUUUUUUUUUUUUUAUAUCUCUUAUACAUAAAAUAUGUCAAUCUCAUACUAAGAUAUAAGAAAUGCAUAUUUCAUAUAUCAUAAAUUUAUUUUUUAUCAAUUUUUUAUAUAUUUAUUUUGUAAAAUAAUUUUUUAUUAUAAAAUUAAAUUUAUAGUUAAAAAAAAACUAAAAAAAUAUUUAUAAAUAAUAUUAAUAUAUGAUAUAUAGAUUACUUUUAUAUAUUAAAUAACAUAAUAUAAACAUUUUUUAUUUGUAAAAUUUAAAUAUUUUAAUCAUGACUAUUUUUAAACAUAAAAGAAAUUUCAUUUUUUUAAAUGGAAAAUAUUGGAAUGUGAUAUAAUUUUUAUUUUAAACAUUGAAAAUAAUAUAUAUAUCAUAUUAUUUUUAUUCAUUUCAUAAAUUAAAUAUAAAUAUAAUAUAAUAUAUCUCAUUAGAUAUAUAUAUUUAAGGAUAUCAUAUCCUAUUAAAAAUCAUAUUUUAGAAUAUCAUUCUUUUUACCACAAGAGACUUAAACCCAAGUCUAUUUCUAUACCCCUUGAACAAUUACAAGGUUGAACCAUUGGGCUAAGGGCAAUAAUUGCUUUUAAUCGGUAAAAUUUGUAUGUAUACUAAAGUUGCACUGCCUAAUGUAAAGUGUUGGCUCCUCCAUUGUGUUGCACCUCAAGCCACCACCAAGUCUCCACAUGAUGCCCUUGUAAGCCUUGAUUAUCACAUUACCUUGGUCAAUAGGCACUUAUGGGUACAAGGUGCAACCCCAUGAGACCUUGGUGCCACAUUCUCCAAGUCAAGGUGUUAAUACUCUUCUAUGCUUACAAACUUAAUUUGGUCACCAUUUAUUAACUUAUAAGUCUCUAUAACCAUAAAUAAAAUUUCAAAUAUAUUAUUAGAACAAGGCUCUAUAUUUUGAGUUUUGAUAUUCAAUGAGAUAUGAUAUCUUAAGAUACACAUAUCUUAUUAAAUUCUAUUCCACCAAUGAAAUGUAACCUUAACUUAAAUGUAUUCUUAUUUUUAUUUCUCAUUUUUAUCCCAAAUCUAGGAAUUUACUUUUCUAUUUUAAGGUAAUUCAUUUUAAAUUUUAUUUUAUGUGUAUUAAAAAAAUAAGGAGUGACAUCAAUCAUUAUAAAGUCUGAAUCAAUCCCAAACAUACAUAAGAAGACGAUUUAAGUUUUAAAAUAAAAUCCCAAACCUACUUCUGACUAGACUAGGUGGAGCCUUGGGUAAAAUAAAAUUAACAAUGGCAUUAUCAUGUGCGUGUCUCAUCGCUUGAUGGGUUAUAAUUAGAGCCCACUUGAUGCUUAGAAAAAUAUAUUUGCAAUUGAUUAUCCAUCUGUCAAUUGAUUAAUCUAUACAAUAUUAAAAAUCCACUUGAUGUUAAUUUAGGAAAAUUAUUUUAUUUUGUUGGUGAUGGCCUGUCUCCCAUCUGACUCGAGUUUCUAACUCUUGAGACUCUUCAAAUUAACAAACUACAGCGCAGUGAUUCAUCUUUCUUCUUUGUUCCAUCUUUAGCUGAAUUCUAAUCCAUUUUUCUGUUACUUCCGAAAAGCUAUGGAGAUCCUGAGCUCAAUCUUGGGUCUUGUCCCAUAAAAAAUCAAAGCAACUAGCUAGUACUCAAAGUUAUGUUUGAUUUUUAUAUUGUUUUCAAACAUGAUGUGUAAAAUGUAUUAAUGGUAAUGAUGUUGAAAAAUAGCUAAUACUAUUUUGACGAAUGUUGAAAAGAGUGCCUGUGGUGCACUGCAUCAGGAGCAAGCUCCAUUAACUACAAAGUAUUGAGUAGAAUUAUUAUUAAAGUUGUAUAAACAAGUGACAGUCUUGAUAGUCAUAAUGACACCAUUCAAAAAUUAUAUAAAUUUUAACAGGUUCGAGUAAAGUGUGGUCAUACCGGAGUAAUAAUCAUGUCAACUUGUAUAACUCAUUUAAAUUAUUUAAAGAAAUUUAUGAGAUGGAUUUACAUGGCCUAAUUAUUGUUCUUAUUGAAGAAUGAGCUACUAUCCACUUCACGAGGACGAAAUUAUAAUUAGUCAGUAUUACUUAAAAGUGAAAUCUUAAAUUUAAAAGUUUCAAUUAAAUUCGAAAACUAAAAUUAUUAAGUAGAGAGUUAAAAAAAAUUAUUGAGCAUAGUUUAAAAUUCGAAUAUAAUGCAUUUAUUGUUGUAAUUCAAGCCCAAUAUUUAUUAUUUAUUAUUAUAAAUAUAAUUGUAUAUCUAAUUUUUAAAUUUAAGAUAAUUUAGCACAUUUGAACAAUGUUUCGAGAAUAAGAUUGGAGCAUCUAAUUUGACUAAUUAAAUAGCAAAUAGAACUAAUCCAAUUUUAUUUUUAUAUUUAUCCACCUUCAAUUCUAAGAUAAACAUGAACAAAAGUCUUUAUAUGAUUAUAACAAUAUAAACACUAAAAUAAUGAGUAUAACAUUAAAUAACAAAAAUUUUAUUGGAUAUAUUAUUAUAUUAGUUAUAUAUAUAUAUAUAUAUUAGUAAAAUUAGAAAUAUUAAUACAUUUAAUAUAUUAAAUAAUAAAAUUACAAGUUUUUGUUAUUAUUCAUAUUUAAUUAAUAAAUUUUAAUUAAAUCUAAAAUAAAAACUUUACACAAAUUAGUAUAAAACCAAGUAUGAUCAUCAUAAACCAACCCCUAUAAAAAAAGACUUAAAUAUAUAGAAGUCUAAGUAAAUAAAUGCAAAAUAAUGUUAAAAGAUAUAAAAUAUAAAAGGAAAAAAAAUAAUUAAUAAGAUUUUCAAAAUAUUGUAUUUGAAAACUCGUCACACAAAAUGAUUUUAAAAAAAAUUAAUGAAUGUAUUUUCUUUAGAAAUGAUUUCGAGAGUAUCAUCUAUUAAAUACUUGAUUUUUCUUCAAAAAUAUUUUUUAAGCUUGAAGUGCUUUUUAAAGACAAUAUCAAAUGGACCAUAAGUCUUAAAAUAAAAUCCCAAAUAUACCCUGGAUUUAAUUAUACUUUUCAAAUCCAUCCUAUGGGCCUAGGCAACCUUGAAAUACCCACCCCUAUUAUAAUACAAAAAAAGCAAACCACCACUAAGGAUAUUUAAACAACAUUUUAAAGACAAUUGAAACCUGUCAAUGAGUCUUUGUCUCAUAAUACAAAUUUCCUAUCAAUGAAUCUUUGUCUUAUAAUACAAAUUUCGUAAUGUUCACAUGUAGAAAGGGACAAGUAAUAUAUAAAAACUAAAAAUCAUAUACAAUAGAAAGCUUGGAAUCAAGAGGGAAGAGAGUAGAAAGUUACCAAGUGGUGGAGCCUUGGGUAAAAUAAAAUUAACAAAGGCAUUAUCAUGUGCGUGUCUCUGUCUCAUCGCUGGAUGGACCAAAUUUGCUUCUCCCAAAGAUCUUUGAAUAUUAUAAUGAGAGCCCACUUGAUGCUUCCAAAAAUAUAUUUGCAGGUGGUGGCAUAGCUACCUAUACUGAAGUCUUAACUCCGGGGUUUUUGAUUGACAAGGGUAGUGAUUCAUCUGCUCCCUAUACGGCGAACUAUCCCCUCUUUCUUUUAUCUUUGGCUCAACUUCAGUCCUUUUUUUCCUUUGAUUUCCCGAAAGCUAUGGAGUUCCUCAGCUCAAUCGCGGGUCUGAUCCCCUGUUUCUAUGAUCACACCUCCAGGCAUACGCUCUACAUUCGUGAUCUGAAAAAAAAUCUCCGAGCCUUGAGCCAGAAAAUGGAGGAGCUCAACAACUUGUAUGAAGAUGUGACGGCAAGGGUUGAAGGUGAAGAGCAACGACAGAUGAGGCGCAGAAAGGAAGUGGGUGGCUGGAUCCGUGGAGUAGAAGAAAUGGUGGAAGAAGUUAACGAAAUUCUGCGAAGAGGCGAUCAAGAAAUCCAGAAGAGAUGUCUCAGAUGCUGUCCCAGGAAUUGUUGGUCUAGCUACAAGAUUGGGAAGGCAGUAAGCGAAAAGCUGGUUACCUUAUCUGAUCAAAUCGGCAGAGGACAUUUCGAUGUUGUAGCCGAGAUGCUGCCUCGUCCUCUAGUAGAUGAACUGCCCAUGGAGGAGACUGUGGGCUCAGAAUUGGCGUACGGCAGAAUCUGUGGGUUUCUCAAAGAUCCACAAGUGGGAAUUAUGGGAUUAUAUGGAAUGGGGGGUGUGGGCAAAACCACCCUCUUGAAGAAAAUCAACAAUGACUUCCUCACUACAUCCAGCGAUUUUGAUGUUGUGAUUUGGGAUGUGGUGUCAAAACCGCCCAACAUUGAAAAAAUUCAGGAAGUUAUUUGGAAUAAAUUACAAAUCCCACGUGAUAUAUGGGAAAUUAAAAGCACUAAGGAGCAGAAGGCUGCAGAAAUAUCGAGAGUUCUGAAAACAAAGAAGUUCGUGUUGUUGUUGGAUGAUAUUUGGGAGCGACUUGAUCUGCUAGAAAUGGGGGUCCCGCAUCCCGAUGCUCGAAACAAGUCCAAGAUAAUUUUCACGACCCGGUCACAAGACGUGUGCCACCAGAUGAAAGCUCAGAAGAGCAUAGAAGUGAUGUGUUUGUCAUCAGAAGCGGCUUGGACUUUGUUUCAGAAGGAGGUAGGAGAAGAAACAUUAAAGUCUCAUCCACAUAUACCGAGGCUUGCAAAGAUUGUUGCUGAAGAGUGCAAAGGUUUACCUCUGGCUUUGAUUACUCUUGGGCGAGCUUUGGCAGGUGAGAAAGAUCCCUCAAAUUGGGACAAGGUAAUACAAGAUUUGGGCAAAUUUCCAGCUGAAAUUUCGGGUAUGGAAGAUGAAUUGUUUCAUAGAUUAAAAGUCAGUUAUGAUAGAUUAUCUGAUAAUUUCAUCAAAUCUUGUUUUACAUAUUGGUCCUUAUUCUCUGAAGAUCGGGAGAUUUAUAAUGAAAACCUUAUAGAAUAUUGGAUAGGAGAGGGGUUUUUGGGUGAAGUUCAUGACAUACAUGAAGCGCGUAAUCAAGGCCAUAAAAUUAUUAAAAAACUAAAGCAUGCAUGUUUAUUAGAGAGUGGCGGUUUAAGAGAAACAAGAGUUAAGAUGCAUGAUGUGAUCCACGACAUGGCUUUGUGGUUAUAUUGUGAAUGUGGGAAGGAAAAGAACAAAAUUUUAGUAUACAAUAAUGUUUCUAGACUGAAGGAAGCUCAAGAAAUUUCAGAAUUAAAAAAAACGGAGAAGAUGUCAUUAUGGGAUCAGAAUGUUGAGUUCCCUGAAACAUUGAUGUGUCCCAAUCUCAAGACUCUAUUUGUGGACAAAUGUCAUAAGUUGACGAAAUUUCCAAGUAGAUUCUUUCAAUUCAUGCCUCUAAUAAGAGUUUUGGAUUUGUCAGCCAAUUAUAAUUUAAGUGAGUUACCUACUAGUAUUGGUGAAUUGAAUGACUUGAGAUAUCUUAAUUUGACAUCCACAAGAAUAAGAGAGUUGCCCAUUGAGCUAAAAAAUUUGAAAAAUUUGAUGAUUCUGCGUCUAGAUCAUUUGCAAUCCCUUGAAACUAUCCCACAAGACCUCAUAUCAAAUCUCACAUCUUUAAAGUUGUUCAGCAUGUGGAAUACCAAUAUUUUCAGUGGAGUUGAAACCUUGCUUGAGGAGUUGGAGUCCUUGAAUAACAUCAAUGAGAUAGGAAUCACCAUAUCUAGUGCUCUUUCAUUGAACAAAUUAAAGAGAAGCCACAAAUUACAGAGGUGUAUAAGGCAUCUACAGUUACAUAAAUGGGGGGAUGUAAUCACACUUGAACUAUCAUCUUUGUUUUUAAAAAGAAUGGAGCAUUUGAUUGACCUUGAAGUAGACCAUUGUGAUGAUGUGAAAGUAAGUAUGGAAAGAGAAAUGAAACAAAAUGAUGUUAUUGGUCUCUCAAACUACAAUGUUGCAAGGGAGCAAUACAUUUACAGCCUCCGUUACAUAGGAAUAAAAAAUUGUUCAAAAUUGUUAGACUUAACAUGGGUUAUUUAUGCUUCAUGUCUAGAAGAACUUUAUGUUGAAGAUUGUGAAUCAAUAGAACUAGUACUACACCAUGAUCAUGGAGCUUAUGAAAUUGUGGAAAAAUUGGACAUAUUCUCAAGGCUCAAAUGCCUCAAGCUCAAUAGACUGCCAAGAUUGAAGAGCAUCUACCAGCAUCCUCUGCUCUUUCCCUCGCUUGAAAUCAUCAAGGUGUAUGAUUGCAAAAGCUUAAGGAGCCUCCCAUUUGAUUCCAACACUUCGAACAACAAUCUUAAGAAAAUUAAAGGAGGGACAAAUUGGUGGAAUCGGUUGAAGUGGAAAGAUGAAACCAUCAAGGACUGUUUUACUCCUUACUUCCAAGUCCAUGAGGCUGAAGCAUAUUUUGCAGAAGAGUUUGAAACUGGCAGCAUAGAUGAUGAUAUGCAGGAACAGCUGGUAUCAAAUUAAUUUCUAUCCAUCUUUCAGGUAUUAAUUAACUUUUAUGUUAUAUUUGAAAAAUACUUUUCUUUCCUUAUUCAUUCUUUUGUGGAAAUUUUUACUUUACCUAUGUCAAAAGUGCAUCAAAGUUUCAAACAUCAUAAUAACUUUCAAUGUUUGAUCUGUAUAGAUUACUUCCAUAAUUUUCAGCCUAGUCCUAAUAACUUUCAAUCUAUUUUUUUCCCUUUUAUUUUCUUUCUCUUCUAUGUUGCUUUGAAUCUUUUGAGAUCCAAACAAAGCCAAAUCUACACCCUUCCAAGAUCUUGGAUGGGUAAUUCAAUUCUAGUUGUUCCUUGUGAAAUAAUUGUUAUAAAAGGUUCACCCAGAUGGCACUUUGAAGGAGGUCUAUUGUUUAAAAAUGGGAUGACAUUCCCUGUUGGUUACUUGAGAACUUGAAAAUAAUUCAGAGUUUUAAACUAUAUUAUUUAUUUGUCUUAAUUUUUUUGAUCAAUUUCAAUCUAUAAACAGAAACAGAUCAACUUCUUUUCAUCUUAGUUCCAUAUAUUUCAAGCUGAACAACAGGGUUUCACAACUACUAUAUCUAUAGAUAUUCCAUUAAAGAAUUAUUGCCUUGUUAAGUUACAAGGGUAUUUUAUCUUCUAUUGUUAAGUUACCUCUAUCUGGUUGGCUCUGAUCACUUUUUGCUUUUCUAUUUUCUUUUUUUCAUUUCUCUUUUUGUUGCAUUCAGGGUUCGGGUUGGUUCUAGCAGUUCUGGCAACAGCCGGGUUUUCAUUUCUUUAUAUAUAGACUGCGUUGCUGCCGUUUUUGCUGAUUGGAGAUGUCCUGCUCUUUUUCCUUCUACUUGGAAUCUGGGUUUGGUCUGAGGUCUCUGGUAUGUUUCAUCAGGGAUGCGCAAAUGCUGAUUCUCAGAGCAUUGAUAUUUCAUGGUGCUGAGACUGCUGGAAAGGUUGGUGUACUUAUGUGAUGGUUGCAGCAUCCUUUUUGUUUCUGGAUCUCAGGAAUUGGAUUCUGUGGGCUGCCUUUGGCUUUUGAUGUUGGGUGGGUUUUGUUUUGUUAAUUUGUUGAGGCCGGUGCAGUGUGGUGGGUCUGAAGCUGCUGCUGGGUCAAUGCGGAUGUGAUAUGGGAAUGCUUUUGGAUCUUUGGGCUUCAGCAGGUUGAUUAUGUUUCCUCUGCUUACAAAUGUUUUAUCACCAGAUCCUAUGUGGGGAUGGGAUGGAUUGUUGUGAUAGUGAUGGUGUGGGUUUUGUUUUGUUUAUUUGUUGAGGCUGGUGCAUGUUUUAUCACCAGAGCACCGCUUAUUUCCUUGAGUUUGAUAUCCCACUGUCAAGUGUAUUGUCCAUAAUGUUAUGGUGUGUGUGUGUGUGUGGAUUGGAAUGUUUUGUGAGAACAACUGGUUGAUUUUAACAUUUGAGGUUGUUAAUGGUGAUUUUUCUUAUUAUGAUGAACAAGGUGGAAGUAUAAGCAGAGUUCUGAGGACUCAAACAACAACAUAGACUAGAAUUUCUCAUUUUUCAUUCCGGAGCAUUUAGAUCUCCAAACAGCAACCUGACUGAACAUGACCACAAAACUCCUCCGGCGCCACCAAUUUCCUCCACCUGCGACUCUUCAAAUCCAACAUGUAAGCCACAUGGGCUUCACCAAAGCUUCUGCACCCAAUCACUAAAGCUUCCCCUCCCAUGUUGUCAUGUAAGCUGUGUGGCGAAUCUCAGCUGGCAAUUUGUCUACUGUCUGCCAUCUGCAGUCCUGCAGUGCCACCACCUCACCCGCAUGACACAUGUACAUCCCCAUGUCACCACCGUCUACGCAGGUCCUCGGGCACGUGCUGUCUUCCAGGAAAUCCUCCUCUGCCUUGUCCCACUCCCAGUUGGCAAAAUCGAAGGCUUCCGCGCUCCUCUCGAACCUGCCUUGCAUCUCUGUGCAGUACCCGCCGAUGACAUGGAACUUACCACGGUGGAAUACUCCUUUGCAUUCAUCGCUCUCCCUUGCCAUGUCAGGCAGUGGGGCCCACUCAUCCUUUGCCACGUCAUACACCAGCGCUGACUUCAAUGCAUUCUUCUCACCAACAUACACCACCCGCUCCAAACCCGACGCCGCACAUCCAAAGAACGACCUCCGCGCACCUGGCAUAUCCGCUCCCCGCCGCCACGUCGCCGACAGGAAAUUGUAAAUAAACACAGAGCUCGAAACCUCCCAUGUAUCCGGAUCCCACCCGCCCACCACCACAAGCUCCGACUCGACUCCCACCAGCUGACAGAACAUCGGCAACCCAUCGGAAAACCCAGGAACCGGCGGUAACUCUCUCCAAUUACCCGUUUCGAGGUCCAAAAGCGUGACCCGAUAAGCAAGCGUAGGACAUUUCAUCCCACCAGAACUCCGAUUCGGGACCACCCGGGCCUGCGCCUUUGCGAAAACGGGUCGAGUAUACCCUGCCGUUUUCCUCUGUCGGAAAAAAUCAGGGUCCUCAACCUCACUCUUCCAAACCCUACAAACCGCGGCGAUGGUGGAGAAUUUUUCAUAAUAAACGCGAAUUAAACAUUGGCGGGCAACGUCGUCCGGGAGACCCGGAAUGAAGUCCAUGAACAAAAAAAAAACAGCAAGACUGUGGUGCUAUUAAUGGAGAGAAACCCAACCAGAGAAAUAUUUGAAUAAAUUGAGAUGGGGGGUUGAAAUAAAUUGAGAGAGCAGCUAGCUACAGAAGAAGAAGAUGAUGAAGAGAGAAACAGUUGAAUAUAAGAUGAUGAUGAGGAGGAGGAUUGCCUUUUAUAGAGCUUGCCAACAAGACUGUAAUACAGGUUUAAAAAAGGUUAGGCGUUCUAGAAAGUUAAAACGAAGGCGACCAUAGGUAAUGCCAAUACGGAAUACCAUACAAACAGCCGUUGUUUCAGUGUGAAUGGCUCCCUAGAAAAUCUGAGUCCAUGUGGAUGGGUCUGUAUUUCUCACUAUAAUUUCAGCUCAAAGGUACGUUUUAUCCUGUGCCAUCUCACACUCAAAAAUUAAUAAUUAAAAAAUCCACGUAAUCAACAUUUGAGUUGAGCCACCGUUAUAUAUCACUUAAAAAAAUUAUAUAAUAUCAUUUUACUUAUAUAAUUAUUUUUUUUAAAAACAUGUGAAAACAAUUAAAUUGUGUUUUCAAAAAAUAGGAUGUUUUAUUUAUAUUUUUAGAAAUAAAAAAUUAUUUUUUAUUUCCUUAUUGUAAAAUAUAUUUUCCAUUUUUUUUUAAUUCUUGAAAAUAGGAAACCAUUUUUUAAAAUAGCUUCUAAACAUAGUCUAAAUUUUUAAAAUUUUUCUAAAUCCUGUUUUUCUAAGAAAUGAUCCUUCUAAAAAUAUAAAUCCGUUUUUCCAAACAUAUCUUAUCUCCUAGUAUUUAUUAUUAUUAUUAUUAAAUUGAAAAAUUAAAACAAAAAUUGAUAUCUAAUCUAUUAAAAUUUUAUUUUAAAAUUUUUGCUACUUGUUUUGUUAGAACUAUCUAAUAUAUUUUUUCAACUUUUAAAAAUUAAAAUUAAAUUUAUUUUUUAAUUUUUCUUUUUGUUAUAUUCUACAUUUGAAUGCCAAAAUAAUAAUAAUAAUAAAGAAAGAAAAAUGAUAUGAAAGUCACAAAACCUUAUCAACUCAAAUAAGAGCAUUGGAGUUCCUAAGGUCAGAUUUUCAUUGAAAAUUUAAAGGGGAAAAAAAAAGUGAAAAAUAGCUUUUUUUUUUGUAUUUGAUUUUAUGAUGGAAAAUUAGGAAGAAAAUUAAAUAUAAUUAAAAUUAGUUAAAUUUAUAUAUUUUAAAUUAUUUAAUCAUUAAACUAAGUGAAAUGAGUUUAAAUAAUAAUAAUAAUAAUAAUAAUAUUUAAAUUAUUUAUUAAAAUAAAAUAAUUUAUUAAUUUAAUUUUCAUUCACUUUUUAUUUUUUUUUUCUAUUUUCUUUCUAUUUCAUUUUUUCUAAAAGCAAACACACCCGACAAAAAAUGUUUUGACUUUCAUUAAAAUUUGAAGUCUUAGUAUAAUACUUUCACAUUUAUUUUAAUGCAAAUUAAAAGCCAAUACAAGCAUAUUUGGAGUGUGUUUGAAAUAUUUUCCAAUUUUUUUACUUUAAUUAGAAGUUAAAAUUGAAUCAAACUCAAAAUUUUUAAAGGAUAAUAUAUGUAAAAUAAAGUUUUCACAAUCGAACAACAUUUUUCUAAUUUCUAUAUUAAGCUUUUUUUUAAAAUAGUCAUAAGAUUUUUGAACAAAAAUAGUGAAAAAAAAAAACCCCUUAUUGAAGUUAAAAAAAGAAACUGUUAUCUUCAUAGAAGUCUUACCAAAUAAGAAUCUAGCCUUACGGAAAAAGAAAAAAAAAAAAAAAGGUGGGUCAGUGCCCACUAGAUAAUGCAUUAGACCACCGUUUGACCCAACUUGAUUCUACCUUCAUGAUUUAUCCUUUGAAUUGUAGGAAGAUGAAUUUGGACAAAUCAAAUCAAUUUAUGUCCUAAUUGAUGCCAAAAAUAUCCAUAUAAUUCAAAUAAAUAUAAAUUUGAUAGUGAGAUAAAAGGGUAUGCCGUUUUUUUAUGGGUGUUGCCAGCAUUAUUAUAAUUUAUAGCUAUUUUAAAGAAAAAUUAAAUUAAAAUUAUCAAAAUAUAUUUUAUAUUUGCAAAAGCUAAAAGCAUAACCAAGAAAAAAUCUUUAUGCUUUAUAUUUUAAAAAUUAGUUAAAGCAAAAGCAUAUCCAAAUCAGCCCCACACAUCAAAUAAAGCUAAAAAUGAAAUUGACUAAUCAUUUUUUUACUGGCAAACCUUUUUGACUUUUUUCUUUUACUGUGCCAAUGAGAAAAAUGAUUCAUAUUAAAAGUGAUCAAAUUAAUUAAUUAAAAGAUUACAGCAUCCUUGCCCAGGAGGAGUUUAUCUCAGGAGGCUUUGUUUCUUGGCUUGAAGUGUACGUUGCUCACUACUUCCUUCAUGCGAUUCUCUGGCCUUUUAUGCUGGAGGUUGACUGGUACACAUCAGCCUGCCGCUUGCUACCUGAUUGGUGAUUGUGAAUGCUUUUGGGUCUUGCUGGUUGCUUGUGUUUCCUCUGCUUACAAAUGAAAUAUCACUAUAUAUAUUCUGGGAAGAUAGGAUGGAACUGCAUUUUCAAAGGAUGGAACAUAGUUUACAAACUUGGAUUUUGUUCCUCCCUUCAAAUUUUGAUCACUCAUUAAUGAAAUUUUUUCGUUCAUUUUUUUUUUUUUGGGAGAAAAAAUGGUGUUAAUUUGUUAAUGGCAAUUUGCUGCUGAUUUUGCUGGGUUUGAAAUGUUCUGCUCUCUUUCUGUUGGUGCUGUUGGUGUUGGCGUUUGCUUAAUUGGUGCUUGUCAGAAUUUUUUUAGUAAUAUUAUUUGUAGGAUAUUCUUAGAAAAAGGUAAAUGGUAAUAGCAUCUCAUUCAUUUAUUUUUUUAAAAAAAAAUAUUAUAAAUGGUAGAAGUUACAUGAAUAAUUCAAAAUUUGGCAAUAAAAAUACAAUUCAAUCCCACCAUGACCAAUCAGAAUUGUUUAAAGAAUAAUGUAGUGGUGAUGAAUGCAAGCAUAAAACCAUUGUGGAGCCAAGAUUCAAGGGGCAUAAAACCAUUGUGGAGCCAGGAUUCAAGCAUAAAACCAUUGUUGGUCUAGCUACAAGAUUGGGAAGGCAGUCAGCGAAAAGCUGGUUGCUGUAUCUGGUCAAAUCGGCAAAGGACAUUUCAAUGAUGUAGCCGAGAUGCUGCCUCGUCCUCUAGUAGAUGAACUGCCCAUGGAGGAGACUGUUGGCCUAGAAUUGGCGUAUGGCAGAAGCUGUGGGUUUCUCAAAGAUCCACAAGUGAGAAUUAUGGGAUUAUAUGGAAUGGGGGGCGUGGGCAAAACCACCCUCUUGAAGAAAAUCAACAAUGACUUCCUCGCUACACCCAGCGAUUUUGAUGUUGUGAUUUGGGUUGAAGCAUCAAAAAUUAAAAAAAUUCAGAAAGUUGUUUGGAAUAAAUUGCAACUCUCACGUGAUGGAUGGGAAAGUAGAAGCACUAAGGAGGAGAAGGCUGCCGAAAUAUUGAGAGUUUUGAAAACAAAGAAGUUCGUGUUGUUGUUGGAUGACACAUGGGAGCGACUUGAUCUCCUAGAAAUAGGGGUCCCCCAUCCCGACGCUCAAAAUAAGUCCAAGAUAGUUUUCACAACCCGAUCACAGGAUGUGUGCCACCAAAUGAAAGCUCACAAGAGUAUAGGAGUGGCAUGUUUGCAUGUCGCCAGAAGUGGCUUGGACUUUGUUUCAGAAGGAAGUAGGAGAAGAAACAUUAAAGUCUCAUCCACAUAUACUGAGUCUUGCAAAGACUGUUGCUGAAGAGUGCAAAGGUUUACCUCUUGCUUUGAUUACUCUUAGGCGAGCCUUGGUGGGUGAGAGAGAUCCCUCAAGUUGGGACAAGGUAAUACAAGAUUUGAGCAAAUUUCCAGCUGAAACUUCAGGUAUGGAAGAUGAAUUGUUUCAUAGAUUAAAAGUCAGUUAUGAUAGAUUGUCUGACAAUGCCAUCAAAUCUUGUUUUACAUAUUGUUCCUUAUUCUCUAAAGGUUGGUGGAUUUCAAAUGAAACCCUUAUGGAAUAUUGGAUGAUUGAGGGAUUUUUGGGUGAAGUUCAUGACAUACAUGAAGUGCGUAAUCAAGGGCAUAAAAUUUAAAAAAAAAUUAAAGCAUGCAUGUUUAUUGGAGAGUUGUGGUUCAAGAAAACAAAACAUUAUGAUGCAUGAUGUGAUCCACGACAUGGCUUUAUGGUUAUCUUGUGAAUGUGGGGAGGAGAAGAACAAAAUUUUAGUAUACAAUGAUGUUUCUAAGCUGAAGGAACCUUAAGAAAUUCCAAAAUUGAAAGAGACAAAGAAGAUGUCAUUAUGGGAUGAGAAUGUUGAGGAGUUCCCUAAAACAUUGGUAUGUCCCAAUCUCAAGAUUAGUGGCUUGUGAUAAGUUGAAGAAAUUUCCAAGUGGAUUUUUUCAAUUGAUGCCUUUAAAGUUUUGGAUUUGUCAAAUAAUUAUAAUUUAAGUGAGUUACCUACUGGGAUCGGUAAAUUGGGUGCCUUGAGAUAUCUUAAUUUGUUAGCCACAAAAAUAAGAGAGUUGCCUAUUGAACUUACAAAUUUGAAAAACCUAAUGACUUUGCUUUUGGAGAAUAGGAAAUUCCUGGAAUUAAUUAUUCCACAAGAACUGAUAUCAAGUCUCAUAUCUUUAAAGUUGUUCAUCACAAUCGAUACCAAUAUUUCAAGUAGAGUUUCAGAAAGCUUGUUGGAUGAGUUAGAGUCCUUGAAUGGCAUCAGUGAGAUAUGUAUCACCAUAUGUACUACUCAUUCAUUCAACAAAUUAAAGAGUAGUCGCAAAUUGCAAAGGUGCAUAAGUCAAUUCGAGUUGGAUAAAUGUGGGGAUAUGAUCUCACUUGAACUACCGUCUUCAUUUUUGAAAAGAAUGGAGCAUUUGCGAUGGCUUUGUAUAUUUGAUUGCGAUGAAUUAAAGGACAUAAAAAUUGAAGGGGAAGGAGAAGGGACACAAAGGGAUGCGACUCUCCAAAACUACAUUGCUAUAAGGGAGAACUACUUUUGUGCCCUUUGUAACCUAUAUAUUUUUCAUUGUUCAAAAUUGUUGAACAUUACAUGGCUUGUUAGUGCUCCAUAUCUUGAGGAACUUACUGUUGGAGAUUGUGAAUCAAUAGAACAAUUGAUAUGUUAUGGAGUAGAGGAAAAAUUGGACAUAUUCUCAAGGCUCAAAUACCUUAAGCUCAACGAGCUGCCAAAAUUGAAGAGCAUCUACCAGUAUUCGCUGCUCUUUUCCUCACUUGAAAUCUUGAAGGUGUAUGAUUGCAAAAGCUUAAGGAGCCUCCCAUUCGAUUCCAAUACUUAACAAUAAUCUAAAGAAAAUUAAAGGAGAGACAAGUUGGUGGAAUCAAUUGGAGUGAAUCGAUGAAACUAUCAAGUAUUCUUUUACUCCAUAUUUCCGAAUCGACCAAGCUGAAGCAUACUUAACUGAGGAGUCCGAAACUGGUGGCAUAGAUGAUAUACAAGAGCAAUUGAUAUCAAAUUAAUUUCUUUCAGGUAUUAAUUAACUUUUAUGCUAUAUUUGAAAAAUAAUUUUUUUCCACACUCCCCAUUCAUUUGUGGAAAUUUUUACUUUACCGAUGUCAAAGUGCAUCAAAGUCUCAACAUCAUAGUAACUUUCAAUGUUUGAUGUAUAUGGACUACUUCCAUAAUUUUCAGCCUAAUCUUAAUAAUUUUGGUGUGGUUAUAAUUUUUUUCUUUUUUAUUUUUCUUUUUCGUCCUUCUAAUCUUAAGCCUUCAUUUUGAUGACAAACAUAAUUAAGAAAGGAAAAAAAAAAUGUAAGAAAUCCAAAUCUAAAUCUAUAUAUAUAUAUAUUUUUAUCUCUAUCUGAUUGGCUCUGAUCAGUUUUUGCCUUUUUUUUUUUUUUCAUUUCUCUUUUUGUUGCAUUCAAGGUUGGGCCUUGUUCUAGCAGUUCUAGCAACAGCCGGGUUUUGAUCGUUUUUAUAUAGACUGUGUUGUUGGAACUCCAUUUUGCUUGUAUCCAAUUAUUAGACAGGAAUCGCAUGUUGAAUCAUAUGAAGAAAUUAUGCCAAACAUUUCUAUAGAAAGGGAACAUACAGAAUCUGAACUAACCUGAUUCCAUUUUGAGUGUUGAAUGAAUAAGGUAUGGAUCUUCUAAGGCUGUGGAGGGCACCACCUCUUUCUGAAUUCUCUCUGACGAUGGAGCAGGAGAGAAAACAAGUCUAUUAUUAUUUCAAGUGAUGUGAUUAGACUGAACAGACACUUAGCCUUUGGUUUUAUACCCUCCUGCCUUAGGGACCAUACCCUUUGGCUAUUGGGCCUCACGAGUCUUAGGCCCAUCAUCUAAGGCCCGUGAUGGCAAUGGGCUGUACACAUAAGGUGACCCAUACUAUGGAAAAUUGAUACAAAAUAAAUAUCAAAAGGCGAAUAGCUUAGUCAUGUAUCAUUGUUAAAUAUGUGUGAGUCCAUAUCUUAACAUGUGUUGUUGUUGUUUUUGCUGAUGGUUGAUGUCCUGCUCUUUUUCCUUCUACUUAGUAUUUGGGUUUGGUCUGAGGUCGAUCUAGGUAUGUUUGAUCAGAGAGGCAUAAAUGCUUAUUCUCGGAGCAUUGAUAUUUCAUGGUGCUGAGACUGCUGGGAAGGUUGGUGUACUUAUGAUGGUUGCAUCAUCCUUUUUGUUUCUGGAUCUCAGGAAUUGGAUUCUGUGGGCUGCCUUUGGCUUUUGAUGUUGGGUGGGUUUUGUUUUGUUAAUUUGUUGAGGCUGGUGCAGUGUGGUGGAUCUGAAGCUGCUAGUAUGCUGCUGCUGGGUCAAUGUCAAUGUGAUAUGGGAAUGCUUUUGGGUCUUUGGGCUUCAGCUGGUUGCUUGUGUUUCCUCUGCUUACAAAUGUUUUAUCACCAGAUCCUAUGUGGAGAUGGGAUGGAUUGUUUUAAUAGUGAUGGUGUGAGGGUGUGAUAUAAUCCUGUCAACAGAGCCACAUGCUUUGGUUCAUAUACCAGAGCACUGCAUACUUGAGUUUGAUAUCAUAUCCCACUCCCAAAGUGUGUCGUGCAUAAUGUAAUGUAAACAAGUUUCAACUUUCAUCCAUUGUGGAUUGAAAUGUUUAAUUUGGGAGAAAAACUGGUUGAUUUGUAACAUUUGAGGGUGUUAAUGGUGAUUUUUCUUAUUAUUAAUUGUGAUUGAAAAGAAAGUUGAUGAACAAGGUGGAAGUAUAAGCAGAGAGUUCUGAGGACUCCUAAUGUGGUACAUUUUCUCAAGCAUAUUUCUUCCCCAAUAAAAAGGAAAACUUGGGUUCACUUGUGCGAUGGUUUUGGCAGUUGGCACUAACUGAUCAAUGAAAGAGAGAUCCAGGUUUAUCACUGAUGAAUUAAAAUGCUUUGUUAUUGUUGCUUAGUUAAAAAAGUUGCGGUUCAGUUUGCUAAUCUAUUGAUAUCUGUUGCAGUGAUUCUGCUGCUGAUGAACAUCAAAGACAAUCAAUAGGUGCAGGUGAUGCCAUCUCAUCUGCUCAAUCAUCUCAAGUAUUACAGCCUGCUCGCUCAGGGGCCAGGGGACGUGCUUCAAUGGCUGAUAUUGUGAGGAGGGGCAGACCAGGGACCAGGAGACAUGUUUCAAUGGCUGAUGUUGUAGGGAUGGGCGGACCUGGUGCCAAUACUUCCAGCCUGCCAAUUACGUCAACUGGAACUUCUCCCCCUCUUGUUGGGGCAGUACCAGAACAAUGUGGUGUGCCCAAUACUUCCAGCCCGCUAAUUACAUUAGAUGAAACUUGUUUCCCACCUCUUGGAAGAACACCAAAACGAUCCUCUUACCGUGUCACUACUCCCUUUGUUCUGCCACCAGUGGAGGCAGAACCACACCAAGAUUUGCAUUCUCCAAAUCCUUGGUAUGUGUUGGAGAUAAGUCAUGACUCAUGAGCCUUGCAUUACUGAUGAAUGGCCCACCACUGAUUAGCCAACAGCACAUAAUGGCUUUUUUAGGUGGCUCACCUGCCUUAGAAACAGAGAUAUUCUAACCCAUCUAACUUGUACAGUGAUACAGCUGAAAUGUCCCAGGACUGCCGGCCAGAUGAGGUCCAAGCAUCUGUAUCCAGUGAACAGUGGGCAGAGUAUAGCGCUGCAGGUGCGUCUUAUAGAGCUUGCCAACGAGACUGUAGUACAGGUUUAAAAAAGGUCAGGCGGUCUAGAAAGUUAAAAUGAAGGCGACCAUAGGUUAUGUCAAUACACAAGACCAUACAAACGGCCAUUGUUUCUAUAUUUUGUUAUUUGUUUUUAAUGUGAUUGGUUCCCUAGAAAAUCUGAUGUGACCCUGGUUCAUGAUGCCCAAAAUGGAAAUCAUGCGAGUCCAUGUGGAUGGGUCUAUAUUUAUCACUCUUUUGAAAAUUCAUCACCCAUCAAAAUGAUCAAAUUUCAUAAUCUAAGCUUGAAAAUACAUCUUAUCAUUUGCCUUCUCACUCUCAAAAAUUCAAAAUAAAAAAUUCCACAUAAUCAAUACAUUUUGGAUUUUAAUUAUUUUAAUCCAUUCUAUCUUCAUUAUCUAAGUCCAACUUCUACUGUCAGUAAAAGUAAAACUUCAUUUCAGGAAGAGAGAAAUUGAUAAGUUUUAACAAAUAAGUUUAAAUACAUUUUUUAUUUUUAUUUAAUUUAAAAUUUUAUAUAACAUACCAAAAUUUUAAAAUGUUUAUAUUAAAAAUAUAAUGACUUAAAAUUAUUUAAAAAAUGAGAUAUCAAAAAAAUUAUUAUCUUAAAUUUAAAAAAUUAAUGUAAUUUUUUUAUAAAAAAAAAAACAUAAUAUAAAAAAUAUAUAUUGGAGGAGCAGAAUAAUUGAGAGAGAAGCAACAAAACGUUAAGUACAAAGUGGGGAAAUGCAACUAAUGAAGUGGGUCCAAAAGGUUGAAAGAUAAGAGGAUACCUUAACAAUGUCAUUUGGGCAACAUUAAGUUAAUUGAUCCUAAUCAAUGCAAAAUACCAUGAAUCUAAAGUUCACAUCAUAGCAACAUAGAGAGGGAGUUCAAUUUCAAUACAAAAUACAAAAAGUGUAAAACUAGAUAUUAAUAUUAAGACAUCAUACUAAUUAAAUAAGUUUCAUUUUUGUCAAAAAAAUAUAUAUAUAUCUAGUUCCCAAAAAUAUCAAGGAAAAAAAUAUAAAAAAUAUUUUUCUUCAUAUUUGGUUUUACUAUGAUAAAUUCGAGAUAAAAUCAAAUAUAAUUGAAAUUUUAAAUAUUUUAAAUUAUUUAAUCUUUAUAUAAAAAUAAAGUUAAAAUAAGUGAAAUGACUUCAAAAUAAUAUAUAAAAAAUAAAAUUAAUUUAUUAGUUUUAAUCCUAUUUUUUAUUUUCAUUGGUUUUUUGUCUUUGGAUUUUUUUCUUCUUCAUUUUCUUUUUCUCAUAUUUUUCCUCAAUCAAACAUACCAAAAAAAAAAAAUUGUUUUAACUUUCAUUAAAAUUCAAAGUCUUAAUAAUACUUUCACAUUUUUUUUUAUUCAAAUUAGAAGAAAAUACAAAUAUUUGGAAUGCCUUUGAAAUAGUUUCCUAUUUUUCACUUUAACUAAAAGUUAAAAUUGAAUCAAAAUCAUAAUUUUUAAAAGAUAAUAUUGGUAUUAAAUAUAUGAAAGAGUUCUUAGCAUAAAUCAAAAUAAAGUUUUUACAAGGAACAACAAUUUUUUUAAUUUCUAUAUUAAAUUUCUUGUUAAGUGGUCAUAAGUUUUUUAAACGAAAAUAGUAAAAAAAAAAAAAAACAUAUGAUUGAUACCAAGAUAAAUUAUGAAUCCUUUAAAGUGAUCCACUACACUUUUUUGGGGUGGAAAUUCAGUCAUUAAUACAUGUACUUGAUCUGGGGGUGCCCUACAAUUCAAGUCAAUGAAUUUGGACAAAUCAAAUCAAUUUUUUUCCCAAUUGAUACCAAGGAAUAUCCAUAUGAUUCAAACAAUAUUUAUAUUGUUUGUUUGGAUUUUGCCUAAAGUAUUCAUGAAUGUGUCCAAAUAAUAUGCUUAUCAAUGGCACUACUAAUUUUUGCUUCCCUUUUUUUUUUUUUUUUUUUUUCAUUUUUUGUUUGUUUUGAAUUGGUACUUCCUUUCUCAUUCAUUCUACAUUCUUUUUUUUAAAAACAUUUGUCUCUUUUGCAUACAUCCUAAAAAGCCCAAAGUGUCUUUAUUAUUAUUAUUAUUAUUUUUAAAAAAAGAACUUAAUAAAAUCUUUUGCUUCAAUUUAUCUUAAAAUGAAAAUAAAAAAUAAAAUUUUAUUAUUAAAGUUUUAUUUUGAUUUAUAGAUAAAGCUAUUUCAUAUUUUAUAAAUCUCUUCCUAUAUUCAUUUUGUUCUUUGCAAAUUAUAAUUUCACUCACUUCAACUUUGAAAAAAAAAAAAAUUAUAGCAAAUUAUGUUUUAAUCCGCUUUCCAAUUGGAAAAUACUAAUAAUGCAACCCAUAUCUGUCUAAACUUAGUGCAUAUAAUAUUACUUUUCAAUGGACUUGAAAAAUAUUUAAAAACCAACAACUCCAAAGUCAAUUAUCUCAAUUAUGGAGUGUAAUGGUUUCCAAAAGAUUAAAGCAAGUGUGAAGAUCCCUAUAAUGUUUUUGAGUGUAAUGGUGUUUCCAAAAGAUAUAAGUAAGGAUGAAAAUAUCGGUAAUCAUGAAUAUAUCGGUAUUUUGAUUUUACGGAUAUAUCGGUGGGUAUUUUGACAUAAAAUAUCAGUAGACCUAAAAUUGACUAAAACUUAUAAAAAUAUAAAAUAAAACUUUUAGAAAUGAAAUUAAAAGUACAAUAGACAUUUUAAAAUUAUUUUUGUUGAAUAAAUUAAUGUAUAUAUAUAAAAUAAAACUUUUAGAAAUGAAAUUAAAAGUAUAAUAGACAUUUUACAGUUAUUUUGUUGAAUAAAUUAAUAUAUAUAAAAUAUUGUACGUGUCAAUAAAAAAUAUAAAUUUGAUAAGUAUAUAUUGAUUAUUAAAUUAUAUCAAAUAUUAUUUGGUGAUUAUAUUGUGAUAUUUGAUUAUAAUAUAUUUCGGUGGAUAUUUUGACACAAAAUAUAUGUAGACUUAAACUUGAUCAAAACUUAUAAAAAUAUAAAAUAAAACUCUUAGAAAUGAAAUUAAAAGCAUAAUAGACAUUUAAAUUUUUUUUUAAAUAUAUAUAUAUAUAUAUAUAUAUAUAUAAUAUUGUACAUGUUAAUAAAAAAAAUAUAAAUUUGAUAAAUGUACAUUGAUUUUUAAAUUAUAUAAAAUAAUAUUUGAUGAUAAUAUUGUGAUAUGUAAUUAUAAUAUGUUUAAUUUUAAAAUCUAUUUAAUAUUAAAAUUAUGAUAUAUUAUAAAAUAAAUGUAUAAAAUUUUAAUAUAUUAAUAAUAUUAAAAACACCAUGAAUAAAAUUAUGAUAUAUUUUUACUAAUCAAUUAAAUGAAAAAAUUUCAUUAAAUUAUAAAAUAGUUAUAAUUAAUUUGUUAUUUAAAGUGUUUUUUUUUAAUAUUUUAUUUAUAUCAUAACUUUUGAUAUAUAUUUCUUUAGUGCAUAUUACAUAUCAAAGGGCAAGUUUGCCUUAGUGGAGCCGGGGAUGCAUGUUGAACCUUCGAAUCUCCCUAAUAGCAACAAAAAAAAGCUCAAUUUUGAGCUUUGAUUGCGUUGAGCAGCCGUUGACCACCGAUAUAUCCAUGCUAUAUAUCGUUUCGCCACCCGCCGACACACCGAUAUUUCAACAAUAUUUUCUUCCCUGGAUAUGAGCAAGUAUGAUUUUCCUUAAAAUGUUUUUCACAAUUUUUUUAUAUGAUUAUUUAAGUUGCCUACCAAUAAAUCUUUUUCUAAUUUUUGUAUGAAUUGAAUAUUAUUAUUUUUUUUUAAAAAUAAGAAGUAUGUUUAAUAAUUAAUUUUUCUAAGUAAUAAUAAUGACCAACAACCUUUUAGACCUAGUUUUUCAAUCAACUUAUUUAUUUCAUAGGUAUAAAAUAUGGAGAAGUAAAAUAUAUGUAUUGAUGGAUCAAUUAAAGGGAGGGUUAAACCUACUAAGACACUACCCACCUCACUGGAGAAUGGAAAAUUGAACGGUUAUAAAUACAUCAUCAUUUCCCAUUUUUCACAAAAAUGUUGCUCCAUGUCCUCUUAUCAAUUUCACUUCAAUUAUCCUCAAAAAAAUCACUUCACAACUUCAAAGAUUUGUUAGCAAAAUUGAAAAAGUACUAACAUGUCACUUGAGUAAAAAAAGACAUGAUUCCUAUGCAAAAAAUGAAACAUAUGUGUGGACCCCGUAUUUCGACUCAUGCGUUCCCCACUCGGUGGCGAAACUCACUUUUAAUUUUAUUCAGUGAAAAUUUGAUUUUUGGGGAAAAGACUUGGAGUCGCCAUUUUGUGGACCCUGCAUUUCAACUCAUGCGUUCCCCACUCAAUGGCGAAACUCACUUUUAAUUUUAUUCGGUGAAAAUUUGAUUUUUGGGGAAAAGACUUGAAGUCGCCACUUACUUUUGUUUUAUUUUUAAAAGGGUAAACAAAAUAAGAAAGAAAACCCUGAGUGUGACUCCUCAUUUUGGAAAAGAUGGUCUGCGAAAAACCGGAUCGGGCUCGAGGGUCAGAUUACUUAUUGGGAAGGUAUGGUAAAGACUGUAGCACGCCUCUAAGUCCCUAAAGUUGGGGUCUCUACUAAUAGAAUGAAGCCGACAUGGCAAUCAAUAAGAAAGUCAAUGGAUACCUAAGUCAAAUCAUGCACAUAUGGGAAUCGGAACAUGCAUAGAGAAUGAUCCGAAUGAAAGUGUAUGCGUACCUGGGUCACGAGCCACAAUGCAUUGUAUUUGCUCCUCUCAGUGCGAUUUUCUCCGUGCGUUUUUCCCUAUCCCCUCACUAGCUCCCUCUGGUAUCCUUUUCCCUCUUUUUUUUUAGCUUGCUCUCUAAGCUAACGAAAACCUCACUCUGUCACCUUUCACUCAGCCGUCCUCCCUAUUCCAUCUUGUCACCCCAUGCCCUCUUUGGUAGAGUUCACGAGUGCAAUGAACAUGAACACUGAAGUGAAAAGAGAGUGUGAAUAGUGAGUGAAAUGAAGUGAACUCUACCGAAGAACCCAGGAGACCCCCACAACGACACUAGUGAAACACGAACUCAUUAAAACUAACAGACAAACACGAAGGCUCUAACCCUGAGAGAAGAUGAUGUUCAAAAUGUCUCGGAAGCCACACUGAGGACCUAGGCUCCCUCUAAGACGCCUCCAAAAGAGGCUUGAAGAACCAUAUCAAAGAUGAGUAAUGGUUGAACCACUCUGAAGUAUAGAAAAGACUAUGCCCAAAGGAGACUGCCAUAUGCGAACUACAUAAAAAUGACAAGUGUAUGGUGCCUAACGACAUGACUGAAGUAGGUGUCGUGAACUCAAAGGACUGUGUCAUGAGCAAUGAAAAAGGGAAUCUGGAAGAGUGAUGGCAAGUAGGCGAUAAGCACACGAUAACAAGGUAAGAAAAAUGAGAACAUAUGCAAACCCAUGAAGGCAAGAUGUGUAAUGCCAAUGAACAUGAAUGCCAGGGACUCUGACUCUGAAUGAUAUAACUGAGGAGAAAUGACUCUGCAUAUCAAAACAAAGAGAGAUGGUGACUCAUGGUGCAUGAAUGAAUAUGUACAAUGGCUCUGAACACCAAAAUUGAGAAGCGAUGAUGGCUUUGAAUGCCAAAACUGAGAAUGAUGAUGGCUCUGAACGCCAAAACUGAAAAUGGUGAUGGCUCUGAACGCUAAAGCUGAUAAGCGAUGAUGGCUUUGAACGCCAAAACUGAGAAUGAUGAUGGCUCUGAAUUCCAAAACUAAAAAUGGUGAUGGCUGUGAACGUUAAAAUUGAAAAUGGUGAUGGCUUUGAACGCCAAAACUAAGAAUGAUGAUGACUUUGAACGCCAAAGCUGAGAAGCGAUGAUGGCUUUGAACGCCAAAAUUGAGAAUGAUGAAGGCUCUGAAAGCCAAAACUGAAAAUGGUGAUGGCUGUGAACGCCAAAACUGAAAAUGGUGAUGGCUUUGAAAGCCAAAACUGAGAAUGAUGAUGGCUCUGAACGCCAAAGCUGAGAAGCGAUGAUGGCUUUGAACGUCAAACUGAGAAAUGUCGAUGGCUCUGAAUGUUGAAACUAAGAGAUGAUAAUGGCUCUGAAUGCCGAGAUUAAGAAACAAUGAUGGCUCCGAACGCCAAACUGAAGAUGUUGAUGGCUCUGAACGCCAAGACUGAGAAGAAAUAGGGGCUCUGAACGCCAAAUGGAAAAUGCUGAUGGCUCUGAGCGCCGAGACUGAGAAGAAAUAGUGGCUUUGAAAGCCAAAUGGAAAAUACUGAUGGCUCUGAACACCGAACUGAAAAGAAAUGAUGGCUCUGAACGCCAAAUGGAAAAUGUUGAUGGCUCUGAAUGCCAAGACUAAGAAGAAAUAGUGGCUCUGAAAACCAAAUGGAAAAUAUUGAUGGCUCUGAAUGUCGAACUGAGAAGAAACAAUGACUUUGAACGCCAAAUGGAAAAUGCCGAUGGCUCUGAACGCCGAGACUGAGAAGAAAUAGUGGCUUUGAAUGCCAAAUGGAAAAUCCUGAUGGCUCUAAACGCCGAGACUAAGAAGAAAUAGUGGUUCUGAACGCCAAAUGGAAAAUGUUGAUGGCUCUGAAUGCCAAGACUAAGAAUGAACAAUGGCUUUGAACGCCAAAAUGAAAACGUGGCUUCGAACGCCAAAUGGGAACAAUAGCUACUAAUGCUAAGCGAAAAUAGUGGCUUAGAAUGCUAAACUAAACUGAAUAACCAUAAGCGUCAAACUGAGAAAGACGACGCUGACCAUCGUAACUAAGAAGACAUAGUGGCUCUAAAUGCCGAACUGCAAGGGAAUGAUGGGGGGAAAAUAUGCCCCAGUGUAGCGGGUCACCAAAAACCCUCAAUCCAUCAGAAAAGUCGGAAAGAGACUCCGUAAGUCUCGAAAAAAUGCUUGGCCAAUGUGUCGGGGUGAUAAAAUCGAAUGAUCCUUUAAGGAGCCUUCAGAAAAAUGAUCUGAUAGGGUAACUAACGCGAUCUGAAGAAUCACGGAUAGCAAGACAAUCACAACCCGAACGUCCUACUCUACUGAAAGCUCAUCUCGAAGAAUCACGGAUAGUGACUAGUAAAGCAGAUAUAAUAUCUCUUGGCCAAGUGAUGAGAACCGCAACAAACUUGUGAGAGAACGAUCAUCUCCAUAUCCAAAUGAGGGAAAUAUGCCCACGUAUGGCGUCAAAUGUAUCCGAUCUGUCCUGAUGACUCAUGAGUAACUCAAUGGGGACGCGUCGCAGAUCUGACAUGUGCUCCAACGAAAUGAUGAAGUGAGAGUCCAUGAGCCUGAGAUGACUCCAUCCAAAAAUCACAAUGACAUCGGAAACUAUAAACAUGAUGAAACGACUCAAGGGAAGGUCCUUCGAAGAGUCAUGACAAAAUGAAACAAGAUCAUCAACCCGAUGUGUAUCUCGUAACUAGGGAUAAUGACGCAAACCAGAAGGGAUCUACGAAUCUCAAUCAAAGACGGAAAUAUGCCCCAGUAUGGCAUCAAAUGUGUGACAAGUAGGGAAAAUCAAAUGACAUCGAAUCAAGCAUCAACAGAUAUGUAAUCUUGGUCAUUUGAAUCCAUAACUGAAUCAUACCCACUGAUCAAAGAUGUGUCUUUCGGAAGGAAGCAUGAUGAUGGCAUCUGAGUGCUGAGAAAUGCGUGCCUAACUGGAUGGCUCCCAAGAGGCUCCACUAAGAAAUCAUCGUAAAAAUAGUGAUCGGACGAUCAUCUCGAUGAGUAUCCCGUUAGUGGGAAUGAUCACAUAACUCCACGAAGAUCAGUAAACCUCAUCCGAAAUGGAAAUAUGCCCCAGUAUGACAUCAAAUGUACAAUAGGUCGAAAUCGGGUGACAUGAAAUCAUCCAUCAUCAAAUAUGCGAUCUCCAUAAUCCAAAUCAAAUCCAAACAUCUAGGGAACGUCUCUCGAAAUAAAAAGCAUGAAAACAACCCGAUACCGAGAAAUGUGGACCUAGAUGAAUGGCUCCACUGGGGCUCCACUAAAGAAUCAUCAUAAAAAUAACGACAACGUCAUCAUCUCAACGCAUAUCCCGCAAGUGGGGAUAAACACGCAACUUCGUGAAGAUCGGCAAAUCUCAUCUAGAACGGAAAUAUGCCCUAGUAUGGCAUCAGAUGUAUAGUAGGUCUGGCUGAAUGGCCCUAAAGAGGCUCAACUGAAGGAUUGUCAUAAAAUAAUGACCACGCCAUCAUCUCAGCGCAUAUAUCGUGAAUGGGGAUAAGCAUGCAAACUCGUGAGGAUCUGUAAAAUCAUAUCUGAAACGGAAAUAUGCCCCAGUAUGGCAUCGAAUGUGUGACAAAUCAGAAAAGGUUAGGUGUCGUCAAAUCAUCCCUCGUCAAAUGAGUGAUCCCGGUAAUCCAAACACAACCGAAACAAAUCUAAACAUCAGAAAGGUGUCUCCCAGAAGAAGAAGCAUGACAGUAUCUAAAUGGCAACUAGAGCCCAAACACCUGUCCAAGUAGAGGCUGUCGAAGACGACAUCUGAUCCCAUGGCCUCAGGGUGGUCUUAAGACACGGGACGUAACGUAGGCUAGGGUGAUAAGGUAAUAGAAAUGAAAGGAAACGAGACCUAAAUACCCAAUGAUCAAAACUCAUGCCCUCAAGUAUAAAAUGCAAUAUGUGUGGAAAAGCUCGUGAGCCAUGAACCUGAAUGUGCCCAAUGUGAAUGUGAUAUCAAUAACAAGGUGGUGAAGAAAAAUGAUCUGAUAGAUGGAUGUGUAAGAACGAUGCACGUGAAGUGUCAAACUGAGAAUAAAAAGGCGUGGUAAGAAAAAUAAAAUGGCAAGAGGUGAGAUGAGGAUGAUGAAUCAAAAGCGAAAACAAGAAUGAUGAUGAAAUACGUAAUACAAAGGGGAGCAGUGAUCAACUCAAAUCAGACAUGGAGUGAACUCACAUCAACAAUGAAUGUAAUGAUGGAUAGGACAAUGACCCGGAGUCCCUAGGAGAAGGCCACUCAUCUCGCUCUCAAAACAUACGACAAAAAUGAAUACAAAGAAUGAAAGGUCUUGAGAAGCUCACAUACGAACUCUCAUCAAUAAACAUACUCGAUACAAUGACCUUUGAACAUCAACAUACACGCCCAACGAUGGAGAAUACUAUGCACAUACACAUGCAUGCUUAUUUUUUCUUUCUUUUCAUUUUUUUUUUUUUUACAUAUAUACAAAGGCACAUACCUUGAACAUAGACAAAUGAACCCCAAAGAUGAUAGCAAUAAUGAAUAGACACGCUCCCAAGUGCUAAGGUAACAAAAAUCUCUCUCUGAUAAGAUGACCUUCUCAAACUAAGGAUCUCUAACUCAAUGUCCGCAUGAUAAAUAGUGGAAAUGAUGUGACUAUCCCCCAUGUAAUGAAUUGAGGAGGAUCACCACUCGGGGUGGAGAGAAUAUGAAGCAAAACAAGUAAAUAGAAUAAAGAAUGAGAGAUGAAAAACACAACUAAUGAGAUAUGAAGGAAUGCAGUAGCGCGGUGGUAGGAAAAAAAAUAAUGAGAGAAAGAUGCACCUGUAGGUCCAAGACUCAUGAGGCUUCCAAACAAUGCAUGCAUACACUAAAUGGCCCCAAUCCCGGUGUAAAAAUGUGAGGAAGGCGAUAAGAUAGAAAUGCUAGAAUGCAUACGCGAGGCUCAAUGGGCUAGCAACGGUUCAUAUGUCAAAAAAGGAAUAACAAGGUAUAUAGCUAACCGAAAUGAUGGCCACCCAUUCUGCGACCAUGGUCUCAAACAUAGUACCUCUUUAGCUGGUCCACGUUGGUAGGCUCCGAGAAUCGGUUUCCAUCUAGAUCCAUCAACCAUGCAGCGCCCUCUGGGGUCAACUCCCUGAUGAAGUAAGGUCGGCUCCAAUUGGGUCUGAACUUCCCUCUAGGAUCUCUGAUCAAUCCUCUGAUGACCUUCAGAACCAAGUCGCCUGUCCAUAGUGGUCUGGGCUUAACCCGCUUUUUGAAAGCGCGGACCAUCUUUCUUUGAUAUGCAUGAACAUGAUCGGCUGCCCUUAAUCUCCUCUCAUCUAAGAGAUUGAGUUGAUCAAAUCGAGCCUGAACCCAAUCUGCCUCAGGAAUCUGCUGCUCCAAUGCUACUCUCAAUGAACCCAUCUCAAUCUCAACUGGUAGCACUACCUCCAUACCAUACACUAAUGAAUAGGGUGUGACCCCUAUAGAGGUGCGAAAAGAAGUCUGAUAAGCCAACAAUGUGAAAGGGAGCUUCUCUGACCAAUCUUGAGAAGUCUCAACCAUCUUUCGCAAGAUCCUCUUAAUAUUCUUAUUCGCGGCCUCUACUGCCCCAUUCGUCUGCGGCCUGUACGCAAACGACCUACGAUGUCAGAUGCCAUAUCUCUAUACUAAGGUGUCAACCUCUGCUCUGAAAUGUACUCCUCUAUCCGAAAUCAGCUCAUGAGGGACUCCGUAACGACAAAUAAUAUGUGAUCUAAUGAAACUGGUGACUUCGGCUGAUGUCAAUCUCGCAUAUGAAGCGGCAUCCACCCACUUGGUGAAGUAAUCGAUGGCGACCAAGAUGAACUCAUGACCACUAGAAGAUUUCGGUGAAGUCUUCCCGAUGAUGUCGAUACCCCAUACUGAAAAUGGUCAUGGUGACGUCAAUGCAUGUAACUCCGAGGGUGGCACGUGAAUAAGAUCUCCGUGUAUCUGACACUCUGGACAUCUCUGAACGAACUGGCAACAAUCCGUCUCCAUAGUCAACUAGAAGUAGCUAGUCCUCAUGAUCUUACGAGCCAACAUAUGUCCUCCCAUAUGUGGUCCGCAGACUCUCGUAUGAACCUCCCUCAUCACUCGAUCGGUCGAGGCGCGGUCUAAACACAAUAAUAGUAUCCCAUCAGGUGAUCGUCGGUACAAUGUCUCACCACAAAUCAUGAAUCGAGCUGCCAACUAUCUCAACGCUCUCUUAUCCUUGGUCGUGACGGCCUUAGGAUAUACACCAAGUGUCAGAAAGUGAUAUAUAUCGUGGUACCAUGGCAAACCAUCAUUUGGCUCUGUAUCAUCAAUCAAACAACAAUAGGUGGGAUUAGAUCUCGACUAAAUCAUCAAAGGGUGAACAAUGGCAUUGACAGGAAUAUCGAUCAUGGAAGCUAGAGCAGUUAAGGCAUCAGCAAACUAGUUCUGCGCUCUAGGCAGAUGUGUGUAUCUCAAAUCAUCAAAUCUCCCGACCAAUAGCUCCAAAUAUGCGUGGUAAGGCCCAAGCUUCACAUCUCUAGUCUUCCACUCGCCCUGAAUCUGUCUCAAUACCAAAUUGGAGUCACCAAACACCUCCAUUUACUAUAUCUCCAACCUUAGCGAAUGUCCCGUGCUCGUCGAUCUCAUCUGGGAAAUAGAGCGUCAUAAGGCUCAUGCGAUCGGGGGAUGAAGGGGCGGUCAAUGCAGAUGUGGAGGUGCCCAGAGGUUCGUCACUCAAAAGUAACUGGCGGAUAAGGCGCUGAAGCUCGGCCUCCUGGGUAAUGCUAAGCCCUCCAAUAAUCCCGUAUGAUUGGGUCGGUGGCUCCGAUGCCCUCACAAAAUAAUCUGCUAGGCUCAUGGUGUACGAGCGAACGGGAUAAUCGAAAGGUGUGUGAGUCAGUCGAGCUCUCACCCGCUCCCUGUGCAGUCGUGCCAUAUAUCUGUAGUCAGCCUCAAUAGGGACGAACUCGAGUCCGAAAGGUACAUCAUGAUCAGGAAUGGUCAUGAACUCGCUAGGCCCAUGCUGACGCCGCUCCAACCCCAUGCCGGGAAGAUAGGACAUGCCCCUCAUCAUAUUAAGCACCACUGUGCUCCCAUGCUGGUCAAAGGACAUAGCCACAAAGUCUCGAUAGAAGUCCUCCAUCUCAAGGGUCUGCACCUCGUCAAAAGUGAACUCGGUCAGCAGUAAGUCGUCGUCGCUAUGGUUGAUCUGGAGCAUUGGCUCAGCAGAAAUAAACAUGUCUCUUACAGACUGUACUGUGACAAUCUGUCCCUCAUGGAUGAAUUUCACUUUUUGAUGAAGUGAAGAAGGCAUGGCUCCGACUCGGUGAAUCCAAGGUUGGCCCAAAAGUAGGUUAAAGGAUGCAAGAAUCCUCAAAACCUGAAAUACGGUGACGAACGUGGUCGGACCUAUUAGGAGCUCAAUCUCAAGUGUACCCAUAACCUCCCUCCAAGUGUUGUCAUACGCUCGAACGGUCUGAGUGGAGGGAUCGAAAUCAGAGGGUGCAUAUCCAAGAGCGAUGGCGGUGGCCAGAGGACAGACGUUUAGGGCCGAGCCAUUGUCCAGAAGGACAAAUGGAACUCGGCGACCUGAACAACCAAUAGAAAUGUAGAGAGGACGUGUGUGGUCUGAGCUCUCCGAUGGCAAGUCAUCGUCAGAAAAUAUGAUGCAAGUGGCUCUGCCAACCAUCAUCAUGUGAAUCAGUUCCUCAGGGGUGGUCGUAGUAUUGACCCUAAUCUGGCUCAAAGCUCGAGUCAAGGCAUCUAGAUGAGUACUGGAAGAUGCUAGCAAACUCCAGAUGGAAAUACGAGCCUGAGUGCUCUGCCUCAAAAUCUCAUCAUCCUCUCUCCUGACCUCCUCCUAGGAUGACGUACCCUCUAAGGGUCUAGCGGCUGCAGGGGGCUGUUGGCGUACCACCUUACCUCCGCAGAUGACAUACUGUACAUCUGAAGUGUGAACAUCAUCGACAUACGGAGUCUGGGAAACAUCAACAUAUUGAGUCUGAACCUAAACAACAUCCAGAAUCAAAAGAAACGGAGUCCGAACACUGUAAUGUGGGAAAGUCAAUGGCUCGAUAAUGGUCGUCUGUACCAAUGUCAUCUCAAGGGUCAGCCUGAAUGGUGUGGACAUCCAAGGGCCCAAAGUCACUCUACCUAUCUCAUGAAUCUCGUCUGACACUAUAGGCUCUGGCUCUGGCUCAUCCCAACUCAACAUGUGGAUGUGAUUGUCAAGCUCAGCGAAGUCGAUGGAGUGCAUGCUAUCGGUCGGAGGAGGAACCGCAUGCGCGGUGUGGGCCGGUAGUGGGUUUUGGGUUACACUCAACUGACCCAAGUGAACCAAACCCUGAUCGAUCAAAUCCUGAACAACAUGCCUCAGAGUUGUGCAUCGAUCAAUCUCAUGUCCAAGCCCCUGAUGAUAGGCACAAUGUAAAUCCAUCCUGAACUGAGGAGGAAGAGGCUGAGGUGGUGGCCUCAGGGUAAGAACAGUCAAUAAUUCGGCCUCUAUGAGCUUCCAAAGAGCCUGGCUCAAUGGCAUGCUUAUCUGGGAGAAUUGUCUUUACGUCCUCAAAGAAAAUGGAGUAGAGGUCUGCUGAGCUCUGGGCUUGUGGUAAGAAGUAACGGGUGUCGCAGUGAAUUGUGCAGCGUAGCAUGGCUGUCUGGUGGCUGUAUAAGAAAUAGGAGGCUUCUCGAUGCCCUGAGUGGUAUAAUAAGGCAGAGCUAGUGUCUGAGGUUGGUAUGUCUAAUCAUAAGUCAGGCGAGGUGCCUGUGGCCUGUACUGCUGAGGCGUGUAAGAUGAACGAGCCUCGGGAAGCUGUGGGAUCGGCUGAUGGCGCCUAGGAGGCCUCUGACUAGAAGAACCAAUGACUCCCACAUCCACUGAUCUCUGUCCUCCAAAAGGUUUCUUCCCCUUGACAUCACUAGGGGAAGAAUCUGCCCACAAACCUCUCGAGAUGCCAUCCUCGACAUCGUAUAAUGCUAAGCCCAGAGAACCAAAAUCUACAAAAGGCACCCUGACCACAUGUCUGGCGAUCCUUGGCCGUAAGCUCUUCAGAACCACCUGUAUAUGAUCUCUAUCUGAUGGUCUAUCCACUAUCUCGGCUAUCUUCUCGUGCCAGCGGGAGAUGAACUAUGAAACAGACUCUUUUGCCCUCUGUCUUAGAGCCUCAAGCUCUCUCCUCAAUACAUCUACGACAGUGUUAAAUGAAAACUGUUGUAGGAACUCUUGGGCCAAGUCGUCCCAUGUCCGGCGUCGUGAGGACUCUAAAGAUGCGAACCAUGGCUGGGACGCCCCACUAAGAGAUAGCGGGAAUAAAGUGAUCAUCUGAGGCUUGUCCAAUCCAUGAGCCCUCAUCACUGUGCUAUAGAGUCGGAGGUGAAUGCAAGGACAACCAAUACUUAUGUACCUCUCAAUAUCCGACAUCCUGAACUUAGCCGGCAAACUGGCUACCGGCAUACCCUCAAGAUCAUCCCAAACAACGGAGCCAUCAAAUACCCUCAUCUGUCUCAUGUGCUACUCAAUACGGUCCAUGCGCGCAUGAGCGUCGCCAACAAUAGUGGCCUGGAUGACUGCGGGCGGAACAACCUCAGAAUGACUGUGUAGCACAUAAGGUGAAGCUUGAGGCACCGAAGGAACAGGUGGUGGCGGUGGAGGUGGCAACGAGUCAUGCAGCGUCUCAUCCUAAACUAUGGGCGGUCUACUUUGCUGACUGCCUAUCUCCUGCCUAAGACUGGCCAAGGCCUCCUGAAUAGAAGCCAUGGUGGCCAUAAAUUGGUCAACUGUGACGACCUGCUGAUCCAUGUCUAAUAUCUCUGAAAAUCGGACUAAUCUCCCCUCUACUCUGACCCAAUGAGGUAAGUCUAGAUUGAUAAGAAAGGUCUGAUCCUGAAAGUCUCCUCAUUUGCUCUGAUCCACGAAGCUAUAUCCAGGCUGAGAACAAAGGUCUGAUCCUACAAAGCACGAAGAACGUAAUAAGGAUACGACUCAGAGAAAGCAUGGAAGAAGUGGUAAUCUGAACGGAAACAAGUAAGCAUCCAAGUGAAGACGGACUGUCCGACCGUACUCAAACUCGUCCUGAUCUCGAUACACUCUCAAUCGGAGACUAAAAAGAGGGAAAAUCGGAUCCAAAUUAUAGCUAUAGAGGCUCUGAAGGCCCUUAGAUGCACCCACGUGUAAGGAGGGAGUCCUAGUCGAAGGAUCUACGGCUCAACCUACAAGGUAGAAGUGACUUUAAGAGGAUAAGGGUGGACUUUAAAAAAUCCCUAGCAGAAGCGAUCAUACCUUCCGGCGGUAUGCAACCCUCUGUACGCCUCAAAAGAAACGGGACGCUUCCAUGCAAGGUGGUUAUCACCUCCACACAUGCACUACCUCGACAUCUUAGGGGGGUUUCCUAUGGUAGAACUUCUCAAACUCUCAACACUCAAUGGUCAACUAGAGUGCACAGUGUGCUGUGUGGGUGCAUCUGAAAACCCUAUGAAGCUAAAAUGAAAAGGGAGACACUGGCCGCACAAAUAUCCAUGAAAUCUAGCUCCGAGCUAAACAAGUCUUCAAUGAUCGGACUCCAAUCGUCAUCAAUGUGUCGCUCUCUUCCAGAAUACUCCCAAACAUCGGUAUAGCCUGUCGCUGGACCCUACUCCUAACCUUUAGCUCAGUCAGAAUACAAGCACACACAAGGCCUCACACUUGCAAAAGUGAGAACCAAAAUAAAGGAAAUGACCGAAACCAGAGGGUGGGAGGUAAGAGGAUAAAUGUGCUACCCACACAAACAAGUGACAUGCAAUCAUGCAGAGAAGGGCAGUCAUGCGACAUGUAAUCAGGCAGAGUACAGGAUAUAUCACUCAUGUGCACAUACAAGCUAUGACAAUAAAAUGAAUAGUGAUAAAAACAGUAUGCUCAAGGAUGAUCAAGAUAAUAUACAAACAAAUGGAUCAACGUGUCGAGUCAAAUAAUAUACAGUGGCAAGUGUAUGCAUGUGAGGUGAUCAGGGUAAUCAUGGCAAAAUCAGAGUAUAUAUGCUAAGCAAUACAAGAUGAUCAAUCAGUAUAAUCAACAAUGUCGAUGUCUCAAACAAUAUAGCAAUGAAUCACAAAAGGAAUAGCUAUCUCAGAAUCCUCAAUCAAGACAAAUCAGUCAUCAUAAUCAGCAUAUCAACAUCUCAAACGGAUACAAUAUACGAGCAUGCAUAAAAAACUCUCAAUGUGCAAUCAAGAGAUGGGCAUCCAUUGAUCGGCCAAUCAAAUGCCACGUUCGCUUCAUCCUAGGUUCAAGCUUGACCCUCUAAAUCUUCCCCAGUGGAGUCGCUAUUUUAUGGACCCCGCAUUUCAACUCAUGCGUUCCCUACUUGGUGGCGAAACUCACUUUUAAUUUUAUUCGGUGAAAAUUUGAUUUUUGGGGAAAAGACUUGGAGUCGCCAUUUUGUGAACCCCGCAUUUCGACUCAUGCGUUCCCCACUCGGUGGAGAAACUCACUUUUAAUUUUAUUCUGUGAAAAUUUGAUUUUUGGGGAAAAGACUUAGAGUCGCCACUUACUUUUGUUUUAUUUUUAAAAGGGAAAACAAAAUAAGAAAGAAAACCUUGAGUGUGACUCCUCAUUUUGGAAAAGAUGGUCUUGGAAAAACCGGAUCGGGCUCGGGGGUCAGAUUACUUAUCGGGAAGGUAUGGUAAAGACCGUAGCACCCUUCUAAGUCCCUAAAGUCAGGUCUCUACUAAUAGAAUGAAGCCAACAUGGCAAUCAAUAAGAAAGUCAAUGGAUACCUAAGUCAAAUCAUGCACAUAUGGGAAUCGAAACAUGCAUAGAGAAUGAUCCGAAUGAAAGUGUAUGCGUACUUGGGUCACGAGCCACAAUGCGCUGUAUCUGCUCCUCUUAGUGCGAUCUUCUCCGUGCGUUUUUCCCUAUCCCUUCACUAGCUCUCUCUGGUAUCAUUUUUCCUCUUUUUUUUUAGCUUGCUCUCUAAGCCAACGAAAACCUCACUCUGUCACCUUUCACUCAGUCGUCCUCCCUAUCCCAUCUUGUCACCCCAUGCCGCCUUCAUUUCGGGUUCGUCAAAAGAGUAAUCAUAAUAAAAUGGCCAAAUUUCUCAUCUCUCAGGAAGGGGUCUACAAUAUGCCAUAUUUAUCAUCUAAAUUAUGUACUUUUUUGAAUAGUAAUUACAUGUUACACUAGGUAGAAUCAUGUUAACAUAUUAAAUGGAUUAGAAUUGUGUUAAUUGGUUUAAUGAAUGUUAAUAGGUUUAAUAGGUUAGAAUCAAAUUAACGGGGGUUACCUAUAUCAAUUCAUAUAGAGGUCAACUUAACCUAUUUAUUAAAUUAGUUAUGUUUAUAUCAAGUCAUUUUAACAUGAUGUUUAAACAAAUCAUAUUCCAAUUGAGUAAACUUUCACUAGUUUUUAUCUUGAUACAAUACAAAUCUAACAUAAUAUGACCCAUUGUCACCCUAGUUAAGGAGCAUAAGAGUGUUGCAUCAAGGAAGUGGAAGAAAAGCAUAGUGAUAUAAAACUUUAGGGAGUGGAAGCAUUUAAUCAAGUAAAGUUGUGUAACUUUUUUUUUUUUUCAUAAGUAGUGGAUUAUUCAAUUGUCAAGAGACCAACCAUAGUUUUUUUUUUUAUACCUAGGGAUUUCUAGGUGCUUUCCACAUUAAACUCUAUGUCAAAUUGUGUAAUCGGAAAUCUCAUGCAUGAGAUUGAUAAGAUAUUGAUGAUAAUUGAGUUGGAAUAAAAUAAUUUAACUUUGAGGGGUUAAUUGCUUGGAUUACCUAUUUACCCCUCCUUCAAGAAGUUCCAUAUCAAGAAAAAAAUUAUUUCAACAUAUAUAUAGAUAUUUUAUAUUUUCUAAUUUUAAAUUAAUUUUUAUGUUGGGAAAUUGAAUGAGGGAAUAGUUGGCUCAAUUUUUCAAGCUUGGCAAAAAAAUUUGUUGUUAACAUGUUAUUUUACCUUAUUUUAUACAUUUUUUUUGGAAUAAAAAUAUAUAAUCAACUACUCUUGUAUGAUUGAUUUAGAUGUUAGAAAAGGUUACAACCAUUAAUUCUAUUAAUUGACCAACAAUUUUUUAUAAACUUUAAGUUGCUAGCAUUCAUAUAUUAUCCUAAAAUUAUUAAUUAUAAUUUUAUUUAAGUUGAACCACAAAUCUUGGGUAAAUGAUGAAGUAUUUGUUAACAAGAUACUUGUUUAAUUAUAUUGGAAGUUUUUAGUUUGAUUUGUUGUUGUUGAAUUCAAAUUCCUAGAAGCUAGCUUUGAGGACUAGAUAGUUGUCUUGGUUUUUGUUAUAAGUUUGAUUUUUAUAUUGUUUUCAAACAUGAUGUGUAAAAUGUUAAUGGUAAUGAUGUUGAAACAUAGCUAAUGCUACUAGAAGAAUGUUGUAAAGAGUGCCUUUGGUGAGUUGGAUCGGGGGGGAAAGCUCCAUGACAAGCUCCAUUUAUUACAAAGGAUUCCUUCACAAACUCUCUUUGUAUGUUAUUAAGUUGUGAGUAGAAUUAUUGAAGUUGUAUAAACAAGUGGCAAUCUUGAUACGUCAUAAUGACACCAUUCGAAAAUUAUAUAAAUCUUAGCAGGUCUAAAGGUAUUUGUAAAACACAUUUGUAUUGCCUAAUUAUGGUCUUAUUGGAGAAUGAGUUAUUAUCAAUUUCAUGGAACAAAACUUUCAUUAGUCAAUAUUAUUUGAAGGUGAAAUCUUACUCAUAAAAUUUUUCAAUUAAAUUUAAAAGUUAAAAUUAUAAAGUAGAGAGUUAAAAUAACCAUUGAGCAUAGUUUAAAAUUUGAAUAUAAUGUGUUUAUUAUUGUAAUUCAAGCCCAAUAUUUAUUAUUUAUUAUUAAAAAUAUAAUUUAUAUUUAAGAUAAUUUAGCACAUUUGAACAAUGCUUUGAGAAUAAGAUUGGAGCAUCUAAUUUGACUAAUUGGAUAGCAAAUCAAACUAAUCCAAUCUUAUUUUUCAUAUUUUUCCACCUUCAAUUUUAAGAUAAAUAUGAACAAAAGUCUUUAUAUGAUUAUAACAAUAUAAACAAUAUAAACACUAAAAUAAUUAGUUUAACAUUAAAUAACAAAAAUCUUAUUUUAGUCUUCGACAUAUUGCUAUAUAAGUUAAAUAUAUAUGUUAGUAAAAUAAGAAAUAUUAAUAUAUUUAAAAUAUUAAAUAAUAAAAUCACAUUUUUUUGUUAUUAUUAAUAUUUAAUUAAUACAUUCUAAUUAAAUCUAAAAUAAAAACUUUACACAAAUUAGUAUAAAACCAAAUAUGAUCACCAUAAACCAACCUCAAUUAAAAAUACUUAAAUAUAUAAAAGUCAAAGUAAAUAAAUGAGAAAUAAUGCUAAAAGAUAUAUAUAUAUAUAUAUAUAUAUAUAUAUAUAUAUAUAUAUAUAUAUAUAUAUAUAUAUAUAUAUUAUUUUUAACUCCAUAUAUUAUUUUAAAUUUUAAUAAUAUAUGAAUUAUAUAUGCAUAUUGCCUUGCUGAUAUCAUGUUUCAAUUACUUGAACCAUCAGUUCAAUUAAGAAAGUUUAAUGCAAUAAUUUUUCGAUUCAAUAAUUAAUUAAUAAGAUUUUCAAAAUAUUGUAUUUGAAAACUCAUCACAAAAAAUGAAUAAAAAAGAUCAUGAAAUUCUUGCAAAGAAAACUUACUUCAUGAAAAUAUGGAAACCCCAAACCUUAAUUUCUUCAAUAAUAUGAAUCAAAAUUCUUAUAUUUAGGCAUCUUAGGAGAGAACCAAUAAUCUCAUCCACAAAUCAAGCAUAGUCAAUAGGCAAUUCUUAUGUUUAGGAGUAAUAUAUACAUACAUACAUAUAUAUACUGUGUAUAGAUGAUGUAUCUUUUGGAAAGUCAUGUAUAUAUUUAAAUGUUGUAAUGUAUAUCUUGCAUAAUAUAGUUUGACCAUUCAUCUAUUCAUUCAUUCAUCUUAUACUCUUGGAAAGAAAAGUAACUUCAUGAAAAUAUGGAAAUCUCAAACCUUAAUUUCUUCAAUGAUGCUUAUUAAAAUUUUUGCAAUAAAAAGUUGUGUAAUUGAGGACACUAAUGAUGCAAGGUUACAACUAGUCACUCCUAACCAGACUUAUUCUUAUACAUAUUUCCAUCUUCAUCUCAAGUCUGGGAGUCUACCUUUCCAUUUUAAGAAAAUUAAUUAUUCUUUUUAUUUUACAUGUAUUGAAAAAAGUAAAAGAAAAAAUAAGAUUGAGCAAUAUGAACCAAUCAAUCUUGACAUAUAUGUGAGAAGAUAAUUUAAAAGUGUAUUUGAUAGUGUUUAAUUUUGAAGUGUUUUUAAUUUUAAUAAAAGUAUUUUCUUUAGAAGUGAUUUUGAGAUAAUUACCUAUUAAAAGUGCAUUUGAUAAUGAUUUUAAAAUAGUGUUUUUAGUUUUUUAAUACUUGAAAAAUAAAAAUUUUCAAAUAUUAAAAAGAAUAAAAAUAUUUCCUAAAAUUAUUGUUAGACGCACUUUAAAACCCCGUUUAGCAGUGAUUUUAGGAAGUGUUUCUAAACUUUUUAGUACUUUAAAAUUUGUAUUAUUUAAGUGUUAGAAAUACUAGAAACGUUUUCUAAAAUCACCAUAAAAUGUAUUCUAAGAGUGUGUGUGAUAGUGAUCCUUGGAAAUGUUUUUAACAUUUUUAAUACUUAAAUGAUAAUAAUUUUCAAAUGUUAAAAGGUUAUAAACACUUCUUAAAAUUACUAUAAAACGGGUUCUAAGUGUUUCUUCAAAAAACACCACAAAUGAUUUUUUUAUCUGUUUAAAAGUGUUUUCUAAAUUUUAUUAAAUACUUAUUUUUCUCCAAAAAUAUUUUUUAAGGUAGAAGUGCUUUUUUAAAAAUAAUAUCAAAUGGACGUGUAAGUCUUAAAAUAAAAUCCCUUGAUUUAAUUAUACUUUUCAAAUCCAUCCUAUAAGCCUAAGCAUUCUUGAAAUACCCACCCCUGUUAUAAUACAAAAGCAAACCACCACUAAGGAUAUUUAAACAACAUUUUAAAGACAAUCGGAACCUAUCAAUGAGACUUUGUCUCAUAAUACAAAUUUCGUUAUGUUCACAUGUAGAAAGGGACAAAUAAUACAUAAAAACUAAAAAUCAUAUACAAUAGAAAGCUUGGAAUCAAGAGGGAAGAGAGCAAAGUUACGAAGUGGUGGAGCCUUGGUAAAAUAAAAUUAACAACGGCAUUUUCAUGUGCGUGUCUCAUCGCUGGAUGGACCGAAUUUUGCUUCUCCCAAAACUCUUUAAAUAUUGGGAGAAUUGUGUUUUGGCCCAAUUGUCCCAAAAAUUAAUAUUUGGUCCUCCAAUCAUCCAUAAUUGAUAAUAAGGAUAUGAGAUAGUAAUUGACAAAAAUACCCGCUUGACUCAUUUUUGUCUUUAUUCUACUACUUGUCACUAUUCUUUCUUAUUUAACUAUUUUUGGAUUUUCAUUUUUUUAAAACUCUUUUAUAAAUAAUUGAAAAUUUAAUAUUAUUUUUAUUUUUAAAUUAUAAAUAAAAAAAAAUUAUAUUAAUGAUUCAAAGACUAUUUAGGAAAAUACUUUCUAAAAAAAUAUUAAUUUAAAUAAAUAAAAAUUAUCUUUUACAUUUAUUUUUAUAGUUUACAUUUUAGAAGUAAAUAAUUUAAUGAUUAAAAUACCAUUUAAAAUAAAUAUAUUUACUAUUUUAAUUUUUUUUAUACUAAAAAGUAUUUUAAAGUUUUUUUUUUUUACUAUUAUAAAAUAAAAAGUUCAUUUUUUUUUUAAUCUUCUUUCUUCCUUAUUUUAAUAACUUUUUGAACAUGACUUUUAGUAAUAAGUUAUAUGGAAUGCUACAAAUUUGUUUAUUAAGGAUUUUUUUUUAAUGAUUUGAAUUAAUUGAAAAUUUAUUAAAAUAAGAAAAAGAAAAAUAAAGAAAGAGGAUUGAUGGAGAGUUUUUAUUUUAAGUACUCGAUUAAAAGAGGAUGGACGUAGAGUUUUUAUUUUAAGUAUUCAAUUAAAAUGUUUUCAUAUGACCUACUUUUAGAAGUGGAUUAUAUCAAUACAUAGUAGAGAUUGAAUUUUUUUUUUUAUAUAUAAAAGGGUUGAAAGGUAUAUUUACUUGUUUUAGAUGAAAACAAGUAACUAAAAAUUAUAUAGAUCAUAUUUGAGUUUGGUUUUAAAAUAUUUUUCUAGUUUUUAUUUUAAUUUAUUUUUAUUUUCUAUAUUGUCUCUUUUUGAAAAUAUGUUAAUUAAAAAAUGAAAACUAUUUUUAAAAAUGAAAAUUGAAAACCUUGUUUGGUAAUUUUUUUUUAUAUAAAAAAAAUUAUUUAUUAAUUUAUUGUGUCAUUGUACAAUUGUAUUACAAUAACUGUACUAAAGACGUACAAGACUACCAUUUAUGAAAUAUUAUAAUAGAUUAUGAGUCAUUCCUUUGUUUUUCUACAUGGACACAUAACUUAAGAGGGAUAUGAAAUUUGUGUCAUUGUACAAGGGUAUUACACUAACUGUACAAAGGAAAUGUACUAAUUGUACAAAGGUGUACAAAAUCAUCUUUUGUGAAUUAUUUUAAUAAAUUCUAAACCACUUUUUUUUUCCUUGUCACCCAAGGAUUGUAUGCCUAUGUCAUGCAUUUUAUUUAACUCUCAUAUGAGAAUUCUAAUAUUUUCCCUAAUAAUGAUAUUUGGGGAAAAAAUUGACCCUAAGUCCUCUACCAUUUUCUUAACCAAACAAUUGAAAAUAUGAUUAAUACACCUACAUAAACAUAUAAGUUAUGACAAAUAUGAAAUUUGUGUCAUUGUACAAGGAUAUUACACUAAUUGUACAAGGGAAAUGUGCUAAGUGUACAAGGCUCCUAAUAGGUUUUGUACGAUUGUUAAACAACUUGAAUUUGAUAUUAAGACGAUUAUUGAUAGUUUUUUUUUUCUUUUUUUUAUCAAACUAUUUCAUUUAGACAUUCCCUACAAAAAUUAACACAUAGGAAAUAAAAUUAAAAUCAAUCAUGUUUGAAUUGUUCAUUAUAAGUAAACUAAAUGAAAUAUACAUUUUUACUAUUUUUCCUUUAUAAACAUAAUUUCUUUGUUAUCAAUAGAGAUUAAAAAAAAUCAUAUUUAAAUGGAAUUAAAAAUAAACAAAAAUUAUUUUUAUAACAUUUUUAUUUUUUAAAAUCAUUAAUUUAAAUUAUGAAAUUAGUUUUAAAAUUAAAAAUACUUGUUGUAAUUAUAGUUUUGAAGAUUUCAUGAUUUUUAUCUUAUUACUUUGAAAAAAUUGUUUUAAUAAGAAAGUAUUUAUUUUAAUUAUUUUAAAUAUUUAAAUCUUUAUUAAAAAAUAUUUAGAAUUGGUGUGGAGAGCAAUUAGAUAAUUUUGGAAAGGAGAAAUUUUGAAUAUUUUGAAGAAUUUAAUUCGGCAAAUUACCAUAUUUACACUUUUUAAAAUAUUUUGGAAUGGAGAAAUUUUGAAUAUUUUGAGAGCAUAGUUCAAAGAAUUGAAAGAUUUUAAUCAAUUUUAGACAAUAGUUUUUUUUUUUGUCUUGUCAUCUAAGGAUUGCACACUCUUAAGGUACACAUUCCUCUAUUACACACUCAUCUUAUGCACUUUAUUUAACUCGCACAUGAUAAUUCAAAUACUUAUCCCACUAAUGAUGUUUGAAAGAAAAUUUUGUUUUUCCAUUUUCCACUAUUUUUUGAAACAAACCAAUGAAAACAUGGUUAACCUACCUAUGGUUAUACAUUGAGUAGCAGGUAUAUGGAAUUUGAGUCACUGUACAAGGUAUUUACACUAAGUGUACAUGAAAAAUUUACUAACUGUACAAGAGUGUACAAGAUUAUUAUUUGUGAAGGAUUUUAAGUGAUUCUGAAAAAUUUGUUUGUUUAUUUCCCCUAACCGAGGAUAAAUGACAUUCAUUACACACAUUAAUUAAGCAUACAUUCAUCUCAUGCGCUUUAUCUAAUUUGUAUAUGGUUAUUUGAAUAGGUACCUCACUUAUGAUGAUUGUAAAACAAAAUUCUACAACAAUUUUUCUUCUUUUUUAAAACCAAACCAAUGCAAACAUGGUUAACUGACCUAUUGUCAGAUAUUCAUGAGAUAAUCUAUGAAAUUUAAGUUAUUGUACAAGGGUAUUACACUAACUGUACAAGACAAAUUUACUAAUUGUACAAGGGUGUACAAGAUUACUUUUUGUUAAGGAUUUCAAGUGAUUUUGAAAAACUUUCAUAUUUUUUUCCACUCAAAGAUUUUUUUCCCCACUCAAAUUCUCUCACUCAAGAAUUGUUUCGAAUUUUAUUUUUAAAUUUCAUCAUCAAAAUUUUGUAAUUGCAUAUUUUGUUUUUGUAGUUUUAGCAAUGUUCUUUCUUUUCACUUUUUUUUUUUUUUUUUUUUUUUUUGUGAAAUUUUAUCGAAAUGAAUCUAGAUUUAAAAUUAUAAUCAUAUUUAUCAAUUUUUUUUACUAAGAUUAUCUUUAAUUCUUUUAAUAUAUUUAUACUCAUUUAUUUAAAAAAGGAAAAACUAAUUUUUUUUUUUUUUUUUUGUAAACAUAUUCUAUUACCUUUCAAGUAAAAAAUUAGAUAAGUUUGAAAGUCAACAAAAAAAAAUUAAAUACCACUUUCAAUAAUUUUUAGAUAAAAUUUUAUAUAAUAUAUUUUAUUUGAAAUUUAAUUUUUAAAGUUUAACUAAAAAAUUAUAUUGACAAUUUUCUAGUUAUGAGUCAAAAUACUUUGCAUUAGUAUAUCUAUAUAAGAAAAAUUAUUAAUAUAAUAUUAUAACCUCAUAUCUUAGUUAUUUUUUUUCAAUAAAUUUAUCUUUUUAAAAAUUUUAAAAUAAAAACAUUAAAAAUUAAAAAGCUAAAAAGAUAUAUAUAUAUAUAUAUAUAUAUAUAUAUAUAUAUAUAUAUAUAUAUAUAUAUAUAUAUAAUAAAGUGAAGUGAUAGUUAAUUUUAAUUUUUUUUUAAAUAUGGUUAAUGUAGAAAAUAUAAAAAUAAUUAAAAAUAAGAGAAAAAUAUAAAUGAAAGGGUAAUAUAAUUUUAAAAUAAAUAAUAAUAAUUAAACUAAAAGAUAAAUAUAAAAAGAUAAAAAAUAUUUGGAUGAAAAAUCCCAAAAUUUUUAUCAUUGCUUUUAAUAAGAGCAAAAAGAUUGAAUAUCUUUAAAAAUGAAAAAUAAAAAAAUAUUAUUACUUUUUAUUUGACAUAAAAUAGAAAUAUAUAUUGGAAUAAAAAGAAAAAAAAAGUUAGAAAUGAGUAAUACUUAAUAGGGAAUAGAAAAGGAAAAAAAACAUAAAAAAAAUUGAAAUUCACACUCACUUGUAGACAUAUAAGGGAUAAGGGUAUUUUAGGAAUUAAUGAAAGACAAUAUCCUUCAUCUUAAUUUUCAUACUUUGUUUGAGUCUUGGGUUUAAAUAUGCAUGAUAUAUGGACUAAAUGUUAAUUUUUGAUCCCAGCUGGCCCAAAAUACAAUUCUCCCUUAAAUAUUAUAAUUAGAGCCCACUUGAUGCUUAGAAAAAUACAUUUGCAAGUGAUCUCCAUCUGUCAAUCAAUUAAUCUAUACAAUAUUAAAAAUUCACUUCUUGUUGAUUUAGCAAAAUCACUUUGUUGGGGGUGGCCUGUCUCCGAUGUUACUCAAGUUUCAACUCUGGACUUUUCAAAUUAACAAAGUGCAGUGAUUCAUCUUUCUUCUUUGUUCCAUUUUUGGCUGAAUUGUAAUCCUUUUGUCUGUAACUUACGGAAAGCUAUGGAGUUUCUGAGCUCGAUCGUGGGUCUGGUCCCCUGCUUCUAUGAUCACACCUCCAAGCAUACGGUCUACAUUCGUGAUCUGAGAAAAAAUCUCCAAGCCUUGAGGAAAGAAAUGGUGGAUCUGAACAACUUGUACGAAGAUAUGAAGGCAAGGGUUGAACGUGCAGAGCAACAAGAGAUGAAGCGCAGAAAGGAAGUGGGUGGGCGGAUCUGUGAAGUAGAAGACAUGGAGAAAGAAGUUCACGAAAUUCUGCAAAGAGGAGAUCAAGAAAUCCAGAAGAGUUGUCUAGGAUGCUGUCCCAGGAAUUGUUGGUCUAGCUACAGGAUUGGAAAGGCGGUAAGUGAAAAGCUGGUUGCUGUAUCUGGUCAAAUCGGCAAAGGACAUUUCGAUGUUGUAGCCGAGAUGUUGCCUCGUCCUCCAGUUGAUGAACUGCCCAUGGAGGCGACUGUGGGCCCACAAUUGGCAUAUGAAAAGAGCUGUAGGUUUCUCAAAGAUCCACAAGUGGGAAUUAUGGGAUUGUAUGGAAUGGGGGGUGUUGGCAAAACCACCCUCUUGAAGAAAAUCAACAAUGAAUUCCUCACAACAUCCAAUGACUUUGAGGUCGUGAUUUGGGCUGUGGUGUCAAAAUCGCCCGACAUUGAAAAAAUUCAGCAAGUUAUUUGGAAUAAAUUGGAAAUCCCACGUGAUAAAUGGGAAACUAGAAGCAGUAGGGAGGAGAAGGCUGCAGAAAUAUUGAGAGUUUUGAAAAGAAAAAGGUUCAUCUUGUUGUUGGAUGACAUUUGGGAGGGACUUGAUCUCCUAGAAAUGGGGGUCCCGCGUCCAGAUACUGAAAAUAAGUCCAAGAUAGUUUUGACGACCCGAUCACAGGAUGUCUGCCACCAAAUGAAAGCUCAGAAGAGUAUAGAAGUGGAAUGUUUGGAGUCAGAAGAUGCCUGGACUUUGUUCCGGAAGGAGGUAGGAGAAGAAAUAUUAAAUUCUCAUCCGGAUAUACCGAUGCUUGCAAAGGUUGUUGCUGAAGAGUGCAGAGGUUUACCUCUCGCUCUUGUCACUCUUGGGCGGGCCAUGGCAGCUGAGAAAGAUCCCUCAAACUGGGACAAGGUAAUACAAGAUCUACGCAAAUCUCCAGCUGAAAUCACAGGUAUGGAAGAUAAAUUGUUUCAUCGAUUGAAACUCAGUUAUGAUAGGUUGCCUGACAAUGCCAGCAAAUCUUGUUUUAUAUAUCAUUCCAUCUUCCGAGAGGACUGGGAGAUUUAUAAUUAUCAACUUAUAGAACUUUGGAUAGGGGAGGGGUUCUUGGGUGAAGUUCACGACAUACAUGAAGCACGGGAUCAAGGGAAGAAAAUUAUUAAUACUUUAAAGCAUGCAUGUUUAUUGGAGAGCUGUGGUUCGAAAGAAUAUAGGGUUAAGAUACAUGAUGUGAUCCGUGACAUGGCUUUAUGGUUAUAUGGUGAACAUGGGGUGAAAAAGAACAAAAUUCUAGUAUACAAUAAAGUUGCUAGGCUUGAUGAAGAUCAAGAAACUUCCAAAUUGAGAGAAACAGAGAAGAUAUCAUUAUGGGAUAUGGAUGUUGGGAAGUUCCCAGAAACAUUGGUGUGCCCCAAUCUUAAGACUUUAUUUGUGAAAAAAUGUCAUAAUUUGAAGAAAUUUCCAAAUGGAUUCUUUCAAUUCAUGCUUCUACUUAGAGUUCUGGAUUUGUCAGACAAUGAUAAUUUAAGCGAGUUGCCAACUGGGAUUGGUAAAUUGGGUGCCUUGAGGUAUCUUAAUUUGUCAUACACAAGAAUAAGGGAGUUGCCCAUUGAACUAAAGAAUUUGAAAAAUCUGAUGAUUUUGAUUAUGGAUGGUAUGAAAUCCCUUGAAAUUAUUCCACAAGAUAUGAUAUCAAGCCUUAUAUCCUUGAAGUUGUUCUCCAUUUAUGAAUCCAAUAUUACAAGUGGAGUUGAAGAAACUGUACUGGAGGAGUUGGAGUCCUUGAAUGACAUCAGUGAGAUAUCAAUCAUCAUAUGCAAUGCUCUUUCAUUCAACAAACUAAAGAGUAGUCAUAAAUUACAAAGGUGCAUAUGUCAUCUAUAUUUACAUAAAUGGGGGGAUGUGAUCUCACUUGAACUGCCUUCUUCAUUUUUUAAAAGAACGGAGCAUUUGCAGCAGCUUAAUAUAAGCCAUUGCAAUAAAUUGAAAGAAGUGAAAAUUAAUGUGGAAAGAGAAGGGAUACACAAUGGUAUGACUCUUCCAAACAAAAUUGCAGCAAGGGAGGAAUACUUCCACACCCUUCAUCGUGUGGUUAUAAUUCAUUGUUCAAAAUUGUUAGACUUAACAUGGCUUGUUUAUGCUCCAUAUCUUGAAGGACUUUACGUUGAAGAUUGUGAAUCAAUAGAAGAAGUGAUACGUGAUGAUAGUGAAGUCUGUGAAAUUAAGGAAAAAUUGGACAUAUUCUCAAGGCUCAAACACCUCGAGCUCAAUAGGCUGCCAAGAUUGAAGAGCAUCUACCAGCAUCCACUACUCUUUCCCUCUCUUGAAAUCAUCAAGGUGUGUGAAUGCAAAGGUUUGAGGAGCCUCCCAUUUGAUUCCAACACUUCAAAUAAUAGUCUAAAGAAAAUUAAAGGAGAGACAAGUUGGUGGAAUCAGUUGAAGUGGAAAGAUGAAACUAUCAAGCACUCUUUUACUCCAUAUUUCCAAAUCCGUGAAGCUGAAGCAUAUUCAACAGACACUGGCAGCAUAGAUGAUAUGCAGGAACAACCAGUAUCAAAUUAACUUCUAUCAAUCUUUCAGGUAUUAAUUAACUUUUAUACUAUAUUUGGAAAACCCUUUUCUUUCCUUAAUCCCAUUCUUUUGUGGAAUUUUUUACUCUAUCUAUGCCAAAGUGCAUCAAAGUCUCAACAUCAAAAUAACUUUCAAUGUUUGAUCUAUCAAGUUUGCCCCUUUUGAAGUAACUGUUAUAAAGUUUGCCCAGAAGGGACUUUGAAGGAGGUCUUUUAUUUAAACAUCUAAUGACAUUUCCUUUUGGUUACUUGAGAACUUGAAAAUAUGCAAAGUUCUCAACUAUAUUAUUUAUCAUGUCUUAAUUUUUUCGAUUCAUUUCAAUCUAUAAACAGAAAGAGAGAAUACCUAAUUUCAACUUAAUUCCUUAUAUUUCAAGUUGAACCAACAGGUGUUUCACAACUGUAGGUAAAGAUAUUCCAUUAAGAAUUCUCGCUUUGUUUAAUGUAUUUACCAGGACCAACCAUAUGUAAAUUCUCUUCUUUUGUUGAGUUGCCUCUAUCUGGUUGAUUCUCAGUUGGUUUUUUUUUUCUUUUCUUUUUUCUAUUGCAUUCAGAGUUGGGGCUUGUUCUAGAAGUUCUGACAACAGCUGGGAUUCAAUUAGCUCUCUCUAGUGGAGCCUUGAGUUUUUUGGUUGGUUGCAGAGUAGGGUCUUGUUCUACCCGUCCUUACUCAGUUGGGAUCUGAGCUUCUUCGGCUGCUUCCGUUUCGUCUUGCUCUUUUUCCUUCUAAUUAGUAUAGACGUGAGCUGGAUUAUGUUUGCUUGCUGGUCUGAGUUUCUGAUAUGUUUUGUGGCGGUGUGCUGAUUCUCAGAGUAUCGUUAUUCAUGGUGCUCAGUCUGCUGGGAAAGUUGGUUAAUGUCCAGAUGCAGGGGCUCAUCUCAGCAGGCUUUGGUUGGGAUCCAUGUGUUUGCUGGAAUUGGAUUCUGUGGGUUGCCGUUGGAUUUUGAUGUAGGCCGGGUUUGUUUUCUUUGUUGAGGCUGGUGGAGUAUGGUGGCUCAGAAGCUGCUAGUAAUCUGUCUGUUGUAUGCUGACGCUGGAAUCUUCAUGGUGGUUGCUCUGGUGGGUCAAUAUGAUAUGGGAAUGCUUUUGCCUUUUGAGUCCUUGGGCGUCAGCUGGUUGCUUGUGUUUCCUCUGCGCUUUAGUUCACAUACCAGAGUGCAUACUUCCUUGAGUUCCAUAUCCCACUGCCAAGUGUGUUGUCCAUGAUGUAAUGUAAAGUAGUUAAUUUGUAUACUUGGCCUUCAGUUCCCUUCUAGAAAACUUUGAACGCCCUUUAUGAAUGAAAUGUUGUGAGAAAAACUGGAGUUGAUUUUCACAUUUGAGGUCGUUAAUGGUGAUUUUUCUUAAUGUAAUUGUGAUUGAAAAGAAAUUUGAUCAAGGAGUUGAAACUAUAAGCAGAGUCGAUCUUAUUCAACAUUGCAUUAUAAUUUGGUACCCCUCACAGAUCGCUCCAAAUAUCAUUGAAAAGUACUUUCAUUUUCCUUCAGUGGAGGCUUCUUUUUCUUUGCUGGUUAAUAUUCAUAGCUUCAGUGCUUGAUGAAAUUUCGUUACUUUACAUUGUUCACUCUUGUCCCUCCUGCUCUAAUCACAAACAAAUGCUCCAAUAAAUAAGAAUGAUUUGUUCAAGAAAUUUGAAGAUACUUGAACGAUAAAAGAAAAGAAUAGGAGAGAAAGGAAAAGAAAUUCAGAAAGCAAACACUUGGUAGUUUCCAUUUCAAUUAACCGAUCUUUGAAACUAAAAUGUAAUUCUUGGUAGAAUAAAAGAAGACAUGCAACAUCUUAAGAAGAUUCAUCUAAUGGAACAUACAAUGCUACAAUUGGAAACUGAGACUAAACAGUAGUUUUUGGUAGAAUGGAUAUCGCAUGACAAAAAGAAAGUUUUGUAGCUUUGACUGCUUCAAAAUUCUUGUACGUAUAGCCCACAAACCUUUCGAGAUCAUACUUGUUUCUUUAGGCCUAUGAACAUACGGCUCUCACGGAAGAUCUUAUAACUUUAGAAGUUCAUAGUGUCCAUAAAAUCAGAGGAAAAGAAAAGGAUGUAUAGCCAAGUUCAUGAAAAAUAAAGAGAUGGUUUAUUUAAAGUUCACAAGUCUGGGACAUCUAAAACACUUUAAUUGUGUUUGGUUAAGCCUCCAUUUAUGGGGCAAUUCCCAUCAAGUCUAAUGAUUGACCAUCGAUGACUUGAAAAUCGAAGCAUUGGAUGUGCCGCAUGUAGUUGAUGUUGCAUUAUCGAGGGUUGUUAUAUUAUAAAAAGGCAUGAUAAGAUCACGAGUUAUUGACAAAUUACCCGAUCCUAACUUGUCUCAUUUAUAUUAAUUUAUUCUCGUCCAUAUCGUUACAAAAAAUUUUAAAUGAGGAAGGAUGGAUAUGAGAAUUUGUCAUACCUGCCUUAUACCAUUUAUUUAUUUAUUUAGUUUUUUAACAAUUAAAAAUAAACACAUUUUAUAAAUAAAUAAAUAUUAUAAAUUUUAUAACUUAUUUUAUUUAAAAACAUAUAUAUAUUUUAAUUAUUUUAUGUGUUCAAAAGAAGAAAAUGAAAAAACAAUUAAUUAAAUUAUUUUUAAAUUUAGUUAUACAGGUUGGAAAGUGGUGGGUUAGUACAAGGCAUAUCUUGAACCCUGCCCCUAACCAACCCUAGUUUUAAAACAAAAAAAUGUUAAAUACGUAUCUAAUCAGUUUAUCUUCAUUUAAAUAUGUCUUAUUAAAGGUAAGUAUUUGAAAAAACUUGUCUCAUUAUUAUCCUUAAUCAUAAUUUUUUUUAAUUUAAAUUUAUAUACCAACAAACAGUUAAAUUAAAUUAAAAAUUCUUAUGCAAACAAGGGCGAAAAAUUGUGUACCUUCCUUGACAUUCUAGAUCCAGUUUUUGCUGUUUUUGGAGGAUCCACUUGAGGAACAAUUUAAAUUUAUUCACAAAUACAAUUAUUCAAAAAGGCAUUGUACUGAACACAAGCAAAAUAACUACAAAUGUUAAUAGAAAUGGAUGGAAGCAUACAGGUGUAGAGAAUAUAAAAAAGGAUUUUGAAGCCAAAAAUAAAAAAUCAAAAUCAAAAUAAAUAAAAGUAUAUGGUGGUUUAUUAUUGCUCAGGCCUAAUAAUUGAUUGUACAUGUCAAUGGGCCUAAUAUUAUUGCUCUGGCCUUUAUUCUAGAUGUCCAGACCCUGUCACUGCCUGAGUGUGAGGUCAUGGCUCGUUCUCUGUAUAGGUAGGUUCAUACACCUCUAAAACUUGAGUUGGUGGACUACCUUUCCCAGUUCUGAUCUUUCAGAUUCUUUCAUGGGCUUGAGUUGUAGCAUGAGCUUCCCGUUCUCCCCUACCCUGGUCCUAUAGUACUAUUUUUUUUUUUAAACUUGGCCCUAGAUUUUUUUUAGUAUAAAAAGUACUAUUUUGUUGAAUUUAAAAAAAACUCACAGGGAACAUAACCUUUCAAUAAUCCUUUAACCUCUAUCUCUCAAAACUUUCAAAAUCCAUCUUGAAAGUCUCUCUUGACUAAAACAAAUAUUUGAGACUGGCGUUGUAUAUGCUUUAAUAAGGGCUUUGAGGGACUUGCUAAAGAUAUUGAUGACAAUUUUGAGACGAUAAAAUAACACGACUUGAAAAUGAUAUAAAAUUUAAUAGAUUCAGAUUAGGUAUAACAUAUUUAUGUUGUAAUCAUAUCAACUCAUACGACCCGUUUAAUAAAAUGUACGAUUAUCCAACCCCAUAUAGCUUGUUUACUAAUUCAUGCCAAACAAACCAAUUUAUUUAAUCGUAUCAAAAUAAUGUUUAACUCAUAUAAAAUUAUUAAUAUUAUAUAUUUUAAAUUUAUAAAAAAAAAUGCUUAUUAGUUAUAAAUAUGAUAUAGUUAAAAAAUGAAGUAACUAAGUAAAAUUUUAUACAUUUCAUUCUAAAGAUUAAAAUUAUUUUAUCAUUAGAACAUUAGAUAGAAUUAUAAACAAGCCUAAAAUUAAAAUUUUAAUGUAUUUUUAUAUUAUAAACAAUUUCUAAUUUAAAUGUUAUAAUUAAAUUAGUUAAAAUUUUUAAAACUUAAAAUGUAUUUUGAACAAUAGAUUUAUAAAAUUAAAAUUUUAAAUAGGUUAAACAUGUUAAAAUCGUAUUAACAUGUUAAACGAGUUAGAAUCAUAUUAAGCUAACCAUGUUAGAAUUGUAUUAGUAUGUUACACAAGUUCAAAUCGUGUUGACAUAUUAAACGAAUUAGAAUCAUGUUAAUGGGUUUAACGACUAUUAAUAGGUUUCAUAUGUUAGAAUUGUAAUAACAGGUUAUCUAUGUCAAUUUAUACAAAGGUUAACUUAACCUAUCUAUUAAAUUAGUUUUGUUUGAAUUAGGUUAUUUUAACACAAUUCUUAAAUAAAUUGUAUUCCUAUCGAGUAAAUUUUCACUAUUUGUAUCUCAACAUUAUACAAAUCCAACACGUAUAAUAUUACAUAUUGUCACCCCUAACUAAGGAGCAUAUGAGUGUUGCAUCGAGGAAGCAGAAGAGUAUAAAGACUAUUUAUAUAAAAUUUUAGGAAGUAGAAGCAUUCGAUCAAGUAAAGUUGUGUUAACUUUUUUUCAUAGUUAGUGGAUUAUUCAAUAGUCAAGAGACCAACUGUGGUUUUUUACGCCUAAGGAUUUUUAGGUGGGUUCCACAUUAAAUUCUAUAUCUAAUUGUAUAAUUAGAAAUAUCGUGCAUGAGAUUGAUAACAUAUUAGUCAUAAUUGAAUCGGAAUAAAAUAAUUUAUCUUUGGGGUUAAUUGAUUGAACUACCUAUGUAUAUAUAUUUUAUAUUUUCUAACUUUAAAUUAAUUAUUAUGUUGGGAAAUGGAAUAAGGGAAUAGUUGGCUCCAUUUUCAAUCUUGGUAACAUAAUUUGUUGUUGACAUGUUAUUUUAUCUUAUUUGAUAUAUUUUGUAGGAUAAAAAUAUAUAAUCAAGUGCUCUUGUAUGAUUGAUUUAAAUGUUAGAAAAUGUUUUACAAAACAUUAAUUCUAUUUGACUGAUGACAAAAACUUUUAAUUGCCCAACAAUUUUUUAUAAACUUUAAGUUGCUAGCAUUCAUGUGUUAUCAUAAAGUUAUUAAUUAUUUUAUCUAAGUUGAACCAAAAUUCUUGGGUAAAUGAAGAAGUAUUUAUUGACAUACUUGUUUAUAUUAGAAGUUUUUAGUUUGAUUUGUUGUUAAAUUCAAAUUCUUAGUAGCUAGCUUUGAAUACUAGCUAAUUGCAUUGGUUUUUGUUGUAAGUUUGAUUUUUACAUUGUUUUUAGGCAUGAUGUUUAUUAAUUGAAAAUGCUAAUGAUUCGAGAUUAGAAUCAGUCACUCCUUACUAAACUUAUUUUUUUAGGCUAUGUUUGGUAGACCAAAUAUAAUAUAUAAUAGAAUAAGAGAAAAUAUAUUAUAUCAUGUCUCAUCUUUAGUUGAUGAUGAGAUAUGAUAAGUUAUUUCAUUGCUUAUUAUAUCAUAUGUUUAACCAAAUAUGAGAUAUAAGAAGUGAUGAGAUAUAUUAGUCACUCUUUUUUUUUUAAUCUCUUAUACAUAAAAUAUGUCAAUCUCAUACUAAGAUAUAAGAAAUGUAUAUUUCAUAUAUCAUAAAUUUAUUUUUUAUCAAUUUUUUUAUAUAUUUAUUUUGUAAAAUAAUUUUUUUAUUAUAAAAUUAAAUUUAUAGUUAAAAAAAACUAAAAAAAUAUUUAUAAAUAAUAUUAAUAUAUGAUAUAUAGAUUACUUUUAUAUAUUAAAUAACAUAAUAUAAACAUUUUUUAUUUGUAAAAUUUAAAUAUUUUAAUCAUGACUAUUUUUAAACAUAAAAGAAAUUUCAUUUUUUUAAAUGGAAAAUAUUGAAAUGUGAUAUAAUUUUUAUUUUAAACAUUGAAAAUAAUAUAUAUAUCAUAUUAUUUUUAUUCAUUUCAUAAAUUAAAUAUAAAUAUAAUAUAAUAUAUCUCAUUAGAUAUGUCACAUUAGAAUAUCAUAUUCAUAAGAUAUAUAUAUUUAAGGAUAUCAUAUCCUAUUAAAAAUCAUAUUUUAGGAUAUCAUUCUUUUUACCACAAGAGACUUAAACCCAAGUCUAUUUUUAUACCCCUUGAACAAUUACAAGGUUGAACCAUUGGGCUAAGGGCAAUAAUUGCUUUUAAUCGGUAAAAUUUGUAUGUAUACUAUAGUUGCACUGCCUAAUGUAAAGUGUUGGCUCCGCCACUAAGUUGCACCUCAAGCCACCACCAAGUCUCCACAUGAUGCCCUUGUAAGCCUGGAUUAUAACAUUACCUUGGUCAAUAGGCACUUAUGGGUACAUGCUGCAACCCCACGAGACCUUGGUGCCACAUUCUCCAAGUCAAGGUGUUAAUACUCUUCUAUGCUCACAAACUUAAUUUGGUCACCAUUUAUUAACUUAUAAGUCUCUAUAACCAUAAAUAAAAUUUCAAACAUAUUAUUAGAACAAGGCUCUAUAUUUUGGGUUUUGAUAUCCAAUGAGAUAUUAAAUUUUAAGAUAUAUAUAUUUUAUCAAAUUAUAUCCCACCAAUGAAAUGUAAUCUUAGCUUAAAUUUAUUCUCAUUUUUAUUUCUCAUUUUUAUCCAAAAUCCAGGAAUUUACUUUUCUGUUUUAAGGUAAUUCAUUUUAAAUUUUAUUUUAUGUGUAUUAAAAAAAUAAAAGAAAAAAUAAGGAGUGACAUCAAUCAUUAUAAAGCCUGAAUCAAUCCCAAACAUGCAUAAGAAGAUGAUUUAAGUCUUAAAAUAAAAUCCCAAACCUACUUCUGACUAGACUACACGUUUUGAGUCUCCUAUUGGGCCUGGGCAUCCUUGAAAUACCCACCCCCAAUUAUAAUACAAAAGCAAACCGUCGGUAGGGAGAUUUAAACAACAUUUCAAAGACAAAUGAAACCUAUCAAUGCGACUUUGUCUCAUGUUCACAUGUAGAAAGGGACAAAUAAUACAUAAAAACUAAACAUCAUAUACAAUAGCAAUUGUGGAAUAAAGAGGGAAGAGAGUAGGAAGUUACGAAGUGAUGGAGCCUUGGGUAAAAUAAAAUUAACAAUGGCAUUAUCAUGUGCGUGUCUCAACGCUUGAUGGGUUAUAAUUAGAGCCCACUUGAUGCUUAGAAAAAUAUUUUUGCAUGUGGUCUCCAUCUCUCAAUCGAUUAAUCUAUACAAUAUUAAAAAUCCACUUGAUCUUAAUUUAGGAAAAUUAUUUUGUUUUGUUGGUGAUGGCCUGUCUCCCAUCUUAUUCAAGUGUCAACUCUGGACUUUUCAAAUUUACGAAGUGCAGUGUUAAAUCCUUUAUAUGAUGAUAGGAUAUUCUUAGAAAAAGCAAAAUGUAAUAGCAUCUCCUUUAUUUAUUUUUUUUCUUUCAAAAAAAAUGUUAUAAAUUGUACAAGUUACAUGCAUAAUUCAAAAUUAUCAAUAAAAAUUCAAUUCAAUGCCACCAUGACCAAUCAGGAUUGUUCAACGAAUAAUGUAAAGUAUAAUAUAGUGGUGAUGAAUGCAAGCAUAAACCACUGUGGAGCCAAGAUUCACGGGGCAUCAUUGGAGGAGAAAAUUAAAGAAAUGGUGGAGGGUGGUGUAUGCAUAGAAUUAUCAUGGGCACAGUGCGGGGGGCCCAUCUCUUUCCCAAAAGGAAGACAGAAUAAUUGAGCGACCCAGCUUAUGAUAUGAUAUUGCAUCAGGUUAACUUCACCCCAGUCUCAGCCUCUUUGAAUUACCAAACCCUAUUCUCUUCUCUCUUUACUGCUAAUCCUCAUCUCUUUUCCUCUUACUGUGCUCUCCUGAAACUUUUGUAGAUGGUGGCAUAGCUACCUAUACUGAAGUUUUAACUCCGGAGUUUUUGAUUGACAAGGGCAGUGAUUCAUCUGCUCCCUGUACUGCAAACUAUCCCCUCUUUCUUCUAUCUUUGGCUCAACUUCAGUCCUUUUUUCCUUUGAUUUCCCGAAAGCUAUGGAGUUCCUGAGCUCAAUCGUGGGUCUGAUCCCCUGUUUCUAUGAUCACACCUCCGAGCAUACGGUCUACAUUCGUGAUCUGAAAAAAAAUCUCCAAGCCUUGAGCAAGGAAAUGGCGGAGCUCAACAACUUGUAUGAAGAUGUGAAGGCAAGGGUUGAAGGUGCAGAGCAACGACAGAUGAUGCGCAGAAAGGAAGUGGGUGGCUGGAUCUGUGAAGUAGAAGUCAUGGUGACGGAAGUUCAAGAAAUUCUGCAAAAGGGUAAUCAAGAAAUCCAGAAGAGAUGUCUCGGAUGCUGUCCUAGGAAUUGUUGGUCAAGCUACAAGAUUGGGAAGGCAGUAAGCGAAAAGCUGGUUGCUGUAUCUGGUCAAAUCGGCAAAGGACAUUUCGAUGUUGUAGCCGAGAUGCUGCCUCGUCCUCUAGUAGAUGAGCUGCCCAUGGAGGAGACUGUGGGCUCAGAAUUGGCGUAUGGCAGAAUCUGUGGGUUUCUCAAAGAUCCACAAGUGGGAAUUAUGGGAUUAUAUGGAAUGGGGGGUGUGGGCAAAACCACCCUCUUGAAGAAAAUCAACAAUGACUUCCUCAUUACAUCCAGCGAUUUUGAUGUUGUAAUUUGGGAUGUAGUGUCAAAACCGCCCAGCAUUGAAAAAAUUCAGGAAGUUAUUUGGAAUAAAUUACAAAUCCCACGUGAUAUAUGGGAAAUUAAAAGCACUAAGGAGCAGAAGGCUGCAGAAAUAUCGAGAGUUCUGAAAACAAAGAAGUUCGUGUUGUUGUUGGAUGACAUUUGGGAGAGACUUGAUCUGCUAGAAAUGGGGGUCCCGCAUCCCGAUGCUCAAAAUAAAUCCAAGAUAAUUUUCACGACCCGGUCACAAGACGUGUGCCACCGAAUGAAAGCUCAGAAGAGCAUAGAAGUGACGUGUUUGUCAUCAGAAGCAGCUUGGACUUUGUUUCAGAAGGAGGUAGGAGAAGAAACAUUGAAGUCUCAUCCACAUAUACCGAGGCUUGCAAAGACUGUUGCUGAAGAGUGCAAAGGUUUACCUCUCGCUUUGAUUACUCUAGGGCGAGCCAUGGUGGCUGAGAAAGAUCCCUCAAAUUGGGACAAGGUAAUACAAGUUUUGAGCAAAUUUCCAGCUAAAAUUUCAGGUAUGGAAGAUGAAUUGUUUCAUAGAUUAAAAGUCAGUUAUGAUAGAUUGUCUGACAAUGCCAUCAAAUCUUGUUUUAUAUAUUGUUCCUUAUUCUCUGAAGAUUGGGAGAUUUCAAAGGAAGUCCUUAUAGAAUAUUGGAUAGGAGAGGGAUUUUUGGGUGAAGUUCAUGACAUACAUGAAGCACGUAAUCAAGGGCAUGAAAUUGUUAAAAAAUUAAAGCAUGCAUGUUUAUUGGAGAGUUGCGGCUCGAGAGAACAAAGGGUUAAGAUGCAUGAUGUGAUCCAUGACAUGGCUUUAUGGUUAUAUUGUGAAUGUGGGGAGAAGAAGAACAAAAUUUUAGUAUACAAUGAUGUUUCUAGGUUGAAGGUAGCUCAAGAAAUUCCAGAAUUGAAAGAGACAGAGAAGAUGUCAUUAUGGGAUCAAAAUGUUGAAGAGUUCCCUAAAACAUUGGUGUGUCCCAAUCUUCAGACUUUAAAUGUAACUGGUGAUAAGUUGAAGAAAUUUCCAAGUGGAUUCUUUCAAUUUAUGCCUCUAAUAAGAGUUUUGGAUUUGUCAAAUAAUGAUAAUUUCAAUGAGUUGCCUACUGGAAUUGGUAAAUUGGGCACCUUGAGAUAUCUUAAUUUGUCAUCCACAAAAAUAAGAGAGUUGCCUAUUGAACUUUCAAAUUUGAAAAACCUAAUGACUUUGCUUUUGGCGGAUAUGGAAUCCUCUGAAUUAAUUAUUCCGCAAGAAUUGAUAUCAAGUCUUAUAUCUUUAAAGUUGUUCAACAUGAGCAAUACCAAUGUCUUAAGUGGAGUUGAAGAAAGCUUGCUAGAUGAGUUGGAGUCCUUGAAUGGCAUCAGUGAGAUAAGUAUCACCAUGUCUACUACUCUUUCAUUCAACAAAUUAAAGACUAGUCACAAAUUGCAAAGGUGCAUAAGUCAAUUCCAGUUGCAUAAAUGUGGAGAUAUGAUCUCACUUGAACUAUCGUCUUCGUUUUUGAAAAAAAUGGAGCAUUUGCAACGGCUUGAUAUAUCUAAUUGCGAUGAAUUAAAAGACAUAGAAAUGAAAGUGGAAGGAGAAGGGACACAAAGUGACGCAACUCUCAGAAACUACAUUGUUGUAAGGGAGAACUACUUUCACACCCUUCGUCACGUAUAUAUUAUUCUUUGUCCAAAAUUGUUGAACAUAACAUGGCUUGUUUGUGCUCCAUAUCUUGAGGAACUUAGCAUUGAAGAUUGUGAAUCAAUAGAACAAUUGAUAUGUUAUGGAGUAGAGGAAAAAUUGGACAUAUUCUCAAGGCUCAAAUACCUCAAGCUCGAUAGGCUGCCAAGAUUGAAGAACAUCUACCAGCAUCCGCUGCUCUUUCCCUCACUUGAAAUCAUCAAGGUGUAUGAUUGCAAACUCUUAAGGAGCCUCCCAUUCGAUUCCAACACUUCAAACAACAAUCUUAAGAAAAUUAAAGGAGAGACAAGCUGGUGGAAUCAGUUGAAAUGGAAAGAUGAAACUAUCAAGGACUCUUUUAUUCCAUAUUUCCAAGUCCAUGAAGCUGAAGCAUAUUUUGCAGAGGAGUCUGAAACUAGCAGCAUAGAUGAUAGGCAAGAACAGCUGAUAUCAAAUUAAUUUCUAUCCAUCUUUCAGGUAUUAAUUAACUUUGAUUUUAUAUUUGAAAAAUAAUCUUCUUUCCUUACUCUCAUUCUUUUGUGGAAAUUUUUACUUUCCCUACCUCAAAAGUGCAUUAAAAUUUCAAACAUCAUAAUAACUUUCAAUGUUUGAUCUGUAUGGAUUACUUCCAUAAUUUUCAGCCUAAUCCUAAUAACUUUCAAUCUAUUUUUUCCCCUUUUAUAUUCUUUCUCUUCUAUGUUGCUUUGAAUCUUGCAAGAUCCAAACAAAGCUAAAUCUACACCCAUUUCUAUAUCAUGGUCCACCCCUUCCAAAAUCUUGGAUGGGUAAUUCAAUUCUAGUUGUCCCUUGUGAAAUAAUUGUUAUAAAAGGUUUGCCCAGAUGGCACUUUGAAAGAGGUCUGUAGUUUAAAAAUGGGAUGACAUUCCCUUUUGGUUACUUGAGAACUUGAAAAUAAUGCAGAUUUUUAAACUAUAUUAUAUAUUUGUCCUAAUUUUUUUAAUCGAUUUCAAUCUAUAAAUAGAAAUAGAUCAACUUCGAUAUAUUUCAAGCUGAACAACAGGGUUUCACAACUACUAUAGUUAUAGAUAUUCCAUUAAGAAUUAUUGCCUUGUUUGAUGUGUUUACCAGGAUCAACUUCAGUUGCAAGGGUAAUUUCUCUUCUCUUGUUAAGUUACCUCUAUCUGGUUCGCUCUGAUCGGUUUUUGCUUUUCUUUUUCUUUUUUUCAUUUCUCUUUUUGUUGCAUUCAGGGUUGGUGCUUGUUCUAGCAGUUAAGGCAACAACCGGGUUUUGAUCUUCUUUAUAUAGACUGUGUUGCUGCUGUUUUUGCUGAUUGGAGAUGUCCUGCUCUUUUUCCUUCUACUUGGCAUCUGGGUUUAGUCUGAGGUCUCUAGUAUGUUUUAUCAGGGAGGCGUAAAUGCUGAUUCUCAUAGCAUUGAUCUUUCAUGCUGCUGAGACUGCUGGGAAGGUUGGUGUACUUAUGAUGGUCGCAACAUCCUUUUUGUUUCUGGAUCUCAGGAAUUGGAUUCCGUGGGCUGCCUUUGGCUUUUGAUGUGGGGUGGGUCUUGUUUUGUUGAUUUGUUGAGGCUGGUGCAGUGUGGUGGUGGGUUUGAAGCUGCUAGUAUGCUGCUGCUGGGUCAAUGUCGAUGAGAUAUGGAAAUGCUUUUGGCUCUUUGGGCUUCUGCUGGUUGAUUAUGUUUCCCCUGCUUACACAUGUAUUAUCACCAGAUCCUAUGUGAAGAUGGGAUGGAUUGUUUUAAUAAUGAUGGUGUGUGUGUGAUAUAAUCCCAUCAACAUAGCCACAUGCUUUGGUUCAUAUACCCGAGCACCACUUACUUCCUUGAGUUUGAUAUCCCACUGCCAAGUGUGUUGUCCAUAAUGUUGUAGGAAGAGUGUAAAUAAUUUUUAUUUUUAUUUUUGGGAAUUAUUUUUAAUUUAUUUUAUUUUAUUCUAUUAGUCUUAUAUUUUUGGAAAGUGUUCUAUUGAGAAUUAUUUUUUUUUUUUAUCAUUUUUUAUUUUAUUUUAUUAGUGUUAUAUUUUUGGAAAGAGUCCUAUUGGGAUUGUGUAAGUGGAGUCUCAUUCAUUUUAUAAGUAGAUUCCUCUUCCACUUUGUAGUUUCCUAUUAGGACUGUGUUAGUAACCUAUAAAAGCAGGUCACCUCUCUCUCUAUAUGAAUACCAAAUUUUCAGAGAGUUUUCAAAGAGUAUUUUCAUACAUCUAUUUGGAGGAAUUUAUUAAAAACCCGAGUUGUACAUAUAUCGCUUUCAGAGUGCAUCCAAGGUGAGAUUUGGUUGUUGAAUCCUGGAGUUAGACCACUGGUACCCUAGUGCACUGAGUUUGUCUUAGAGGAAGGUGGAUCUAUUUCAAAGACAGUGCUUGUCACGCCUCAGCUAAUAAGUUUUUCUUUUUACUCAUUUUGUUCUUUAUUUGUGUCUUUUGGGCUAGUCUUUUGUUUCCAUACCCUUAAAAUCCAACAAUCUUGAAAUAUAUCCAAAUGGAAGCUUCCCUAGUUCACACUUGUCCUGACACCUCUCAAAUUGAUAAUUUCAAUGGGACUUUCUUUUAGGAAAAGGGUUUUCUCUAAAAUUGAUGUGAUGAACUUGGGACACAUUUUGACUGACCCAAAACCAGAAGAUGGUUCUCAUCUGUUACCAACCUAGGAAACUGGAAAUAAACAAGUUAGGCAUGAUAUUUUGAGUAUCCUUUCUAAUGAACUUUUUGAUAUUUAAUGUCAAUUUAAAGUUGCAAAAGAAAUUUGGAAUGCAAUGAAUAAAAAAUAUAUUUUGGAAGAUGCAGAAACUCAGAAAUAUGCCAUAGGGAAUUUUAGAAAUUUUCAAAUGACUGAGGAUAGAGAUGUAUCAUCUCAAAUCCAUGACUACCACUUGAUGAUUAAUGACUUAGCUAUUGAAGACAUUAAAUUACCCGAACCUUUCGUGGCUGGUUAUUUAGUAGAGACUCUUCCAGAGUCUUGGAAAGACUAUAGAAAUAACGUGAAACAUAAAAGGAAACAAUUGUCCUUAAAGGAUGUCAUAAUCCAUAUUAGGAUUGAGGAACAAAACCGAAAUAGUGACAAUAUUGAGAAAACUAAGGAAUUGUCUUCUAAGGCUAAUGUAGUAGAAGAAAAACCUAAACCCAAAAACAAUAGGUCCAGGAAACAAAACUCUAGGACCAAGCCCAAUGCAUCAAACAAGGUUUAGAACUCAACUAUUAAAAAAUGGGGUAAUUGCUUUACCUGUGGCAAGUCUGGACACCAUGUAGCUUAAUAUCGCCACAGGAAGAGAACCGAGAAGUCCAAUUCAAAGGCAAAUCUGGAGACAAAGGUGAUCACAACAAUAAUCUUCUUUGAGGUGAGCAUGGUCACCAAUAUGAAGGACUAGGUGGUAGACUCUGGGGCUACUAGGCACAUAUGUGGGAAUAGAAGUGCAUUUACUUCCUAUACCACUACAAAGGAAGGAGAUGAACAAGUGUUCAUGGGUGAUUCUAGAUCUACUCCAGUGAUUAGAAAAGGGAAAGUUCUCCUCAAGCUAACCUCUGGAAAAUUGUUUGCCCUCUAUGAUGUUCUUCAUGUGCCAGAUAUCCGUUGGAACUUGGUGUCGGUAUCUAUGCUUGGAAAAGCAAGAGUGAGGAUCUUGUUUGACUCUGAUAAAAUAAUUUUAACCAAGAAUGAUGCAUUUGUGGGAAAUGGCUAUGUAAUCAAGGUUUAUUUAUGUUGAAUGUUUAGGAUAUUAUCAAUAAUAAUGCAUCUUUUUCUUUUGCUUACAUAGUUGAUUCUUGUGACAUUUAGCAUGGUAGACUAGGACAUGUGAACUUUUCAUUUAUGAAGAAAAUGGUUGAAUUGAGUUUAAUCCCUAAACCGUCCUUAGAAAACCAUGGAAAAUGUGAAUCUUGUGUAGAAUCUAAAAUCACAAAGGAAUUUUGCAAAUUAGUUGAAAGAGAAUCAGAUCUACUAAGUUUACUACAUAGUGACUUAGGAGACCUAAAAAAUAUAAUGACUAGAGGUGGUAAACAAUUCUACAUAACUUUCAUAGAUGACUACUCAAGGUAUACAAGGUUAUAUCUUUUGAGAAACAAAGAUGAAGCAAAAGAUGUUUUCAUCAAAUACAAAAAUGAAAUGGAAAAUAAACUAAGUAAGAAAAUUAAAAGACUUAGAACUGAUAGGGGAGGAGAGUAUGAGUCCAACCCCUUUAAUUCUUUUUGUGAAGAUCAUGGGAUCAUUCACAAAACUACUCCUCCUUAUUCCCCUGAGUCUAAUGAGUAGUAGAAAGGAAAAAUAAGACCUUAAAAGAAAUGAUGAAUGCAAUGUUGGUAAGUUCAGGAGCACCCUUGAACUUGUGGGGGAAAGUUAUCCUAUCCGCAUGUCAUAUUCAAAAUAGAAUACCUUACAAGAAAAUGGGUAAAACUCCUUAUGAGUUGUGGAAGGGUUAUGCACCUAAUAUAGCAUACCUAAAAGUGUGGUAGCUAAAGUUCUUCUCCCUGAACUUAAAAAACGAAAACUAGGUCCUAAAACCUUUGAUGCAAUGUUCAUUGGCUAUGCUGAGAAUAGUGUGGCAUAUAGGUUUCUUGUUACUAAGUCAGAAAACAAUCUUGUAAAUGUCAAUACUAUAAUAGAAACAAAGAAUGCAAAUUUCUUUCAAAACAUCUUUCCUAUGAAACUAAAUGGUGAACAAGUCUAGAAAACAAGUAGAUACAAGUCUAUUGAACCUUCUGAACUUGAACCUAGAAGAAGUAAAAGAGCUAGGAAAGAAACAAACCUUGGAAAUGGUUUCUACACCUUCCUAAUAGAUGAGGACCUUAAAUCCUACAAAGAAGCUAUAACUUCUCCUGAUGCACCAUUCUGGAAGGAGGCCAUUAACAGUGAAAUCGAUUCAAUCAUGUAUAACCAUAUAUGGGAGUUGGUAGAUUUACUUUCUGGUGCAAAGACUAUUGGUUGUACGUGGAUUUUUAAAAGAAAGUUAAAACAAGAUGGCUCUAUAGAGAAGUAUAAAGCUUGUUUAGUUGCCAAAGGCUUUAAACAAAGGAAAUAUGUAGAUUACUUUGACACCUUUGCCCCUAUGACUAGAAUAGCAUCAAUUAGAGUAUUGAUUGCUCUAGCUCCCGUUCAUAAGUUGGUGGUACACCAAAUGGAUGUCAAGACUGCAUUCUUAAAUGGGGAUUUGGAAAAGGAAAUUUAUAUGGAUCAACCUGAGGGUUGUGUAAUUCCAAGGAAGGAGAAAAAGGUGUGUAAAUUGGUUAAAUCACUAUAUGGGUUAAAACAAGCUCCUAAACAGUAGCACAACAAGUUUGAUCAUGUGUUAGUAACUAAUGUAUAUUCCAUUAAUAAUGCUGAUAAGUGUAUCUACAACAAGUAUGAGGAUAACACAUGUGCAGUCAUCUGCCUUUAUGUUAAUGACAUGCUGAUCUUUGGAACUAGCCUAAAGGUUGUGUGUGAGACCAAGAAAUUCGUAUGUUCUAAGUUUGAUAUGAAAGACCUAGGAGAGGCAGAGGUGAUUCUAGGAAUUAAAAUAACUAGAACACCUAAUGGGCUUAAACUUUCUUAAGAGCACUAUGUUGAGAAGAUCCUAAGGAAGUUUGAACACUUUGAUUGUAAACCAGUGUCAACUCCUUAUGAUCCCAUCUCACAGCUGAAGAAAAUAGAGAUAUGCUCAGAUCAUAGGGAGCCUAAUGUACUUAAUGAACUGUACCAAACUUGACAUUGCUUAUACAAUAGGUAAAUUGAGACAGUACACCCAAAGUCCUAAUCAAGACCAUUGGAUUGUUGUUCGUAGAGUCCUUAAGUAUUUGAGAGGCACCAUUAACUACGAUUUGUGCUUUAGUGGAUUUCCAAGUUUCCUUGAAGGAUUUAGUGAUGGAAAUUGUAUAUCGGAUUCAAAUGAGAUGAAAUCUAUUAGUGGAUAUGUUUUCAUCCUUGGUGGAAGUGCAGUUUCUUGGAAGUCUGCCAAGCAAACUUGCAUUACUCGGUCUACUAUGGAAGCUAAGUUUAUUGCCUUAGAAAAGACAAGUUCUGAGGUUGAGUGGCUUAGAAACCUCUUAGUAGAUAUCCCUUUAUGGACGAGACCAACCCCGUCUAUGUCUAUGCAUUGUGAUAGCCAAGCUACAAUUGCUAAGGCUAAGAGUAAAAUAUUAAAUGGGAAAAACAAACAUACGCCUAAGGCACAAUAUUGUGCGGCAGAGGCUUGAAACAAGGGUUAUAUCCCUAGAAUUUGUGAGGUCAAAGUUGAACUUGGCCUAUCCUUUGACCAAACCACUAAAUAAGAAACUAGUGGAAGAAACAUCGAGGGGAAUGAGACUUAUGCCUUUUACAGAAGUCAAGAGUGGUGGUAGCCCAACCUAUUAGAAUGGAAAUUCCAUGAAAUAGGUUCAUAUAGGUAAUAACAAAUCACUUGUUGACUUGAGGUGCUCUAUCAACUCUAAUUGUAUGAGAGUCCAUCCCUAUGGUGUAGAUAAAGUGUAUUCUGCAUUGACUAAGGUUGAGUGUUUACUCUUAAUGAAUAUCAUAUUCCUUAUGGAUGGUAUGUUUAAAUGCAGAACAUACUUGAUGGAUUCACCUAUAUGAGAGUAGAGGUGGGGCCGCUUCCUAUGAGAACUUAGGCAGGUUCUCUAGAGCUCUCAUGAAUAUCCAGGUAGGGUGCAUGGCCUAUUUGUGCCAACCCAUUUUGUACAACUCGUAGUGUAGUUGAGAAAACCAAUGUGGAUAAAAGUCUCUUGAGUUAUAUAAAGAAACACUGGUUCAUAGAAAUUUAUUUUCACCAUGUUUUGUGAUUCAAUACUUAUUUGUCCUAAGACUGGUUCAUAUUCUUUGGGCACUAGUACUGAUGCAUUGGAUUCUUUUUUCCUAAAAAAAAAAAACUAUGUUUACACUCUGUGGGGGAUUAUCGGAAGAGUGUAAAUAAUUUUUAUUUUUAUUUUUGGGAAUUAUUUUUAACUUAUUUUAUUUUAUUUUAUUCUAUUAGGCUUAUAUUUUUGGAAAGUGUUCUAUUGAGAAUUAUUUUUUAUUUUAUUAUAUUUUAUUUUAUUCUAUUAGUGUUAUAUUUUUGGGAAGAGUCCUACUAGGAUUGUGUAAGUGGAGUCUCAUUCCUUUUAUAAGUAGAUUCCUCUUCCACUUUGUAUAAUCUUCUAAUUACAAGUAGUUUCCUAUUAGGACUGUGUUAGUAGCCUAUAAAAGUAGGUCACUCCUCUCUCUAUUUGAAUACCAAAUUUUCAGAGAAUUUUCAGAGAGUUUUAGGGAGCAUUUUCAUACAUCUAUUUGGAGGAAUUUAUUAAAAACCCGAAUUGUACACAUCUCGCUUUCAAAGUGCACCCAAGGCGAGAUUUGGUUGUUGAAUCCUGGAGGUAAACCACUGGUACCCUAGUGCACCAAGUUCGUCUUUGAGAAGGGUGGAUCUAUUUCAAGGACAAUGUUUGUCACGCCUCAGCCGAUAAGUUUUUCUUUUUACUCAUUUUGUUCUUUAUUUGUGUCUUUUGGGCUAGUCUUUUGUUUCCAUACCCUUAAAAUCCAACAAAUGUUAUGUUGUGUAAACAAGUUUCACCCAUUGUGGAUUGAAAUGUUUAACAUUUGAGGUUGUUAAUGGUGAUUUUUCUUGUUAUAAUUGUUAUAAUUGUGAGAAAAACAUUGACAAUUAUGUCAUUUUUCAUUUGGGAGUAUUUAGAUCUCCAAACAGCAACUUGACUGAACAUGACCGCAAAAUUCAUCCACUACCACCACUUUCCUCCACCUGCAACUCUUCAAAUCCAACAUGUACGGCACGUAGGCUUCACCAAAGCUUUUGCAACCAAUCACUAACAACUUCCCCUCCCAUGUUGUCAUGUAAGCUGUGUGGCGAAUCUCAGCUAGCAUCUUGGCUACUGUCUGCCAUCAGGAGUUCUGCAGUGCCACCACCUUACCAGCAUGGCACAUGUACAUCCCCAUAUCACCACCGUCCACGCAGGUUCUCGGGCAUGUGCUGGCUUCCAGGAAAUCCUCCUCUACAUUGUCCCACUGCCAGUUGGCAAAAUCAAAGGCUUCUGCGCUCCUCUUGAACCUGCCUUGCAUCUCUAUGCAGUACCUGCCAAUGACAUGGAACUUACCACGGUGGAAAAACUAUUUGCAUUCAUCGCGCUCCCUUGCCAUGUCAUGAAGCGGGCCCACUCAUCAUUUGCCACGUCAUACACCAACGCAGGCCUCAAUUCGUCACACAUCAAAAUAAUCAAAAUUCAUAAUGCAACCUCCAAAAUACAUUUUAUCAUUUGCCUUCUCAUCCCCAAAAAUUCAAAAUAAAAAAUUCCACAUAAUCAAUACUUUAGUGACUAUUAUAUUUUUCAUGUUUUGGAUUUUAAUUCUUUUAAUUCAUUCUAUCUUCAUUAUUUAAGCCCAAGUUCUACUAUUAGUAAAAAUAAACUAAUAUAUAUAUAUAUAUAUAUAUAUGUAUGUAUACUUUGGUGACUUGCAUGGAGGUUAGCAACUGCACUACUCUAUCACAUGGCCCAUGAAAGAUAGGUAGAUGUGAUGAAUCGAUCAAGUUUUGGAAUCCUAGUCCUUGCUAAUGGGGGACAUAAGGCACAUGGAUGAUUUGGAAGAGAGGUGCUGAUGGGGUGCUUUCUACUGAGUCUCUCCUUGAGAAUCCAACUCUCUUUGCUAGAUUCCAGACUGUUGAAUGGGCUCUGGGUGGUGAAAAAGGCAAUUGAUGGGUCAAAGCCAAAUAAGCCUUUCCACCAUCACCACUAACAAAACCUACACCUUUGCAAUAUGGGCCACACUUUGCAGGCCACCUUUGGCAUGCAAUCCCACUUCCACAUUUCAUCCUUUUUAAUUCUUCAUAUUUUGAUAUCAAAGUUUAAUUUUCCAAAUUUUCAAUUUUCAAAUUUAAUUUCCAAAACUUCUAUUUUCAAAUAAUUGUCCAAAAUUCUGAUUUUCAAAUAAUUUUCAAAACUUCAAUUCCUUAAUUUAAUCUUCAAAACUCCAAUUUCUUUCAAAAUUAAUUUUCAAAACUCCAAUUCUUAAAUUUAAUUUUUAAAACUUCAAUUUUCAAUUAAUUUUCAAAACUCCAAUUCUUAAAUUUAAUUUUUUUAAACUCCAAUUUUCAAAACUCCGAUUUCUUUCAAAAUUAAUUUUCAAAACUCCAACUCUUAAAACUAAUUUUCAAAAUUCCAAUUCUCAAUUAAUUUUCAAAACUUCAAUUUCUUUCAAAUUUAAUUUCCAAAAUUCCAGUUCUUAAAUUUAAUUUUCAAAACUCUCAUUCUCAAAUAAUUUUUUAAAUUUUAAAUUUUUAAAUUUAAUUUUCGAGACUUCAAUUUUCAAAUAAAUUUUAAAACUAUAGUUUUCUUUCAAAUAGUUUUAAUUCCACUCCAAUUUUCAAUUAUUUUUUAAUUCUACAACAUUUCAUCCUUUAUUAGGGUUUUAGGUCAAAAAAUCUCGUUUUUAAUAAACUUGCUACAUUUCCCUUCAGGUAAGAACUUUUAUAAAUUUUCUUUGAUUUUUCAGAUAAUCUUUCGUUUCUCUUGAUUUUAAAUAAGCAUGAAGACAAUUUUCAUAAUUAAAAAACAAUGGAAUUUGUGGGAUUAAUUCAUGCAAAAAUCAAUCGAGCUUUGAUGGGGACCCAACAUUCAUAAGAUUUUUUUUGAAAAUAAUUCAAGUGAAUUGCAUAAUUGAUAUUGUUCGAUUUUGAUUGGUUUUGUGUGACAUGUUUUACACUUAUCAUUAUGCACUAACCCCGUUUCAUUGAUAGCACAUCUUUACUUGUUACUAAGGUACGAUCUCACUUCCACUUCACUUAUUCUCAUGCAUGAUUCAUUUUAUUAUUUGAUCAUUUUAUUGGUAUCCAUUGAUUUUCUUAUCCAUUGUCACACUUGCUUCACCUUAUUUGGUAGGGACCUGUUUUUAGGGACUUAGAGGGGUGCUAUGGUCUUUUUACUGUAUCUUCCCAAUAAGUAACUUGACCAUCGGACCCGACUUGAUUUUUCAGACCUGUUUUUUCAAAUAAGGAGUCACACUUAGGGUUUUCUUUCUUAUUUUGUUUUCCCUUUAAAAAUAAAACAAAAAUAAGUGGCGACUCCAAGUCUUUUCUAAAAAUCAUAUUUUUCACCAAAUAAAUAAAAAACGAGUUUUGUCAUCGAGUGGGAACACAUCGAGCAAAAAUACGGGUUCCACAACAUGCUUCCAAGCUUUGAAAAUGCUAAAGGAUUCAAGUAGAGAUGAAAAUGAGACAAGUUCAGGAUGAGUCAACCUCAUUCCAAUCCCACCCCAUUAAUUGAUAAUAUUUUUCAUCCUUGUUUCAUUAAAAAAAAAAAAAAUUAAAAGGGAUGGGAUAGAGCAAAUUGAAAAAUUUUCAAUUAUAUUAAAAUAAAAAUAUAUUUUAUAAAUAAUUAAAAUAUUAUCAUUUUUUAUAACUUAUUUUAAAAGUAUUUUACUAUUAUUAUAUAUAUUAAAAAUAGGAAAUAAAAAUUAAAUUAAAUGUUAAACUUAAUUUUAUAUAUAAUUGAAGUGAGACCUACGACACAAAAUAAUACUUGAACCCAUCCCAAACUCGUCUCGAAUUUAAAAAAAAAAAAAUUAAACUUAUCCAUUGUUUAUUUAAAUUUCAAACCUAUUUUAUUAAAAACGAGACAGGGAUGAGUGCUUGAAAAAAACUCAUCUCAUUGCCAUCCUUAAACUCAAGAAAUAAAAAUUUAAAUUCUAAAAGGAAAUGUCCAUUCUUAAUAUCAUCAUUGAAAACAAAUUACUUAAGCCUAUCAAACAUCCAAGUCAGCAGGAUUUAUUCCUAAGAAAAAAUGAUGCUCAAUUCUAGUUAUCGUGGAAUGAGCCACUUUCCCGGUAAAUGGAAAUUACCCAAUAUUUCAUUAAAGUGAAAUCUCUUAUCGAAAAGUUAAAAUUAAUUAGUAGAGAUUGAAACAGCCAUUAUUAUUCAUAGUUUAUAGCUCAAAUAUAAUGAGUCUAUUUCUGUAAUUGGAGGAAUGACCAAUUUACUAUUGAAAACCAAUUCAAAUAAUAGAUAUUCAAAUAUAAGCGCUUCAUUUAUUGUUUACUAUUGAAAAACCGAUAAUUCUAUAUAUCAUUGAAAAAUGCAAUUCAAUGCUUUCAUGUACAAUAUAAUAUAGUGCUGAUGAAGGCAAGCAUAAAAUCAUGGAGACAGGGUCUGGAGCCAAGACUAAAGGGGCAUCAAUACGCGUCUUUGUCAAGAAGGGAGAAAUCAAAGAAAUGGUGGAGCCUAUACAUUGAAUUAUUGACAGAAUUUUGUGGGGACCCAUAUCGAGAAAAAUAUUCUUUCAAUAUAUAUAUAGAUAUUUUAUAUUUUUUAAUUCUAAAUUAAUUUUUAUGUUGGGAAAUUGAUACGAGGGAAGAGUAGUUGUGAGUAGAAUUAUUAAAGUUGUAUAAACAAGUGGCAAUCUUGAUACGUGAGAAUGAUAAAAAUUAUACAAAUUUUAGCAAGUUUGGGUAAGGUAUCAUUAUAUUCGAGUAAUAAUCAUGUCAACUUGUAUAACUUAUUUAAAGUAUUUAAAGACAUUUAUGAGACGGAUUUGCAUUGUCUAAUUUUAGUUCUUAUUGAAGAACAAAUUACUAUCAAUUUCACGAGGACAAAAUUAUAAUUAGUCAAAUUAUUUGAAAGUGAAAUCUUAAAAAUAAAAACUUUCAAUUAAAUUCGAAAACUAAAACUAUUAAGUAAAGAGUUAAAAAACUAUCGAGCAGAGCUUAAAAUUCAAAUAUAAUGCAUUUAUUGUUGUAAUUCAAGCCAAAUAUUUAUUAUUGAUUAUUAUAAAUAUAAUUUUAUAUCCAUUUUUUAUAUUUAAGAUAAUUUAGCACAUUUGAACAAUAUUUUGAGAAUAAGAUUGGAGCAUCUAAUUUGACUAAUUGGAUAGCAAAUCAAACUAAUCAAAUCUUAUUUUCAUAUUUAUCCACCUUCAAUUCUAAGAUAAAUAUGAACAAAAGUCUUUAUAUGUUUAUAACAAUAUAAACAAUAUAAACACAAAAAUAAUGAGUAUAACAUUAAAUAACAAAAAAUUUAUUUCAGCCUUGGAUAUAUUAUUAUAUACGUUAUAUAUAUGUUAGUAAAAUUGGAAAUAUUAAUACAUUCAGUAUAUUAAAUAAUAAAAUUACAAGUUUUUUGUUAUUAUUCAUAUUUAAUUAAUAAAUUUUAAUUAAAUCUAAAAUAAAAACUUUUACACAAAUUAGUAUAAAACCAAGUGUGGUCAUUAUAAAUCAACCCUAUAAAAAAGACUUAAAUCUAUAGAAGUCUAAGUAAAUAAAUGAGAAAUAAUGUUAAAAGAUAUGUAUAAAAAAAAGAAUCAUUGUUUAGUAUCUUGAUUAUUUAUAUAAUUUUAACUUCGUGUAUUAUUUUAAAUUUUAAUAAUAUAUGAAUUAUAUAUGCAUAUUGUCAUGCUGAUAUCAUGUUUCAAUUACUUGAACCAUCGGUUCAAUAAAAUAAAAAACUCUAAUGUAAUAAUUUUUCAAUUUAGUGACUAAUUAAUAAGAUUUUCAUAAUAUCGUAUUUGAAAUUUCAACACAAAAAAUGAAUAUGAAAAAUCAUAAAACUCUUACAAAGAAAAGUGACUUCAUGAAAAUAUGGAAACCCUAAACCUUAAUUUCUUCAAUAAUGCCUAUCAAAAUUCUUAUGUUUAGGCAAUAUUAUGAGAGAACCAAUAAUCUCAUCCACAAAUCCAACAUAGUCAAUGGUCAAUUCUUAUGUUUACGAGAUAUAUAUACCUUGUAUAGUUUAUGUAUCUUUUGGAAAGUCAUGUAUAUAUUUAAAUGUUGUAAUGUAUAUCUUGAAUAAUAUACUUUUGACCAUUCAUUUAUUCAAUACUCUUGUAAAGAAAAAUGACUUUAUGAAAAUGUGGAAACCUCAAACCUCAAUUUCUUCUAUAAUGCUUAUUAAAAAUUUUGCAAUUGAAAGUUGUGUAAUCAAGGAAGCUAACAAUGCAAGGUUAGAACUAGCCACUCCUAACCAGACUUAUUCUUCUACAUAUGCCCAUCUUCAUCUCAAGUCAGUUUACUUUUCUAUUUUAAGAAAAUUAAUUAUUAUUUUUAUUUUCAUGUAUUGAAAAAAGUAAAAGAAAAAAUAAGAUUAAGCACUGUUAAACCUCAAUCAAUCUCGACAUAUAUGUGAGAAGAUAAUUUAAAAGUGUAUUUGACAAUAUUUUAUUUUGAAGUAUUUUUAAUUUUAAUAAAAGUAUUUUUUUUUAGAAAUGAUUUUGAGAUAAUUUUAAAAAAUGUUUUUAGUUUUUCUAAUACUUGAAAAAUAAAAAAAUUUAAGUGUUAAAAAUAUUAAAAAUAUUUCCUAAAAUCACUAUUAAAUGUACUUUAAGUGUUUCUUCAAAAAGUACCAUAAAUAAUAUUUCGUAUGUUUAAAAAUGUUUUCUGAAUUUUAUUAAAUACUUGAUUUUUCUUAAAAAAUAUUUUUUAAGCUAGAAGUGAUUUUUAAAAACACUAUUAAAUGGCCCCGUAAGUCUUAAAAUAAAAUCCGCAUAAGACUACUACAUGGACCUUCAAUGAGUCUUUGUCUCAUAAUAAAUAUUUUGUUAUGUUCACAUGUAGAAGGGACAAAUAAUACUUAAAAACUAAAAAUCAUAUACAAUAGAAAGUGUGGAAGCAAGAAGGAAUAGAGUAGAAGUUGCGAAGUGAUGGAGCCUUGGGUAAAAUAAAAUUAAUAACGGCAUUAUCAUGGGAGAAUUGUGUUUUGAGCUUAGCUGGUCCCAAAAAUUAAGUUCUAGUCCAUGUAACUUACCUAAUUAAUGGAAAGGAUAUCAAAUAUUAACAGACCAAUAUGCCCUUUACAUUUCCAACUCAAAUGGUUGUAAAUUAAUGGGUUUCACAGCAAUUAAACUUGAAAUGUCAUGUCACCUGAUUGAAAAUUAUGAAAUAAAGGCCAUAAGGGUCACCACCCUCCUACCCCUUUCUCUCUCUCCGUAAACAACAUACUCACAAACGAUGAUGACUGUGACUGCCCCCCAAUCGGUUUUUUCAGCAACCAAGGAUUGUGAGCAUUUUAGAAAAGCCUUUGUAGGUAUUUUAUCAUCAUCAUUCCCAAAUCCAAGGGAUGGGGGGUUUGAAUUAUUUUCUCACGUUUUGAUUUAAUCAGGUUGGUUCUUUGAUGAUGUGUUGGAUAUUUGUUUACUGGGUCAUUACAAGGUUUUAGGAAAGGCAAUUGUUUUGAUCUCGUGUUAGGGUGUUUAAAAAAAAUUUGAACUUAAUAACAUAGCGUUUUUGGAUGUAGGGUGGGGGAUAAAUGAGGUUUUGAUCAUAUCCAUCUUGGCUCAUAGGAAUGUAUCACAACAUAAAUAAAUUCAAGAAACUUACAGUGAAUCUUAUGGAAAAGAUCUCCUCAAAAAUGGCAUUUCACCUGUCUGAAAAAUUUUCACUUUAGCAUUUGCUUGUUGGGUUUAUCGUCCAAAGAGAAGAAAUGGGUAUCAUCCAAAUGCUGAGCUUUGGGGAAGAAGAUUCUCCGGUGAUGAUGCAAUUCAUCCAUAAUAGCUAUCCUUCGAAUCAAACAUAUUUCAAAAGCAGAGAAGUUGGUCCACCCGACGAAACGAAGAAAAUGAAUAACUCCAAUGAAGAUAUAAAGCGGCUACAAUUGUGGUCGUGAUGAUGGCAGUGGCCCAACAACCUCCUGUGAAUAUGGAAAUAUGCUAAAUAGGGUAUAUGCCCUAUUUUGGGGUAAGUAUAUUUUCUAGAAUUCGAACCUAGGUUGAUGGAGGAUUGAGUGUGUUUUUAUUAUGUUUAGGGAUGAAUUAUGACAUUUAUAUUUGUGAAAAUUAUUCUGCUAUGAUCCAAAGCACAACCCUAUUAAUUAUAUGAUUGAAACUCCUUUAUGUUUGAGUAGAAGAUUAAUAAUAUGAUUGAGAAAACAAAGGCUAUGCUUAAUUAAGAAAAACACUCAAAAGGGGGGGGGGAGGGGGGUGAAUUGGGUUUUUUAAAAUCUUUUCAACACAACAAUUUCAAGCACAAUAUAAACAAAAAUAAAGAAAUAGAGUUAUAGAAUUCAAACUCGGGUUUUAUAGUGGUUCGGCACUUCCUUGCCUACGUCCACUCUCCUUAAUCUCCUAACCGAGUGAGGCUUCCACUAACUUGAAGCUUCAACCAAGCUUCCAAUAUUCUUACACUUGGAUUCUGACUCCAAUGGGCUCUUACACAAUCUCUUCAAGAUUCAAACCUCUUGAAGGCUUUAACACUCAGUUUUUACAAGAAUGAAUCACUCAACCUAACUCAAAGAUAGCUCAAAUACAAAACAAAGAUAAGAUGACUCACAAGAGCGCACUAAAGGAUAUGCAAGUGAUGAUUUAAUGCAUUAAGAAGGAAAUGAGAGCUUUUUGGUUAAGAACAGGUAGGUAGAAAAUUGAAUUCAAGUGUUCUCUCUAUCGUAAAUGAAGCAGAGCUCUUAAUUUAUAGGUUUCUAAGCUCGGGAGCCAAAAACAGCAAAAGAUAGCCUUAAUCGAUUGAACUGAGGGUCGAUCGUAUCACUAGCCGUUGAGCAUUUAAUGCUUUGAUAGGUUACCGUUACCUCAAUCAAACCUCGACCGGACAUCAACUAGAGGUCGACCAGGAAUAGGAGAACCUCAAUCAGGAAGAGGAGGCUAUUGGAUGAGAGAGAGUGUUUUUGGCACCCCUUGACUGGACCUCGAUCGGACAAGGGCAACCAGUCGACCGGUUCCCCAACCGAUUGAGCCGGUUGGCCAUAGCCUAGACCGGUUCAGCCUUUUGGCCCCGAAAACCUACCUUUUUCAAUUCCUUUCUUUUCUAACUCUUAGGCAAGGUAUUUAGGUGAAUUAAUAUGCCAAUUUAAAACAUUUUGCCUAAGGUACAUUUGAUAAAACUCGGGUUUUAAUGAAAAUGAAAGUUUAAAUGAUAAACCGAGUUUUCAAAGAUGUAUGAAAUGGUAUGAAAAACUUAAGUGCACCCAUGCAUUCAUCUUACAUUCUUUUCCUAUUAUCAAAAGUCUUCCAAAAGUCUCGGUCUUGUAUCAAUUUGGUCAUUUGAUAAAUUUCUGAAUCUAUACCUAAGAUUCUUUACCAUUCAAAUCAAUUAGUCACUUAACCAUGGUUUGUUAUCAUCAAAACCCGAUUAGGAGAACCCUUGGGCUAACAAUAUGACUAGUAGUUAGGGAACAAAUUGAUACUUUAGUUUUUCCUUAUUUUAUGAACCAAAAGAUUGCAUACAUGAUUAACCUAUGCAUGAGCAGACAUUCAGUAGUGGUUGUGUGGAAGUUAUGUCUCUGUACAAGACAUUUACAUUAAGUGUACAAGGUACAUGUGCUUACUGUACAAGAGUGUACAAAGGUAACUAUGUUGAAGGAUUUGCAAUCCUUUUAAAAUCAUUUCCAUUUUGAAAGGAUGAAGAACAUUCUCUCACACAUUCCUUGAUCACACACUCAUCCCAUUCAAUUUUAUUACUUCAUACAUGUUCAUUGGAUGACCUACCACAGUAAUGAUGAAUAGGAACCUAUAUUGGGUUUCACUUCCCCCUUUUCCCUUAGGCAUUACAUUGGAACAUGGUAGCUCACCCAUAUGCACGCUUUUAGUUGUAGCUAUGUCAAAUUUUUGCCAUUGUAUAAGACAUUUACACUAAGAAUGUAAAUGUGCUAACUAUACAAGUGUGUACAAAGCUAUCUAUCUUGAAGGAUUUCAAAUGCUUUCGAAAAAAUUGUUUGCUCGUUUCUUUUUUCUAAGGGGGAUAUUCCACAUAGUCAUUCUUCAUUUCCCUUCGUACACAUUCAUUGUAUGAGCUAGCACACUUAUGAUGAAUAGAAACCUAAAUUAGGUUUCAUUUUCCCCAUUUUCACUCAGCCAUGACAUUAGAAUGUGGUUAACCCGCCCGUAUGCACUAGUUCAGUUGUAGGUAGGUCAAAUUUCUGCAAUUGUACAAGGCAUUUGCACCAAGUGUACAAGGCCAAUGUACUAAAUGUACAAAGGUGUACAAGGGUGUCUAUCUUAAGGGAUUUCGAGUGAUUUUGAAGAACUUACUUAUUUACUUUUUCUAAUCGUGGGAGACAUUCCUCACACGUAUUGCUUGAAAACACACUCAUUGCAUGCAUUUUAUUUGAUGUCUACCAUGUAACUUCAUUCUAUUAACUUCCCUAGUAAUUAUGAAUAUGAACCGAAAUGAGGGUAAACUUUUUUCUUCUUUUCUCUAAUCCAUGAGAAUGGAAACAUUGCUUACCCACCCAUUUGCACUCGUUCGGUUGUACCUAUGUGGGAUUUCAUGACUGUACAAGGCAUUUACACUAAGUGUACAAUGCAAAUGUGCUAACUAUACAAGUGUGUACAAGACUACCUAUCUUGAAGGAUUGUAAAUACUUCUGAAAAAAUUGUUUGCUCAUUUCUUUUUUCUAAGGGGGACAUUCCUUAUAGUCAUUCUUCAUUUUCCUUCGUACACAUUCAUUGUAUGACCUAGCGCACUUAUGAUAAAUAGGAACCUAAAUUGGGUUUCAUUUUCCUCCUUUUCACUCAACCAUGACAUUGGAAUGUGGCUAACCCGCCCAUAUGCACUAGUUCAAUUGUAGCUAGGCCGAAUUUUUGCAACUAUACAAGGUAUUUACACUAAGUGUACAAGGUCAAUGUACUAAAUGUAUUUUGGUUUUUUUUUUUUUUUUUUCAUAAUCAGCAAAGGCUAUUUUUGGAAAUAAUAAAAGUGCAUAUUCUCCUUCUCAAUUUUGACACUUCUUAAAGGUUUUGAGCUUAAAUAGUUUAGUUACAUGGACUAAAACACAAUUCUCCCCAUUAUCAUGUGUGUCUCAUUGUUGGAUGGACCAAAUUUCGCUUCUCCCAAAGAUCUUUGAAUAUUAUAAUGAGAGCCCACUUGAUGCUUCCAAAAAUAUAUUUGCAGGUGGACUCCAUCUGUCAAUCCAUUAACCUAUACAAUAUUAAAAAUCCACUUGAUGUUAUUUAGGAAAAUUAUUUUAUUUUGUUGGUGAUGGCCUGUCUUCCAUCUUACUCAAGUUUCAACUCUAAGACUUUUCAAAUUAACAAAGUGCAGUGCAGUGCAAUGAUUCAUUUUUCUUCUUUCCUCUAUCUUUGGCUCAACUUCAGUCCUUUUUUUCCUUUGAUUUCCCGGAAAGCUAUGGAGUUCCUGAGCUCAAUCGUGGGUCUGGUCCUCUGCUUCUAUGAUCACACCUCCAAGCAUACGGUCUACAUUUGCGAUCUGAAAAAAAAUCUCCAAGCCUUGAGCAAGGAAAUGGUGGAUCUCAACAACUUGUGUGAAGAUGUGAAGACAAGGGUUGAACGGGCAGAGCAACGACAGAUGAUGCGCACAAAGAAAGUGGGUGGGUGGAGACUGUGGGCUCAGAAUUCACGUAUGACAGAAUCUGUAGGUUUCUCAACGAUCAACAAGUGGGAAUUAUGGGAUUAUAUGGAAUGGGGGUGUGGGCAAAACCACCCUCUUGAAGAAAAUCAACAAUGACUUCCUCACUACAUCCAACGAUUUUGAUGUUGUGAUUUGGGUUGUGGUGUCAAAACCGUCCAACAUUGAAAAAAUUCAAGAAGUUAUUUGGAAUAAAUUACAAAUCCCACGUGAUAUAUGGGAAAUUAGAAGCAGUAAGGAGGAGAAGGCUGUAGAAAUAUUGAGAGUUCUGAAAACAAAGAAGUUCGUGUUGUUGUUGGAUGACAUCUGGGAGUGACUUGAUCCGCUAGAAAUGGGGGUCCUGCAUCCCGAUGCUCGAAAUAAGUCCAAGAUAGUUUUCACGACCCGGUCACAAGACGUGUGCCACCAAAUGAAAGCUCAUAAGAGCAUAGAAGUGGCGUGUUUGUCGUCGGAAGCGGCUUGGACUUUGUUCCAGAAGGAGAUAGGAGAAGAAACAUUGUCUCAUCCACAUAUACUGAGGCUUGCAAAAACUGUUGCUGAAGAGUGCAAAGGUUUACUGAUUCGUGCCCAAUUGGUGUAUCAGCUGAUUCAUGUCCAGCUGGUGCUCCUUGAUUGAGGGAGUAAUCAACAAAAUUUAUAACCUAUUACACCAUGAACUAGGGUAGCAAAGACAAAGCUACUAUAGCAUAGUGGCUCUAGGAUCGUUCACUAGGAAUGUUUUUCUUCAUAAGUAAUUUCCAUUAUUUCCUUUGUCGUUAGCUUAAACCUAAACCUUUUUCAAUCAAAGUUUGUGUUUUAUUUCUUAAGCUAACCUUGAAAUGAAAAAGCAUCAAUUCACUUUGAAUUGGUANNNNNNNNNNNNNNNNNNNNNNNNNNNNNNNNNNNNNNNNNNNNNNNNNNNNNNNNNNNNNNNNNNNNNNNNNNNNNNNNNNNNNNNNNNNNNNNNNNNNAUCAAAUAAAAUGCAUGCAAUGAGAGUGUAUCCAAGAAAUGAAAAAGCAUCAAUUCACUUUGAAUUGGUAUCAUUUAUGAAUUGAAAACUCUUCCCAGUGAACGAUCCUAUAGCCACUAUGCUAUAGUAGCUUUGUCUUUGCUACCCUAGUUCAUGGUGUAAUAGGUUAUAAAUUUUGUUGAUUACUCUCUCAAUCAAGGAGCACCAGCUGGACAUGUCUCCUCCCAACCAACAUAUUGCUAGUCCCUUAGCAAUGAAGGAGAGAAAAAUAAAAAUAAACAGUACUAUAAUUUACAACAUCAUGCUGAUCAAAAAAAAAAUUUCAAGUGGCAUGAUGAUCUAACUCUCACAUGGAACAUUAAAGAAAUAAAACUCAAACUUCAACAAGAGUUAUCAAAUAACUUAUCUAAUCACAAUUCUUAAAGAGAAGGCAUUAUGCAAAUUUAAGCUUUAAAAUCAUUUCCACUUCCAAAGGACCAACCCUUACUGUUCCACAAAAAUCUAAGUGUUACUUGAUAGCUUCCGAAUAUAGUAUGUUGAACUAAUCUCUCCCCCUAACCUAGUUCUUUUUCACAGCUUAGCAAACUGGUCAACCUCCAAUAGGCUAAGAAUGCACCUCUUUUCUCACAAUUUUUUUUUCAUUGUAGGAGUACAAGGCUUAAAGGUAUUUUUUUUCUAAAUUGUCCAUGUAACGGGGGUCCAUCGAUGACUCCCAACCAAUUAAGGUUUAGGGCAUCAAGCUUUAAGGAUCUUUCAACCACUAACUCCUCGGAUUUUACCCCGGACUUUUGAGAAUGAAAUUUUAAUACCCAAGCACCUACAGUAUGUUAAACUCCACCUAUCCACCCUUGUAACGAGCAUUGAGGUCGGUGACUCCCAACCAAUGAAGGCUUAGGGCACCAGGUUUUAAAGAUUUUCACCAUAUACCUCUCAGACCUUACUCGGGUUUCAAGGCAAGCAAACAUUUUUUCUUUCUUUCUUUCUUUUUUCAAAGACUCAUUGGCCUUUUAUAAGGUGUCCUAACACUAUUAAAUGAGGUCAAAGGUACCAAGUCUAAAUUUUCCUAAGUCAAGAGGGAAAUGGUUUUUUAUUUUAUACUCGGAACCUAUUAUGCAUAGUGUGUGAUAGCUUAAAGUGGAAGAACUGAGGUUGAAUUCAAUAGAAGUUUCAACAAUUCAUCAACUUUAGUAAGCAUAAUACAAAAUCUAAGUCAAGUAAAAAGACAAAAAUUCAGUUUCUCCCAUUUCAUUUUUGAGAAUUUUUCCUUAAUGACCAUGGAGAGUAGAAUAAAAACUUAAAAAAUUUUAAAAUUAAGCAAAAAGCAACUAAAUUACCAAAAUAACUUAGCAUUAAUAACAAAAACUUCCUUCCUCAACUCUCCCUCCAACCAAGCUGAACAUUGUCCUCAAUGUGUUAAAGGCGAUUGAAAAAUAGGGAGGAAGUGGUACCUCCUGAAUGACGUGGAGUGAUGCUUAGUUGCCUCUCCUGUAGGAGGCUCCUGAUGAGGCAUAGGCUUAUCAACAAAAGGAGGGGCAUGUGAUGGCUCUGAUGAGCUGGGAAUGGCAUGCUCAGGAGCUGAUGUAAUGCCGAGAUGAUGCUGGAUCUGCCUUAGGAUGGCAGUGUGCUGGGCCUGAGCUCCUGAUUUUACAAUUAACAAAAUUUAAGACCAAAUUUACGAUCAAAUAAUUUACAAAACUAAAAAAAAUUAUAACAUAUUUAACGAAAUUAUGGACUUUGGUGAAACCAAGUCCAUCUAACCCUUCUCUGAUCAGGCUUUUUGUGGCUCAAGGAGGUUGAUUUCCUUCUUUUUUGGCUUGAACGGCUCAAUGAAUGGCUUGAGGCGAUGACCAUUGACUCUAAAGGUGUCUAUGCCAUUGGAAUUUAGUAAUUCCACCACUCCAUUGAGAUGUACUUGGUGAAUAAUGAAAUGACCUAUCCAUCUUGACUUGAGCUUCCCUGGAAAUAUAUGGAGCCUUGAGUCAUAGAGUAGGACUCUUUGUCCGUUCCGCAAUUCUUUGUUGGAGAUUAGUUGAUCAUGCCACUUCUUCAUCCUCUAUUUUGCAACUUUGGAAUUGAUGUAAGCAUCAUUUCUUAAUUCCUCCAUCUCAUUAAAGUCUAAGCACCUCUUUGCUCCAGCUCUGAUCAAGUCCAUGUUCAACCUCUUGAUUGCCCACCAAGCCUUAUAUUCAACUUCCAUAGGGAGGUGGCAUGCUUUGCCAUAGACAAGACGAUAGGGGGACAUGCCAAGAAUAGUCUUAUAAGUUGUUAUAUAUGCCCAUAAUGAAUCAUGUAGCUUAAUAGACCAAUCUUUUCUGCUUGUAAUCACCACUUUCAUCAGUAUGUUUUUUAUUUCCCUGUUUGCUAGCUCCACUUGCCCGGAAGUUUGAGGAUGAUAAGGUGUAACUACCUUAUGCUUCACUCCAUACUUGGCUAAUAGGGUUUCAAAAGGUUUGUUGCAAAAAUGAGUACCUCCAUCACUGAUUAUGGCCUUGGGCACCCCAAAUCUUGAGAAGAUGUUCUCCUUAAGAAAUUUGAGAACCACCCUGUGAUCAUUAUGUUUACAGGGGAUUGCCUCCACCCAUUUGGAAACAUAGUCCACCCCCACCAAUAUAUAAGAGUUACCAAAAGACAUUGGGAAAGGUCCCAUGAAGUUAAUACCCCAAACAUCAAAAAGAUCAACUAUAAGGAUGGGGUUCAUGGGCAUUUGGUUUCUUUUUGUAAGCUUUCCGAGUCUUUGGCAUCUAUCACAACUCCUACACAUGAUGUGGGAAUCUUUGAAAAGCGAUGGCCAAGUAAACCUUGAUUGCAAGACCUUCAUGGCUAUUUUCUGAGAAGCAAAGUGGCCUCCAUAGGCAUUCUCAUGGCAAUGGCUGAGGAUUCCUUGUUGCUCUUCUUCAGGGACACACUUCCGUAUUAUUUGAUCUGCACAAUACUUGAAAAGGAAAGGUUCCUCCCAAUAAUAAGCAUGAAUUUUUGCAAAGAAGUGCUUCCUGUCUUGCGCAUUCCACUCACUUGGAACUUCACCAGUAACCAAAUAGUUAGCAAUAUGAGCAUACCAAGGAGCUUUCUCUAGCAACAUAAGUGAUUCCUCAGGAAAGUCAUCAUUAAUAGGUAAGACAUGGAAAUUGUGCGUUAUAGCCAACCUUGACAGGUGGUCAGCUACCACAUUCUCCACUCCUUUCUUAUCUCGGAUUUGGAGAUCGAACUCUUGUAACAAAAGAAUCCAUCUAAUCAACCUUGCUUUUGCAUCUUGCUUUGUCAAUAAAUACUUCAAGGUCGAAUGGUCAGUGAAAACAAUGAUGAAAGACCCUACUAGAUAAGCACGAAACUUGUCUAAGGCAAACACCACAGCUAACAAUUCUUUCUCUGUAGUUGUGUAGUUCUUUUGAGCUUCGUUCAAUGUUUUGCUUGCAUAGUAGAUCACGUAGGGCUUCCCAUCUUCUCUUUGGCCAAGUACAACUCCUAUAGCAAAGUCACUGGCAUCACACAUCAUUUCAAGGGUAGUUGCCAGUUAAGAGCCCUUACUAUUGGAGUGGUUGUAAAAAAUUGCUUCAAUUGAUCAAAACUCUUUUGACAUCUCUCAUCCCAGACAAACUUAGCGUCCUUAGCUAAAAGUUCACAAAGAGGCCUUGAAAGCUUAGAGAAGUCUUAUAUAAAUCUCUUGUAGAACCCUGCAUGGCCAAGAAAUUGCCUUACUCCUUUCACAGUUGUUGGGGACGGCAAUUUGACAAUAAGUUCCACCUUUGCUUUAUCAACUUCAAUGCCUUUCUCGGAGAUGAUAUGGCCAAGGACAAUUCCUUGACGUACCAUAAAAUGGCAUUUCUCCCAGUUGAGCACCAAGUCCUUCUCAAUGCAUCUAUUAAGAACCGCUUCCAAAUUGACUAAGCAUUCCUCAAAUGUACCUCCAUAUACGGUGAUGUCAUCCAUGAAAACCUCCAUAAUUCUCUCCACCAUAUCACUGAAGAUACUCAACAUACAUCUUUGGAAUGUUGCAAGUGCAUUGCAUAAACCAAAAGGCAUUCUUCUGUAGGCGUAUGUUCCAAACGGACAUGUGAAAGUGGUCUUCCCCUGAUCUUCAACAUCAAUUUCAAUUUGGAAAUACCCUGAGUACCCGUCCAAGAAACAAUAAAAAGGAUGGCCAGAGACUCUCUCCAGUACCUGAUCAAUAAACGGGAGUGGAAAAUGAUCUUUCCUUGUCACAGCAUUCAACUUUCUAUAAUCAAUACACACCCUCCAACCUAAAGUGAGGCGUGUAGCAAUUUCUUCUCCUUUUUCAUUUUGAACCACAGUAAUCCCUGACUUCUUUGGUACCACUUGAGUAGGACUCACCCAAGGGCUGUCAGAUAUGGGAUAAAUAAUACCUGCUUGAAGUAGCUUAAGCACUUCAGCUCGCACCACCUCUUGCAAAUGAGGAUUCAAUCUUCUUUGAGGUUGACGAAUUGGUUUAGCUUCUUCCUCUAUGUAUAUAUGAUGUGUACAAACCAAAGGACUAAUGCCUUUCAAGUCAGAUAUUUGUCAUCCUAUUGCUUUCUUGCACCUCUUGAGAACUUCAAGUAAACACUUCUCCUGAUGACUAGUAAGAGAUGAAGAUAUAACAACAGGACAUUGAUUAUUUUCUUCAAGGUAUGUAUAUUUCAGCUCCACGGGCAGAGGCUUCAAAUUGAGCUUUGGGGUCUCUUCUUCAGCAGCUUCUCCUUCCUCUUUAUUCAACAAAGGUAGAAUAUCUUCUCUCUUCCUCCAACCUUGUAGAGUAGCAAGCACAUCAGGGGGUUCAGACAACCCUUCUUCAAGAUCCCCAAGACUUUCAUUCAGCUUGUCAUGCAUAUUCUGAUUACAGUGCUCCUCCACUAGAGUGUCAAUAAUGCAUACCUCUUUUGGACCUUCUUCUUCUUCCAGAGUGAUUUGCUUUUUAGACAUAUAAAAAAUGUUGAGCUCAAGUGUCAUGUUGCCAAAAGUGAGUUGCAUGAGUCCAUUCCUACAAUUGAUGAUUGCAUUUGAGGUAGCAAGGAAUGGCCUUCCAAGGAUGAUAGGAACUGAAUUAGCUUCCUUUACAGUAAGAUCCGUAUCAAGAAUAACAAAAUCUACCGAAUAGUAGAAAUUAUCAACUUAAACUAAGACAUCCUCACCCCCCUUGGAAUUUUUACUGAUCUAUCUGCUAGAGAUAGGGUGAUUGAUGUUGGCUUCAACUCACCAAGACCCAAUUGCUUAUAGAUAGAGUAUGGUAGCAAAUUCACACUUGCUCCCAAGUCUAACAAAGCUUUCUCCACUACCUUUCUUCCAAUCAUGACUGAAAUGGUAGGACAUACCGGAUCUUUGUACUUCAAAGGAGACUUGCAUUGUAUGAUUGCACUUACUUGCUCAAUCAAGAAGGCUUUCUUGUUCACAUUCAACCCUCUUUUGAUAAUACACAAGUCCUUUAGGAAUUUUGCAUACGUUGGAACUUGUUUAAUCAUAUCCAGCAGUGGGAUAUUGACUUUUACUUGUCUCAAUACUUCAAGAAUUUCAGAUACAUUUCUAAUCCCCCUUUUUCCCAUGCAACACUUGAGGAAAAGGUGGAGAAGUUGGUUUCUUCAUCAAUUCUUCCUUAAUAAGCUCUUUUUCCGUAUUUGCAUUCACUGUUAAACCAUGGUCCUCCUCCAUUUCACUAACAUCUUUCUUCUUUCCUUUCAUUUCCUCCCCCUUCUUUGUUUCUUCUUCUUCUUCAACAUGUGGCUUGGGUGUUGGCUUCUCAAUUUUUUUACCACUCCUUAGAGUGAUCAAGGCUUUAACAUCUUUCACCUGUGACGAUUCUCCCUCAUAGAUUUCCACUUCAUGGAUACCCUUGGGGUUUUGGUGAGGUUGAGAAGGAAAUCUACCCUUCUCUUGCACUGUGUUCAAGUUAGUGAGCCUUGAGAUUGAGUAUUAGAGAUUAUCUAUCUUUUGAGAUAGAUUAUUUUGCAUUCCAUCAUCCUUUAAUUCAAAGUACUCUUUGCACUGUCAAUUCUUUGACUGAGUUGAGCAUUGAUGGUUUUUUGGUCUCCAACAAAAUCUCCCAGUUGAGCAUUGAUGGCUUUUUGGUCUCCAACAAAAUCUCCCACAACCUUGCUCAGAUUCACUAUUACUUGUUCAAGACUUGAAGAUUGUUGAGAUGGUUGAGCCGGUUGUUGGUACUGAGGUGCUCUUGCCUUCCAUGAGAAAUUUGGAUGAUUCCUCCAACUUGAGUUGUAAGUAUUCCCAUACGGUGCAUUGUUAUUGGGCUUGAAUUGUCCAACAGCAUUUGCUUGAUCUCCAACCAUUUCCCUUACAGUUGGAAUUGUAGGGCACUCCUCCAUCAAGUGUUCAUAAGAUUGACAAAUAGGACACAUAUUUACUUGCACUGGUGUUUCAGCAACAGCUUGCACUUCAUGCAUCUUUUUCAGUUCUAGCUCCUCCAAUCUUCUUGUCAUGGUCGCAAAUUUUGCUUUCAUAUCAUCAUCUUCAUUCAAGGUAUACAUCCCAGCCUUAGCAUUGAAAGCACUAAGGUUAAGACUUCAUCUUUCCCACUUCUCCUUUGUUUGGUUUAUCCCAUCCCCUUGAAACUUCACCCACAUAACUCAAGAAAUCCAUAGCUUCCUCAGGAUUCUUACUCAUGAAAUCCCCUCCACACAUUGUUUCGAGGAGUUGCUUCAUUGAGGAAGACAUCCCAUCAUAAAAAUAGCUCACCAAUAGCCAAGUAUCAAAACCAUGGUAAGGACAAGCAUUUAUGGCUUCCAUAUAUCUUUCCCAACACUCAUAGAAUUUCUCAUUCUCUUUAGCUGAGAAGUUUGAAAUUUGCCUUUUCAAGUCAUUUGUUCUGUGAGUGGGAAAAAAUUUCUUGAGGAAUUCAGCUUGUAAGUCGGUCUAAGUACGGAUACUCCUUGGCCUUAAAGAAUUAAGCCAAAUCUUGGCCUAAUCCUUUAAAGUAAAAGGAAAUAGUUUAAGCCUCAUCAGCUCGAUAGAAGCUCCUCCCUCUCGGAAUGUAUUACAAACAUCUUCAAAUUCCUUGAUAUGGGCAUAGGGAUUCUCACUUUCCAUUCCAUGGAAAGUUGAUAGAAGUGGCACAAUAUGGGGUCUGAUCACUAGCUGCUCUAUAGGGGGCACUAUACAUGAUGGUGCACUCAUACGAGGUGGAUGCAUCCGGUUCCUCAUUGAUAUGUAAGCAUUGGGAUUGUCUUAGUGACCAUGGUGACUAUGCUGAUCUUCAGGUGUAUUUUCCAUGAUAUUCAAGGUCAAUUCCAACUCCUUGGUAUGAGGUGUUUCAAGUUUAACAAGCCUUCCUCCACUAUCUCGUAUCCAAUUUGGCAUACACAACUAGUAUCAACUAUAACUAAAAUGAAAAUAAAAGAAAACAAAAGAAAACAAAAGAAAACAAGGCUACCAAAAAAAAAAACUAAAAUGAACUAAACUAAAUUUAAAAGAUAUAUUAGAUUAUGAACAAGUAAAGAUACAAUAAAUAUAAAAAAAUAAGAAUUAGUAAAAUGAAAGAAAAGUUACCAAACUUGUGAUGAAAAUCACAAGUACUCUGAAAUAAUAUCACUAUGAAGUUGGCACCUUCCUUGGCAACGACGCCAUUUGAUUCGUGCCCAAUUGGUGUAUCAGCUGAUUCAUGUCCAGCUGGUGCUCCUUGAUUGAGCGAGUAAUCAACAAAAUUUAUAACCUAUUACACCAUGAACUAGGGUAGCAAAGACAAAGCUACUAUAGCAUAGUGGCUCUAGGAUCGUUCACUGGGAAGGGUUUUCAAUUCAUAAAUGAUACCAAUUCAAAGAUGAAUUGGUGCCUUUUCAUUUCAAGGUUAGCUUAAGAAAUAAAACACAAACUUUGAUUGAAAAAGGUUUAGGUUGAAGCUAACGGCAAAGGAAGUAAUGGAAAUUACUUAUGAAGAAAAACAUUCCUUGGAGGUUUAGGUUCACAGGGGAGGUUCCUCAUGCAAAAACAGAGCUCCGGUCAUUUGGUUCAUUUCCUCGCAUUAGAGAAUUAACAUAUAGUCAAUUCUCUAAUCGGUGUUGUACAGAUGCAUCCUUUAAAUGGAUUUCAGCUCUAAUUCCCUCUCAUUGAUGCAACUUGUAAUGGCUCGUACUUCUCACCUAGCAUUUGCCAUUCAAGGUGAUCUUUAACUUUGGACUUCCCUUCUCAAGCUCGCAAGAGAUAACUAAUGUAUGUCUCCUUGGAGUCCAAAAGCUUACCAAGUGUUGGCAAUUCUAGAAAAUCCUAUCUUCAAGUCACUUCCCAAAAGCUCGCAAGAGGUAAACUAGUGCAUCUCCAUGGACGGAGAUCACUUGCCUUACCAAGUGUUGGCUCAAGUGAAUUGAUGGUGUUUUAAGUUAACUAAAAACAUAGAAAUCAUUAAAGGAUCACACUUUCUCUUCAUUAAUGGCUGAAACCACAAAGCUACUAAUUCUUGCACUUGGAACCUUUCCCGGCAACCUUAACUCCAAGGAACUAAAAGUCUAGCCACUCAUUCUCUGAGGAAACAUCCUCAGAGCUUGUUUGGCUAGUAAGACAAUACAAUAAAAAAUGAGAAGGUAAAGUAGAGCAAAGCUCUGUAUUUUUCUUCCUUUGAAAACUAUACAAAAGAUGCGUCGUCUCCCUGAGAACAGGCUCCCGAGAGAUAUUUAUAUGAAAUUACAAUAAUAAUAUAUAUAAGGUUAUUCAACCUUUUUCCAAACUUAAUAACUAAGGAAUCCUAUAAUUGGUGAGUUACAAGGAGAGUUUGGCGAUUUAAACAUCAAAUAUCUAAAGCAAAAUAUCUUAAAAUGUCGGUCGCACAUAUCGGGAAGUUUCAGGAGAACACCGCGGCACUGUGCAAAAUGGCUGCGAAACUCUCCAGGUAAGCGCUAUCAGCGGAUCCGGAUAUGUCUGAUCGGGGAAGUUGAAACGCCCUCCUCUCCCAUCCGGCGUCAGGCGCCGGAUGUGAAAUAUCCGGAUGGAAUGACGGCGGAGAAGAGUUCCAGAUGUGAGACAUCUGGGUGGAAUGUCGGCGAAGCAGAAUUUCGGAUGUAAGACAUCCGAGUGGAAUGUCGGCGGAGCAACUCCAUUCGGAUUCCCCAAGAGGACACAUGGCGCGCUCCCCUAUCCGGACUCCCUCAAGGAGAAGCACACGACACUCGCGAUCAUCACACCCGGACGAUAGCAUAUCCUAUCCGAAUAUGUUGUCCGGAUGAAAAAGACAGCCUGUCACAGCUUACGUUCUGCCGCCCUCCGAUGGUGUAUCCGGACGCUUUGUCCCUUGCCAUGGAUUCCAAAGAACUCUCCUCAAUCUCGGAUUGCUUUGGUGAUCAAAAAGCUAUCAAAACACCAAAACUUAACACAAUUUGAUUAGAAUUGAUUGCAAGGGUCCUUAAUAUGUUAAUUGGGUUAAAAGGUGAUAAUUACUACUCAAAAGUGUUUAAAAGAGUUAAUUACAAGCUAUGAAAUAUCACUUUUUGAGUAGUAAUCAUUUACCUCUCGCUUUGAUUACUCUUGGGCGAGCCUUGGCGAGUGAGAGAGAUCCCUCAAAUUGGAACAAGGUAAUACAAGAUUUGAGCAAAUUUCCAGCUGAAAUUUCAGGUAUGGAAGAUGAAUUGUUUCAUAGAUUAAAAGUCAGUUAUGAUAGGUUGUCUGACGAUGUCAUCAAAUCUUGCUUUAUGUAUUGUUCCUUAUUCUCUGAAGAUUGGGAGAUUUCUAAUGAAAACCUUAUGAACUUAUGGAUAGGCGAGGGAUUUUUGGGUGAAGUUCAUGACAUACAUGAAGCAUGUAAUCAAGGGCGUAAAAUUAUUAAAAAACUAAAGCAUGCAUGUUUAUUGGAGAGUUGCGGUUCAAGAGAAAAACGGGUUAGGAUGCAUGAUGUGAUCCACGACAUGGCUUUAUGGUUAUACGGUGAAUGUGGGAAGGAAAAGAACAAAAUUUUAGUAUACAAUGAUGUUUCUAGGCUAAAUGAAGCUCAGGAAAUUCCAAAAUUGAAAGAGGCAGAGAAGAUGUCAUUAUGUGAUAAGAAUGUCGAGAAGUUCCCUGAAACAUUGGUGUGUCCCAAUCUCAAGACUUUAAUUAUCGAGGAAUGUCAUAAGUUGACGAAAUUUCCAAGUGGAUUCUUUCAAUUUAUGCCUUUGAUUAAAGUCUUAGAUUUGUCAAUUAAUGACAAUUUAAGUGAGUUACCUAUUGGGAUUGGUAAAUUGUGUGCCUUGAUAUAUCUUAAUUUUCAUACACAGGAAUAAGAGAGUUGCCUAUUGAACUAAGGAAUUUAAAAAAUUUGAUGAUUUUGCUUCUGGAUGAUAUGAAAUCCCUUUGAAGUAUUCCACAAGGUGUGAUAUCAAGCCUUAUAUCCUUAAAGUUGUUCAGCAAUUAUGCAGUCAAUAUUUUAAGUGGAGUUGAAACUAUGUUGAGGGAGUUGGAGUCCUUGAAUGGCCUUAGUGAGAUAAGGAUCACCAUUUUCAAUGCUCUUUCAUUCAACAAAUUGAAGAGCAGUCACAAGUUGUUGAGAUGCAUAAGUUAUCUACAGUUACUAAAAUGGGGGGAUGUGAUUACACUGUUAAGAUAUGGACUCACAUAUCUCACAAUAAUUCAUGACUAAGCUAUUCACUUCUUCAAUUUGUUUUCUAUUCGUUCAAGAGUAUGGGCCACCUAUGUGUAGAGCCCAAACGCCAUCACGAGCCUUAGAUAAUGGGCCUAAGACUCGUGAGGCCCAAUAGCCCAAUGGGUAUGGUUCCUAAGGCAGGAGGGUAUAAAAGGUCAAGGGUCUGUUCAUUUUGCAUGAUCACAUUUUUGAAUAGAACAGAACCCUAAUCUCUCCCGCUUCCCAUUGCCAGAGAGAAUCCAGUGAUGGUGGUUAUCCUCCUCGGCCUUAGAAGAUCCAUACAUCUUCAACCAAACUUCAGAAAUGGAUUCGGGUAUGUUCCAUGUGAAUAAAUGCAUGUUCUAAGUGAAUUCAUAAAUAUAUCCUGCAUAUGUUUUGGUGAUAAUGGAGAUUAAAGAAAUAAACUAACAUACACUUGAAAUAUCAUUUACAUUAUUGAAAAGAAUGGAGCAUUUACAUGGGCUUAUUAUAUCCCAUUGCAAUGAAUUAAAAGCCAUCAAAAUUAAUGUGGAAGGAGAAGGAACAAACAAAGAUGUUACUCUCCCAAACUACAUUAUCCCAAGCCAAGAAUAUUUUUGCACCCUUCGUGAGGUGGGUAUAGAUCAUUGUUCAAAAUUGUUGGACUUAACAUGGCUUGUUUAUGCUCUAAAUCUUGAAGUACUCUACAUUAAAGAUUGUGAAUCAAUAGAACAAGUGAUACAUUAUGGAGUAGAGGAAAAAUUGGAAAUAUUCCUCAGGCUCAAAUACAUCAAACUCAGCAAGCUACCAAGAUUAAAGAGCAUCUAUGGGCAUCCGUUGUUCUUACCCUCACUUGAAAUCAUCAAGGUGCGUAAAUGCGGAGCCUCCCAUUCGAUUCCACCACUUCAAACAAAAACCUAAAGAAAAUUAAAGGAGAGAAGAGUUGAUGGAAUCAGCUGAAGCGGAAUGAUGAAACUCUCAAGCACUCUUUUACUCCAUAUUUCCAAAUCCACAAAGCUGAAGCAUAUUUAACUGAGGAGUCCGAAACUAGUGGCAUAGAUGAUAUGCAGGAGCAAUUGAUAUCAAAUUAAUUUAUAUCCGUCUUUCAGGUAUUAAUUAACUUUUAUGCUAUAUUUGAAAAAUAAUUUUUUUCCUCACUCCCAUUCUUUUGUGGAAAUUUUUACUUUACCGACAUCAAAGUGCAUCAAAGUCUCAACAUCAUAAUAACUUUCAAUGUUUGAUGUAUAUGGACUACUUCCAUAAUUUUCAACCUAAUCCUAAUAAUUUUGGUGUGGUUAUAAUUUUUUUUCUUUCUUUUUUUCAUCCUUCUAACAUUAAGCCUUCAUUUUGAUGACAAACAUAAUUAAGAAAGGGGAAAAUGUAAGAAAUCCAAAUCUAAAUCUUUUUUUUUCCUUCAUUUUCUUUUUCUUCUAUGUUUCUUCAAAUCUUUCGAUGUUUGAUCUUCUUCAUAUAGAUUGGGCUGCUUCUGUUUUUUUCUGAUUGGAGAUGUGCUGCUCCUUUUCCUUGUAUCUGGCGUUCGGGUGAGAGCUCAAUUAUGUUUGCUUGCUGGCUGGUCCGAGUUUCAGAUAUGUUUUGUCACGGUGGCAUGAGUGCUGAUUCUCAGAGCAUUGAUAUUCAUGGUGCUCAGACUGCUGGGAAAGUUGGUGUACUUAUGAUGCUUGCAGCAUCCCUUUUGUUUCUGGAUAUCAGGGAUUGGAUUCUGUGGGCUGUCUUUGGCUUUUGAUGUUGGGUGGGUUUUGUUUUGGUGAUUUGUUGAGGCUGGUGCAGUGUGGUGGGUCUGAAGCUGCUAGUACGCUGCUGCUGGAUCAAUGUCAUGUGAUAUGGGAAUGCUUUUGGGUCUUGGGGCUUCAGCAGGUUGCUUAUGUUUCCUCUACUUACAAAUGUUUUAUCACCAGAUCCUAUGUGGAGAUGGGAGGGAUUGUUUUAAUAGUGAUGGCGAGUGUGUGAUAUAAUCCUAUCAAUAUAACCACAUGCUUUGGUUCAUAUAUCAGAGCACUGCAUACUUCCUUGAGUUUGAUAUCCCGUUGCCAAUUGUGUUGUCUAUCAUGUAAAGAAGUUUUUAUGCUUGGCCUUGAACACACCCAUUAUGAAUGAAAUGUUGUGUGAAAUGUGUUUCCAAUUAUUUGAUUGUGGAGAUACUGCUAAUAUGAAAUGAAGGUACAAUGGACUUCUUCUCUUUUCACUCUUUUUAUUUUGUGGGAAAUUUGACAUUUGAGGUAAAUUCAUACAUAAAACUAAUUCGUUAAUGGUGAUUCUUCUUAUUUUUACUGUGAUUGAAAGGAAAGUUGAUCAAGGAGGUGGAAGUAUAAGCAGAGUUUUGAGGACUCUUAAGCGUAGUCCUUGUCAUACAUAAGAAUUCUAAUUUUCUGCAUUUUCAAUAUUUGCAUUAGCAGGAUAUUACAUAUAAAGAUUUACUCUUAAGCGUAGUACUUGUCACACUAAGCAACCCACCCAACAUUUGAGACGUUUAUCAAGUGAAAUAAAUUUGAGGGUUUAACACUACCGAAAUUGUUAAAGCAUGAACAGUUUAAAAUUAUAUGAAACUUCAGAUCACAUUCAUUAUAUUUGGUUUUCUUUCUGCCUUUCAUGAGAAACUAACAAAUAAUUUUUCUGCUCUUUUGUCUUGUACUUGGCAUUGGGGUUAUGUGGAUUAUGUUUGCUUGCUGGUCUGAGGUUUGGUCAUAUGUAGUUUCUGGUAUGUUUUCUCACGGCAGCAUAAAUGCUGGGAAAGUUACUGUAUUUAUGAUGGUUGUAGCAUCCUUUUACUCCGGACCAGCCUGAUGAAAGAAAAGAAAACCAUAGCCUACAAUCCGAUUCCAGCAAACAGAAGGAUCCAGAAACCAAAGCCUGCCGAGAUUAAAAGGGCAUCCGGAGUAAAAGGAUGCAUUGGCAGGGGUGCAUCUUGGGCGGGUUGGUCUCAUCCAACCUGAACCCAACCCAAUGAUUGAACAGACUUGGGCAAACGCUUUCAAUACCCGGGUUGAGCUUAAUUGGGUUAGGUUUUCUUUACCCAAACUCAAUUUAGGUUAGGCUCAGAUCAAGCUUCGAACAACUUGAGUCCAACUUGAAUCCAAUUUAAUGUUUUUAUAAUAUUUAUAAUGUUGAUUAUUUCUUUUUUAGAUUUUUAUGAAAAAUAAAACUAUAAUUAUAUCUUUUUUAUUUAUUAAAAAGAUACAUGAGUUUAUUUUACUUUCUUAUUAUUGAAUGUAACUCAAUCAACCCAAUCAACUAAAGUCUAAUCUAAUCAAUCGAGUUUAUUCAAAUCAAUUUGAAUUUAACUUGAUCAAUCCGAAUUCAACUGAGUUUAGAAAAAUGAGAUUGGAUUAUACUUUUGAAUAUCUUAGGUUAAAAGUUGAGUUGGAUUUAUUAUUUCUUAAUUUGUAUUAGGUUUGGAUUAGUAAUAAACCUAACUAACCCAUCCAAGUGACAACCCUAUGAAUAGGGAAUUGUUAUUUUUAUUUUAUUUUGAGAAAAAAUGGUAUUUAUUUCAACGCUUUAGAACAAUUUAUGCACAAAACUAAUUUGCUAAUGGCAAUUUUUUUUUCUUUUUUUUUUCAACAUUAGAAAAUAUGGUAAUUUUUCAACAUUUUAGCUUCCAUUGUUCUUGAUUUCUUUAGAACUAGUAUUAUUCUAGUUCAAUAUACAAAGCUUCUACAUAAGUGAUGCUAUUAAUUUACGGUAGUCAACCAGUGAAUGUGUAUGCUUUUUUAAAAGUAAGAGAGAAAUUGAAAAAAGUAAAUGAAAGAGAAGAAAAGAAAAAUAUAGUGGUGGUGGAGCCCAGCAUAAAGUCAAUGGCACCGUGUGGAACCCACAUCAAAGUGACAAACAAGCACCGUGAGGAAGGAAGAAAGGAAGGGGAAACGCCACCCGCCUGUCCUGUGCAUGUAGCUUUACUGGAAACCAUUCAUGACUUCCAAGGAAAGCCUUCUCAUGCUUUUGUGGCUUGUCUCCUAAGCCCUAAGUAACUUUGAACCCUUGGGUGGUGGUUGUCCCCAGUUUUUUGAAUUAACAAAGGAUUGUUACAAUCAAUUGUCUUCUCUCAUUAUUAGUAAUGACUUUGCAUUACAAUUUGGUUGAAUUUCCUGAAAGCCAUGGAUUGUCUCAGCUCAAUCUUGGGUCUUGCCCCUUGCUUGUAUGAUUCCACUUCGAAACGUGCAGUCCACAUUUCUGAUCUGAAAGAAAAUGUGGAAGCCUUGAGAGGGGGGCAAUGGUGGAGCUGAACAAUUUGUCUGAAGAUGUGAAGACGAGGAUUGAAAUAGCAGAGCAACAAUAGAUGAUACGCAGAAGGGAAGUGGACGGCUGGCUCAAUGGAGUAGAAAAAAUGGUGAAUGAAGUUGAUGAAAUUCUGCAAAUUGGUGAAGAAGAAAUCCAGAAGAGAUGUCUCAGAAGCUGUCCCAGAUGGAAUUGUUGGUCCAGCUACAAGAUUGGGAAGAAAAUAAGUGAAAAGCUCAAUGCUGUCUCUGUUCAAAUCAGCAAAAGACAUUUGGAUGAGGUGGCUGACAUGUUGCCUCGUCCUCGAGUAGAUGAAAUGCCUAUGGAGGAGACUAUGGGCUCAGAUUUGAUGUAUGAGGAGGUUUGUUGUUGUCUCAGGGAUGAAAGGGUGGGAAUGAUUGGAUUAUAUGGAAUGGGUGGUGUGGGCAAAACCACCCUCUUGAAGAAAAUCAACAAUCACUUCCUUGAACAUCCACGGAUUUUGAGGUUGUGAUUUGGGCUGUGGUGUUAAAAUCGCCCAACAUUGAAAACAUUCAGGAAGUUAUUUGGAAUAAAUUACAAAUCCCACGUCGUAUAUGGGAAACUAGAAGCAGUAACGAUGAGAAGGCUGCAGAAAUAUUCAGGGUUUUGAGUACAAAGAAGUUUGUGUUGCUGUUGGAUGAUGUAUGGGAGUGACUUGGUCUCCUGGAAAUAGGGGUCCCCUGUCCAGAUGCUCAAAAUAAGUCCAAAAUAGUGUUCACGACCCGAUCAAAGGAUGUGUGCCACCAAAUGAAAGCUCAGAAGAGUAUGGAAGUAGCGUGUUUGGCAUCAGAAGCUGCCUAGACUUUGUUUCAGAAGGAGGUAGGAGAAGAAACACUAAAUUCUCACCCACAUAUCCUGAUGCUUGCCAAGGUUGUUGCCCAAGAGUGCAAAGGCUUGCCUCUCGCUCUUAUUACUCUUGGUCGGGCCAUGGCACAGGCGAAAGAUCCCUCAAAUUGGGACAAGGUAAUACAAGACCUAAGGAAAUUUCCAGCUGAAAUUUCAGGUAUGGAGGAUGAAGUGUUUCGCCCAUUGAAACUCAGUUAUGAUAGGUUGUAUGACAAUGUAAUCAAAUCUUGCUUUAUUUAUUGUUCAAUCUUCCCAUAGGACUAUGAAAUUUAUAAUGAACAACUCAUAGAACUUUGGAUAGGGGAGGGGUUUUUGUCUAGAGUCAAUGACAUAAAUGAAGCACGUGAUCAAGGGCGUAAAAUAAUUAACAAUCUAAAGCAUGCUUGUUUGUUGGAGAGUUACGAUGAUGAAAUGGUUAAGAUGCAUGAUCUGAUCCGAGACAUGGCUUUAUGGUUAUAUAGUGAAUGUGGGAUGGAAAAGAAUAAAGUUUUAGUAUGCAAUAAAGUUUCAGGGCUGAAAGAAGUUCAAGAAAUUUCAAAAUGGAAAGAAGCAGAAAGGAUGUCAUUAUGGGAUAGGAAUGUUGAGAAUUUGCCUGAAACAUUGUUGUGUCCCAAUCUCGAGACUUUAUUUGUGAGGGAAUGUUCCAAGUUGAAGACAAUUCCAAGUGGAUUCUUCCAAUUCAUACCUCUAUUAAGAGUUUUGGAUUUGUGCUGUAGUCAUAGAAUAACUGAGUUACCUGCUGGGAUUGGUGAAUUGAAAGCCUUGGAAUAUCUUAAUUUGUCAUCCAUGGAUAUAAGAGAGCUGCCCAUUGAACUUAAGAAUUUGAAAAACCUGGCAAGUUUGUUUCUGGAUGAAAUAUAUGCGCUUGAAAUCAUUCCGUCGGGAGUGAUAUUAAGCCUAACGUCCUUAAAGUUGUUUAGCAUGUGGAAUGAUUUUGGGAAAAGCAACGGUCUGCGUGGGCAUGAAGAAACCUUGCUGGAGGAGUUGGAGGCCUUGAACAGCAUCAGUGAGGUAACUAUCUCUAUAACUAGUGCUCUUUCAAUCAGCAAAUUAAAGAGUUGUGACAAAUUACAGAGGAGGAUAUGGAAUCUCUUUUUAGUUGAUUGUGGGGAUCUGAUCUCACUUGAACUGUCAUCUUCAUUUUUGGAAAGAAUGAUCCAGUUGGAAAGGCUUGAUAUAUCCAGAUGUGAUGAACUAAAAGAUGUGAAAAUUAAUGUGGAAAGGGAAGGAUGGCAAGGAGUUGUACUUAAUGAUGUUCCUAGCCCAAUCUUCACUGUCGCAGGGGGCCAAUGCUUCCACAACCUCCAUACAGCAUUUAUAGGAUAUUGUCCAAAAUUUUUGGACUUAACAUACCUUAUUUAUGCUCCCUAUCUUGAAUCACUUUAUGUUACUAGUUGUGAAUCAAUGGAAGAAGUGAUACGAGAUGAUAGUGGAGUUUCAGAAAUUGAAGCAAAAUCAGCGAUAUUCACAAGGCUCAAAGACCUUAGUUUGUCCUCUCUGCCAGCCUUGAAAAGUCUCUACCAGCAUCCACUGCUCUUUCCAUCCCUAGAAACUGUGGUAGUGUACUCGUGCCCAAGGUUAAGGAGGCUCCCAUUUGACUCCAACACUGCAACUAACAGACUAAAGAAAAUUGAAGGAGAGGAAAGUUGGCGGAAUAUGCUGCAGUGGGAGGAUUCAACCGUCAAGGACCUUUUUACUCCCUACUUUCAGACAGGGUAAUAACAAGUAUUUGUCUGCCUGUAUUGAUGAUUGGGAAUAGUGGUCAUCAAAUUCACUUCAAUCCAUCUUUCAGGUAUUUUCUCUUUUCUCUUCUUUUUCUUAUCAAAUCAAUUUGUAUGCAUUUCAUAUGCCAUUAGCUUCACUCUUCUCUUAAUCCUCUUUCAAGUUAAGUAAUGAGUCUGACAACAACCACAGGUAAUUGUGUAUUGUUUCAUGUGUUUCAUUACUAGGACAAACUUCUUUGACAUGGGUAAUUUCUCGUAUGUUGUUCAGUUGGCUCUGUCCAGUUCACAUCACUAACUGGUGUCGCUGCUUUUGCUGAUUGCAGGAUGCCCUACUCUUUUUCCUUUGGGAUUGUAUUCGUUUUCAGGUGCCCAGGUUCCCUUCCCUAGGGGGCUACGUCUCGGUCUGCUUCUAGUUCUGUCUGUUUGCUGGAGUGUGGCUGUAGGUUUGAAGUAAGGGUUGUUCAGUAGUGGAAGCUCACAUACAUCCUCUGUGGACUCAAUUUCAACCAAUUUAGAGUUUUCAAUUAGUUCAUGGCACAUAGAGGCGUCCAUAUUAACUGAAAUAAAUUUUGAAAGCUUCUAAAAUCCUUGAGUAAUAAACUUGUUAAAUUUUAUAAAUUUUUGAAGUAGUUUACUCUAUUAGAAAAAGCACACAAUCUAGAGAAAAAAAAAACUUUGAAAUUUUUCUAAACUUGAAUUAAGGGAUUUUGGGCUUGAUUUCAAACCCAAACACCCUUUAAGAAAAGCCCAAAACCUUUUCUAUGGGCUAAGGCUUGGAUAGGAUCCAUUUAAACAUCCUUUGGUGGCUCCAAAAAGGUUAUUUUAUUUUAUUUCCCAUAUUUAAAAAGAGGAAUGAUGCACACAAAGGGAGAGAAAAACAAUGGUGAGGAAUAGUUUUUAUCGUUCAAAUGGAUUUGGAGAAGCAUAUAAAAAUAAUUUAUUGAGUUUAAUCCUAUUUUUUAAUUUUCUUCGCUUUUUCAUGUUUUUUACUUUUUCUCUUUAUUUUUUUCAUCUCAAAUUUUUCGAAAAUCAAACAUAACCUACAUAAAAUGAUGGAGGCACACAUGCAUUUUAUUAAUGUUGGGAACCUUACAUGCCUAUAUCAUGCACUUGAGCCUUGCUAGAUUAUUAAUAUAUCAUAAUAAUUUUGGAUGUGUAAAUUAUACAAAGCAUAUGAGAAAUGCAAAAUCAUUCAUCAGUAUUUUAGAAUAAUUGAAAUUUUGAUCUUUGGGGCAAAUCAAAUCCAAAAUUAUUUAAUAUUCAUAAUUAAUUUCACCUUUGAAUUGAAAUGAUAGUGACUUAAAUAAUAAAUAACUAUAAAACAAAUGGAAAAAUACAAUUCAAUGCCACCAUAUACUAACCAGAGUCAUUUAUUUGGAGGGUGUUAAGAUAUAUCGGUCUCAGGAUCUUAACUCUAUUUCGCAGCACAUGUAAAAUAAGAUAAUUAAAAGAUUAAAAAGAUUUUUAAAAAUAUAAAUAAACUUACAAAAUAUAUUAAUAUAAGAAUAUUUAAUUUAUUAUUAAUAAUAAAUUAACAUAUUGAAUAAUACACCAUCCAUGGUACUAUUACCAUAUAAAAUGGUGUUGAUUUCAACAUUUUAGACCAAUUUAUGCAUAGAACUAAUUCGUUAAUGGCAAUUUGUUGCUGAUUUUGUUGGGUUUGAAAUGUUCUGCUCUCGUUCUUUCCUGUUGGUACUGUUGGUGUGAGGGGUUUGCUUAAUUGGUGCUUGGUCUUGGUGCUUCUCAAAGAAUUUUUUUUGUAAUAUUAUUUGCAGGAUAUUCUUACAAAAAGGUAAAUGUAAUAGCAUCUCUUUUUUUAAAAAAAAAAAAAAAAUUAUAAAUUGUAGAAGUUACAUGAAUAAUUCAAAAUUUGGCAAUAAAAAUACAAUGCAAUGCCACCAUGACCAAUCAGAAUUGUUUAAAGAAUAAUGUAGUGGUGAUGAAUGCAAGCAUAAAACCAUUGUGGAGCCAAGAUUCAAGGGGCAUCAAUGGAGGAGGGUGGUGUAUGCAUAGAAUUAUCAUGGACACAGUGUGGGGGGGCCCAUCUGUCUCCCAAAAGGAAGACAGAAUAAUUGAGCGACACAGCUUAUCUUCUGAUGGGAUAUUGCAUCAGGUUAACUUCACCCCAGUCUCAGUCUCUUUCAAUUACCAAACCCUAGUCUCUUCUCUCUUUACUGCUAAUCCUCAUCUCUUUUCCUCUUUCUGUGCUCUCCGGAAACUUUUGUAGAUGGUGGCAUAGCUGCCUAUACUGAAGUUUUAACUCCGGCGUUUUUGAUUGACAAGGGCAGUGAUUCAUCUGCUCCCUGUAAUGCAAGCUAUCCCCUCUUUCUUCUCUCUUUGGCUCAACUUUAGUCCUUUUUUCCUUUGAUUUCCCGAAAGCUAUGGAGUUCCUGAGCUCAAUCGUGGGUCUGAUCCCCUGCUUCUAUGAUCACACCUCCAAGCAUACGGUCUACAUUCGUGAUCUAAAACAAAAUCUCCAAGCCUUGAGGAAGGAAAUGGCGGAGCUCAACAACUUGUAUGAAGAUGUGAAGGCAAGGGUUGAAGGUGCAGAGCAACGACAGAUGAUGCGCAGAAAGGAAGUGGGUGGCUGGAUCUGUGAAGUAGAAGUCAUGGUGACAGAAGUUCAAGAAAUUCUGCAAAAGGGUGAUCAAGAAAUCCAGAAGAGAUGUCUCGGAUGCUGUCCCAGGAAUUGUUGGUCUAGCUACAAGAUUGGGAAGGCAGUAAGCGAAAAGCUGGUUGCUGUAUCUGGUCAAAUCGGCAAAGGACAUUUCGAUGUUGUAGCCGAGAUGCUGCCUCGUCCUCUAGUAGAUGAACUGCCCAUGGAGGAGACUGUGGGCUCAGAAUUGGCGUAUGGCAGAAUCUGUGGGUUUCUCAAAGAUCCACAAGUGGGAAUUAUGGGAUUAUAUGGAAUGGGCGGUGUGGGCAAAACCACCCUCUUGAAGAAAAUCCACAAUAACUUCCUCCCUACAUCCAGCGAUUUUGAUGUUGUGAUUUGGGAUGUGGUGUCAAAACCGUCCAACGUUGAAAAAAUUCAGAAAGUUCUUUGGAAUAAAUUACAACUCUCACGUGAUGGAUGGGAAUGUAGAAGCACUAAGGAGGAGAAGGCUGCCGAAAUAUUGAGAGUUUUGAAAACAAAGAAGUUCGUGUUGCUGUUGGAUGACAUCUGGGAGCGACUCGAUCUCCUAGAAAUGGGGGUCCCCCAUCCCGAUGCUCAAAAUAAGUCCAAGAUAGUUUUCACAACCCGCUCACAGGAUGUGUGCCGCCAAAUGCAAGCUCAGAAGAGUAUAAAAGUGGAGUGUUUGUCAUCAGAAGCGGCUUGGACUUUGUUUCAGAAGAAGGUAGGAGAAGAAACAUUAAAGUUUCAUCCACAUAUACCGAGGCUUGCAAAGAUUGUUGCUGAAGAGUGCAAAGGUUUACCUCUCUCUUUGGUUACUGUUGGGCGAGCCAUGGUGGGUGAGAAAGAUCCCUCAAAUUGGGACAAGGUAAUACAAGAUUUGAGCAAAUUUCCAGCUGAAAUUUCAGGUAUGGAAGAUGAAUUGUUUAAUAGAUUAAAAGUGAGUUAUGAUAGAUUGUCUGACAAUGCCAUCAAAUCUUGUUUUAUACAUUGUUCCUUAUUCUCUGAAGAUGUGGUGAUUCGUAUUGAAACCCUUAUAGAGCAGUGGAUUGGAGAGGGACUUUUGGGUGAAGUUCAUGACAUAUAUGAAGCGCGCAAUCAAGGGCAUAAAAUUGUUAAAAAGCUAAAGCAUGCAUGUUUAGUGGAGAGUUACGGUUUAAGAGAAAAAUGGGUUGUGAUGCAUGAUGUGAUCCACGACAUGGCUUUAUGGUUAUAUGGUGAAUGUGGGAAGGAAAAGAACAAAAUUUUAGUAUACAAUGAUGUUUUUAGGCUGAAGGAAGCUGCAGAAAUUUCAGAACUUAAAGAGACGGAGAAGAUGUCAUUGUGGGAUCAGAAUCUUGAGAAGUUCCCUGAAACAUUGAUGUGUCCCAAUCUCAAGACUUUAUUUGUGAGGAGAUGUCAUCAGUUGACGAAAUUUUCGAGUGGAUUCUUUCAAUUUAUGCCUCUAAUUAGAGUUUUGAAUUUGGCGUGCAAUGAUAAUUUAAGUGAGUUACCUACUGGGAUUGGUGAAUUGAAUGGCUUGAGAUAUCUUAAUUUGUCAUCCACAAGAAUAAGAGAGUUGCCCAUUGAGCUAAAAAAUUUGAAAAAAUUGAUGAUUUUGCAUCUGAAUUCUAUGCAAUCCCCUGUAACUAUCCCACAAGACUUGAUAUCAAAUCUCAUAUCUUUAAAGUUUUUCAGCCUGUGGAAUACCAAUAUUUUAAGUGGAGUUGAAACCUUGCUUGAGGAGUUGGAGUCCUUGAAUGACAUCAAUCAGAUAAGAAUCAACAUAUCUAGUGCUCUUUCAUUGAACAAAUUAAAGAGAAGCCACAAAUUACAGAGGUGUAUAAGCGAUCUAGGGUUACAUAAUUGGGGGGAUGUAAUCACACUUGAACUAUCAUCUUCAUUUUUAAAAAGAAUGGAGCAUUUAGGAGCGCUUCAUGUACACGAUUGCGAUGAUGUGAAUAUAAGUAUGGAAAGAGAAAUGACACAAAAUGAUGUUAUUGGUCUCUCGAACUACAACGUUGCAAGGGAGCAAUACUUUUAUAGCCUUCGUUUCAUAGUAAUAGGAAAUUGUUCAAAAUUGUUAGACUUAACAUGGGUUGUUUAUGCUUCAUGUCUAGAAGCACUUUAUGUUGAAGAUUGUGAAUCAAUAGAACUAGUACUACAUGAUGAUCAUGGAGCUUAUGAAAUUGUGGAAAAAUUGGACAUAUUUUCAAGGCUCAAAUACCUCAAGCUCAAUAGACUGCCAAGAUUGAAGAGCAUCUACCAGCAUCCUCUGCUCUUUCCCUCGCUUGAAAUCAUCAAGGUGUAUGAUUGCAAAAGCUUAAGGAGCCUCCCAUUCGAUUCCAACACUUCGAACAACAAUCUUAAGAAAAUUAAAGGAGA
rnacentral:lncRNA from 1 species